rnacentral:lncRNA from 1 species
AAGCGUUACGAAGAUAUUCCAGUUUUGGGUCAGAGGCAGAGUGAAUGAAUCAGCUUUUGUACUUGAUAGUUUUGGUCGUCCAUCAUCAUUUCAGGUCAAAAUCAGACUUCUUGCAAUGAUCCAUUAAUAAUUAGUUCUUUAAUUGGACUAUGCAGAUUGGAGACUUGAGGUUUCUUUGAACUGUUGGAAUACCUUUUAUCUGUCAAGAUAUAUUUUACCCUUGUGUGGAAGUUCAUCUGAUAACCCGAUGUGCUUUUGAACAUUGAUUUUCACGAGAAGUAGAAGUUUAUUUGAUUAGGUGUUACUGAAGCAACUCUUUGAAGGCUAAGUCAAUGGUAAAACUAAUAUGGUUCUUACAAAGCUUAUGUUGUGGAAUAUUACGCUUAUGUUCAGUCCACUGAACACAAUUCUACAGAGAAUUGACGAAUUUCACAAACUGUAAUGCAUGUAAAGUUCACUUACAUAACUGUUUUUUGUUUUUUUUUCCUUUUUGUUGUAAAUGUUUUCCUUCAAAUAACGAAAAAAAAAGAAAAGAAAAUGACUUGUUUAAAACAUUAAAGGGCUACCUUGUUUGAAGUUUGAUCAAAGUACAGAUCAAGAGUUGAGGGCCUUGAGGUCUAACCAUAUUACAGUCGCCAUCCGAUCUGUGCUUUCCUGCAUCAUACCUUGCCAUCUUUCUUUCAUACGUAGAAAAAAUCCACCCAAUAUUUGAUGGGAAUGUUCAAACUCUAUUCUUUGUUUUCUCCGUCAUGCUUCUGUUAGGGUGGUUAUCUAAAUUUAACCAUUGGUGAAAACCAUCACCUUUAAAUCCAAAAUCUAUAAGGCGAUUAUUAAAAAAUAAAUUAACUAUAAAAUAGCGGAAGCGUACCUGAAUCCAUAUUAAUAAAUUUGACACUUGAAUCUCUAGAGAUUUUGGGGUGGCCUUCCAGGUCAACAGGUAUUCACCAAUCAUUUGAGAGAGACAUUUAGUUUCUCUCUGGUAUCUUUCCUGACGAUGGGAUAUCAGGGAAGAGCUAUUUUGUGGUAUUAGGAAAUACGACAACUAAAACGAUACCUGUGACUUGGGGAUCAUAACCCUAUUUAUAGGUAACAUUUAGUAACCUUUUGGAGCCCUAUUUCAGCCCAUCAUAGAAAUAGGAACCCUUAAAUCUCUACACAUUAAAGGCCCACAUCCUAUUAGAUACAUUAAACCCAAACUAUAUUUGAUCACUUUAAUUGGAUUUAACCUUAAUUGACAGCUUGCAAUACAUAAUUAUUCACAUAUAAGUCCAAUGUUGGAUUAAGAAUCCAACAAUCUCCCAUUUGGACUAUAUGUGUAACCUUAUAAUUAUAUUUCGCAAUUAACCGUAUGAGUUCAACUUUAUUGUCAUUAUCACAAUGUAUCUGUAACCAAUUCGGUCCAUCAAUCAUACCAACAUAGGAUCAAAGCGGCAUUUGUUACAAUUUCGUAACUCGACCCAUCAAUGGUCACAUACAUUGAUAUAAUUGAAUGACAUGAAUCAUGAUAUGAAUGUGUAGCAUGAAAAUUUCAUGUAAUGUGAUCAAAACAUGCCUAUUUUCAACUGGUCCACCUUAAAUUUUCAUGUGAUCAAACCAUACCAAAGUCAGAGUGUAAAUAAAUCCAAACUUUAUUCAUGAAUAAAAUAUUCUUAAAUCCUUAAUAACUGAGAAAAAUCAUAAGAGCAUUUAAAAUAAUAAACUCCUAUUAAAACUGUACAUCAUUUAAUACGACACCCAUAUGAGCAGUAUACUCAUGAAAUAUUUUGGGUGGUAAUCCCUCAGUAAGCGGAUCCGCAACCAUGGAGUUUGUCCCGAUAUGUUCUAUCGAUAACUGUCCAUUCUGCACUCUUUCUUUAACAGUCAGGAACUUGAUAUCUAUAUGUUUAGAUUUCGUCGAGCUCCUGUUAUUAUUGGAAUAUAAGACUGCUGACUUAUUAUCACAAAAUAAUUUGAGAGGUCUUUCAAUACUAUCCACUACACGUAAUCCUGUGACAAAAUUUUACAGCCAGAUUCCUUGGUUGGAUGCCUCAUAACAAACUAUAAACUCUGCAGCCAUAGUAGAAGAUGCUAUGAGGGACUGUUUAGCACUUUUCUAGGAUAUGGCAGCCAACAAGUAGAUAUAGCCUGACGUGACUUCAUAGUAUCUUGGCAUCCAGCAUAAUCGGAAUCAGUAUACCCAAUGAUCUCUAACUCAUCUGACUUCCGAUACGUGAGCAUGUAGUCUUUUGUUUUCUGUAGAUACCAUAAGACUCGUUUGGUUUUUUUCCAAUGAUCUAAUUCAAGAUUACUCAAAUAUCUACCCAACAUCCCAAUAAUGUACGCAAUAUCCGGACCCGUACAUACUUUAGCAUACAUUAGACUCCCUACUGCUGAGGCAUAAGGAAUCUUUUGCAUCUCUCUUUUCUCAAAAGCAUUCUUAGGACACUGUUUAAGACUAAAUUUGUCUCCUUUAUCCACAGGAGUGUCACCUGAUUUACAAUUUUGCAUGCCAUACCUUUUAAGAACCUUUUCGAUAUAACUCUUUUGUGAUAAUUCUAAAAUAAUCCGAGAACGAUCACGGUGUAUCUGUAUGCCUAACACAAAAAAUGCAUCACCAAAAUCUUUCAUCUCAAAAUUCUUAGUUAGAAAUUUCUUGGUUUCAUGCAAUAGACCAAUAUCGUUGUUGGCAAACAAAAUAUCAUCAACAUACAAUACCAGAAAAAUAUACUUACUCCCACAGAACUUAUGUUAUAUGCAAUCAUCUACUAAAUUCAUCUCAAAAUCAAAUUAGAUGAUCACUUGAUGAAAUUUAAAAUAUCACUGUCGAGACGCUUGUUUGAAUCCAUAAAUGGAUUUUUUAAGUUUGCAAAUCAUAUUUUUUGGAUCUCCUGAUACAAAAUUUUCUGGUUGCACCAUAUAAAUCGUCUCAUCAAUGUUACUAUUGAGAAACGCUGUCUUUACAUCCAUCUGAUGUAACUCAAGAUCGAAAUGCGCCACUAGUGUCAUGAUAAUUCUAAAAAAGUCCUUUGAAAAGACUGGAGAGAAGGUUUCUUUAUAGUCGAUACUUUCUUUUUGUGUAAAUCCCUUAGCGACAAGACGAGUUUUGUAUCUUUCCACAUUGCCUUUCGAAUCCCUUUUGAUUUUAAAUAUCCAUUUACAACCAAUGGAUUUCGCACCUUCUGGCAAUGGGACAAGAUCCCAAAUAUCAUUGUUCGUCAUGGAUUUAAUCUCCUCAUUCAUGGCAUCGAUCCACUUUUGAGAAUUUGAACUUUUCAUGGCUUGACGGAAGUUGAUUGGAUCAUCUUCCAUCAAUCCAAUGUCAUCCUCAUGUUCUUGGAGAAAAAUGAUAUAAUCAUCUGGCACUGCACUUCUCCUUUCUCUAGUGGAUCUUCUUAAAGGCACCGGUUCUUGGAGAGAAAAAGUUUAUUCUUCUAUAACAGUUUGUUCUUCAACAUUGUCUUGAUUUGUUAUGUCAUGAUCUUGUUCAAGAAUAGGAUCCAGAACAAGAUGAAUGACACCUGUGGGAAUAUUAAUAUAUUACUCUUUAAAGACAAUGUCUCUUACUGUAUUUUCUCCCCCAAACUCGACAUUCUCAAAGAACCGGGUAUUUCCUGUCUCAAAAAUUGAUUUGGCUGUGGGAUCAUAAAACUUGUAACCUCUGGAUCUUUCAGAGUAUUCAAUAAAAUAACAACUAAUCGUUCUUGAGUCCAAUUUCUUUUCAUUUGGCCUGUAAGGUCUUAUUUCAGCUGGACACCCCAAAACAUGCAUAUGCUUUAAACUGGGCUUUUUUCCUGUCCAAAACUCAUAAAAGAUUUUGAUAGUUGCUUUAGUUGAAACUCUAUUAAGGAUAUAUGUUGCAGUCUUAAGUGUUUCACCCCAGAGUGAUUCUGGUAAGGUAGAAUGACAUAUCAUACUCCUUACCAUGUUUUUAAGCGUUCUAUUUCGUCUUUCAGUUACACCAUUCAUAGUGGGUGAAUCCGGCAUAGUGUACUGUGGGACGAUACCGCAUUCCUCUAGAUAUUUAGCAAAUGGUUCUGGACGUUGUUCACCUGAAUCGUCAUAUCUACCAUAGUACUCACCACCACGGUCAGAUCUGACGCUUUUGAUUCUUUUGUUGAGUUGAUUCUCAAUUUCAGCGUUAAAAUUUUUGAACACGUCCAAUGACUGUGACUUUUCAGAAAUGAAAUAUAUGUAACCAUAUCUUGAAAAAUCGUCUAUGAACGUUAUAAAAUAUUGCUGACCAUUCCAAGCAGAUGUAGAAAAUGGCCCACAAAUAUCCGUAUGUAUAAAUUCUAAGACGUCUGAAGACUUAUUGGUUUCAAAUCUCCUUUGAUUGGUUUGUUUCCCCUUUAUACAAUUAAUGCAAUCAUUAAAAUCUAUAAAAUUUAAGGGGUCGAGAAUUUCAUUUGACACAAGUCUUUCCAUUCUCCGCUUGGAGAUAUGUCCCAAUCUCUUGUGCCAUAAUGCGGCUGAAUUCUCAUUGGUUAAUUUUCUCUUUACUCCUCUAGUACUCAAAUGCAGAGAUUCAUUAAAUGAGACAAUCGUAUCAAUUAAAUAUAGAUUAUCGUAAUGCAUUAAAGAACCAGAACCGACCAAUUUUGAAUUAUGAAACAAUUCAAAAUUUUCAUUUUCAAAUGAACAAAAAUAACCAAAUUUGUCCAAAACAGAAAUAGAAAUUAAAUUUCGUCUAAAAGACGGUACAACAAAUGUCUCAUAGAGAUCCAAAUAAAAUCCGAUCUUUAACAAUAAUCUAAAAACUCCAAUUGCCUCAACUUGAACUAUAUCUUUCAUUAUCAUUAGACUUUCCUACAAUUCAGGCAACCCUGCAAAGACACACUGAUGUGAGUUGUUGCACCAGAAUCUAACCACCAUGUGUGUCUAGGUACUGAAGUUAAAUUAAUCUCAGAACAAACCAAAUUAAGAAGCAUACAUUUCUUAGCACGCCAAGCGUGAUAGUUGGUGCAAUGCUUCUUUUGAUGCCCUUCAGUUUCACAGAAGAAACAACUAUUCUUUCCUUGAUCAUAUGAUUUCUUUUGUUGUUUUUUUUGUGGCGCUGUACCUGCAGCUCCUUUUUCUUUCUUUCUCUUAAGUCCCUUGCUAUUAUUAUUAGUAGUUGACACCAGAUGGACACUUUCUGUCUGCUCUUACUUCAACCUUUUCUCUUCCUCUACACAGUGUGAGAUGAGUUCAUUUAGAGAUUAAAUCUCCUUUUGACAGUUAUAACUCACCUUAAACUGACUAAACUGUGUAGGAAGAGAUAUUAAAAUCAAAUGCACUAGUAACUCUUCAGAGAGUUUCAACUUAAGUGCAUUUAAUUUCGAAGCAAGAUGAGACAUCUCCAUGAUGUACUCUCUGAUAUUGCCUUUACCACUAUAUUUCAUUGAAACUAGGCGUGUCAAGAGCGUACUAAUUUCAACCUUUUCGUUCUUGACAAACGUUUUUUCAAUGUCCUGAAGGAACUCUUUAGCGGUUAUAGUCGUUUCUGACAUUGUUUCCCUGAAUGCUUCUGGAACAACCUUUUUAAUGAUCAUCAGACACAAGCGAUUUGAACUCUCCCACCUUUCAUUAUUUCUCUUUUCAUCAGAGGUACUCUGAUCUGUGAGAGGGGGGAGAAUCAACCCUUAACGCAAGGUCGAGAUCCAUUGCUCUAAGUACUAUCAAGAGAUUUUCUUUCUAGGACUUGAAGUUUGUGCCAUUCAGCAUAGGACUAUUAUUGAUGUUGGAAGUAAUAUUUGUAAGAUCAUUUGCAACUGAACAGAAGACAUAAAAUAAUUAAAACUAUACUCAUAUAAACCAAAAUAAUAAUAAAUUCAAAUAAAGGUAACCCCAUCUCAAGAUACCGAUAUUUCAUUAAUAUUUCGUCUUUGGACAAAAAUAUUAACUUCUGAGUGAUAUCUUGAUGCAGUAAUAAAUACUGAUAAUAAUAACAUGUCGAAAAUAAAUUUUUCUUUGGGCCAAUUUAUAAAUCACAUGUAAAAUUCAAAUAAUUAUCACGUAUUUAUUACCACAAAUGUACAUGUAACUUCAUUAAAUAUUGACCUUCCUUUGGGCCGAUCAAUAUUCAUAAAAUUACUAGUACCCAACUAGUUAUAUUUUAAAAUAAAUUAAUUUUCAUAAUAGAGGUCACUUUGGUGGCAUAUUAUUUCAAUUAAUUUAUUCCAAAAUAUAUAUAAUCAUACCAAUAUUCAAAUUUAAAAUUAUCCAAAUUAAAUAAAAAAUUUGAUCAAAGUCAACUUUGGUCAACUUUGAUCAAACCAAUCAAUUGGAUCAAAACUUAUUGGAUCAAAGGUCCAUAUCCAUAAUUUGACCCAAUUUAUUAUUCAAGCCCAAUUUAUUCUUGAAGUCCAUAAGCACUUUAUAAAACUAUAUAUUUAAUGGGCCAAACAUAUGAACUUUAAUAGGGCUUAAAUAUCUUAUCUAACUUUAUUAGGGUUCACUUAAAUUAAAGAAACCCUAAUUUCUUUAACAUAAAUAUAAAUAUCGAUGAGUAAGGAAACCAGCCAAAGAAUCCAAUUAUAAACAAUUGAGCUACAAGGAAUCAUAUUGAAUAUCAAUCUGAAUCCAUAGACGAUGAAUCGGUCAACUAAACAUCACAGCAAAUAACCAAAGACGUAAUGGAAAGUCACAGCAAAAGAAACUAUUCUGGCUUUCGGCUUUUAGCAUAGCAAGACAAUGGCCCACUAGAAAGUCAUGGUCUUGCAUGUUUUUGCUUUCUGUUUCGGCUUUCUAUUUGAGAUAAGAAAAGGGCAACUACUACACAAUUAAUUAAGAUCCCGAAAUAUGUGCCAAGUAGUCAUAGUAUGCUAAGUCAAAUACUCCAGAUGUAAAGGUCAAUCGGCCAUUAUAUCAAACAAACCUACUGGAUACAAAUAAACUUAAGAAUCACAACAAUUGGCCAAUUCUUUUGGAACAAGCAAAACCCUUUUUUUUUUUUUCUCUGACCGAUUCUUUACAACAGAAACAGGAGUAGGACAUCAUUCAUAAUUUACAAUCUUUAAGAUAAAACUAUCAAAGAUCACAAAUUAUUUUCUAAUAAUCAACCAUAUAGGCUCUGAUACCACUUGUUAGGGUGGUUAUCUAAAUUUAACCAUUGGUGAAAACCAUCACUUUUAAACCCAAAAUCUAUAUGGCGAUUAUUAAGAAAUAAAUUAACUAUAAAAUAGCGGAAGCGUACCUGAAUCCAUAUUAAUAAAUUUGACGCUUGAAUCUCUAGAGAUUUUGGGGUGGCUUUCCAAGUCAACAGGUAUUCACCAAUCCUUUGAGAGAGGCCUUUAGUUUCUCUCUGGUAUCUUUCCUGACGAUAGGAUAUCAGGGAAGAGCUAUUUUGUGAUAUUAGGAAAUACGACAACUAAAACGAUACCUGUGACUUGGGGACCAUAACCCUAUUUAUAGGUAACAUUUAAUUACCUUUUGGAGCCCUAUUUCAACCCAUCGUAGAAAUAGGAGCCCUUAAGUCUCUACACAUUAAAGACCCACAUCCUAUUAGAUACAUUAAACCCAAACUAUAUUUGAUCACUUUAAUUGGGUUUAACCUUAAUUGACAGCUUGCAAUACAUAAUUAUUCACAUAUAAGUCCAAUGUUGGAUUAAGGAUCCAACAGCUUCACCUUCUAUCUCUCCUCAAGGUUUUUGUUGAUUGGGCACGUCUCAUCUUCCCAUAUUGAUUGAGCCUUGCAUUCCUCCUUCCCAUAUGAGUAGGCAAAAACUUGAGCCCAUGCACCCAUAUGUGCCCCAUUCACCUUAGCACCAGCAGGAUUUGAACGAUGUUGCCGGGCUCAUCAUAAAUAGAGAGAUGUUGAUACCCUUAACACGUUCAGCCAAAACAUGGAAGAUCCGCUUGUCAAAAAUUCAGUAGUCCAAAUUAAGUUGCGCCACUUGGUGAGAUGGGUAGCACAAUUUGACCUAUUGAAUUUCUAAAGAUCGGAUUUACUCAAGUGUGAGUCAAGUGUAAGCCUUCGAUGAUCAGAUCAUCCAUGACCACAAACACGUAAUUUAGGACUAUCUAAAAAAAAAAAAGCUUUUAAGGUACUUUUGAGUCAUAGUUUUGCUUAAAAAGUGAUUAGAUCAGUCCUAGACAUGAUUUAAACGAUGUUGCCGGGUUCAUCAUAAAUGGAGAGAUCAUUAUACCCUUAAUGCGUUCCGCCCAAAUUUGAUAGAUCCGAUUUUCAAAAAUUCAAUAGUCAAAUUAAGUCGCACCACUUGGUGAGAUGCGUAGCACAAUUUGAUCCAUUAAAUUUCUGAAGAUCGAAUCUAGCCAAGUGUAAGCCUCGAUAACUAGAUCAUCCAUGACCACAAACACGUAAGUUACUUUUGAGUUACAGUUUUGCUUAAAAAGUGAUUAGAUCAAUCCUAGGCACGAAGGAUUUAUUCUUUUGAUCUUCAUUAGGUUUUAAAAGUGUUCUCAAGAAUAUUGCUUUUCAAUUAUGUAUAAGAAAUUCCUUUUCCUACUCCUCUUCAUCUUUUAAAAGCUUUCGUAGAUUCCCUCCAUUCAUGUUUAAUGGAGUAACAAUUUUUUUUUUAAUAUUUGAAUUCCUUGCCAAACCUGUACUUUCCUUUGAAUUCAAAAUUUUAUUUAUUGCAAAAUAGAGGAAAUUUAUUUCAAUGACAUAUCUUCAAAGUGAAAGCUUCAACAGUCAUAUAGAAACGUUUGGAGGCGUAACGUGAUUCCCAUUUUAACAACUACAUUUUAUUCACUUCUCCACUAAUCAUAUAUCUCCAUAAGAAAGCAAUCCAUUGGAGAGUUGGAGUAGAAGCGUCUCAUGACCCAAAGUUACAAUAAUUUAUAUUUAAGAGUGGAACAUUUGAUGCUCAGAAGUCAUCAAAGAUGUUCAUAUCCAUAUGCCAACUGAUUAGAGAGGCUGAUGCGAUAUCCAUCUCUCAAGCAUAGUUCUGCAUUCGGCAGGCUUGAACAUAUAAGCAACAUGGGCUCCUCCCUUCACCCAAAAAUAGAAAAAAGGGGUGCUAGUUAGUCCCAAGAAGGUUCUGACCUUCUUGUUAGUUGUUACCAUGCAUGUGAACAAAUCUUGCACUGAAGCAAUAGAAACAGGAAUUUCUUACCUUCACUGUUGCAAAUGUCAUCUUAUUUGCGUAGGUCCUUGUAUAACUGCGAGCAGGAAAAUAGAACAAAUUUAGAUGAGUUGGGUAAAGUUAUCUUUUAUCUCGUGUUAAUGGCAAUCAAGAAAGAAACAUUUUCAAUUUUUAACCAACCCGGCAACUUGGCCUUGAUGAAUCCACUGUCUCCAAUCAUCAAUAAUUGGGUAAUGUAGAGAUCUUAUCCAUGCUUGAGUUUCAAUGUGCGGUGCCAACAGAUCAUGGUCACCACUGAAUUACAAAGUACUCCACUUUCAGUACCUAAAAUAACUGCUGCUAACCUACAUGCAUCAAGAUUCAGAGCUAGGUACCAAACCUGUAUAUAAGGGAUCUAUAACCUUUAGUGCUAAGGUUUGCAUGAUAUGGUACAACACUCCCUACAUUUGUUGUGUAUGGCAAGGUAUCUCUGCAGCUUACCCACUGUCCGAUAGUUUCCUGCAAUGUGAUUACAGAAAUCAGUUCAGGCUUGCUUCGGCAUUCAAAUGCUACAUACCAUAGUGCUUGAUUUAGACAUACCCUUCGCACAUGGAGGGCCUCUUGGACGCUCUUGUUGUUAGCCCAGUGCUCAACGAGCGUAAUCCAUUCCAUCUACGAUUGCCAGUGAACAGAAGAAACGCGAUCAGUUGUGCUACCAAGAACAGAUGGUCUUAUCCACGAGUUUACAUAGAACAUACUAGUGGUAUCUUACUCGACAUUUGACUGGAGUAGAUUCCCGAACGUCUAGCUCUUCAAACUUCUCAUACAACAUUUGUAUAAUGGAUCUCCCACCAGUAAAUAAUUUAUUUGGCUCUCGUGAAAGGGGAUGACAUACAGGAAUCAAGAUAUUUUGUUCGUCAAUAUUACGAACCAACUGCAGAAGCAAAUUAUUAACCAUCAUCCUUUAUUCUGAUUCUUCCCACCUUGUCACCUUUGUGGCCCGCAAAUUAAAGGGAAGGGGUAGGAACCAAUUGUUAGUACAACCGUUUCUGGAAAGUGUGUUAUUGUUUGAAUAAAUUAGAGUAAUUCAUUGUCAACUUAUACAAUUUUCGCAACAGAAGUAUGAUGUUCGAUCAGUGCUCGUGUAAGCCCCUAACAUUAACUGCAACUCUGUUACGAAAUUGUAUGAGUAAGUUACAAUAAAUUACUUCUUGUUCAAAUGAUAUUACAUUAUUCAGGAACGGUUAUAUUGACGAUCCUUAACUCUGUCUCUCUUUCUUGAGUUUAGGGGGCGCUUUAAGUAAAUCCAUUAGGCCUUGCCUAAUUUUUGAAAAUAGAGUCACAUAAAAAUUGCAUAGAUAUGAUUGCUUACCUCAUUGUAUGCCUGCAUAUUUUUCGAACACGCUGCAUUACUGGGAUCUAUGAUUUCAUAUUCCCCUUUACAGCUAACCUUCAAGGACUGCGUUGUAAAUAUAUAGGUCAAUUAGAAAAUCACGGGUAGUUUUACAUUGUAAGAAUGCAUGUGACAAAUGACAGUGUUCUAAGAUAUCAAUAGGUAACAAACAAAAGAAAUAAGUUACCUCAUAGAGUUCAUCAGAAAUCAGCCCCAUAUCAUAAGCAAACGGAACCCUAUAGUUCUGAAUUCCUGAAGCUUUCGACCAAGGAUUUCCAAGUAUGUAUCCCUGAAGCCAUAAAUGGAAACGUCUCGAUUUUAAACUCAGGAUGGUAAAUUUUUCUCCAAAUAGUAUGUAGUCAAUCAAGAUUAGGUAGACUAGAAAAGAGAAGAUCAUCAAAGGUAUAGACCUUAAGGUCAAUACGUGGUUCAAUGCCGUCCUCGUUUCCUGGAAUAACACCAAAAUACAUGUAAGUUUUAGGGCCUUAUUAAUAGUCAUAGAGCAACAAAGUAUUGAUCCUAUACUUCUGUAUUUAGCAAACUUCAACUGAUCAUCUUGUGGCAGGAGAUAAUGUAGAACUCUGAACUAGUCAAAGAAACGUUUUCUUGCUUUAUCCUGGAGCGUCUUAUAACUUAACAUAUUGACAGAAAAGAAUAAAAAGCCUGCAAAUUUCUGAGGGAACUUUUAACCAUUUUUCCCCCUCUUAAAGCUCUGCAUUAUGUUAAUAAAACCCAUUUAGCUUAAGGUGGCAACUACAUUCCUACCAAAAGAGACUUCGCAUAUACUACAAGCUUACAGAAAGCAUUUAUAGUAUAUUCAGAUCUCUUACAAUGCCUAUGUAUUUGCAUGACAAUUUCAAUAAUCAGAUUGUAACACAACCAAAAAACUUCCCCAGGGUAAAGAGCCACAUUGAAAAAAUCUUACCAUUUGAUAUAAGUUGAGUUAAUAUUGGAACAGGAAUGCCCCCAUACGAGAUUCCACUAACAUAGAAUGAACUCGACUUGUACUCUGGGUGAUCAUGUAGCCACUGCAGUAUAAUCAACUAUCAAAACGAAUCUUGUAAAAGGUAAACAUCUUUUAACUAUAAUUUCUUUCCCAUUCAAGGGAAAUUAAGUUUUUAACUCGAGGUUCAAAUGGGUAAAAAUGCAACAAAUAUCGCCUGCCCAAGCUUCUAUAAUUGGCAGUUGUAAUUGCACUGUGUACCAUAGGCACUGGCAAACCAAUUGUAGACAUUAAGAUACAACAACAAGCAAAAAGACAAUAAAUUGCCUCGCUUAUUGAAAUUUGUACCCAAAAUUGAAUUGUAAGCAUCAAAUUCAAAAUUAGUCAUCUUCCACUAUCUUUUCAAGGUAAAACUGUAAGUUCAUUGAUAUGGGACAAGUUUGUACAAGAGAUAGAAUAUCUCAGUAUACAUGUUAAACUAAUUAUCAUAGGAGGCCGUAUCAGAACAUUUCACUAACUAAACACUGUGAGUGGGAUUUUCCAUUCUAGAGAUUGCCACAUUUCAUGAGACUUUGGGAUCUUUCCCAAUGCAAGAGACCUCCUCCUCUACUAUGGCUUCCAUGACGCUAACUGUCGAAACUGCCAUAGCCAAUUAUUAUUGAUGUAACUUUUAUUCAUCUUCCACUGUCAACUGUUCUAUACAAUCAAAACCGUGUUCAUAGAGAACUUGAAUCCAAUGGGGGCAAUUUUGGGAGGGCCAUGCAGGAUUCCGCUAUUCAGAAGGAAAAUAAUUAAAUGGUAGUAAACUGGUCUUUUUGCAUAAUAAAGGGGCUAGAGUCAAAUAUGGCAUUUUCCUGAUUAGUAAUUGUCCAACGUUCCAUGAAGCCUUACGAUUCAUUAAUUAGCUGAGUGAUGGGCGUGUACCUUCCUGAUAAAUUCAUAAGCUUGAUCAGGGGCUUGUAAAUCUGAAGAUUGAGAAGCUUUUGCAGUCUUAGCAUAAGAAAAACCAGUUCCUACUGGCGAAUCCAGAAAGAUGAUGCUUCCAACCUAACAAGUAACAAGAAAUGAUUCUCAAUCUUGCAGUCAACUCGAAUGCUUAAUCUUGAAAAUUAGGUUUGUUUGGAUAAAGAUUAUUUGAACGUUAUUUCAAAAAAAAAAUUUUGGAACCUUAUUUGUAUAUGUAUCUCAAUAACCUUUUCAUCUAGGAUACAUUACAUCAUAAUAAAUGCUAAAUAAAUAACACUUCUAUGAGUCUAAGAUAUACUCAUCAACUUAAAUCUCUUUUUCUCUUGCAAGAAAAUAAAAUAAAAGAAAAGAGAAACUCAAUUCUUGAGCUUACCUUGAUCAAAGUAUAGGGAUUUAAUACCAAGUUGGGCAGAGUGCCGUCGAACGACAAUGGCUCGACAAUUAUUGGUCCUGCAACAGAAAAUCACGGGCCAGUGACUUGAUCAAAUGCUGGCACUCCAGUUUAUCAGUCAUCAUCACUUGAACAUUAAAGACAAAAAAAGACUAUGGCUCCAUUUGAGUUAACCGUUUUUAGGAAUGUUUUUCAAAAGCUUUAUUAUAGCAAUGCAUAUGAAAAAAAUAUUUAGGUGUGCGUUUUUGGAGCUUAGUUUAUAUUUUGGGCUUUUUAAUUUGAUGUGAAUGUGUAGUUAGUUAAUGUACAGAUGUUUGUAGCAGUUGCUACUGGCAACAAAUGGAUGGUAUUCAAUAAAAUUAAUACUUUUACCCAAAAAAACAAAACAAAAGACCUUACAUAAAGCUUCGUCAACCAGACAACAACGUCUUUUGUCUUUUUUGCAGAGUUUCAACCAGAAAGGCUGUUUGCAGAGUUUGAAGAUUAUACAAAAUCAAGAACAAAAAAGUGCCGCAAUUGUUUUUUUUUUUUUUGGGCGACACCUAAUGCAAAGUGUAAGGCAUUAGAAUUCACCUGUCCCAAAGAAAAGUGCAAUAAAUGAACUGCAGCCAGGUCCUCCAUCUAACCAAAGGAUAAGAGGAUCCGAUUGAGAAUUUGACUCUGACUUGAUAAAAACGUAGAAGAGCUGCACAUCCUCUGAUUCACCAACUCCAAUAUACCUGAUAACAUCAGAAAAUGGAUCAACUAUUUCUUCUAAGUUUUGAUCAAUGUUAAUUUCUAGUGUUAUUAUAUAUAUGUUAUACUUGGUGGCUCAUCCGGUUUCGAGUUCAAAGGGGAGGGGUCCUUCAAAUCCUGGAAGAAACUUAACUAUGGAACCAGCCAUAGCAAGGUUUGAACAUGCUUGAACAUAAACUAUCAGCAAGAACAGGUUGCAGAAGAUAGGAUGCCUUAGGAGCACCUGCAACUUCUCCAUUGAGCUUGGCCUAUAUCUCGUUCAGGGCACUGGGCAGAGCAACUUUAGACUCCAGACGCUUGGAUAGAGUUCUUGGGCGAACUCUAUAUAAGUCCUGCAUGCUGCUAUGUCUACUGAGAAUCGCCUUAUCGGAGCCACAAAUUUAACUUACCCUACCAACACAAAUGUCAUUGUCUGCCGAGUGCCAACUCAUGCGAUGCAGCUUUACUGUAAAGCGGCAUGUAAAAGACUUAGCUCCAGUUUUCAAAGAUGGUCCAAACUAAUGUUACAUUACUUGGUAAAAUGGUGCGUAACGUAACUUUUGAAUUUUGAAAAGGAUAAUUUCAGAAAUCUCCCCUGAGAUUACUAACAAUUACAAAGAGCUCUCUUCAAAUUUAUUAAAUUACACUUACCUCCCUUGCUUUUACUGUUUAUAUAACAAUAUAAGUCCAAAAGGCUAUAUAUUUUCUCAAAAGUCUUAAACUUCCCUUUUUGUACAAAAAUUAUUUUGCCAAUUGCUUUCUUUCAUAUUUCAGGCUAACCCACUAUACUAACAAAUUAGCUUAACAAACAAUCUAAUUCCAAAUUCUAAAUCCAAGCAAUUCUAUCAUCACAGUCAUAAAAUUGCUUCUCCCAAAUCAUGCAUUCAAUUCUGAAGAUUCGUUCCAUCCUUCAAAAGUACUCUUACCAUAUAAUUCCAUGGAAUGGCCAAACUCAUAAUCAACUACCCUUAUAUUUGCAUAAUAUUCAACAUAGGAUGCCAUGGUUUGGUUCCAUAUAAGUGGCCCAACUCCUACUACAUGAGCUACAUUAUGGCCUUGAAGAAAAUUCUUAGGAGAGAUUUAGGCAUGAAUGAGAUUAAUUAAGUUUAAGAGAAAGAAUGGCAUCAUUAUGAUUAUAGAGAUUUUCAAAAAAUUCAUUUUGUCAAAAAUCAAAAUUCUAUCUACAACUAAUCACACCCCAAACUUCAAAUCCAAUACCCAUACCUUCUCAAAACAAAAUAAUCUGACCUACCAUCAAAUCUCCAAACGUGUUAACAUCUUAAAUACAGAGAAGAAACUCCAUUUCCAUAGCGAAAUCACAACCAACAAUUGUCAAGCAUAAAAAGAAAUAUAAAUGUACUUAUUAACAUCUUAAAAAGUUUUUUCGGAUGGAUAAUAAACAAAUUAGCAAAUUCACCAAUUUUAGUCCCUCUUCCUUUUUUGGCCAAUGAUUGCAUUAUUUGUUCCAUUAUUAUUGUGUGCCUCUUUAUGUCCUUUUAGUUUGACCAUAAAAUUGAAUUUUACUUCUACCAUCAAAUCUAAUCUCUCAACUAAACUUGUGAUUUGGUAAUUCCAAAGGGAAGAAAGGAGGAAUGGGAAUAUAUAGUAGAGUUUGAGGGAUCACUUGUUGUGUGAUUGACUGUAAUUAUAAGCAAUAAUUGGUGGUAAUUUGAAAGCGAGUUAUAGAAGGAAAGGGUUGAUGGAUGAAAACAGAGUGAUAAUAAGUGAAAAAGAAUCGUCAUUGGCUAUGUAACUUGUUCCGAAGAGGUCAAGUUUUUUUCUUUUUAAUCUCAUUUCAUUAUACUAUGAAUUAUUUAUUAAGUGAAGGUUGUAGACACCAAAAUUUGUCAAUUCAUUUUAUUGUUAUUUUUUGUUAAAAAGAUUGUUGUCUAAAUGAAUUCAUUUUUUUAAAUUAUUUUGUUUUGUUUUGUAGGAAAGUGAAGGAAAGAAAAGCAAAAAAGAAAAGGGAAAGAAAUGAAAAUGUUGUUUUGCCAAAACAAAAAAAAAAGACCUUUCUACGCGUGCGUGCGAGCCACGCCAGCGCAUCAUCUUCUCAUUUGGUCCGUACUGAAAGCCAUAGUACAAGAAAAUUCCAGCAGCAAAUUCACAGCCAUUUUUUUUUUUUUUUUUUUUGCAAUUUUCUUUCCCUCCAAACCCCUAAGUACAAUGCCAACUCAUCUUAGUUGUAAUCUAUCAAGAAAAAACUAGAAUCCAAAGCCAUCUAAUGGCUCAAAGUUGCCAAGAAACCCAUCUUUCAUCUACACCAUGGCUGUGAGGGUUUAGGGAGCUUAGUUUCAUAUAAAAUCCCAUCAAAACGUAACAAGGGGAAGAACAGGAGGAGGCGGCGGACAAGAAAAUAGAGAGGAGAGAGAGAAAAUCGAGGGAGAAAAGCAAGAAAAGUGCAGAAAAUUCUGGGGGGGGAACCUGAGCCAGGGUUGACAGUUAGGAGGGUUUCGUGGUCACCUUUCGAUCUCUGUAGAGCCUCUUUGGAGCGAUUAUUGGUUUCUGGGUAAUCUAUGAUGAUCAAGGAGGAAUAUUGAACUUGGUGCCUUCGUCACCCUUAAAAAUUCUGCAGCGAGCUUGAUUGCCAAAUUCCAGCGUUGGAACGCGCCUUUCUUGGAUUUCUCCAUAUUUGCUUGCUGCCAAAAGAUGUCAAAAGGUAGCCCAUUCAUUCCUCUUUUUUCGUGUAUACCCGAAUAUGCAAUAAAUGUGACGAAAUUUGCUCCAUUUGCUCGUCUCUUUCCUUUUUAUGGUGUAUUUUUUCAUGGAUUAUUAGCUUAAGAUUUUUGCCAUGUUUGUAUGUGAUUUAACCUGAUAAGCAAGUGAUGAGUUUUUGCUUGAGUUUCCAGGCUGUAUGAUUUUGUUUUGGUCCAAAUGUUGGAUGAUUUGUUGGUAGCGUCUUUAGUUGAUGAAAACCUAGCAAAGUUGUAGAAGAACAAAAGCUGUCUUCGAAGGCUUGCAGGGAGAUCUUUCAAAAAUUUUGAAUUAGCCCCUCAACUUUUACCUAAUUCUAGUAUGCCCCAAAAACUUGUGAAAUUGAACCAAUUUUUGCCCAUUGUAAGUCUUGAUCCUCUUUUUAUAUUUUAAGGGGGUUUUUUUUGGGUAGAUUAAUUCUAGAUUUUGGGAUAUAAUUAGGUUUAAUGAUUUUUAGUUGAUUUUUAUCUUGUUGGAUUUCGGUAAUAUAGUUCAGGGUUUGGAUUAGGUUUAGUUUGAUUGAGUUUUGGAAGUGGGUUUUGAUUUAAUUUGAUUGGAUUUGAUAUGGGUUUGGAGGGUUAAAGCCCACCCCUUUUCGUUAGAUUUAUUUGGGUCAAAAUGAUGAUCUGGCCCGUAUUUUUUUGUUGGACUUUCGUUGGGCUUAAGAGGCAUUGGCCCAAAUAAUAAAUAAGGAAUGGCCCAGUGGCCUGUUUUCUCAAGAAAUCUGGUAACCGAAAUUGCAUUUCAGCCCCUAUACUUUUGAGUAAUUAUACUAUGUUCUAAAUACUUUGGAUUUAUUUCAAUUAGGCCCCUACUUUAGUUAUAUUUUGAUCCCUAAACUUUAUUUUUCUUUGAUUUUGACCUCUAAUUUUUGUAAUAAUUAUAGUUUGACCUUAAAAACUUUUAAAUUUUUGCAAUUAGAUUCCUGAUAGUUUUGAUUUCUUAAAUAUAAGUUGCUUUUCUUCUUUAAUUGUUAAUCAUACUUCAUUUAAGUGAUUUAAUUGGUGAAUUUCAUGAUUAUUUCAUUUUUUAAUAAUUAAAUUGGUGUUUUGAUCAUCUUGUUGAUUUUGGAAUAUAAGUAGGGCAAAUUUCACCCCAUUUAACCACAACUUCAAGGGAGGUAACCUUCUUUUAUUAUUUUAAAUCCUUUUAUGUGCUCCAAUGUGUUUUUAUGUGUAAUUGCAUGUUUUGAGUGCUUUUCCUUUAAUUACUCAUUUUAUUCAUUUUAAAUUUCAUUUAUUUUAUUUAAUCUUUGAUGAUUAUUUGUGAGGCAUUUAAAUGCCAAAUUGUAAUAGAUAGGUGCUCAAGACAUGUAUUUAGUUAGGCUAUGUAAUAGUAAGUUUUAAUUUUGUCAAAAAUAUAAUUAGUUAGAUAAAUGUAAUAGUUAGAUUUUUUUUUAAUUUUCCCCUUAGAUUGUAGUUAGGGUCCCAAAUGUAAUAGUUAGGUUUUUAUUUGUGUUUAUUCGCUUGUGUGCUUAUGGUUUAUUCGCUUUCCUUAGGGUCUUUGCAUCUAGAUAUUAUACUUAUAUGCUAUAUGCUCUAUGUGUUUUAUAUGUUUACUUGUUUUAAUUAUGUUUUAUAUGGUUUAUUUAAUUAUAAUAAAUGCAUAAUGCCACCACGCUAGCCCAACGAUAGUUGUGGCCAUUUUUCCCGAUUUCUCACUAGUCCAACGCUAAUGAAAACUUGUAGAAAUAGGUUAGUCCAAUGCAAGACCCUUUAGAUCGUCUUGUGCUAAAUUCACAUUCUUUGCAUGACAUUCAUCACAUUUCAUACAUUUUUUUUUUUAAUUUUAGGGUCUUUUCUCAUCUUGCAUGAUCUUUUCCCAUUAUUAUUAUGUUAACCCUAUGUAUGCCAAACAUGACAUUUAAACUUGUAUUUCAUUUAGGAAAUUAGAAGUAGGCUAGUUCAUUUGGUUGAUUAGGUUAGGAGAGCCACCCUUCAAAUAUGGAAAAUGAACGAGUGUGGUUUCUUAGUCUUAGCACGCUCUUUUUCUUUCUAUACGAAGGAAAAUUUGAAUCACGAAUUUUAGUCUCCAGUACCCGUUAUAUUGCAUUCCUCUCCUUUAGGUCACGUAUAUUUAUAUAUUAUAAUUCUUCUUUUGUUUGAGUCUCAUCUUUUGCAUAUUCGUGACCUCUUCUAAGAAUCAUUUUGGACGUCACAAUUAAUGUGAUUUGUACCAAUUAAAUUUUGAAAAGAUAUUUCGACCCUUUUGAUAUCCUUUAGGUCUAUAUUUGCAUUCAUGUAGAAAAAUCCAAAUGUGAUAAGUUUUAUAGGUUAGAUUAAGAAAAUUUUCGACUAAAUCUCACAACUAGUCUUGGCUAGAUUGAAAGAGUGUCUUAGGUUUGAUUCUGUCAAAUCUUUGUCUUCCCUUUCUCCAAUCGUGACUCUCGAACUCUUUUCUCUUGUUUUGAAAGACCUGGAAUCAUCUAAAAAGGGUUUUACCUAUUUUUUUAAAAAAAUACAUUUUUAGGUGAUUUGGUACACCUAAACUCGAUAUCAAGUGGCGACUCCUAUUUUUCCUAAAAACCCUUUCUAGACUAUUAUUUUGGGCCAAAAUUGUCGCACUUUUUAAGUCCCAUUCUAGGCCCUUUUUCCUUGUUUAUUCUCUAAAAUAAAAAAAAUCAUUUUCCACUCAUCAUUUUCAAAUAAACUCAAAUUUUCUCAAUAACUUACAUAUAAAUUUAUUUUAUCUUUAAAAAAAAAAAAAGACGCGACAAAGGCCAUUAUAGUCAUUUAUUGUGACAAGGGAGGUUUGUGUAAUUUGUAAAACUUGAGGGGAGUCGAGUGAAAUUGUCAUAAACCUUAGGGGAGGUUUGUGAAAUUAUCCCUUUGAAAAUUAAGUCUGCCCAAAUUUUGAUUGUAUAUAAAUAACUAUCAAAAUGUUUGCGAAUAGAUGAUAGGAUAAAAUCUGCCAAGUACCAAUGAAUGAUCGAUCAAAACAAAGCAACUCAUCAGAAGAAUUUAUCAAAAAAUUAAAAAGAAAAAUAUCUCACUAUCCUUUUAGCUCUCUUAUUUUAAUGGCUUAAAAUAUGUUUCAAGUAAAUUAGAAUCAUGCAAUGCUAAAAUCCCCACACAAGAUAACUUCGUUAUGGGUAUUUUAGUUGGUGGACGCUUGGCAUGUGUUAAAAAAAUUAAUAUACGAGUUUGGUUUAUUGAAGAAUUUUUGAAGUUACCACCCAACUUUCAAGUUACGGACACUUUUCUUUACCAAUUGUCAUACUUAUACUUUUCUUCUUAAAAAGGUGGCGUAAGGACGAAAUAAAAUUAACCUUGUUAUGAAAAUUGCCUUAUUUUUGUUUUAAGUAGUAACAUGUAAUGAGAGUAAGGGAAGGGCUUCCUGCUACGUGAGAAAUGUCAUACUACGAUUGCAUCGGGAUUCAAAUUAGAUUUUUCUAUUUUUCUCACAUAAAGAGUUUUGUCUUUAUAGAUAUAGAUUUAAUAAUUGAAUUGAACCACAUUAAUCUUGUAUCUACUCGAAGUUUCAUGUUUUUUUAUUUGUUUAAUUAAAUUGUCUUGUACUUAAUUUUUCAAUGAUUCUUCGUUUGCACUUGGAUCCCAGCAUCUUGUAUAAUAUCAUAGCUAGGUUUUGGUUAAUUAAUGAAAUUAAGUGAGUUGUGGUAAUUUUCAAUUCAAUAAUUUAAUAGGAAAAGAAUAUUCAUGUCAAUAAGGCUAGGAUCGAAAGACAACAAACAUAGAGGAUAUUUGCCAGUAAAUUUGGGCAAGUGAUUCAGAGGACAUGGAAAAACAUAGAGUCUAGUGUUAAAUUAGGAUGUAAUUUAGUGGAAAUGUUCUUAACAAUUUCCAAUGGUAUGUACUUGAUGUUGGAUGUAUUUCAGUUUUGUUCUUUGAGCGGUAUGACACAUGUAUAAAAAAUUUUAAAAAAAAAUCUAAUUUCAUGCAUCCCGAGACUCUCAAAGUUACGAGGUUUUCAUUAAUGAUGGAAUUUUGAAAAGCACACACAGGCGAGACAAUAUUAUGAAGGGGAGGAGUAUGGUGAUUUGUUUUUUUCAAAAAAAAAUUUUGUUACUUGAUUACCUCAAUAGUUGGGAGCAGAAUUAAGAAAGGGAUCCAAGAUUGCUUUCAAGUUGAAAGUAGUGGAAAAAAGGAAAAUCCUACAAACUUAAGUCAACUAAAGAUUACAUUCCAACAACGUAAUAAUUCGGUAUGUAUAACUACACAUCAAGCUUUUUGGUGGAGAUUAUUAGGAUAUUACUUAUUUUGUUUAGGCAAUUUUGUGACAAGUAAAUAGUUUCUAGUAAUUUAUACGUAUUUGGAGUAGUUGCCAAGAAAUUUUGUAUUUAUAUACGUUUGGAAAUCAGGUAAGUUAUUCUUUUAUUAUUAUUGAAGUAUUUGUCCAGUAAUAUAUCCUAUAAAUUGGAGGGGACUGUCAUAUCAUAAAUUAAAGUACACAAAAAGGAGUCAUGAUUAUAGAUGAGAGUGAGAAAAAGGACUUUGGAAUAUGAGAAAUAUUACACAAGAGUUGGGUUUAGAAUUCAAAUUGUAUUUUUAUAUGAAUUUUUUUCAUAAUAAAGAAUGGGUUAUUGAUAUGAACAUGUUAAAUCUUUCUUGUCAAUUGUAUUUUCAUGUUUUUGACUUAUUUUCCUUAAAUUGUUACAAACUUGAUGUCUUAUUAGUUGUUUAUUUCGUGCUUAGAUCACAAUAACAGGUCAGUGGAUUUCAAUUUUCUUUUUUGGUACGAUAAAAGUUUAAUCAUUACUCAUUGCAGAUUUGGGGACCAACAAUGAAGAAUUUCCUAGUUUUUGUCAAAAUAUUUCUUUGACGUUAAUUGGCAAAACCGGUUUUAAUUUUUUGUCCUUUGUUUUCAUUUUCCUUCAAAUUAUCGCAGGCCAAUUGCUGUUUAUGUACGAGGAAAGUGAAAACUCCGUGCAGAUAUAGUAGAGUUCCAUGUGAGGUCCAAAUCCAAUUCCAUAAUUGUGGCCUUACAACUGUAGUACAAUUCUCGGUCAGUUCUAGAACUUGUCUCCCAUGCAAGUUUUUAGUCUAAUUUUUAAUAGACAAGUUUUUUUAUAGUAAUCCUCUAUAAACAUCUCAAAAUUUUUAAUGUACACGUGGCUUAAUAUCUAAGAACACACAAAAUUUUCACUUUUUUCAUCAUUUUCUUCCUUCUCCCCCACCUCAACCCGCUACCGUUGGCCGACCGAUGCUGACGUCACCAGCUUGCAACUUCCUCCCUAUCCUCUCCCUCCCCCCACGCCCCUCCCAUAGUUCAUCAGAAUUCCACAUAGAGUUCAUCAGAAAUCAGGCCCAUCCCAUAAGCAAACGAGACUACAUGGUAAAGAAUUCCUUGAACUUUAGUCGCUGGAUGUCCAAGUAUGUAUCCCUGAAGCCAUAAAUGGAAAUGUCUCAGUUUUAACCUCAAGAUGGUAAAUUUUUCUCCAAAUGGUAUGUAAUCAAUCUAGCUUAUGUAGGCUAGAAAAGAGAAGAUCAUCAAAGAUAUAGACCUUAAUGAUCAAUACGUAGUUCAAUGCUGACCUCGUUUACUGGAAUAACACCAAAAUACAGGUAAGUUUUAGGCCUUAUAUAUAAUUAAUCUUAUAGUCAUAGAGCAACAAAUUGUUGAUCCUAUACUCUUUGUAUUCGCAAACUUCAAUUGAUCAUCUUAUGGCAGGAGAUAAUAUAGAAUUCUGAACUAUUGAGGUCCAACACGAAAGAGUACUUAUGCAAUGAAGGCAUAAAGGAUCCCAUAAACUCGCAUCCUAAGUAUCUCCUAAAUAGAAGUUUUCAAAGAAACGUUUUCUUUCUUUAUCCCAGAGCAUCCAAGGAAGUAUCCCUAAAGCAAUCAAUUUAACAACGCCGCAACAUGUUAGCAAGACGUAUAAUUAAGUAAAAUCUAGAUAGUGAUUUUUGGAGCCGGAAUAGAGGAUGUAACUUUUUGCCUAAGUGUUUUUAUCUUGCUACAUAGGUUAAGGAGAAAGAAAGCUAUGAAAUAUGUAGAAGUUAAGAUCAAUAUGUGGCUCAAUCCUAGCAUUGUUACCUGUAAUGACACCAAAAUAAAUCAAGUUCUAUGAGAUGAUGUUUCAUGUAAGUAUUCAUGAAGCAAUAAUUUGUUGCUUCUAUUUUUGUUUUCAGCAACUUGAAUGGGUCAUCUUGUGGUAGGAGAUUAAAUUAUCUGAAUUAUGAGAUCCAACUUGAAGGAGUAAUGCCAUCAAGAUAUUAAAAAAAAAAUCCCAGAAAAUUGCAUCCCUAAGUAUCUCCUAAUUAGAUGAAAGUUUUCUUCUUUACACUUCAUGAGUACUUCUUCAUCAAAGGUGAGGAGGAGAAGGAAAAGGGAAAGAUACCAAGAGAAAAGAAUAAAAAGCUUAAAAACUCCUUAGUAAAGUUUUUAAUUCAUUUUCCUCUUAAAACUCUGCCUAUCAGGUGCAAGCAUGAAAUAUCCCUAGCUAAGAGGCUUUUCGGAUUCACAAGUUUAUAAAAGAGCAUUAAUAGUGAAUUUGGAUCUCUUUAGACGGCUAUAUAUCUGCAUAAUUGCUACUCUCAGUUUCAAAUUUAACUGUUAAACUUGCCAAAAUCGAGAACUAAUGGAGUCCUUAUAGAAACGUCACUGAUUUUGUUACUGAAUGGACAACCAAGUCAACCAACUUAACAUGGACACAAAGUGGAGAUUUUCGUCUGCAUGCAUGACAAAUAGAUUAGCGGUUAGGGUUUUUCUUAUAGCGGUUGUCAUUUUGUUAAAGCUCUCCCAUCAUCAAUUUUUUUUUUCUCUACCAGAGGAAACUAUCAUUAGCAAACUAUAUUGCACGUGGUUGGAAUAUCCCCAGAGAGAGAGAGAGAAUAGAUCUGAACCGUGUACUUUAAUUUCUCUUUUUUCCUUUUUGGAUCGAUUAGAACAGUUUAAACUUUGCCAACAAAAUAAAUUUUUGAGAAGUAGGAUUCAGAUAAUGUUACCUAACAAUAACAUAACACAUACUUUUAAUUGUUAACAAUCUUAUUAAUUCAUGUCACUGUUAUGAAAUUAUAUAACUUGUGUCUUGUAUACAAUGAAUUGUAAUUUGUCACUAAAGCUUUAUACCAUUUAGAAAAUGGUUGCGCAAUCAUUUCUGCCCCAAAAUUUUCUUCUUCUUUAUUUUAAGCUAAUUUUCUUGUCUUCUUUUUUUUUUUUUUGGAUCAUUUAGAAAUUUUCUUUUAAGUAUGAGCCAUUGGAAGGAAAUGAUUUUUUUAAGCAUUUUUUUUGUGAUGCAGCUAUUGGGAUGGGUCCCUGAAUCUUUGGUACAUAUAAUUUUUGGUAUUUUACAGGAUGUAGAUAAUUCCUUUUUCUGUAAUUGUUUUCCAGCUAAAUUUAAAGAUAGUAGUGUUGAUGGCCUUAGCCCUUCUUCUCUUGAUCUAACACGUUGGCCACGCCAGUUUCUAGAAUCUUCCUGGGAUCAGUUAUAAGGUUUAUAAAUUUUGGAAAAAAAAAACAAAAUCAUGGUUGCAGAAUGGCUUUGAUACUAGAGGUACAGGGUAUAUAAAUAAGGGAUGAAGCAUGGUGGGAGAGGAAUAUUUGUUUGGCAGAUGGCAGAGAUAUACAUUAAACGAAGAUGUCCUAUAGUCAAGUGAUGUAUGAUACUUAGCCAUAAAAGUGGAUUUUGAUUGUUAUAAGUAUAGGUGGCAAACAAACUCAUUUAACUAAAUUUAUCCAUAUUCGUCCAUGAAUAGAAAGAUAUCGGUAUUUUAAGUUUUUGUAUAUGUGUACAAAUGGAUUACCCAAUAAUAUUCAUUUAAUAAAUGGAUAUUAAUUGAUAACACAUCAAACCCAAUUAACCCAUUUAAAAUUGUCUUUCCCCAAAUCUCCUCUCUUCCUUCACCCAUUUUUUUUUUCAGAUUCUUCAUUUUGUCAUGAUGUUAACUACUUUUGUUUUAUUAUUAUUAUUAAUUAUGGGUUUUAUCUUAUCAUAUUAUUUUCUCUUAGUUUGUCAACUUACUCAUUUUUUUAGCAUUAUCAAUUUAUGACAAGUUUUAGCCUCUUUUUCCACCUUUUCAAAAUGAAAUUUUAAAUUUACACACGAAAAAAAUAUUAGGAAUUCAAAAUUUUUGAAUCAAGUUUUUAUGUUAACUUUUAUAGUACUUAUGUCAAAUUUUUAUAUUCUUAUUGUUCAAUUAUUAAAUAGUAUAUAAUUUUGCGACAUAGAGUACGGAUGAAAAAAAAAUUGGUAACUAGGUUUAUUGAACAUUAUAAAUAAAUAUUUAAAACUAAUGAUGGGUGCAAAGGGUGGUACAAAUUGAUAACAUAGUUUACAAAAAUGAAUUUAAAUGAGUUUAUGAAAAGUUAAAAUAAAUGGGUUAUAAAUGGAUAAUUGAGUUAUCCAAUUCAUUUUUUGACUUACUCAUUUAUACCCAUUUAAUUAAAUGGGUAUAAAUGAGUUGACUCACUUAUGCCCAUUACCCAUUUUAACCAACUCAUACCUGCCCAAGUCAUCCAUUUUCACACCUCUAGUUAUAAGAAAUUAGGAAAGAUUGUUGCUUGGAAGUAUUUUGAUCAGUUCUAUUUAUUUCCCCUUCUAGUUUACUGUCUAAUGUUCCUUUGCUUUAUUUACUUCAAAUAAUGCUAAUCGAUACAUUGUCAAUUGGGGAAGGGAUGUUUUCCUUUAAUUAUUCAUUGCAUUUUCUCUUUGAGAAAAGGAAAGUGAGGGUUGAAUAUGAGGUGGAAAUACAGUGGAGAUUAAACUUGUAUUUUCUCCUGGGGAAAAGGAAAGUUUUUAGGGGCUGUUGGAAAUUGAGAAGGACGAGUUAAAAAUGAUGUGAAUAGUCACUUAAUUUUUGAUCAUUUUAGAGGUUUCUGCAAUUUCUUUGUGCAAGAUUGUAGCAUGCUAUAUAAACAAGACGCUGGACAAUAAACCCAGCCAACUGAUACAAGUUGAUAGUACUAGCUGAAAUGCCUUGGCUCAUCUUCCUGUUGUUUUAGGAAAUAGAGAGAGAGAAGAAAAUAGUCAUUGUGGUAAUUCUGAACUGAUGCUUGAAGUGUGUUUUGUGCACGCUUCUCAUGAUACAUGUUGGAUAGUGUAGGAUUAUAACUGGAUGCAGCUGAAAUUCGUUUGAGAUACUGUACAGCAUAGCUCUUACAGGCUCAAACAUGUAUCAUAUACAAACAAUGGAAUUCUAUUAUUUAGUCUCUCUUGCGCCUCGCAUUGUCUGCAGUUUUGGCGUAUUGUUUAGCAGUUAUCUGCUUAAAUUCACCCUUUUGAUGAUUUAGACUUGUACCAUGGCUUGAUUAAUAUAUAGGAACCUUUGAAUUUAGAUCCAUCUUUUCAAAGAUUUAUUUUCUGAUUUUAGUUAGCUAUUUGACUAAUUGAACAUUCAUGAAAACUUAAAAGCCCAAGUCAAACUGUUGAUUACUAAAGAACAUGCAGUGAAUCAGCUGAAUUAGACUGAACUCUAAUUUUCUCUGGUUGCUUCUUAGUAAGAAUUGUUCCGAUAAGUUAUUUAUUAGAUCAUGCAAAACAGCAUUAAUACAAUAGAUAUACCUCUUAUUCCACCGUAUGUAUUCAGCUAAUUUUUGUUUUGUGUCCUAGAUUUUCUGCCAUAGUUUUUAAAAGAAUUCGAUUUAUGCUAAGGGUCUAUCUAUGGACGCUUGUUAAAAUAUACUUCAGAUGUUCGAUUUUUGGAAAGGUAAAAUUAAUUAGGGGAAGUAUAUAAGUACAAGAGAAAGUAAUAAUUGUUAGCGUGUGUACAUACAGAGAAUAGGUUGGAUGGAAUUUAGAUAUGGUAAGGAGUGCCAAUUGGACACCUAUAGGAAAAACCCCCUAUGCAGAUUUGAAGACAGUUCAGGAGUCAAUGAAACAACCAGUCUGGAUACAAAGUACAUAUGGUUAAAAUACUGGAGUCCAUGCAUUAACCAAAAUGAAGGCAGGUGCAAUCAAGGAGAUCUGCUUGGUAUCUAGACUUCCCUGAAUUUAAACAAAUUUUAACAAUCAUAAUGAUUAUCUGUUCAUGGACAAAGAGAAAGAAGAAGAAAGAUACUGAGAUUAAUGCAGGUAGCUAAUAGAGGGAUCUUUAGCAGAGAUGAAAUGUACUGCCACACAGCCUAAUUAUAAGCAAAUUAAAUAAUUAGCUUUCCAUACUAAAUCUCCAACCCCAGACACACCUAUAAAUUUCUUCGUUGAGGUUGAAAACCAACAUCUCAAGAAAAGCUACUGAGCUUAGCUACAUUGUUGCAAUGAGAUCUUCAGCAGCAGCAGCAGCAGCAUUUAAGGCAUGUUUAGGCUACCUUAUUGUGGCAAUUCUGCUAUCUGCUUCUUGUGUAUUAGCUGCUGAAAACAGUGAAAAAUCUUUCCUCCCUAGAAAGGUUUACUUUGUUCAUGGCAUCAAGAAUAGCUAUCCAGAUAAAACACAUUGGUCUGGCUUCUACUGGGAUCCUUUCCCUGGAUUUAAAUGGCCACCUUUCCCAGGAUUUAACUGGCCACCUUCUUCACCACCAAGUGGAUCAUCACCACCUUUCCCGUGGCCUUUCCCAGGAUUUAAAUGGCAGCCUAUUCCAUCCCCUUCUUUUCCACCUCCACUAGCAAAGCCAACAAGUGGAUCAUCACCACCUUUCUCAUGGCCUUUCCCAGGAUUUAAAUGGCCCCCCAUCCCAUGGCCUUUCUUUGGACUCCCAGAUUUUCACAGGUCACCUACUCAAUCCCCACAUGCAUCACCUCCGCUAGUACAACCACCAAGUGAAUCACCACCAGUUGGUGGUGCUUCAAUCUCGCCGUCACCAUCACCACCACCACCGUAUCAAGGGGAAACACCACCACCAAGUCCAUGGUCAGGGUGGGAGGAACCUACAUUUACUCAAAGUACACCUGAUUGGUUAAUUUGGGAGGACUCAACCACAAGAAGCAUCUGAUUGGUUACCUUGAUCAGCGACUACAAAAGAACAUCUACGGUAUUUUAUCGUAUGAUUUGCCUAAAAUGAGUUUGUACUGAAGUACUCGUUCAGACUAUCAGCAUACUGUUCUUACAAUAUAUUCUUGUGGAAGGAAUAUAAAACACAAACCUCAGCAUUUUGAUUUGCUGCUUUUUAACUUACUAUUAAGUGCCAAUUGAUUCUACAAGCUUAACAAGGCAACUAUAUAUUUAGGAUUCGCCAUGUCCUUGAUAUUGUUCACUUUCAGCAGCACAGGGUCAUUGAACUUAAGUGACUUUCUGAUGCCGAAGGCCUUAAAUCAUUGGCUGAAAAUCUGAAGUGAAUAUGUUUGAAUGAAUUGGAAAUGUCUGAAGAUAAUGCAUACUUGACUAAUCCUAAACUUCUAGUGAAACUUCAUGACAGCAAUAAUCAUACAAUCAUUCCAUCAAAUACAAAGUUCUGCAAAAUAACAAAAUUAUUUCAUCACUGUCUUUCCUGAAAAUGAAAAAUAAUUUUGCAGAAUCAAAUGGUUUCAAGUGCCAUAUUACGGAUCAUUCUGACCAAAGGGGCUGGACACUUGGUGACCAUGUCCAAUCUGGAAGGAUUUGAGGCAUGACCGAACAGAGACAGGCAAAACAUGGCAAGCUCCCUUAGUGAUAAAUUUGAAGACAUAAACCCUUUCCAGUGGUGAGGAUCUAAAUCAAAGAAAGCAUCAAAAAAUCUUCUAGUCCCAUUUAAGUCGAGUUGCAGUAAGGUCUCCAUGCCAAAAGAGUGGAAUUCUCUGAUACGUCUCCUCUCAACAGGCCAAAGGCCCUUCCACACUCGAUCAUAAAGUGGAGUCCCUCUAAUCAUUCUGGUUGAGCCUAGGCACUCUGCAAUUGUAUCAGCUAACACCGGUGCUAAAGCCAUUGUCCGCGCCACCAUGUAGCCGCUUGAAGGAUGCACUAUGCCUGAAUUUCCACCAAUUGCCAUCACACUUUGAGGGAUUUUAGGCAGUGGCCCUCCCAUCAGAAUGAAACACUUCUCUUCCUCUAUAACACUCCUUACUUUAACGCCUAAGUGUCUCAAUCUUGCCACCAUCCUUUUCUUAACCUCCAUAUACGACAACACAGGCCUGGCAACGAGAGAGGUCUCUUCAAGAAAUAUCAAAUUUGAAGAAAAUGGCAUCGCAUACAGAAAAGUUGGAAUCUUUGAGUUAUCUUUGCGCAAAUCUGGUUCACUUCCUAGAUGGGAAUCUCUCCAAUCCAUCAGAACCAUCUUAUCCAAAUCAAAGGGGUGAUUAUCAACUUCUGCUAAAAUUCCAUGAGCAAUUUGAUAACCAUGGUUUCUCGGCUUGUCAUACUCAAUAAAAGGACUAGCAUAUCCACUUGCAUCAACGAUCAAACUUGCCUUCAGCUCACUUCCAUCAGUGCAAACAACAGAAGACUCAAAUUCUUGAUGCUCUAUUUUCCAAACCUUAGCCUUGUGAAACUUGACUUGAUUUGAAACACAACCACUUAACAAUUUAAUCUUGAGUUCCUUUCUACUUACUCUACCAUAGGCACGGUCUAAGUACCUAGUCUUGUGAUCGUUGAUAUAAACACUACACAUGGGCCAUGUCUUGUCCAAACAAUCAUCAAGGCCUAAACUUUCAAAUUCAUCAACCCAAACUCCAUAGUUAUUUGGCCACAUAGAUAAUGGUGAAGGGUCCACGCAGCAUACCUUAAUCCCGUAUCUUGAUACUUGCUCAGCUAGUCUUAAACCAGCUGGUCCAGCUCCAAUGAUGAUCAAAUCAAAGCGACGAUCAGAAGGAUCAAGCCACGAUACAUCAAAGUCUAAAGGUUCAGGUUUCCAUGCAGGCUGUAAGUCAAGAAAGGAAUUAAACUUGCUGCUUCUGACUCUGUUACGAACGUUUCUUGCAGAAGUUUUGGUUUUAGGAGAAACAAAUCGAGGGUUCAGUGAUGAACAUGAUAUUGGAGGAUGAGAAGUUGAAAGUGCAAGAAAUGGAGACGGCCUCAGAAGAGUUUCCAUUGACAAAAGACUGAAUUGAAAAUCUAACUUUGAUGGUUUAGGCAGAAAAGAGAGGAGUGAAGGGAAAUGUUUAUGAUGAAUUGAUGAUGAAGAAAGCGUUUAGGUACUCUAAUGAAGACAAUGAAGAAUCAACCAACCAGGACCAGCAAUGGCAAGAAAUGGAUGCUUUUUAUAAUCGAUUCUUGGUCGUUUCUAUCAACUUUAACAAGAAUUAAUAUAGUAGAUUCUUGUAGCUAUUAACUUAAUCAUAGCUAGUUGGCCGUAUGGAUAUGGCGCCUCAUUUCUGCUAGGCAUUUUAUCACCUGUGUUGUCAUAUUAGACAACCUUUUAGUCUUUAGUUAAAAAAUAAAUCAUGUAUGCAUAGGAGAGAUUUGAUGUGAAUCAGCUUCCACUUUAGUUAAGUAGUAAUGCAAAACUAGUAAAAUAUGUUGGAGUAGAAUUUACAGAAUUACUCAAGUAGAUAUAUUACCAAAAAAUAAAAAAAUCUAGCAAAUGUGGCUCUGACAGACUUACUUAAUGUCUAAAACUAUGCAUGCCGUAUUACAGGUAACAAGAUUUUAUUUUUUAAAAAAAAAAAAAUUCCUGCCCAACACGGCACCCAUCAUUUUUUUUUUUAAAUAAUUCGUGGGGCUGCCGUGCUGACUUGUUUUUUCUUGGAUAGGAACCAAAAAUCAUAGUCAGAGAGAGCGGAUUUUGGGAAAAAAAAAAAAGGGGAUGCCUUGUAUUGUUAGAUUAGAUAUUAAUGGGUGCAUGAUAAGAAACCUACCUUGAUUCUCGCUUUAGAGUCCGAACUAAAAUAGUAAUCCUGCCAAAGCAAACUAAAAGGCACAAAACACAAGAUUGAUUGAUCAUACUACAAACAUGAAUUAAUGAAUCGUAUCAUACUACAAACACAAACAGGGGCUGCUGUGCUGAACAAAUGUUUUUAAAAAAAAUAAAACCUUGUUGCUUGUUGUACUAACACAGUACGGCAGGCAUAGUUUUGAACACAAAUCCUGUCUAAGCCAUAUUUGCCAAGUUUUUUUUUUUAUAUUUUGACAAUAUUUUGAGGAAUUAGCCUACCAUCAAAAUUCAGGAAAAAUGAAGUGAAAUAAAUCAGAAAACCAAAAGUGUAACAGGAGUGGUACAUGGUCACCAUCUCAUUUUUUUUUGGUAGAGUUUUUAACCAAUUAAGUAAGAGCAUGCAUUAUCAUUUUUAUAUAACAUUUUGCAUUGCAUUAGUAGGAAUUUAUUACUUUAAAAAAAAGGGAAACAAAAAGUUUUUUUCCAAAGGAAAAAAAAAAUAAGUGGGCAAAUAGCAACACAAAUAAAACAAGGGUUAAAUGCAAAAAAAACCCCCCAUGAACUAUAUACCUCAUUGCAGUUUACUCCCCAAAUUAUUUUUAUAGGCGUUUUGCCCCCUUUCACUAUGUAAUUGGACAAAUCUACCCCAUUAUCUUAAGCAUUGUUAUUUUUUUUAUUCCCUAUCUUUUUCUUUUUAGAUUCUUCCUCUUUAUUUUCUUUAAACAUUGUUUAAAUUAGUAUACUAAAUUAAUCAAAAUUUGUUUAUUUCUUAAUUUCUCAUGUCAACAUUUUAUAAAAGAAUUCUAUGGUGUAGAAGAUUUUUUUUCCAAAUGUAGAAGUCAAUAUCAUUUAAGAAUUUGAACUAUUCAAAUAUAUAAGAACAAAAUAGAGAUAUUGAUUAAUCAAUUAUUAAUAGUAUUAAUAACAAAUAAAAAAUGAAUUACUAUUGUUAUUUAUUCCUAUCUUUUUAUUUCACUACAAAAAACAAUUGUUAACUUUUCUUUCUUACGUGAUAUAUAAUAAGUUACUUUUGUUAUAAAUAGUUGAGUAAUUAUAAACUUUAAUUGGUUAUAGAUACUUAAAUUGUUGAAUUAUUGAAUUAGUAUAUAAGUUACUUAAAUCGUUUACAAUAUAAACUACAUAUAUAUUGUAAUAACAAAGAGUUUAUGAUGAAAUAUUAAAAAUGAAUGAAUUAAAAAAGUAGUUCAAAAAAUAUUUAAAAUUUUGAUGUAAGUCUUUUAGCAUUGGAGGGACACAUUGGCUAGUUCCAUGAGACAGGGGGGCAAAGCAAGAAAAUAAAAGGAAAAAGAAAUGGGAGAAAAGGAAAAAAAAUAGAGAAAAAAUAGAGAAAAAAAGAAAAAAUUUAAGAUAGUAAGGAUAGUGUUGCCCAAAUGUAUAAUUCAAGGGAGUAAAAUGCCUAUUAUUAUAGUUUAUGGGGUAAACUCUAAUAGCUAAUUACUCGGAAUAUCGUUGAAAAAAAAAAAGUUGGACAUAUAUGGGUCCCACAAGAUGGUAGUGCAAAUCUAUGGCUGCCAGCCAAAGAGGCAAAUUUUUUUAAAAAAAACUCUGACACAGCUCAGACAAAAUUCUUUUUUUUUACAAAGUCAUUGGCCUGUCAGCCCGGCUGCGGCAAAAUUCUGCAAAAAUUUGCAGGAGAUGUAGAAUUAUUGCUGCUGCCAUCGCAUUCAAGAUUCCGUAUGGGGGCCUUUAUAUUUUUCCACAAUCCGAAACUAACACUGGAAAUUUGUCAAACACUUUUUUUUUUUUUGCAUGUUUCAAUGAAAGUGACUGAUGUCAUUGAAUAUUGAAUGAUUGAAGAUAUACUUUUCGUCUCUUUGAUCUGUUGAUUUCAUCUAACAGCGACUAAGAUUUUCUUUUUUUCACUAAAUUUUCUUUUAUAUAUGAUUUAUGUGUUAUCAUUUGUUGGUAAUUAAUUUAACGAAAAGAUGCUCUUUACACUAAUAUGUCUUGACAAUGUGGAUUACUUUUAAGAAUUUUAAUGAGAUUUAGACCACAUUUUUUAUGCAUUCAAUCUAAUUCACAUUUUAUUUCAUUUGAAAUAUAAUUAUUUAAAACAUAAGGGACCAAAAAAUAUGAAAUCAAACUUUUGACUAAUUCUAACUUGAUUUGACCGUUAUAUAUUAUAGUUUUGUAUUAGUUGCCCUAAAUUUGGCUAAAAUAAAAAAUUUGCUAUCAUAAUUAUUUUGGUUAAAAUAUCACGGAUUAGUUUAAACUCAUAGACCAAACGUUGGGGGGACCAAAAUUGCACAUGUUCCUUUAUUUUAAUCAUAUUUGAAAUCCCAACCCUUUCUUUUAUAUUUACGCCUCAAUUAUUUCAAAAAUGAAACUCAAUUAAAAAAAUAAAAUCUACCACAAUAUUUGUUUUGACAUGUACAAAAUUCACUAAAUAAUAUUGAAAAUUUCACCCAUUUUCCAAUGCAACAAUUUCACCCCUUUUUUUAUUAAAAACUUAUGCCGCUUGACGUACUAAAUCCGACAGUCUUUUAAGUUAAUUAAAUUACGUUUCAAAAUUGGAACGUAAGAAAAAGAUGAAAACAGAUUUGUUAAAUCAAUAAUUACUUCUAUAGGAUGUUAAACUAAAAAAAGGCUGUUUUAAAAAAAAAAUCUCAUUCAUUUUAUAAUAAGAUGCAGUUCUCAAAUUGUUGAAAAAUUAUUUGUUAAAAUUAUUAUGUAAUUUUUAAUGUACAAUAUAAUUUUAUAAAUAUAAAUUUGUUGUGCAAUAUAAAAACAAAAUAGGCAAAAAAAAUGAAAAGAAGAAAAAAUGCAGAACAUGACAUUAUCAAAUUGUGAAUUUAAAAAUAGCGAUAAUUCUGCCUGGCAGCAGCAAUAAUUCGAUGGCAGCAAUAAUUCUGCAUUUGAAGAAAAAAAUGCAGAACAUGACAUUAUCAAAUUGUGAAUUUAAAAAUAGCGAUAAUUCUGCCUGGCCGCAGCAAUAAUUCGAUGGCAGCAAUAAUUCUGCAUUGAAUGCGAUGACAUUGAAUGAUGGCAGCAGCAAAUUUUUGCAGAAUUCUGCCGGCUGCCGGCCGUCAGAGUUUAAAAAAAAAAUUUGCCUUUUUGGCUGCCAGGCAGUGUCAUAGAUUUGCAGUACCCUUGUCAGAUCCACACAGCCCGGAAGCCAUAGAUCCAUAUGUGUCCGACUUUUCUGUAUACAGUUCGUGCGGGAUUUUUUGCAUUUAACCCAUUAAAGAAGGGCCGAAUUAGACACGGACCCAACGCGAGUAUACUAAGAUCAACAUCAAGCGGAAGAUUUGUGGGGCGGCAAAAGUUGAUGGCUUAUCACUAAUCAGCCGCGCAAAUAAAUACUCUUGUUUUUCUUUUGGUUUUUGUUUGAAAUGAAUAGUUUAAAAGUCCUUUUAUAGUACUUAACAAAAUAGUAUCCAGUUUCAUUUUUGGGAUUGGAAAUCAGAUCCUGCAACUGCUUCGACCACUGAACCAAAUGAACUCUUUUUAUCUUUUGGUCUUUGUUUGAACUGCAAAGUUUUAAAGUCCUUUUAUGGUAGUUAACAAAAUAGUAUGCAAUUUCGCUUUUGGAAUUGGAACGUAAUCAGUGAGGGAUGAAAAUAUUCAUUUUUUGAAAUAUGAAGGAUGGAAAAAUUCAUUUUGUAAAAUAUGAGGAACGAACAAAUUUGUUUUAUAAAAUAUGAAGGAUUAUAGAUUAGAUUAUAUAAAAUAUAAUUUGACAAAUUUACUCUUAAAAAAUGAUCACGUGCCUUGCACGUGAUGGAUUCCUGCUAAAAAAUGAUCGAAAACCUAGUUAGGAACUAAAUUUGACCGAUGUGAAUAUGUAAGAAACAUAAAAUUACACUUUUAAAAAUGAAGGGCGAAAAAAAUCAUUUUACAAAAUAUAAGAGACGUUUUGAACAAUUUUCGCUAUAAUUAACAUAUAAGACCUUCGGCACUCAUUAGCGAAAUCCUUUAAAAUUGAGACGCUCGUUAGCCAAAUCAUUUGAAAUUUUACCACAAAUAAUUAAUUUUCCGAUAAAAGUCCGAAACAAAUUAUGUUCUAAUAUAAAUAACAUAACUACAGGUCGCUUACCCAAAAAUAAAGGAAAAAAAAAGAAAAGAAAGGGGUGUUUUACAAGGAACUACAAUUAACAUUUUACGAGAACCAGGAGGCCCAAAAAUUCUAGCAUUUAUAAUAUACAAAAAAAGAAAAAGAAAAAAGAAGAUGACCAUGGUUCUUGAUAUUGUUCUAUUUCCACACAGCUCUGGGACAACGAGGAGCAGUUGGAAGUGAUUAACACGGGCUAGAGGAAGGAGAAUCCAACGAUAUAUAGUAUUGAGAAUCAUCAUCCCAGAAUCAUCUAUAGCAUCCCUGAUCCAAGAAAUCACCGUUUCCGGCAGGACGGUAGGGUAAUGCCACCACAAGCAGCAGCAAUUAUUAUGUACAGCAGUAUUACGAUCAAGCACGUCAACAAAGCCCUGCAUAAAUGUUAUAGGUUCCUAUCCGUCAGUUCAAAGAGCCAGAUUGCUUUAAACCUAUGAGAAAAUUUGACGGAAUGCUCCGUUGCUGAGAACAUAAAGGUAAAGAAACUAUAAACUAAAGAAAGAGAGAAGCAAAAGAAAAAAAAUUAUCGAUAAUAAAUCUAAAAGGCUGUCGAAAAUUCCCAACUUUAUGAUGAAGCCAACAAAGAAAAAGACAUUUUCCAGUUGCAGUAAACGAGCAGCAGCUAAGGAAAAGAAGACGCUAGGAUGCGUAGAUAAGAUUAGUUGUUCAAUAGUUUUUUGCCAGCAAUUAUUCUGGCUAUUUUUAAGAUUUUGAAACAAGAAUGCUCCCCUUGGUUUCAGUUUUCUACUGGUCAUUUUUCUCAUAACCACGAGUCAAUUAACAAUAUCUAAUUUACUCUAUAACCUAAAUUCAACUAAAGUUGUCAUUCAUGCAAAAGCAAAAACUGAAUGAUAACUUGCUGAGCAUGCUGUUGAACUGAAUUGAUUAAGAAUGCCACAAUUAACUUCAAGCUAAAGUCUACAUUGAAUAAAUUAUCAUCCUACAUGAGUCGAAGUUACUUUUUCCCUUCUAAUUGUAGAACGAGGCUACGAUACUCACAGGAGUUUGGCAUUCUUCAUCCAAAGAGCUCGACGAAGACGCUUUGACUGUUUCCUGAAGUGAAAUGCACUAUCUUGCAUUGUUGCUGUUUUAUCAACAAGAAGUUCAAUGCGGUCACCUCUUUCAAGUAUCUUCUCAAUGUUAUCCACCAUUAUUGUGCGUAUCUAGAGAUCAGGUUAAAGAUCAAACAAGAAUAUUACCUAAAAGAAAAAAAGACUGUGCAAAGUAAGAGAAUAAUGCUCAAUGACAGUUACAACCAGCAGACAGAAAACUGUCACAAGUUCCUAUUUCACUCAAUAGAUAGUAAGCCAAUCAUCACCAAUCAACUUUUAUCUCUAAAUUCUCAUCUCCUAUACAACUAACCUAUGCACAUGCACGCACAAAUUUUCAUCAAGGAAACAGUAAAUUUCCAAGUUACGCUUGGAAGUUUUCUAGACAAUGAUAUCACAGAUCUAUUUGGGCUUGCUUAAAAGGUCAUAAAAGUCAUAAAACACAUGGAGCUUUUGUCCCAUGCUCUAGCAUUUCCACCUCACACUAUGUGGUAAAACGCCUCGCUGCAAACCUUCUCCUUGCCAAUUAGAUCACUCAAAACUACAACUCUUGUCAUUAUAUUUCUCUUGAGCUUGUUUCAACUCAAAAACUUGCCCGCCACAAAUUACAUUGGCUAUAUCAAGGGAUUGAAAAGUAGCUAUUUGAUAAACUUGUAGAAGCAUGUUUUAAGGGCGAAAGCGAAUACUAAUACUGUGACUCUUCCUCAAAAUAUAAAAGCAAAAACGACAAAAAAAGGUGGAGAUGGAGGGACCCAAAAGGAGGGGGUAGGACCUUUUUAGAUACUACAAGAAUACUUAUCCUCAAACCAAUUCUGUGCGUAAAACUUAAAAAAUUGACCACAGAAUACAUAGUUAUUACUUCGAGACAAAUUUAAGGUAUUCUAGCCGGGAACUAAUAUUUAUGCUCCAAAAAAGUCCUUAUUGGCGCUCCACUGUCUUUUCAAUAAAUGUGAACAGACAAAACUGCCAACCGCAGAUAUCUAUCAUAUUAGGUAAGUUGUCGGAUUUAUUAGGAAAGUUCCUAAAAGUUCUAAAGUUCUACAACUAGUUAAAUUUUCUAUUUAGAAUAUGGAAUUACGAGUUUUAGGAAGCUUUAUGGUGUACAAAUAGUUAUGUUAUUCUAGGUACAGAGAAUUUGAUGAAUGAAGAUUGAGAUUUUGUUUUAUUAGUUGCUCUGUUCUUCCCCUUAAAUUAUUUUCCUCCUCCCAUCUUUUCUUACCACAUUACUGUUCAUGGGUACUUUUCACGGCCCCUAAACAGGCCACGAUCCCCUCAUUCUUCUGCUAGUGCUAGUAAGGCAAGAUCUUACUUGUCCUUACAUCAAUUUAAAGUCUGAAUCUCAAUAUGAGUCUGUCGGGACAUGUUACUAGAAGCAUCAGCAUCCACAGUAUGCCCUAUCCAAAUCAACAGCUCCAAUCAACUCAAAGCUUUAAAUUAAUGAAGACAGAAAGCAAAUUUGCAGCACUUCACUGGGAGACUCUUGAAUAUUCCCCCCAUUCCAUGAUUGAGAAGUGAAUACAAAAAGACAAGACCUUUUGCAAAGUAACAUGCAUGUUGCCCGAUACAUCCAAAAGAGAUGGAGAAGUAAAUGCAAACAGCAAACAAGAAAAUGCGAUUGUCUUGUUCUCUCUUGUACAUUUCCUUAAAGUGUUUCCUAAUGUCUAAAUGAGUACUCCUGAUGAACAGCUAGAAACAAGAAUAACAGACCUUUUAUUAAAAGUAAUUAGAUUUAAACUUAGGCAACUUAUUGCUACAUGUCCAACACAGGAUGGAAAACCAACAUCCAAAUCACCAAAUAAAACAUGCACUCCAAAAAUGACAAAACAGCUUUUUAUAUAAUUUCUGUUUUCAUAUUACCCCAUGUAAGGUAAAAGAAAAAUACUUGCCUCACUAACUUCACCCCUAACACGGUGGAGGGUAUCAGCACUAGGAUUACUUGAGAAAAACUCCAUUUGUUGAUGCAAGACUCUUGAGAAUUCAUCAUUCAUAGCAUAAGCAGGUGCAUAAGGUGCCACUUUGCCAUAGUUCUUCAUGAAUCUCAUAUGUAUAUCCUCUAAGUAUGAGAAUGGUAUCCUUCCUGGGUCAAAUAUGCAUUAAAAUUUCAAAUCAGAACUUAGAAAACUUUACAUAGCCUACACAUAGUACCAAUGUAGAAGUGUGAUUUAGCAGAAAAAAAGUAAGCAAAAAUGAGGAAAUGAUACCUAGAGACACUAACUUAAAUAGCGUGUAGGCAUUAAGAAUUCAAGAUAUGCAACAUUAACUAGAAAGGAAAAUUAUGCUUUUAGAAGCUUUAUAUAAAAGCAAAAUAGCGUAAUGUAGGCAUUAAGAAUUCAAGAUAUACAACAUUAACUAGAAAGGAAAAUUAUGCUUUUAGAAGCUUUAAAUAAAAGCAAAAUCACAUAUAUUUGUGUCCACACAAAGCAUGGCGAUGACUAAGCUUUCCGUCCAUAUUUUCACCACCUCCUCGACCCAAUGAUCCAUUCUUUUUUUUUUUAAUAGUAUAACAUACACAAAGGGCUUAAUCCGAAAGGACCCCAGAAAGCUAAAGUCUUUUCUUUUUCACACCUCAUACUAUCAGGAAGUCUCAAAAUGCAAGUUUCAAGCUCGAUCAAGAUAUUGCACUUUAAUCACGAGUACGCAUUUAAUCUGAAACUUCCAAAUAUUGAAAACCCCACCUCAGCAGCACUUAAUCGACCCUCAGAACAUAUCACACAAGAAGCAGUCUGUGCACAAAAGAUAAAUAUCUAUGGCCUAAUCUAUACAUAAUCAUCAUCCAAUCCUACAAAAAGAAAAUUAGCUGCUGCUAAAUGUUGUACAUAUAAAAAAAAAUCCCACCUUUUUCAAUAAACAAAAAGAAAUGACUCCAGAAUUUCCAAUUUAAUUUUGCAACUCCGUCAACAAAUAAUACCUCUAUCAUCAAUAUCCUACUGAAAACAAUAGUUAUCCAGUCAAAAAAGAAAACGAGAAUUUAUGAAUUUAAGACCUUAAUCCAGGAAAAAUGAAUUUCUUAUUAAAGAAAAAAGUCAAACCCUCAGAAACUACACAGAAAAGGGAACUUUAUAAACAUACUUCCGAAGGUAUCAUUAGCCAUACAGAGAAAAGUCAGGCCAUCAGAUUUGAGAAUAUGGAAAAUAUAUCGAUCCUGAGAGAAGCAGAGUCUCGACUCGGCCUCCAACGGCAGCUUCUCCAAUAUCCGCCGCACAACUGCUCCGGCGUUCCCCGUGACAGCGCUGAACUCCGCGAGCACGGUAGUCCCCCGAGCCACCACCGCAUAGACUAUCGCCAUCAAAGUAGCCCGUCCUCGUUACCUACUACUCAAUAAACGUAUAUGUAAACUUAAGUAUAUGUAUCUAUAUGGUAUAAUUUACAUACAUAUACAUGGAAAUUGAGGUUUGAUUAGGGUUUUGAAUUUGGGUUUGAGGAAGUUAGUUGGGACAGUGAAGAUCGGGGGAUGGUGUCCACCGGCUGCUGUAAGUCCACGCCUCCACGGGCUAGUCAGUGUUCUAUUUCUACUACAUCCAAUAAUUUAUUAUUUUUGGAAUUCACUUGAUACGUUCCUCACAAAGAAAAAAAAAAAAUUCACUUGAUACGCUUUGUUGUGGCCGGUUUUUAUUUGGAAAAUUGGGAUUCGUGUCUUAACUUCGAAGUUCGAACAAAUGGUGUCAAUUGGGAUCUACGAGCUGGAUUUUAACAAACCUAAUUUCAAUUCAAAAAACACUAGGGCUUUAUUGGAAUUCAUGUCUUAAUUUGGAAUUAAGAGUGUCAAUCGGGCUCUAUGAAUUGGGUUUUGAGAAGCCUAAUCUCAGUUAAAAAAUAAAUGAAACUUUUGAGUUUUCGAGUUCGGGGCUAGGUUAGAAUAGUCAAACUCGACUCAUCAUUUAAUAUGAGUUGCGGUCUUAUAUUAUUUUCGACUCAAACUCAUAAUUAACUAUAUAAUUAUAUAUAAUAUAUUAAUAUUUAUAAAUUUGUAUAUAAUUUAUUAAUAUUUUAAUCUUAUAAUAUGUGUAAUUAUAUAUAUAUCAUUUAAUAUGCAAUUAUAUAUAUUGUAUUUUUAAUUAUACAUAUGAGCAGGUUAGGCCUUAAUCAGGCUUGAACAUAAUGAUGCCCAAACUCGACCCAUAUUUAACUUGGGCCUAUUAUAUAUAUCUAAACUUUACUUGAUUUUAUGCUUUAGAAAAAAGAAAAAAAACUCUACUUGAUUCUAUUAAAUAUAAGACUCAUUGGACUUUCUAUGGAUUGAACAAGGUGAGCAUGGGCUAGCCCAACCCAUUGAUAACCCUAACUUUGAACCCUUGAUUAUUGUGCAUUUAAGUUUUACUUAAGAUUUUUUUUGGUUCUUUACAUGUAUUAAAACUAAUCAAUUUGUCUAUUUUGAAUAAAAAUGAAAAAGAUUAAAAAUGUAUAUACAUGACUAUAGUAACACAAUUGUAGGUGUACGUUCUCUGUUUACAAUAGCGUGAAUGUGCCAAAACCUUGAGUGUUUUUACACCUUAAUGAGCUAAGCAAUUAGGAUAAUUACUAUAUGCUCUGUUUGGAUUUAGGCUUUUUUGAAAAAUAAUUUUUUCAUCUACAAUGCUACAGUAAUACACAAACAAAAACAAUUUCAAAAACACCAUAUUCAUACAAUAUAUCAAAAACAACUCCAAAUAUACCAAAAAAAUACACAACUACCCAUCACUCUCCACCACCACAACCACCACCUUACCGCCACCAUCCCCAUACCCACGACCCUCUCUCCUUUCUCUCUCUGUUGGUUUUUCCUCCCUCUCUCCUCCUCUCUUUCCUUCUCCUUCCUUCUUUUUUCUUUCCCUUUCCCCACCCCCCAAUUUCCUUCUCCUCGACUGACUGCAACCUUCUUAGUCACGAUCAAAUCUGAUCGCGAUCAGAAACCGCGACCAAGAUGGUCGUGAUUAGAGUGGUGGCUAAAGUCGCUGCCAUCACCUGCGAGUGGGAGAAGGGUUUGGGGUUAGGAGGAAGGAGGAGGAGGGAGGAGAAGGGAGGUGGAGGAGGAGGAGGGGGGAGGAAAUAGAGGGGAGGAGGAGAGAAAGAGAAAGGAGACAGGGGGGGGAAAUGGAGGGAAUAGUGGUGGGUCAUGUAAAAUUUUAAAAAAAAAUAUUCCAAAAAAAUUGUAAAUUAUAAAAAUACUCAAAAAUAUAUUUUAAAAAUACCUUUAAAAACAAUUCAAAAAAUAUUUACAGUAAAAGUUUUUCAUAUACACAGUUACAGUAAAGUUUUUGAAAAACACCUCCAAACAGCUAAUCCAAACACCUCCAAAAACAGCUACAGUAAUGUUUUAUGUAGUGUGUCUAAGUUGAAGUUUAGACCCAAUUAGCAGGAUUAGUAGGCAACAUAAGUUGAAGAUGAAACAAAAAAUUAAAAUUAGGAAGCCAAAAAUGUAUGUUUGGAUAAAAGAUUAUCUGAAAUAAAAAUUGGAAUGACAUUGUGAUUUAUUUUUUGUAAUAUGAUAAAUGUAAGGUAAAAAGGUAAUUAGACACACUUUUUUUUUUUUUGGAAAUGGUAUUUGGACUCCUACCAUUUGUUAUAUCAUAUAGUCUAAUCGAUGAAAACUAUAUGAUAAAAAUGAUAGUGGGAGUGCAAAUAACAAAAAGGGGAGUAUAAAUAACAUUUUCCUCUUUUUUUUCAAAUAAUGUUUCCAAACAAAAUUUUUGCGAAUUAGUCCACAAUUUUUUGGUUAUGUGUUGAAUAGGUCCUUCAAGUUUUUUUUUUUUCCAAUUUGUAGUUGACCACCCUUGUAUUAUGGAUUUAUCACGGCACUACCUUUCCCUUUGCAUAAUUGCAUUAGCCAACUCUAACGGUUCAAUUGUUUUUUUUUCUCUUUUUUCCUUUUCAUCCCUCUGUCCUUUCCAUUUCUUUUUCCUUUCUUUUUUGUUUGUACUUGUCCAUUCUUUUGUAUCGCCACUUAUUUCAUUUCUUUUUUUGUUAGCAAUUUCUGUUUCUUCUUAUGCUACCUAGUAGCUAAGUUUCUCCUUUUCGUAAAACUUACUUUUUAAUAUGAAGAAUUGAUUCAUCAUCAACCUAUAUAUUGAAGUAAUGAAUUAUCAAUUGAAGAUGUGAUCUUUAACCGGUACAUAUUGUAUUUAUAGCUAUUUGAUCAAAUUAUUUAUUUUCAAUGUUGCAAUUUAGGUACAUUUAGAAGAAAUCGAAUUGUUUUAUUGGAUGCCUUCAAAUAUAAAGUAUUUUUGCUAAUUACAUUUAAGUGUGUACUAGAAGCAUUUCGCCCAGAGUGCCUUGGUUUGAUAACUAAGAUUGAGAUUUUAAAAAUUAGAGUUCCUGAGUUUAAAUUCUCUUCAUCAUUUCCGCUUCUUAAAUAUCACUCCUUCUUUGUAAGAAAAAAAAAAGCUCUCUGUAUCACGUGUUAAAGACUUUCAAAAGGAAAGAGAAGAAAGAAGAAAAAUGUCCAAAUGUUAGGACCGGGUUUCUAAAGAAAUGGAAGGGGUAAAUUGAAAGAUCGAAAAGUGCAAUAUUAUCAUUUCUAAUAAACCCCUUCGGCCAACUAAGAAUGAUUAAGAAAACUUGAUCAAUUCUAGAAUCAUUCAAUUGGAGAAAACUAAGCUGAUCAGUCAUCCUAUCGUAUGGUUAAAGUUCGAACCACCCGCUUGCUUGGAUUUGCCAUCGUCAAUGGGAAUCAAGGGGCAAUGAUGCCCAUACAUAAUUUUUGGUUUAGUGGUCAUUAGGGGGCAUUCGGUUUGAGGGUGUGGGAAUCAAGAUUUAAAAUGAUGUCCAUUUUAAUUUUUAAAGGCUUGGAUAAUAGGUAUAUAAUCUAGCAAAUUACUAUCAAUCCCUUUUGUAGGUGUGUUACUUUCUCUCUCUAAGUAGGGAGCCAAAAUCACCUUUGGCGGGUGUUUUGAACUUGCUUUUUCAAAUUUCAAAUUUCUCGUACUUUCCUUCAAAAAACAAACAAAAAAGCAAAAAGCAAAACAAAUAUACCUUCUUAGAUCCACAUUGCCUUCUACAUCAAUGGUGAAUUCAAUGGAAUAAUUACGCUUUAUCAUGAUGUUUGUUUAUCCUCUCCAUUUAGUGUUCUUCUUUCUGUAAUUUACAUUCAUUCCAUGGUAGGAUGACUAAAGAUGGCGAUCUAGAAGAUUUCUAAGCUAAGCUUCGAUCAUCUCUCUUUUGAGCUUGCUUUUCUGUUAAAGUUUCCAUUCCAAGUUCAAUUACCAUUUACAGGUCCAAUUUUCCAUUUCAGAUCCAAUUAUCUAUUUCAGAUUCCAUUUUCCAUUUCAAUAAUCUAGCUACUCGGUGUCAGUCAUCUUUUUCCUACUUUUCUUUGGGCUUUAUUGGUGUUUUCUUAUGCUUUCAUAGUUUCUGUUUUUAUUUUUGGACAGGUUACUGGUAUUGAUCUUCAUUUUGUCUGUGUUUAGCUGGGGAAUACUCUAAUAUUGGUUCAGGAUGACUGAGGGAUUAGAAGAAGUUUUGAGAAGAUUUGUUCUGACUGAAGAAGAGGUCGAUGGUUUCAGGGAGUGGCUAAUGUCAAAUGAGUAUCAUUGGAAAGGUGGUGGGGGAGAAGACUGCAAACAUAUCAGGUGUUAAAAGUUUAACGAAUAAUAUGUGCCUUUUGCAAGGAAGUUAAAAGUAGUUGAGAUUAGGGUUAAUAUGUUUCAGUUUAUAUUCAAUAAUACUCAUGAUAUGGAGCGGGUACUACGGGGGAGACCAUGGAUAUAUGAUAAUUUGCCGUUGGUAGUAUUACCCUGGAAUGAGGGGUUAGAACAGAAUGAUGAAGCUUUUAAUAGGACUUGGAUUUGGGUUCAGCUAUGGAAUUUACCUAUCCACUGGAUUACCAAGGAAAUUGGUAGGAAAAUUGGGAGGGUUUUCAAUUUUGUAAAUGAAGUUAUAAUUCCAAAUUGGGAGGGGGGAAGGAAGGGAAACAUCUAAAAAUUGUGGUGGAGUGGAGUUAUCUAAACCAAUGAUGAGGGGAACUAUAGUGAAGCUAGAUGAUAGUACUAGAUGGAUAGAAUUUAGAUAUCAGAAAUGUCCUAAUUUCUGCUAUUAUUGUGGGAUUAUGAGACAUAAUGAGAGAAACUGCAGGGUGAAAGGAUUUAAUAUAAACAAGGAAGCUCAAUAUGUAGCUUGGUUAAGGGCUAGUAAUGCUAGGAGCUCAACCAGAAGACAGAAUAACUCAAGUAAUGUGGAAAGUAAUGGUGGUGAAGGCUCACAACUGAAUAAGGAGUGGGGAGAAAGGGAGCAGGAACAACUCUUGUUACCCUGAAAACUAGUUGAGGUUAAUGUUGACACAAUAAUAAAGGAGACCAUGUAGGAGGAAACUAAGGAUAGGAAUCAAGUUGAGUUGAUGGAAGUUACUAAGAGGGAGAGUUGUAUGAAGUCUGGAUGUAAAAAGAAGGGGGAUGAACUAAAGGGAAUGAGUAAUGUUAAUAAAGAUUUAAACUUAAUGGCAGAAGGGGAAAUACUGAAAGGUAGCCAAAGAGAGGAUUUCAACGAUAAGGAACACUUUGAUUCUAUAUGGAUUGAUGGAUCUGUUAUAAAAACCAAUGUAAGUGAGAGGGGGGAAGGGUAUAGUUCCUGCAAAUAAAAAACAGGAUCAAACUAAUAGUAUAGGUAUGAGAGUUGGUAAGUAUAAGGGGAAUAGAGGGUGGAAGAGACUAAUUCGUGAGGUGAGUAAAAGAGUACCUCUGAGCGAAAAGAAUGAGGUUAUGGAAAUUGACAAUAAGGGGAGGAAAAGGAAACUGAGCGAGAAUGCUGAUAAAGAGAAUGACAGAGGACAGGGGAAAAUCCAGAAAAAGAGCGAGACAGUAGAAAGUGAAACAGGCCUGGAACAAACAUCUGAGGCAGUGGAGUCCUACCUUAAUGGGGCUUCCAGGUCUCAAUGAAAGCUCUGGUGUGGAACUGUCGAGGUGUAGGGAGCCUCUUGACAGUUCCCUAGUUAGAGGAGAGUGUCAAACUCCACUCCCUUAAGUUGAUUUUCUUGUCUGAAACAAAAAACAGAAAGGAUGUUAUGAAUAAAAUGAGACUAAAGUUAAGGUAUGAUAGGCUGUUUGUGAUUGAUCCAGUGGAAAAAGUUGGUGGACUGGCAGUAAUAUGGAGGAAUGAACUGCAAGUUUGUAAAGUGCUAUAUACUAACUUUACUAUUGAAAUGUUGCAGGAAAGGAAUGGUGCUAGAGCUAGAUGGUGGCUGUUAUGUGUAUAUGCCAGUAGUGAGGAUCAGAUUAGUGAGAAGCAGUGGAAGAUUAUAGAGGAUAGGAAAAGCUUAUGGGGUCAGAAUUGGGUAUUGACAGGUGACAUGAAUGAUAUAUUGUCUAAUGAUGAGAAGUGAGGAGGUAGUAGAAGGCCAGAAAGAAGUUUUCAAACAUUCAGGGACUUUGUUAACAAUAAUCAACUUAUUGACAUUGGGUUUGAAGGAAUUCCAUGGACAUGGUCAAAUAAUUGGGAAGAGGGGAAGGAAAUUAAGAAAAAAUUGGAUAGAGUCUUAUGUAGUAGACAGUGGAAGAGAGAAAAUGAGAACGCUAAAUGCCUGCAUAUCCAGAAUGAUGCCUCUGACCAUACUAUGCUGCUGUUGGAUACUGAUUCGAAGGGUAGGAAGUAGAAAAGGAGGUUUUUCUUUGACAGGAACUGAUUAAAAUAUAAAGAAGUAGGUGAACUCAUUAGCAGGGUAUAGGGAAAACAACGGGAUGGCUCAAGAAUUUUUAAACUACACCAAAAGAUAAAGAGCUGUAGAGUAGCUCUCUUGAACUGGAAUAGGCAGAGAGAUACUAAUGCAAAAAAAGAGAUUAAGGAGCUAAAGCAAAAACUUGCAGAGGUUCAGGGUGAUGGGUAUGCCAAUAAGAAUCGAAGGGUGAGAGAGCUUCAAAAGAAACUGGAAGAGGCUUAUAAGAAAAAGGAGGUGUUUUGGGGGCAGAAAGCGAGAAUUAAAUGGUUGAAGGAAGGUGAUAAGAAUACAAAAUACUUUCAUGCAAGUGUUGCAGAGAGAAAAAGAAGGAAUAAUAUCUCAAGUCUUCAGAAGGAAAUUAAGAAAAAAUUGGAUAGAGUCUUAUGUAGUAGACAGUGGAAGAGAGAAAAUGAGAACGCUAAAUGCCUGCAUAUCCAGAAUGAUGCCUCUGACCAUACUAUGCUGCUGUUGGAUACUGAUUCGAAGGGUAGGAAGUAGAAAAGGAGAUUUUUCUUUGACAGGAACUGGUUAAAAUAUAAAGAAGUAGGUGAACUCAUUAGCAGGGUAUAGGGAAAACAACAGGAUGGCUCAAGAAUUUUUAAACUACACCAAAAGAUAAAGAGCUGUAAAGUAGCUCUCUUGAACUGGAAUAGGCAGAGAGAUACUAAUGCAAAAAAAGAGAUUAAGGAGCUGAAGCAAAAACUUGCAGAGGUUCAGGGUGAUGGGUAUGCCAAUAAGAAUCGAAGGGUGAAAGAGCUUCAAAAGAAACUGGAAGAGGCUUAUAAGAGAAAGGAGGUGUUUUGGGGGCAGAAAGCGAGAAUUAAAUGGUUGAAGGAAGGUGAUAAGAAUACAAAAUACUUUCAUGCAAGUGUUGCAGAGAGAAAAAGAAGGAAUAAUAUCUCAAGUCUUCAGAAGGGUGAUGGAACUUGGUGUGAGUCAGAACAAGAAAUUGAGGAUGAAAUUAAUGGUUAUUUUCAGGAGCUUUUCACUUCUAAUAACCCUCAGCAGGUUGACUCAAUACUGAGUGGAAUUCCCCUAGUGAUCACAGACCAAAUGAAUGCAAUGCUGGUUAGACCUGUAUCAAAAAUGGAAGUCAAAAAAGCUAUUUUUUCACUGCACCCAAACAAAGUCCCGGGCCUGAUGGUAUAACUCCUGUUUUCUUCCAACAAUUCUGGAAUGUGAUAAAAGAUGACUUGAUAAAUGCCAUAUCCAGUUUCUUUCAUUCUGGUCAGUUAUUGAGGAUUGUCAAUGAAACUAUCAUUACUCUUAUCCCUAAAAUAGACUCCCCUGUAUUAGUGUUUCGGUUUAGACCAAUUAAUUUGUGUAAUGUAGUCUAUAGGAUCAUAUCUAAAAUCCUAGUCAAUAGACUAAAGCCUCUACUCAAGCUUUGUAUUAGCCAAAACCAAUCUGCUUUUAUUCCAGGAAGACAAAUCAUUGAUAAUGUUGUUAUUGCUCAUGAACUCAAUCACUGUUUAAAUAACAGGAGAUGUGGAUCUAAUGCUUUUAUGGCCUUGAAACUUGAUAUGUCCAAAGCUUAUGAUAGAGUUGAGUGGCUUUUUAUGCAAAAAAAUUAUGAAAAAAAUGAAUUUUUGUAAAAAAUGGAGAGAUUGGAUUCUGAAGUGUAUGUCAUCUGUUGUUUACUCUUUUAAUUUGAAUGGGAAAAAAAGAGGUCUUGUUACACCUACAAGGGGAAUUAGGCAAGGAGAUCCUUUAUCUAUCUCCAUACAUAUUUUUACUAGUUUAUAAGGGAUUAUCCAGUUUACUUAAGAGAGAUAUGUCUAGUCAGGAAAUCUCUGGACUUAAGAUUGCUCAGCAUAGUCCAACAUUGUCUCACCUCUUUUUUGCAGAUAAUACGUUGAUUUUCUAUAGAGCUAACAAAGAAGAAGCAGAUAAAGUGAUGAAGCUAUUGAAGAUGUAUGGGAAAGCUUCAGGACAAGUUAUAAAUGCUGAGAAGUCACCUGUAUUUUUUAGUAUGAAUACUGGAGAUGAAGUGAAUGUAUAAAUAUUGGAUAUCUUGAGAGGCAUGAAGGAAGCUAGGCAAAGCAAAUAUCUUGGCCUUCUAUUGGUUAUAGGAAGACCAAAAAAACAAGUCUUCAACUACAUUAGGGAGCGUGUCAUCAAUAGGAUGUGUGGAUGGAAGGAGAGACUACUGAGUAAUGUUGGUAAGGAGGUCCUUUUAAAAUCUGUGAUUUUAGCUCUACCUGCUUAUGCUAUGAGUUGCUGCAAACUACCAAAAGGUUUAUAUGUGAAUAUUUGUAAAGAAAUGGCAAAGUUUUGGUAGGGUGAUAGUGAGAAAAAUAGAAAAAUUCAUUGGGUGGAGUAGAGGAAGUUAUCUGAGAUUAAAGGGAAGGGAGGUUUGGGUUUUUGAGAUCUCUAGCAAUUCAAUAUUAUUAUGCUUGCUAAGCAACUAUGGAGGAUCUUGACAAGGCCAAAUCUUUUAGUUAACAGGAUUGUUAGGGGAGGUAUUUUAGAGGAUCUUCCAUUUGGAAAAUGAAAAUUAAUGCUGGGGAUUCCUAGGUAUGGAAAAGCAUUCUAAGUGCAAGAGAGCUAUUGGAAGAAGGGGUGAGGAAGAGAAUGGGGAAUGGCCAGCAGAUUGAUAUAUGGGAAGAUAAGUGGUUACUAGAUUUGGAAGUUGGUAAGAUAAGAUCGUAAGAUAAGAUUGAGAAAACCUCAACAUUGUCAUAUACAAAGAGUCAAUGAGUUGAUUUCUGAAGGGACUUGGAAUAAGGAAUUACUGAGAGAGAUUUUUUAUGAGGAAGACUGUCAAAGAACAACUAAUAUUCCAAUAAGUGAGUGUGGUGAUAAGGAUAGACUAAUAUGGAUGUUCUCUAAAUCAAGGGAGUAUAUUGUGAAAACUGGCUAUGUGGUGGCUAAAGAGUUGCAGAGAAAAGGAAGAAGGGAAAGUCAGUAACAAGGGAGUAGUAGCAGGAAUGAAGCUAAUUCAGGGGUGUGGAGAUUCUUAUGGAGCCUGAACGUAAAGCAUAAGCUAAAACAUUUUGUAUGGAAAUGUCUUCAAAGAAUCUUGCCAGUGAAUGAAAUAAUUAGGAGAAGGAUUGGACAAGGAAAUGAUAGGUGUUGUUGCUGUGGAGAAAGGAUAGAAACUCUUGAACACAUGUUCUUUUUCUAUAAGCAUGCAGAGCUAAUUUGGAAGACUGCUCCAAUUAGCUGGGAUGGGUUAAAGGAAUAUAUAUAUAGCUUUUGGCAUUGGUGGAGUAGAUUUGGAAAUCCAGGAACCAGAUACAAUUUAAUAGGGAAGGGAGAUGUCCAGGCAUGACAAUUAAUAAGGCAAUACAAGAAUGGCUAGAAUUCUAUAAUGUAAACACAAAAAAGGGAGAGGAUGAAAAAUGGUACAGGGGCGUGGAAAAAGGAAAUGUGAAUGGGACCCACCACCAGAAAACUUCAAGUGCUUAAAUGCUAAUGCAGUUGUCAAACAAAAUGAUGCAAAAAUAGGAUGGGGAGUCGUGGCUAGAUGCAAGGAAGGGAAGUUAAGAGGAGCUUGGGCUGGUUGUGAAGGUAGAAAUGGUGUUCCAGCUGUUGAGGAGGCAAGAGCAAUCCGGAAAGCGCUUAUGUUUGCCAAGAUGAAUGGAUGGAGGAAUAUUAUAAUCCAAUCAAACUGCAAGAGAAUUAUUGAUCAAAUCAGAGAGGGAAACCUGAAUGACCAUUUAGCAGGUGCUGUCCUAUUUGACAUUCUAGUGAUUAGCAAGGACUUUAGUUCUUGUCUCUUCUCUUUUAUUAAGAGGGAAGGGAAUAAUGUGUGCCACCAUUUGAUAAAGUUUGCCUUAAAUUUAGUUUCUGAGAUAGCUUGGAUGGAUUCAUUUCCAAGUUGGCUAAUCAGUCUAGCCAAAGAUGAUGUAGGAGCCUUUGCUCCAGAUUUGUAAUACUUUUGUUGAAGUAAUGAAUUCUUAUAUCGUUUGGAAAAAAAAAAAGAUAAUAGGUAUGGAGUUGGAGAUUUUGGAAUGAAUUCUAAAAUAGCAACUCUCAAUUCUUGAGUAAAUUGGUGGGUUUUGUUAAUUCCUAAAUUUGAUUCCAAGAUAAUUGUAUAAAAUAUGUCUUUUGAAUUCACCUACAAAAAAUGACUAUAGUAAAUCACAAUAUUAUUAAACGAUAGACACAAAUAUGAGAAUUUCUAAAAAUCAAGGAGGUGGGCUACACAAAUAUGAAAUCGCUAAAAUCAAGAAGAUGAGUUAUUCAUUAUUUUGUUUCUGUCACUUAAUUCAUAUGUUGUUUGUAUAGGAUUUCAUCUCCUCUUUUAUGGCAUCUAAAAACUUUCCCCUCAUUGCCCUCACACACCAUAUGGACCUUGUUUGGCAAGUGAGUUUUUUGGGUGUUUGUAUAAAAUUUUACUGUAAUUUACUGUAGAAGUUUUUUAAAAAAAUUUUGAAGUGUGUUUUGUUUUUAAUAUUUUGAAGUGUAUAGUUUAAAACUUUGAAAAGUUUUUAAGAUUACUGUAACUAAAGUUUUUAAAAAACUUAUAGCAGACAAACUUGAUAAAAAACUUAUCUGCCAAACAAGGAUGCAUGACAUCUCAAAAACUUCCACCUUUCAUCUCACUAUCAUCACUCCUUCCUCACCCUCAAAAUCCUAACCCUAAACCCCCAAACCAAAUUUCAUCCAUCACACCAAGCUCUGCACAUCCUCACCUCCAAGUCCAAAACAGUACCAAAAAUUUACCAUCACGAUCUCAAGGGAUUCAACAUCAACUUGAGGAAAGGAAAAAAAAAAACUGCGUCGGAUUGUGUUAAUGUCACCCCAGUCAAAAUCCUUUAAAUCUAUUAGCCAAGCCAUUGACAAGUUCUAAAUUUGCAUUGUAUCAAUUGACAAGAAAAAACGAGAAGGUGAAGUUGCUUCAUCAUUUGGGUUAUGACUGGAAGUUGGAGAGAAAUGAACAAAAAACAAAAAAACCAGGAGGUCUUGAUUGGUACUGAUUCUUUAUAAUUCAUUUCGUAUCCGAUUUCAAUUCCGGAGGAUGAACCAAGCACCCCUCACUUUUAGGUCUUCCAAUCCCAUUGAUCCUAUUAAAGAGUAAUUUGAGCACCCCUUACUUUUAGUUCUUCCAAUCCCAUAGAUCCAAUUAAAGAGUAAAUUGGGCACUAUCAUACUCAUUCUUGAUGUGGCCCAUCUCAAAAUUAAAAAAAAAAAUCCAAUUAAACCCAACACAAUAAACAAGCUUAAGAAAGAAAAAACGCCAUUCUUUUCAUCUCCUGCCUCAAAAUAUUCAUCUGUUCAAUUACCUCUUCUUUAUCAAACUUUUUUAAAUUCUUGCUUUGGAGGUUCAUAGAAUAUCUCGCAAAGAAGAUGUAGAGACAAGAGAGAAAUAGAAGAGGGGAGAGAUUUGUUUGCUGGUGUUCAAGAAAAGUUGAAAGGAUUAAAUCAUGAUGGAAUUGAGAAAAAAUGACCACGGUCAAAAGGAAGAUGGAAAAGAGAAAGAAGUUCGAUUUUAUAACUAUGAUUGACUGAAGAUCUAAUUUUGAUAUUUUUUGCGAAUUUUGGCUCAUAUUUAGUCUAACAAUCUUUAGUUAAUUGUUGCGGGUUCUGAUGGUUUAGAGACAUGGGCGGCUGUCAAGAAAGUUUUAGACUUUUAGUAGCAUGAGAUGCCAUGAAUUGCUACUACAAUUGGUGAUGGAAAGCUUCAGACUUUCUAGAUAGCAGAAAGGACGAAGACGAUGGAAAGAGGGACCAAAGAAAGAAGAAAAGAAUAGGAAAAGAAUAACAAAAUAGAGAUGGUGAUUCCAUUCUAGCGCAGGGAUCAAACAUCAGUUUUAGGAAAAAAAAAAAAUUUUGCUCAAGUCAUUAUCAUUGAAGGGGUAUUGGAUGGUGAUUGGAAUUGCCAUUGCCUGGUAGUUUCAAAACUCGUGGUGAAGCUUUGCUCUUUGGGGUACAUAGACUGCGAUGCGAGUAGUUUUUCUUUAACUUGGGAAGUUUCAGCUCAAGUUUCCUUUAACAAUUUUGAGAGUGAUCUUACUCAGCCUAUAAUAACGAAAAGCAGAGAAUUCAAGAAUUUUAUAGGCUAAGAAUCACCCGUGUCCCAAGAAUAUCCGUCCAUCCAGCUGGCCGGGGGCCACAAAAAUUCUGCCUCCAUUUGUUUGUCGAAGAUAGCAAGUAAACCUCCUCGACCAGUUUCGUGUCCAGUUUGGAUUCCAGUUUUCUUUUUCUUUUUUUUUUCUGAAGUUUGUAUAGAAAAAUGUACUGUAAUAAUUUGAUAUAUGUAAAAUAAAAAGUUAAUUAAGAAAUGUAUACAUGAAAAGCGUAAAAAAAUUUUGGUAAAAACUGCAAUCCAAAUAUAUACCACCAGUGUUGCAGAUAACAAUAAAACAAAGAAAGAUGAAAAAGGCGAAAGCAUACUCUCAUAAACUACAUUCCAAUAGACAUAUUUCGUUUUUAGUUUUCUUUCAGCCACAAAGCUGAUUUACUUCCUUAAAUAAGUAUCAAAAACACCUAAACCAAUUGUUAGCAUUGAUUCUUGACUUUUGGUGGUGAAAAAUAGAAGGGUAAUAUACGUUGGGGUUAAGCUUUAUAUUUAUACUACACUUUUAGAAAAUUUUGAGGUAAAAAAUUUAGAAAAAAAGCUUAUAUUUAUUUCAUCUUCAAUGCUAUUUGUUGGACUGCUACCAUCGUAAUAAAAAAAUUUUUGUAUUUUCACCGCGAUUUAUUCUCGCUGUUUUUAUGAGACAAAGUAAAUAUGAGUUUUUUUAAUCAUAGUGAUAGCAUUAAAGACGAAGCAAAUAUAAGCUUUUUUUUAAAAUUUUAUUUUUAUCUCAAAAUUUUCUAAGAAUAUAGUUUGCCCUCAAAUUUUAUUUAGAACAUUAUGUUAACCUUAGUUUGAAUGGUGAUUUUGUAAUUUCAUAAUAAUUUUAUUUGAAAACUUCAAUUAUUCAAGUUCAACCAUUAAAUCUAACUGAAAAUCUAAUAGUUCUAUUUAGAUUACAACGAUGAUAAGGAGUUAAAGUAUAGAUUUUCAAAUCAUACGGAACUAAAGUGUAUAUACACCGAAUUAUAGGGAUUUUUUUUUUUUCUGUACUUCAACCCAAAAUAGAAUGACGCUUAAGAACGAAAAUGUUCAUUCUUGAUUACGUAAGUUCGUUGUCGGGAGAAUGAAGCAAUCCAACCCAUCAAGAGCCAAAGGGACCCUACGAAAUACGAGUUGCCUAAUUUUUCAUGACUCGAAGUCAAGGUCUUGAGAUUCCGUUUUCAAGAGAAGUCGGAGAGGAUAUCAUAUAAUAUAAGUGAAGGAAGACCUAAGAAGAGGCUAAAGUCGUCGGGGUACACACGAGUCCAGAUUACUUCAGCGGCACAAGGGGGACAGGCAAUAGAAUAGAACAGGUCAAAUCGCGUGCAUGUUCACAGCGACAAAAAACUAGCUUGGUGAGUACGUGCAAUUGGACCUGAUCUUGAUCCAUCCUGAAAAAGAUAGAAGUGAUGUAUUUUGUUGCUUAGGCCCCAUUACUUAGCUGUUUUUCCAACUCAAAGCUGAAAAUUACUAUAUAUUCACUAUUUUUCAGUGCUCAGCUGUGCGAAAAUGAUAGAUGGGUUGAGGAAGUCUAAACCGCAUCAUAACAAGAAGUGGUGGUGAGGUAAACGGGUAAGAUAAAAAAUUUGAUCCUCACUGUUUUUGUUCAUUUUAGUACAUGUUAUUUUGAUCUGUUUAACGGAUGCCCUAUAGGCACGAGUUAAGAUGUAUUUGAAGUGUUAAAUUUUUUAAAAAUAUAAAAUUAAUUAGAAAAAUUGUAUAAAUGGAAGAGGUUUACUUAGGGAAAGUGUAUAAAUGCAAGAGAAAGUAGUACUUGUCAGUGUGCGUAUAUAUAUGAUAGGUUAGGUGAAAAUAUGGAUGUGUUAACGAGUGCACAUAGAUCACCUAUUAGAAAAUCCCUUUAUUAUUGAUUAGCCUCACAAAGUGUUUGUCAUAAAUCACAUGUUUUCCAUAAUUACCUCUUCUUUCUCUAACAUGUUAUUGUUGCAUGAUAUGAAGAACAUUUCAAUAAGGUCAAAUGGUUGGGCAGUAAGUGGACAUUUCAAUAAUGUCUUUUGGAAAAAUCCAACUCAAUUUUUUAUUCGGAUUUUGAAUUAUGUAGGUGCAUUAUUACAAAGUCAUAAUAAAUGGCCCUUUUUGACUUAUGAUCAAAGAUUAAAGGCAUAGAGGAUAACAAAUUUCAUCAUGAUACUUAAUUAGGCAAUAAAUUCUUCCAACUUGCAAAUUUCAAGAGCUCAUGUGUUGACUUUUGCCUUCCUCACAAGGUCGUCUCAGUUGGAUUUCAACCUAGAUUUUAUACACCGAACGACUGAGUAAAUUUUACACUUAAAAUUGUCUCCAUUAUUAUACACAAAACGAUGACCUUCGAAAUAUUCUUAGUUUCAAAUACAAAAUGUCAAAACUCAAAACCAACUCUUACAGCCCCUGAACUCACAAUUUAGUCUAAAUCAAUUCCCCAUAAUCCUAUCUAGAACCUAGUUAACAAAUACAAAAUGUCAAAAUAUUCUUAGUAACAAAUAAUACAUAAUGUCAAAACGAACUCUUACAGCCCAUGAACUCACAAUUAAUUAGUCUAAAUCAAUUCCUCAUAAUCCUAUCCAGAACCUAGUUCACAAUUUAGGGAAGCUGCAUAUGGUCAUUAAACUGAUCCCACUCCCACAUCCUUCUUAAUUCACCGUCCAUCUCCAAGUGCUUCCCUUCACCAUCUACACGAUCAACCGAAACCUCCUCUGGUGAGGCUGAAAUUUCUACUGAGUUUUUUCUGUCCAUCGUUGCUCCCCUCUGAGUCUGAGAACGAACAUCUUUAUCAUCAUCUUCAAUGGUGGGUACUACUGCUUCCCUAGAAGUACCUGCCCCUACUGGCCUUCGAUCAAAUGCUCGAAAGCUUCCUGAUACGAUAUAGACCCUACACAAGCUAACUUCAUACCUUAACUGCAGCCCACCAGAAAAAGCAAACGUAUUUACCUUAGGUCUGCCAUUAGAAUUAUGCGGUGCAAGUGGCAAGCCGCAAAGCUUUACAUGCUCGAGAAAAAGGAAAUCAGAAGUGGCCAAAAAAGAAAGAAAAAGAAAAAAAGAAUGACCAAUAAAUAUCUGCGACUUUAGGUGGUACAGAUUGUUUUCAGCGGGUGUACCUUAGGAAUGACGUGAGUGGAUGAAGUAGACCAUUCUUCCUUAAUAGCUCUAUACUCAUUCAUCUUCCACUUAGUUUUUCUUCCCAUUGGAGCUUUUCCUUUGUAGAAGACCAAGCUUUUCUUCACCCCAAUGACUCUAUUAUCCGAAGAAUAAACAUGACUAGGAGAGCCAGUGGCUUUCCAGUACCCCGAAGCCGUGGUCCGGCUAGGCCUUCCACCUCGAGCUUCUCUUUCUUGUCUCGGUACAAAAAAGAACCAUUGCUCAGCAUCUCCACUGCACAACUCCCCCGACAGCUCUACAUUUUUCAUGAAAACAGAUAAAAAAAAAAACUUAGUCGAAUUUAUACCGAUAACCGUGAAGAAAUGAAAGUAGAUAAUGAAAGCUAGCUAGAAGCCAAAGAAUUCGAACUUGGAAGCUGCCAUGGCUCUGACUCAUAAAUGUUGAUGACUGGGAUGACUCGAUUGAGUUCUUCCACUCUCUUUUCUUCAAGCUUGUUGUGAAGAUAGAAAGAAACUAACUCAUCUUCAGUUGGAUAAAAUCGAAAGCCUGGGAUAGUUUCUUUGGACAUUCCCUCUUGCUUUUCUUGUUGCAUAUCCAUGUAUGAUGUUGCUGGCAAGUGGUUGUGGUAUAAAGUUUUAAGAAUUUUAAUUUUUGGUGGGCACUUUUGGAUCACGACUUUUAUAUAGGCAGUGGAAAAAGCGUGUGGGGAAGAAAGGGACAAGGCACGGUAAAGACGGUUUCCGAGUGAAAUGAGAAAAUCUGCUGUGGGAUUUGAGAUAAAGCUUGGAAACGGUAUAAACGCGGCAAUGAAGAGAAAAAGUGGGAAAAUGAUAUGCUGUUGUCCUCCAAUUAAGAGGGUGCUUAGUGAAAUAGCAAUAACUUUAGUUGGAAUCAGUCAGACUUACUUACUGGAGAGGAAGUCUUGCACUCGGAUUUUAAGGGAAAUUAUGAGAAUUAUAUGUGCCAAAUGGACAUAAAUGUAAUCACCAAUUGGGAAAAGGGAUAAUAUCAGAAAUCUCCCUUGAGGUUUCUCCUAAUAUUAUAUCACUUGACACUUUUGAGAUUUUAAAAAUAUCGCGUACCUCUCCUAAUAAUUGUAAAAAGACUAUAUUAACUCUCAUUCCGAUACAUAAUUCACAUAUAAAAUAAAUGGAGCUCAAAAAUAAAAAAGAAAUGAAAAUUACUUUCUUCUUUUUUUUUCUCCAACAUUCUGUCUUACUCAUUUUCUGGAUGACUAUGUAAUAUUUUAUUUAUAAAAUAUAAUAAAUUGAAUUUUGUUUAUCUUUUACUUUUUGUGAUUGUGAUAGAGUGGGGUAUGAUUUAUUUACAUAUUUUGAUUUGAUUUUUACAAUAAUUAGUACAAUUUAAAGGUUUGUGCAUGGGUUGAGAAAAGUAGAAAAAAAUAUAAAAUUCAUAAGAAAUCGGUUAUAAGCAUAUAGAGUUAAUUGGUGCAAGUGUAUUUAUUUACAAAUAUCUUUUUUACUUUUUAAAUUUAAAUUUAUAUGGGUUAUAGCAUUAUAAUGUGGAAGUACUACUAGAGAUUAUUUUUUAAGUGAUGAUUUUCUUAAAGUAAACAAAGUGGUUUAGAAAAUUUUUUAAUAGCAAGUAAAAGAGUAGUUUAGGAUUUUUAAAAAUUUUGUUACACAAAUAAUAAAAGUAAAGAAGGUAAGUGAUUUUUUAAAACUUUAGAGGGACCAGAUGAUAUUAAGAGAAAACUUAGAGGAGGUUUCUGAUAUUAUCCCUUGGAAAAAAAAAAAAAAGGAGCAAAAUUUUGGUUCUCAACCACGUACGCUACUGACCGCCUCACCAGGUCAAAUUUGGAAUGGGGGGACAGUUUAGUACUAAGAGAAAAAAUUCUUACUUUCGUAAGAAAAUGUCAGAAAAAAAAAUAGUACUAAGAGAUUAACUUUUAUGAAUUUUUUUUUAACGGCUGCUUAAUAGACAAUUUUUAAAGCAUCUGAAAUUCUGAAUCACAUUUAAGCUAAGCUAUUAUGCGAAUGAACAUAUUAAUAAUUAUUUUCCUAUCUUGUAUUUAUAAUUUUUUUAUUAUAUUUAUGUUUUCAAAAAUAUUUAUAUUUGAACUACAUUUUAACGAAUACUCUAUUGCUACUUAUUAGAUAGAUCCUAAUUUCUAUUAUAAACUUUUCUACCAUUGCACCUUAAACCAUGAAGGACAUGAUGGGACGGAUGCUAUUGAAGUAUUGGUAUAAUUUUUUUUUUUUUUUCAGUUAGGGAUAUCCGGGCCUACACCCGACUAUUCCCCUAACCCUGAGGAGAGCGGGCUCCACCGAUCCUCAGGAGAAUACCCCAGGCUGCCCAACCUCGAAAUCGAAAUCAGGACCGGCGCCUUAACUAAGAACGCGAAACCCAGCCGAGCAACCCGUGGGCUAUGUUUUCAGAACCGGACCGGAUAGCGACUCGGCCGAGGUCAGGGGUCAGGGGUCAAUGGGUUCGACCGGGGGUCGAUAGGGGUCGAACCGGAUGACGUCAUAAAUAAAAAUUAUUUUACAAUUAAAAUGUUAUAUAUAUAAUAUCUAAUAAUAUAUUGAUAUUAAUAAAGGCAUAUUCAUAUAUAUUUGAUGUUUCAAAUAUAUUUAACAAGAAAAUACAAAGAAAUUAGAACAAUCAAGUAGCAAUUUAUAUUAUUUAAUAAAUAUUAACAAGUUUAGAAUUAAAAUUAUGAAUUUAAUUGAAAAAUAACAUCAAAUUUUAGGACAAUAUUUAUAAAGUAUCAAAUAUUUGAGGUAUAUCAAUAAGUUUUAACAAUUUAGGGGGUCAAAACAUAAUAUUAAAAAGUUUGAAUUUUUUUUUUUAAAAAAAUACUGUUGAACCGGAAAAACCGGUUUUUUCCCGGUCAAACCCGGUCAAACCCGGUUUUUGACCGGCUUUGACCGGGUUUUAAAUUUCCGGUUUUCUAAUGUGACUCGGACCGGCUACCUGGCCGGUUCCCGGUUCAACCGGUUCGACCGGCCGGUCCGGUCCGAGUUUGAAAACAGAGCCCGUGGGGACAAGUAUUGGUAUAAUUGUUAUACCUUUUUAAUUGAUUUACCGUACACUUAAUGAUUACGUUAUAGGUGGGAGUUUUGUUUAAGUACCAAUUCAAUAUAUGUUCGCAUAUAUAAGUAUGAUUAAUCUUUCGUACAUUGACAAUGUAUACACUAUCAACAGGAAUGAUAAUUAUGUAAAAUUUAAAUUUAAAAUUUAACUUUUAUAUACAUGUCAUGAAUCACACGGUGAUAGUGUAGUAUACAUUAUCAAAAUAUUUAAUUGCCCCUAAAAACGAAUUGUACAUGUCCUGACCCAAAAAAUGAAAUUAUGAAUCAUCGAUUGCAGGAAGUUGGGACAUAUCACCCCGUUGACUCGUCACCUCUUCAAAAUUGUAAUAUAUCCAUUGAAGUUUCAAUUUUUUUAUGGGCUUUUUGAAGGACAAAGUAGCAAAUUGCGUACGUUAUAUGCUAUAGAUUGUAAGCUCUAGAGUAAAUUUCUGAGGUAGUCUUAUUAUACAUACAUAUAUAUAUAUAUAUAUAUAUAUAUAUAUAUAUAUAUAUAUAUAUAUAUAUAUAUAUAUAUAUAUAUAUAUAUAUAUGUAGGGAUAAUUUCAGAAACCUCCCUUGAGGUUUCCAGCAAUUAUAGAGAGCUCCCCUCAAGUUUCAAAAAUUACACCUACGUCCCUUGCUUUUAAGGUUUAUGUAAUAAUAUAGAUUCAAUAGCUUAUAAUUUUUCACAAAUAUCCUAAAAUACCUUUCUUUAGAGAACAAGAUAAAACAAAACAACGUUUUAAUCUUUAAUUUCUUGUAUGUGUUAUACUCACUAAAUCAAACAAAGUCCAGUGACUUCAACUCAUCUCAAAAUUUAUUAGUUGCUAAUUCUUGCUUAAUGCAACUCACUACCACCACUACCAAUAUCAAACUAAGAAAUGCCCCCCAUGUGACUAAAAAUAUAAUUCAUCAUUGCUCUAACACUUAUAGAAAUAGAGACAAAAUUCUAUUUUUAUAAUAAAACCACAAUCAAUAGGUAAAUAAAAGAGAGAACCAAUGAGUAAUUGCUAUACUUUUUUGCUUAACAAACAUAAUAAUCACUUCUUUAUGUUCCAACUCUCAAUUUCAUUUUUUUCCCUAUAUCACUGCCACUUUUUUCAUCUUCCCCUAUUUUGGCAAUAAAAUCCAUAGUUUGUACCUUGUUAAUUUGGUAACUUCAAUGGGCUAACAUUUGUAAAGAGUAAAACUAUUGGAAAAAAAAGAAUGGGUCUAAAAUUUUUAUAAUAAGAAAGAGACAGGAAGACAAAAAAUACAGAUAAAUUUUGGAGAUGGUAAAAAAUUAAUAAUGGUGUGAUUGGUAACAAUGGAGCAUGAUAUUUGAUGAGAGGGAGAAGCGAUUGUAGGAUAAAAAGAGAAAAAAAUAUGAAAGAGGAAACGAGGGAGGGAGGAAGAUAUGAAAAUUAGAAAAUUGAUGAAAAUUAUUUUUUUGAAAUUAGAAAAUGACAAGUAGAAUAAUAAGCAGUAUUUUUCGCCUUUAGAUGCCCCUUUAUGAAUUAACUAUUAAGUGAAGGACAUUUUAAUCAUUUGAUUAUACCGAGGAAGGUCUAAGCAAUUAUUGAAACCUCAGAAAGCCAGAGUGAAAUUGUCAAAAACCUCAUGGUAGGUUUCUGAAAUUGUUCCUUAUACAUAUAUGUGGUGGAGAAUAUAAUAGGUGGAGAAAUUGUGGUGGAGAAAUUGUCCCUAUAUAAUAGGAAAAUAGAUCGACACCUAUCAUAUACCCCACAUUCUUGGAUGGUUAGAGACCCCUAAAUGCUCGAAGCAAAGUUUCCUCGGACGGGUUAUACAAGAAGCAUUUAAAAUCUCACCUUUUCCUAGCUGCACUAUUGGAGCAAUUAAUGGGUUAGUUUAAUUUUUUAAUGGCAUUAGCAAAAUCCAGAUAAUGCACAAAUUCUUACUUUACCUUCAUUUUCCCUAUUCUGUUGACCAAGGGUUAUCUGUCUAAUAUACUUUGGAGCAAGGACUAUACCAUCAGGUGAUUAGAAGCUUCAUUUUUUUUCCCCUAAUCAAUGCAUCAUAAUGAUAAGCGUACACUAGUGUAGAUUAAGGUUAAAAAUUCUCUGAGUCUGGUACAAAACAACUGUGUUGGAUGGUAGUCACUGACUUCUUGGUGGAACAUAUUACUGCUUCACCAUUCUGUUGUGCUUGACAAUAAGCAAGUAAUACUCUGUUAUCGAUGCAGCUGUUAUGUAAGUGGGUAAUCUAUAAGAACUUCUACAAGUGAUUUAUGAUUAGAGAGCAUACCCUACUCAUGUGAUGGUGAUUGGCGUUAAAAUCAGCUAAUUUUCCUUUCUACCAAAAAAAAAAAAAAAAAAAAGCAAGCAAUACUACAAGAAAAGGGGGAGGGAAUGGAUUAAGGAGUGAAAAUUCUACAUAAAUGUCUUGAUGAUAGUUUCUUAGCUCAAAUUUUUAAAAAAGACAUAGGGCCAAUAUUCUAUCUAAACUUCAAAUUUGUAAGUGUAGCCAGGGGAUCGAAAUGGAAUCUCAUACGUUUGUGGUUCUAGUAGAAACGUUUUGAGAGUUCCAUGCUCUUGAAGAAACCUUUUGAAAAGGAUUCAAUGACUAUUUAUUGAGGCUUUCAAUAAUGCAUACAUCAAUUAGCUGAACCAAACAACUGUGGCUGUAGUGUGAUCAUUUUGGCUUCCUUAAGUUCUUUUUUGACAACAGAAAUGCAUAAAAGAAGAAACGAAAAGGAGUCAUGUAGGAGACGACAUAUAGAUACCUACUUAUUUUUUCUAUUAAGACUUAGGCAAUGUCCAAUGGUGGCAUCUCAAAGCAGGCAUCAAAUCGUACUCAGAUAGGUGUAAGUGGUAUUCAAUGCAGACAACAACCAUCUUGUGAACCCUUCGUUUUAUGCUGGUCAAGAGGUGUCAAUAUAGCCAUGAAGAUGUUACUUAUACAUAAUUUCAGCAAUUAUAAAUUUUAAUAUUACAAAAAAAAAGUUAUUAUUUUGCAAAAAUAAAAAUAAAAACUUUUGAAUUUGUAGAUGUGCUCCUUCAGAACUUUUAGAAUAUUCUGUACAGACUUCUUGCAUGUUUCAUUUCAAAGUGAAAAUCCUGCUCAGUCUGUAGAUAAUAGGUGUGUAUGCCCAACUUGGAUGCUGUAAGACCUUCCUCCAUUCAGAAAGUCUCUUUAUUUCCCGUGAGCAAACUUUCAAAUAUUUUGCAAGCAGUACUCUUGGCUAUUAAGAAGUUUUGUUAGAUAAAGAGAAGUUCAAAAGUUUUGUCCAACAAGUGCAUCUGGGAGAUUUCAAGAUUUCUUUUGUCAUUUCAAAAUUAGGUACAAGAGAGAAUGUGCAACAAGUAGACAACUUCUCAUAUAUGCAAAAUAUUUUGUUCAUCAAAUCAUGAUGAAAGAGAGAGAGAAAGACAGAGAGAGAUAUUAAAAUGCAAGCCAAAUGUAUAGUAGAAAUGAGGCACAUAGAAAUACAACAACUCAAAAUCAGUACAUUAUACACACACACACACAGCUAAGAUGAUGAUAAGAGCAAGACAUCAAGUCUUCUCUUUUUACUCAAAAAAAAACACACAUAUCAUAUAUAUGUGUACUGCUUAGUUUAUGGAGUUCAUAAUACUACGAACAUAAACUUCAAGGAAUUCCAAUAAUGGGAAUGAAAGGAACGUAGUAGCUAGAUGGUGCCAGUCCCCAUUCCCUUGGUAGAGGGAGAUCAACUGUCUUGGAUGAACCAAAUUCCAAGUCUACAGAUGCACAUUCUGCAUGCUUCUCUGCAGGGCAUGAUUUGUAGAAGUUAAGGGGCUCUGUAUUUGUGUAGUAGUCAUGCCCUUCAACCUUUUCAACCUUAGAAAUUGUCUUCUUUCCUGAAGUAUAGAGCAAGCUUGGACCUCCUAGGAUCUUGGCAAGGCAUUUUAGUGAAUUAGGAGAAGUUGUAGUACCCUUGGCAAGAUCAGUCUCAAAAGUACCAUCUUCUUUUGUGGUAGCCACAUCCACCUUUUUCACAUUGCUGCACUUCACUACUAUCUUAAUACCUGAAAAGAAAAAACAAAAAAGGAAUUGGCCUCAAAUAAAAAAAAAAAAAAAGAAGAAGAAGAAUUUAUGUAAUUUAUAUCUCUAUCGCACUUUGUGAAGAAUAAAUAUCUGUGACAAUUCAUGCAAGAACCGACUGUGUUGACUAGAGAAAUGCACAAAAAAUACCAAAAGUAUUGGAGGCUAACCUUUUUUUAAAAAAACUAAAAAGCCCAAAUGUUUGAUAGACUAACCAGAUAGAUCACUGUGGCCAUCACAGUCUAGACAGGUGACUGAGCCCCUAAGGACAUUACUUGUGGAAAGUUCAAUUCUUGCAAGAGCCAAAGUGAAGAAGAGAGCUAUGAUAACUUGACAGGAUGCCAUGGUGAUGGCGGAUACAAAUAAAACUGAGUAUGAAAAAUUGGAGAAGCCAAAGGACGCUAUAAAUAGUGCUGGUAGAGUAGUAAGCAGAUAGUAAAUGAAGGGCCCCAAGCCUGAGUUGGUAGUUGGUAUGGAUGAAGCCAGCAGUUACAUAAAUUCAGCAGAGUCCUUACUCCUUGGGUACUAUAGAAUGCAAUGUGCCUUGAAUUGCAUGUCAAAAAAUCUUUAGAAAUCAACGACAUUUGAAUAGUUUAUGGUGAAUUCGUAAUGGCACUGAUCAACCACUCGGAUAUCUGUGGGACAUGAAUAGUAAAUGUUAGUACUUGUUUUUUUUUUUUUUUUUUCAGACACAGGGGUAUCCGAAUCUUCGACCCGACUAAUCCCCCUGCGACCCGAGAGGGGAGGCCCUAUCCUCUCGGACGCGGUAGCCACAGGCAAAACUCGAAACCUGGUAAACCUUGCUACUAGAAGAGCUAACCCAGGGAGGACUUAGUAAUUGUUAGUACUUGAAAUGGUCAAAUAUUGAACUACCAGUUUGUACGUACCAAGCUGUACCAACAGCCCAUGCAGAAAAAAAAAAUUAAAAAAAAAAAAAAAAGUUUACGAGGAAAGGAGGUCAUUGCAUUCUAAGGUCAGGGCAUGAGACUGGUACGGUAAGAGAUUUACACUGUUCGUUAGAUAACCUUUUACAUUGACAAAAAAAAAAAAAAAUUAGAUAACCUUUUAGGAUUUUGACAUUUUGUGGUCGAGGGAAUCUUUGUUAGAUAAAAUCUGAUCCAAUUCCAUUUUUAGUUUAUAGGCUUUGACACGGUGGGGGUUAGAUAAUGUAAAAUACAGCAGACAACUAAAAUCAGUACCAGAACUUGGAAACCUUGGUUAAAAUUUUUCUCUUCCCAUUUGUUUAAGUGUACUAAAUUUAUCCUGCUAUUAAGUUUAGGAUUCAAAUAUUGAGCCUGAUAGUUAGGGAUUGGAAGAGUGUAGGGAGGGGGUGGGAGGGUAAAAAAAAAAAAUAGUGUACUAAAUUUAUCUCUUUAAUUGGAAUUUUUGUAUUGAAUAUCCAUUUCCAGUCUUUAAAUGCUUAACAAACUUUUCCUACGGAGCAUUACCAUUCUGCAGAAAUUCUUGAUGAAUCCGAAGAACGAUACCGACCCAACUCAAAGGAAAUCCUUAAAUAUUCUAAGGCACCUGGGACUUGGGACUGAUGCAUAUCCAUCCCAAUGCCAGCUGCAAAAGCAGGCUUAUUUUCCUUGUAUUUAAUACAGUCACACAAUCUUGGUGAUGAUGAAUGGAAUGAAAAAAAAGGCUUGAUGAUGAUAGAGAUGUUGAUGCAUGUUAGAUGAGAGGGCACAAUACAAAAUUAUGGUUCUGUUGUUUAAGUGAAGAUUUUUCCAAUGAGUGUCAAAUGGAUAGGAGUAUAUGACUAUACACAUAUUUAUAUUUUGGAUUUGACACUCAUUAAGGAAGGUUUCAAGUGUUAUUAUUUUAUAAAUAUAAAUUUAAUUUAAAAAAGUUUUAAAAUACAAUGAAUGUAAUAAAUACAAAUAUGUACAUUUAUAUAAUAAGUCAGGUAUAAUAUAAAUAUCAUAGCGGAUGCUUAGUCCCAUUAGAUUGAUUCUUCUAUUUAUUAUCUCUAAUAUUUAGACACUUUUUUUAUUCAAAUUUUAUUUUUCCCAACACUUGAGGCCCUUUUUCUGGGCCACCUAUUGUACAUAGAAUUGAAAGGUGAGUCAAACUGUUCGAUACUCGAAUCGAACUUGGAUUGAUAAGAACACGUUUGAGUUUGAUUCACUAACUAGUCAAAUCAAAUUUGAAUAAUGUUUUGUAUUGGAUAAUGUUUAAAUUCGAUAAACAACUCGUUCAAAUUUGGUUCGAUAAAUAAAAAUAAAAAUUGAUCAAAAUUUUGUAUUUGCUAAAAUAAUCAAACAAGUUUGAAUGCUAGAGUGUUCGAUUUGAUUAGAUUUAUUUACAUGCAAAGCCAUUAAUCAAGUCUCAUCAGAGGAUCACGAGGCUAUUAAUUGUCAGUAGCAUGGCGGACAAGCUUGUGCUGAAGCCCAAGCAGCUUUUGUUAGUAGCAAUCUAUACAAAAAGGGAAAGAAAAGCAAGCAAGAAAACACCAGCAAUGACUUUUCUAAUUCAAUCAGAGAGAGACCUUCAGCUAACUUUGCAAUUCAAUCAAAGACGUAGGGUAGGGUGAGAAUGAAUUCAGGCCAGAGAGUUUGAAUUUCAGUGCAAUUUCUGUGGACCCUCAAACUAUUGGAGUCGAUAAUUUGCACCCUAAAUUGCUAAAAAUUGUUGCCAAGGUAAACGUUUAGAAUGUGAAUUAUCACAUCCAAAUUGCUCAAAAUAAAAGUUUAGAUUGUGAACCACAAGUUCGAAAUAUGGGGAAAAUAAGAUUAAUUCUGGUUUGUAAGAGCUCAAUUUGGACAAUUUAUCAAGCACUGUGUUUGCUCCCUGUCUAUUUCUCAAAGGUCUGCCCAAUAUCAGAAAACACAUUAAAUCUUUACCACCAAGGUUGUUGGUCUGCAUUUACUCUAAAUGCCACGUCCAUUCCAGUACUCUUCCUCUAUCUAAAUGCAAGCUGUGCAUUUUCCUCAUGUUGUUGUUGAUGUUUUUAUUUUUCUUAGUUUAUCCAGCAAGAUUUUAUGUAGACAACAUUAAUAUUCGGAACUUAACCAGAUUAGUUACAAUUUUACUGCAAUUGAUUAAGACUGAUACAUGUUUUUGAUGGGAUGUGGUUCCUUAAUCAGUUGGAUGCCCAUAUCCUUGAUCUGGAAAUGAACCAAAGGGCUUAUGACUUACCACUCUUAGUUCUGCCAUUGACACUUACAGGCAAAAGUGAUAUUUAACUUUAUCAAACUUGUGAACUAAUUAAGAAUACCAGCAGUAAUAAUUUGGUUACUUAGUUUACUAAUUUUAGAAUCUGUUGAAAUUCAAAAGGCCAAAAAUUAGUAAGUACUUAUCAUGAAACGUUUAAUAGAACUGAAACCUAUUGACCAUAAUAGUCUAUUGGAGUCAUUAUUAACCUUUGACUGGUUUUAGUAGAUGUCAAGAUUUUACCUAAUUUUUUGAAUUUAAAAUGAAAUACUAAGAGCUCUCCUGGUAGUCCGAUUGGUUCCGUAACCUAGUAGUUAUCAGCAGGUCUCGUGAUCGAUUCUUAUGUAUUGUCUCGCUAUGCAUUCUUGGGGCAAAGAUCUACAUUCUUUUAGAGAAUUAGUUUGGUCGAAAGGUUGGUGUACCCUUGAGUUAAAAAAAAAAAAAUACUGAGAAUUUUCACAUUCUAUUACGGUUCCUGUCGGAUUGAUCCCAGCUGUCGAGUUGGACUUAAGCGAGCUCGGACAACUGCAGUCGUUUCAUGAUGUAUGGUUUUGUCAUCAAUUCAUGGACCAGCUACCAUUUAUCAUCACAUGUAGUUUCAUGGCCAAGGAUUUCGAGUGUCAUCUAGUUACACCUACAAGUUUAUAAUAUUAAGAAAAAAAGGUUACCAAGAUUACAAAAAUUCUGGCUUUGAGAUUACUAUAAUCCAUUCCCAGUGUUUUAAUAUAAAUUAAUCUUUCAAUCUGAUCGUAACCUCAUUCUUAGAUUUUAGAUAUAGUCGCCCCCGAAAAGUGAACACUUUCGCAACUUCUUGAAAUCUCAGACGUAGACGUUUGCGUCGCAUUUGUGAUCUUGGAAAUUACAGCAUCUCUGAUACAACUAUUAUCUUAAUAUUAAUACAUAUUUAUAAUAGAAAAAAUUGCAAAAACCUCCCCUGAAGUUUCGGACACUAGCACUCACCUCUUAUAUAGUUUAAGAAAUAGCACUGACCUUCUUUGAACUUACUAAUUCUGAUGCAUAUUCAACCCAAGCUAGAAAAAAGUGCCAUUAAAAUAUUGUUUUAAGAAAUGAGAUCAGAAAGUUGUGCCAAUGUGCUCUUUGUGCUGCAUGCCAAAUAAUAUUGGCAAAGGAAUGACAAAAUACCACAAAGCAAUUAACAAUUAAUAAAUUUCAGGGGGUAUAAGUGCAAAUCCUUUUACUUCACAUAAAACAACUAAAGUAUCAUGAACUAAGUAACGGCUAGAUUUGCAAGUUAUUGCAACAGCUUAUGAAGAAUGAACUUGACACGUAAAACUCUCUAUUAGCAAUGUGUGUGGUUGUUUGUGAGGGUAAGAUAGCUACUUUGAUUGAGUUUAGAUUGGCAGUUUGAGGUGAAGUGUUGCAGCAAAGAGAAUGGCUUCUUCAAGCCAUAGGGAAGGAUCAUAAAACUCCCCAACAUCUUUCACAAUUAAGAACAAAUAUUGCAGCUAUUGUCGAAAGGCAACAUUGAAGAUUUUUUAGAGUGAAAACAACCCCAACUUAUAUUUUUGUUAUGCAACAUGGUAGAACUAACAGGUAGUUUAAUUAGUUACUUAAUUUGUUGACAAGAAACAUGUUUCUUUUGCAAAAUUCGUUCAUUAGGUUUCUCCAAAUAAUUAGGAUAUAAAGGCAAAUUCCCAUAAUCUUUUGUCAGCAAUAGGCCCCAAUUUCCUCUUAGGGCAGCCUUGUGUUAUUUCUUAAACCACAGGGGAGGUAAGUGCUAGUAUCAAAAACCUCCUCAGGGGAGGUUUCUGCAAUUAUCCCUUUAUAAUGUUGAUACAGCAGAUUAGCACUGCUCAGCUGUUACCAUUCAAAAGUUCAAACUACUACAACACAUUCGACUUUAAGCUGUUUUUGUGAAACUCGAAUUUAUGUUUGCUGUUGAUGGCUUGAUGUGGACUGAUUUCUCAAAUGGAAACCGCGGAAAUUCUUAUCAUGGAUUUAAUGUAGAAAUUCAACGUAUUUAACGUUAUCUGAAGUAAAAUGUUAAAGAAUUUAGUGGGAUAAGCUCUUAGGGAAAGUCUUUCAUUUUUCUUUUUUUUUUUUGGGAAAAGGGGGAGGGGGGGGGGGAUAACAAAUUUAGACAGUAAUGUUUUCCUAGAAGAUAAAAUAAAUGAUAGUAAAUCGCCAGCUUAUAUAACCCCAAGUGUAUUAAUUGUGGCCUCCAAGUUUAGGAUUCUCCUCUUCUUUUUUUUUUUGUUUAUUCUUUUCCUAGGAAGGAACCUCAAAUUUCGUGUUAUUGAGUUUGGAUUAUCCUUCUCUGUUUUUUUGACCUUUUCAGGUGAACAAAUUCAGACGUACGUAUAUCAAUCGGGUCGGCAAAACAACAAAAUUCGCGGCCGAAUAAAUUCAAGAGAGACAAGAAAAAGUACCAAUUCAGAGGAAGGACCCAUAACCGCCUUCGGUAUCCUUAUAUUCAUGUAAAAAUUUGUUCUUUAUUUUUUUCUGAAAUAAGUGCAAGUAAUAAAUGAUUUCUCUGAUGUCAUCUAGUAUUGAAAAUGUGAAAAAUUCCAAUAAUGACUUAGGAACAUGAACAACUACUUUGAAUAGAAUAACGGAGGAAUAUUUACAAAAAAAAUAAAAAUAAAAAAUUAUUGCAUUAACCAUAUUACCUUGCACUUCUCAUAUUUGUGUGAAAAUAGAAGUAGACUUUUUUUUUCUUUAUGAGAUAGAGGGAAUAGACCAGUUCGUUGUUUUACCUUUGUAUGUAUAUUUAAGCUGGAUUUACGUGCUUUUUUUGUCCAUUAAAUAAUGAGUACCCCUUUCAACAUCAAAGGCAACCAAUUUUUUAUGCACUUUUAUUGUAGGCAUAAAAUCUUAGUUAAGGGGCAUCAAAUUUUUUUACCAACUUGACUCAACAAUCAUUGGUGUUAUAUUACUUGUUUCCACCAAUUUUAUGCCCUGUGACAAUAUAUAGCAAUUGAAAUAGAUAAUUGGUUUAGUGGAAACUGAAAAUUGAGGCUCUUGUUUUGCAUUCGAUUACUGUGAUACAGACUAGGACCAAAUUUAAUUUCUUUAUUUUUUUUUCUUUUUCCGACUGAACUGAAUUUCGCAAAUAAUUUAUGGACCAGCCUUCAUAUCUUUUCUACGCGGGAUGCAGUAUUGAAAGAAUAGAUUUUGUGUGUGUGUGUGCAUUUUUUCUAAGAUUUUUAAAAUUAUAGGUGUCGUUUUGUCAACAUUUUGUGUCUGCUACUAAUGCUGUGUAUCGUGGUGCUGUUGGAUCAAUGGAUUGAGUGAUGAAAUAGCUUGGAGGAGCGGUUAUGCAAAGUCCAAAUCUUUUUCCAAAUUUGCUUAGUAAGCUGUCCCUAGCUGUGAUUGUUCAAGAUGUUUGCCAUGCAGUGCACAAUUGGAGAAAAAUGGUUAAGGACAAGAAAAAGUGGGAGCUAAGCCUCAAUUGGGCAUUUGAUCAAUCUAGUUUUUACUCUAGAUCUGGAGAAAAGUGGCUAAGGCAAAGAAAAAUAGGGAGCUAAGCCUCAGUUGGAGAUUUGAUCAUUCCAUUUUUUUUCACUCUAGAUCUGUAACAUGCACAAAAUUCUGGUUUUCUGAUGAAAUAAAAUUUUGAGCUUUUAGAAAAAAAAAUUCCAUCUCUUUAUAAAUGUCUUUGAAUAACUUGUUUCAGCUGUUUAUGAUGAGUUACCACGACCGACUUGGAUCCCCGCAAUGCAACCUAGUUAAUAAAUUUGACAAUCGAGGUCGUUCUAGAUUCUAGUCGAGUUCGAAUUGAACUCAGUCAUUAAUUUAAAAUUCAACUAAAUUGUCAAUACGCGUUUGACUAGGUCGAGGUUAAUAAAUUUUACGGUCGAGAACGUUCUAAUCGAGUUCGAAUUGAUCUCGACCAUUAAUUUAAAAUUCAAAUGAAUUGUCAAUUCAUACUUGACUAGGUCGAAAGUCCUUUGUGGUCGCGCUCGGAACUUCAAAGGAUCCAGCUGGACAUGCCACACCAGUCGCAUAAAGAAGAAAAAGCUAAAAAAAUCUUAAAUUAACCGUCCAUUGUUUCUCUAUUAUUAGAAUACUUAUAGUUUCUAUGGAGAAUUUUGAACGAUAUUUUUAUUAGCUUUUACCGCUGUUAGAUACGUGAAUUAGGCCUUGGAAUGUGCUUGCUCCUCUCCUGCUAAACUUUUACAACCCCAGAAAACGAAAAAAAAAAAAGUUUUUCAAGUGUUUGAAAGAAAUCUUUUUUCUGCGUCGAAACCAUCCAAAUUAUUUUAAAAGUAGGAAAAAGAAAAGCACUGCAUUAAUUGUGCUGACCCAUUUUUUGGUUUUUACUCCCCGGAACUUAGGCGUAUCUAAUGUUUCGUGCCGGAUCCAACAGAGAUGAACAACCGUUACGAGCUCUAAUGACAUAGAUUUUUCGAUCUGUUUUGAUGUUAAAUUUCAAUCUAAACCUUAAAAGUUAAAAUGCAGAAAUUUGCUCGGCCAAUCUGAUUAAUCUUUUGGCAUCAAAUUCGAUAAAUUUAAACUGCUCCCUGAUAAAGUUUCAGAGAGUUAUCUUUCUUUCUAAACUGUAAAGGGAUACAACUAGUAUAGAUGCAAUAACCCCAACAACAUGGUGACUGGUACGCAAUCGAUAUAUAAAGAGAAAUUUCAGACAAUAUUUGUUCUCUUUAUAAGUUUGCAAAAUCUUGAAGUUGUCAGCCAAUUUCUAUGCUUGGGGGCUACCCUGAACGCUAGCCUUGAUCCUCUGAAUGGUAGGGAUAUCAGUUUUGAAUGACCAAGCCAAGAUUCUGUCCUCAAUAUCGGUUUGGAACAAAUUGGAAGGAAUGGACACAAGGCCAGGAUUUGCACUUCCAAAGGCAGAAACAGAAAUGGCAGGAACAUCAGGUGCAUAAUUGAACUGAUAAUGCACGAGUCCCUUAGGAAACACAUACAUGUCACCAGCAUUUAGUGUUUGAUUGAAGAGCUUAUUUGUUGAAUCUAUAAAUCCCACUUCCAAAUAGCCAGAAAUGAGCAGAAGGAGCUCGGUCGCGCGCGGAUGGCUGUGUGGAGGGUUGACAGCACCUCCAGGCAUUCGCAAGACGGCUAAGGAAACACCUUGGCCAUCCAGGGCAGGGAAGCUAGUUUUGUCAGCAAAGAGAAAAUUCAGGGCCGUCGGUGGCUGUGCUCCUACAAGUGAUCUUGCAGCAGUAUACGUGAAAAAUGUAGCAUCCACAUUUGAUACAUUUGGUGGAAGAUUAAAAUCUGUCAAGAUAUCAGCAUCACUAGCCAUUGCCAUUGGAGGAAAAAUGGCAAGCAAAUUGAGCAUCAGUGUUAAGAAUAAGUUGGUAGAUGGCCUUAGGGCCAUGAUGGCAGAAAAGGAUUGUUUGACUUGAUGAAAUAAGUUGAGCAUAGUAUAGACUAUAGAGAUUGGGUGCCCGGCUUUAUUUAUAGUACUUGGGUAACAGGAAAUCAUUUAAAAAUGAAGAAAAAAAAACAUCUUUACAGGUAAAUUCCAAUUUGUAUUCAGACUAUGUUGUUAUUAUUGCAACGAUUAAUAAUGUCAAUAGAGUGGUUUCUGACAGAUAUUUAAAUAUUUUCCAUUUUUGACAGGGGUUUGACAUUUUCUUUAUUUUUUUUUUUAAAAAAUUAUUUUAAAGAGGUGGGAAGUUUGACAUUGAUUUGCAAAAGGAAGUUUGACACUCUAAUGCUGUUCUUAGCAAUGUCGUUAAACUCGGACCGAGUAGCGAUUCGGCUAAACUAUUGGGUCGGGGGUCAACUGGUUCGAUCGGUCGGACCGUUCUCAAAAAUUCGCUGACGUCAGCAUGAUAUUAUAAUUAUUAUAUAUUUUUUUAAGUUUUAGAAAUAUUGAAAUUAAGUUCUUGGUUAUAUUUGGCCAAUCAUGAAAAAUGUUCCAAAAAUAUUAGACUUGCAAUCAAAUAUACACCUAACAAUUAUAUAUAAAAAUGUAAAUUCAUGGUUAAAAUAUGUCCAUUCUCCAAAAUUACUUGAAAAAACUAAAUUAAAACAAAUUAAUGCAAGUUGGAAUCACUGAUGCUAAAUUAAUAAGAUCAUAAUGAUGAAAACAUUUUGAUUUAAAGAUUAUUUAGAAAAGCGAGUGAUUUUGAUAUUUACACUAAAUGGAUGACGUUUUCUUAUUUCUAUUAAUAAAUGAAAGUGUACAAUUUAGAUAAUUCAAAUUAUGUUUGGGGAAAAGAAGAAAGAAAUUUUUGAGAACCAGGUUAACAAAUUGAAUUGGGUCACUAAUUAAGCCGAUUUUUUAUGGUUUUAAUUGAUUUUUUACAAAAGUGGUUUUAUACUACAUACUAGUUCGAAAGAAGGCCGGUUCACGAUCAGAUUGGUCUAACAAAUUGAAUCGGGUCACUAAUUAAGCCGAUUUUUUAUGGUUUUAAUUGAUUUUUUACAAAAGUGGUUUUAUACUACAUACUAGUUCGAAAGAAGGCCGGUUCACGAUCAGAUUGGUCUAACAAAUUGAAUCGAGUCACUAAUUAAGCCGGUUUUUUAUGGUUUUAAUUGAUUUUUUACAAAAGCGAUUUUAUACUACAUACUAGUUCGAAAGAAGGCCGGUUCACGAUUAGAUUGAUCGAACCGGUCGAUCCAAUUCGGGUCUAACAACAUUGGUUCUUAGUGCUUGCAUGCUACAUGGUUAAUGGAAGAUGUUAGAGAUUUUGCACUCAAGACUUCAGAAAAUUGUCAAAAGCUUCAUUUGGAAACUAGUAAAUCACUUUCUUGAUGUUGGACCGGGAAUUUUACAAUUUUGGCGUUUGACUAUGACAAAUAAUUGGUCUAUCCCUUAUUAUUGUAUCUUUUUUAUAAGUGGAAGAUUUUUAAUUCAAAAUCUUUUAUUUACAAUCUCUCGUACUUUACUAUCUAAUCCAACUAUCCCUUUAUUACUGUAGUUACUAACUGUUUGCUCGGUAAACAAGUAUUAAACCGGAGUAGUUUCGAGCUUACUACACUUUACCUUCACCUGGUACUGGAUUCUUUUGUAAAAAGAUUUCUAAGCACGAGUAGUUUUAUUUAUUUACAAAUGGAUUUCUUAGUGGGAAAAGAUCUAUACACGUAUAGUAUGAUUUGUUUUAAAGAUUUUUUAACCGAAUGCCUCGGAGACAUUUGGCAAGACAUUUAAAUUACACUUAACAUGGUACCAUAUGAAUGCAUAUAAUCACAUUUAUUGGUUCUGCCACACUUAGAUAUAUUUCCAAAUUAGUUUCACUAUUACCAAUUGAGUGCCUCGAGGGCACUCAUUAUUUUUCCAAAUUAGUUUCAUUCUUAGAGGGCACUCAUUAACCAAAUGCUUAUUUUAACAUGGAUUUUUUCUAGUAGUUGCCGUUGGAGCACUUAUUAACCUACUUAACAUUCACCAAACCUAUAAUAUAUAUACACAUACUAACAAUUAUUACCAUUCCUUACAUUUAUAUACUUUCUUAUUUAUUCUUACCUACUCUCCCUUGUAUUUAUUUACUUUCCCUAAUUAAUAUUACAUUUAAAAAAGAUGACACCUGAAAUAUAUUUUAAUUUAAUCUCACCUACCCUCUCUUGUAUUAAUUUACUUUCCCUAAUUAAUAUUACAUUUUAAAAAAUAUGACACAUGAAAUAUAUCUUAACGGUUGCCCAUAGGGUUAGAUAGACCCUUUAACAUAAGCGAUAUUUACAUUCCAAAAAUACUAACUCGUAGCAUUCUGCUUUAGCAUUUCUUUUGCGUUCACAAGAUGAAAUGCAAAGAUUUAUUUUAAAGUGCAAAUAUUAUUUACCUAUUUUAUUCUUGUAUAACUGAUACUAAUAUCACAAGUCCUAGUCAAAAUGUUCUAUAUAUACUAGCAAUUGGGGUGGGUUGGGCGGGUUGAUAUUGAAUUUUCAUGUAAAUAGUUUAUACCCAACCCGUUCAACUUUAGAAUAGAUUGAUUUUGGACUGUGUCAUCUCAAAUUCAUGACUCAAAUAUGACCCAACUACAUUGUGAUACAUAAACACUCUUAUACAUUUACACAUAUGAAAAGAUUUUUUUCCACAUACAUAAAUAAUUUUCACACACUAACACACUUUCACAUACACAAACCCACACUCACUUUUUAAACUCCUUGGAAGCACAUCAUAAAUAGAAUAAUAUUUUAUAUUGCUUGUAUUGUGAAUUUUAGACAAUAAAUUGUACAUUAAAUAGAUUAACUAAAAAAAAUUGUUUACUUUAUACUUUUUAAUACCACUAAUUGAUUGAAAUUUAUUUUUGUCACAACUUAUUUAACACUUUUACUAUUCAUAUAUGCUCUAUUGUAAGUUGUAAUAUUAUGUGUAUUUAAAUUAUUGAAUGCUAGAUUAUAUUAUGCUCGAAAAUGUAAUUAAGAGACGUAUAAUUUGUUGUAUUAUAAUAUUAAUGAGGAAUUAUUAGCAAUAAAAUAAAACAAGUUAGAGAAAAGUAAAAGAAUGCAAUUAAAAUAAAUUUAAAAUUCUAUUCUAGGUAUACAAAAUAUUAACGGAUAGAAGUAAGUAGCAAUUGGAGAACAACAAUAAAAAAAAAAGAGGAUAAAAGGGAGGGAGGAAAACAACAUACUCUUAAAAGGCAUAAUAAAUUAUUAUAAAUGUUGAGCAAGUUUAACUAUUAUUGUAAAGGUAAAAUAAGCAUGAGUUUUUAUUGCAAGUUUCUUUUUUCUUUUAAAUAAAAUUUUGAUUGAAAAACUAUAUAUGAGAAUUUUGAAUACAAAUUGGUCAAUAAAUUGUUAACACAUAUCUAAAUAUAAGUGGUCGGACAAAUGUGUAUUGAAUCUUGUGUUUAUUGUUUUGAAUUAUUUUUAAACAAGUUGAAUAUUGGGUGCUCAAAUAAAUAAUCAAAUCCACCUAGUAAAUAAGUUGACUUGUUUUUAUCCAAUCCAACAAAAUCUAUAAUCCAACUGAGCCAAUCUAUCCUUUAAAAUUAAUGGACAAGUUGGAUGGGUUAUUGGAUUUUGGACUUUUUUUACAACUCUAGGUGUUGUUUCAAAAAUAAAUAAAUAAAUAAAAAGAGAGAGUAUAUACCCUAUAGCGUGCGGACUUUGGAGUCCCCUUCCUACGCGAGCUACAAGAGACCCGAUCCGGUACUCGUGUUUGGAGCGGUUCAUUUUAGUAGAGUUUGAGUAUUAUUCAGUUCAGUAGUAUCGUAUUUCCUUCACUGGUUUGAGAAAAAGAAGAAGCCACGGUAGAAACGGUGUCGCUUUAAGGGAUAUUGGAGUCUGUAGCUGAGAAAGGAGAGAGAAAGAGAGAGCAGGCCAUGGCGUCAAAUGCAGCGGUGCCGUUCUGGAGGGCAGCCGGGAUGACAUACAUCACCUAUUCGAAUUUGUGCGCGAAUUUGGUCAGGAAUUGCCUCAAGGAGCCCCGUAGGACCGAAGCUCUGUCUCGAGAGAAGGUCCAUUUCUCAGUUUCCAAAUGGGUGGAUGGCAAGCCUGAGAAGCCCAGUAAUUUUUCCAAUCCCAUGGCUCUUUUUUCAUUUUUGUCUCUUUUUCAGUUAUUAAUUUCACAGGAUGCUUUGGAUCUAGGGUUUCCUGUGCGGGUCGAUGUUGGUUAUUUUUCGUUGAAUCAAAUGUUACUGUGGUCCGUAUCUGUUAUUUUCGUUUUUAUUUUGGUUCUUUUUGGGGUCAAGUUUGAUAAUUUAGUGGGUUUUUGGUAUAAUUAGAUAAUUUAAUGGAUGAUAGGUGGGUUUUUUGGGAUAAUUGGAGACGGGCUUUUAAAUUUAGGGGUUUUUUUAAGGUUUUCUUCGCGGAUAAGGAUGUUGAUUCUGGUGAUAAUAUGCUGAGUCACCCCCAUUUUGGAAAUUCAAGCUCACCUUGUAGCAAUUGCAGGGCAUAAGCGACUGUGAGAUUUGUUCUAGUUUGUUUUUAAAUUGGUCUAAUUGCACAAAGGUGCGAACUUUACAUGAGAAUUUGAUUCUAGCUUGUGUUUGAUUGGUCUAAUUGAGAACAACUCACACUUGAUAUGUAUGCAUUGUUCUAAACACUAGUAGGAUUACUGGUCAGCAUGAUGCUUUAAGCAAAUGAAAUACAGAUCAUAAGAGCUUCUCUCUUCUUAUUUUAAGUGUUUAGCAUUUUUUUUUUAUCUUUAAGCUAUAUGUGAAGAGCAAGAAAGAAGUUGAAACGAUGUCUUUUUUGUGGUCCUUGUGCCAGAAUCAUGCAUCUUGAGACGUACAACUGAAAGGCUGGACGACUUUGUGGCUCCUUGGCAAUCCUAGGAUGCAUAAUCUUGUCUCCAUAUGUUUGAAUUUCAGAUUAUCAACAUUCUUUUUCAACUGUAGCAAGUUCCUAUUCCUGAUUUUCGAUAUUUUUAAGGCUUGACGAAACUUACAUUUAUUUCUGGUUCAUGAUGUCACUUCGUAUAAUCCAUAACACUCUUGCACAAGUAGUUUAUACUUGAUGAAGGAUUUGAAUGCUAGGUGUUAUGUGGUAUGCCAGCAGUGUGUGUUUUGUGUGAUGAUUGGACAUUCCUUUUGGUUCAGCUGCAAUGAAUUCAUUGCAUUGCAAUUAUUGAUGUCAUUGUGCAUUUAAGUCGCCAUUAUCUUUUCAGUCUUAUGUUUCUCUUUACAGGACAUAAUUCUUCCGUUGCCUAACUCAAUUAUUCAUUUGUCUAUCAGCCAUCCGCUCGGAUACUCCGGAAGAAUGACCUUGAAGUUGCAGUACCAACCAAGUCUUCGAUGAAAACAUUUUUGCUGGAAAUUUGUUGUUUAACUUGUCACUUGGAUCUUUAUUUCUGGGUCUAUGGUGACCUUGGAUUUAGAAUGUUUGUUUAAUGGGCUUUGCAUGAAGAUGGCUUUGCAUGAAGAUUGCCCCAUAAUAAUCUUUCUGCUAUGACUUGAUCUUAUGUGGUGCUGGUGUUUUAAUGGAACGCAUAUUGUCAAUGUUGAUGACUUCUGAAACUCUUUCCUUUUAGGAAUUCUGUGUUUUCCUUAUUGUCAUGAUGGUUUUUGGGCUGUUUUCUGUGAACAUGAAAGCAGCCUUUAAUUCCCCCCCUCCACCCCUUUCCACCCCAACUAUCAAGCACAGGAAUUGGACCCUGAACCUGGCAGUGGAGGAAGGCUCUUACAGCCCUUAAUAGUUAUUCGCAAGUUUCUCCUCCUUUCAGUGAUGGUUGUUGCUGAAAUGGAUUGUCUUCUUCUCCUAUUGUUCCCUUUGUGUUAAUGACUAGUGAUCUUUUUAUUCUUUUUUGGGAUUGUCCAUUUUCUUCUUUGGUCAUGAUGGUGUGAGGCUGUGGGCUGUGAUUAUGUGACAUAAAAGCUGCCCUUAAUGGUUGCUUGCCAGUUUCUCCAGUGAUGUUUGUUGCUGAAAUUGGAUUUGUCUGCUUCUCCUGUUGCCCCCCUUGUGUUAAAUUUGCGUCCCAAUUGCUGGGUUGAAAAGACGGGGAGACAGACAUUUGAUUGUUGAAUAUAUUCUGUUCUAUAGAUAGUGAUUUAAUCAUCAUCUUUUGAUCAGUUUCAUUGACAUUUUUACUCCUUCGCCUUUGGGUAGAUGUGCUACUUGUAUCAUUCUAUUCUCGGGGCCAGUAUUCUGUAUGCGGCAGUGGGUGGACGCUGUGUCUGUGUGUGUUAAUCCUCGUAACUCAUAUAUAGAACUUUAAUGAACGAAUGGAAUGUGUUCGUCCUAGCUGCGUAAAUUCCUAUAAAUUUGGUUAAAAGUGAUGGAACAAAAUGCAUUUUACUCGUAGAGUUAUGCUACUAGUAUAUGUUUGUCGUACUUUGGAAGGUUAUGACCUCCAAACGGCAGAGUGAAAGAAUUUCCUUUGUUUCGAGACACCCCCAUAAUCCGUUGAUUCCAUGUUGCAGCUUCUUGUCAAAAUACUAACAGGCUGAAGUACAGUCCUUGUCAGAGGCAGAUCUCGAAUUCUUCAAUCCAUUGAUUCCAUUCUUUGUUGCAACUUCUUGUCAAAAUAUUGAGACUGAAUUACUGUCCUUGUCCAAGGCAGAUGUCGCCUCACAUUUACCCGGAUGAGCUUGACACUCGCCAGAUGGACAACCCCUAAAUUUCCUCAUCUUCUUAAGAAACUACCAUUUGACCAUAUGCAGUAGAAAAGCGCUUUUUAAAGCAUACCUGAUCAACUUGCCCUAAAGAAUAUGCUCCUGCAUAUGAUUUACCCGAGUGUAAUGAGUUAUGAUUUAUAAAACCUUAAACUUCAAAAUUUUGCAACCUAACAGGGUGGUAAUUGAGCAUCCCUUUUGCUUUUAAAGGCCAAAAGUGAGUUCCUAAUGAGGCCAAGGCAUAAAUAAGUAAAUUUGGUUUUUUUUAUUUCACUUAGCUUUUCCUUCAAGGGAGCAGAAUGCUCUACUUAGUUUUGCAUGACUUGAGCUUCCUUGAUUUUGUGUUUGUGAAAACUGAGCACAUUGGAAGCUCCAAGAGAUUAAAUCCUAAGCCUCUAACCAUACAGAUGGACAUUAUUGAAAGUUCUUCUUGCUUUGUCAUCUAAAAGAUGGAAUACGUGGCUAAAGAAUGGGUGUAGGAGCAAUCCAUGCAAUAUUUGAUCAGAAAAUUUUUUAUCCCCUAUGGAUGUGCUACCAGAAAAGCUACACAAAACAAGAAAAAGAUAAAUGGUACGGGUACCCAAUUUUCAGAUUGAAAUUUGGAGGACACGGAGUCCUUAAAUGUAUAAAUUAAGACAUGGAGGUGGAAAAUAUGCAAGUUUCCAGAAUCUGAGCUUCAGUGCUGCAAGCAUUGUUAACUAACCUCGAAACAUACACAUCGUUAUUUGACUAGACUAAACUACCUAAAAACACAAAAAAAAAAGGGGGGAAUUCAGUAGUGUUUGGAUUGUAAGUUAUUUGAAAUAUUUUUACUGUAGCACUUUUUGUGAUGUGAUGUAUGUGAGAUAAAAAAGUAAUUGAGAAGAUAAAAAGGUGUAUUGAAAAUUGUAAUGGUGAUGUCAGCAAAUAUAUUUGGCCAAAUAAUUGGCUGUCCAAACACAAACUACAGAGAGUCCAAACUCAAGCAUUAGAUGGGGCGAAAAAGGCAGAGUAUAAUAUCAUAUGCACCCAAGGAAGAAGAGCCCUUUGGAUAUUCUUUCAUCUCUUCUUUUGGCAAUUGAAAGCCUUGGCUGUUUUCGCUUUCAUGUGGUGGUGUAAUACAUUUAUCUGUAGAAAAUUUCGCUAUAAUGGUCAUGUUUUAUCAUUUCCUGAAAAGCUGAGGCACAGUAAGAGUGUCACAUUUUUGUUUGUUUUUGAGUUUUGUGGUUAUAUAUGCCAUCUUUCUUCAUUUGUUUUAGACAAUAAAUUUUCAACUUUAUUAAUAAAGUUUCUUUAUUUCUUUUGUGGUUAUGCCUAUCUUGUUUGUUCUUGGGUAUUAAUAAAUUCUUACUUACCAAAAAAAAAAAAAGUUUGCAUUCACUCAUGCCAACUACUCACCAUUUCUUUUGAUUUCUGUUGUAAUAGAAAAUUGCUUCAUUUAUCAAAACUAAACACUGUUCAAAAUGAAAGAUAAGUUCAACUUGGACACAUGAAAAAAUCUUCAAGAUUUUGGAAGCUUAAUGCAUAUAAUGAAUAUAUAAGUUUCAUUUUAAAUUCAUUUUUGGGUUUAUUUUAUAAAGAAAUUGUACAAUGUCUUAUUUCCCAUGCAGGAAGGAAAAGGAGAAAAUUCGAAAUGGUCCACACGAAAAUUGGUUGCCGGUCCUAUGCUGCUACUUUUCCAGGCUUACCCGGGCCGGCCGUUUGGUUUCUCUCUAUUAAUUCUUUCAAAUUAUUUGACGACUCUAUUUCAUUGGCUUUCUACAUUACUAGAAGCUACAUCACUUCUUCUGCAUUGAAGAAGCAACCUAUGCCAUAUAUCUUUCUCCAUUCUUCACAUCUAUGAUAUAUAGAUAGGGUGUCUUCAAUUCAACUAAGGUAGCUGGCCAUAGGGUGGCUAUGAAUUUAAAGUUGGACAUACUACUGAUUUGACCAAGCUAAAUAAGAAGGAAUUAGGACAGGCUAGGGUUCAAAGCAAACUUGUAGUAAUAGAUAACAAUAAGAAUAACAAGAAAAAUACUCCCUUUCGUCUCAAAUUAUUUGUCGCAUUUCGGAUUUCAAAUUUUUAAGAAUAGUAACCUGAUAGCGAUGUUAGUGAACUUAUUUUUCAAGUCGCCCUCUGAAAUAUAAAUAAAGAUGGGGAUAACAUUAAUUGAAAAUAAAGAUAAAAAGUAACUUUAAUUUUAGUAAGAUGACAAAUAUUUUUGAAUAUUUCAAAAUAUAUUAAUGUAUGAUACUUUCAGUGGAUAGAAGGAGUAGAUUAUUCUUCGUCCUGCUCAGUUCUGCAAUGAUCCAAACAGUUGGGAAUGGAUGAUUUGGAGAGAAAAGAAGGGGAAAGAAGAGAAAGUGAGCAUUUCCUUCGUUUGUUAGUUUUUAUUAGGAAAGAAAAGAAGAGAAAUUGAAGGAUUUAAAAGGAUAAAUAGUAAGUAAAAGUUUUCCUCCCAAAUUGGAGAGAAAUGGAGAGAAAGUUGGAGGAAGCUUAUAAAAGUUCUUUAAAUUAAAUACCUAUUUUAUCCUUAAAAAUGUCUUGAACAAAUAUUUAAUGACUUUUAUAUCCAAAAUUAUUUCACUAGUUCUCAAAACUCCCAAACAACACAACAAUCCCUUCUCUUCUCUCAUAACUUAAGUUUUCCCUUCUUCUCUUUUCUAUCCAAAACUCCCAAACUUAGCGUUAGUGUAGGAGCUAGGGUAAAGUGAGAAAUGGUUCUGCCCUUUAUUGAACCUUGACAAUGGAAGCUCUACUACAUUUUUUCUCCCAUAGUUUUUUCUCAAAGGCCACUUAAUGGUUUAGCUACUACUAGUGAUUUUUAAAUGUUGUUCUCAGUUUGAGCUUCAAUUGAAAAAAAAAAAAAAAGAUAAUUAAACUAUUUGGCUUGUUUAUGCUGGAUUAAUUGUUUGACUACGACUGUGAAGACGAAAAUCAAAUUAAUGCUGAUGUUGUUGUUUUUCUAAAAGCUCGGCCUACGCGGGAGUCUCCAACAAUUUUAGACUUGUAGCAAUGCUAAAAGCUAUAGACUUUGAAUACUAAUUUGUUGGAAUUCAAAGUAUGAACUAAGAAACAACAUUUAUCCUAUAAAAAAAUAGGUCAUCUUUUUAUUCAUCAAUUUUCCUUUUAUAGAGGUAGAAUAACAAACCAAUCACAAAUAUUUCCCGACAAAUCUCAACAAAAAAAAAUACUUGUUAACAACUCAACAUCAUCAUCUGAUAAAUCUCCUAAACAAUUUCAACAAAAUUUUGAAAAUUCCUACAAAUGAGAAAUAACCAAAUACUGAAAAUGUAGAAAAACUCCUAAUAACUAGAGAUUUAUUCAACAAGUACUUUAUUUAUUCUAGUGCUAGAAAAUUCAGAAAAAAAUUUGUAGAGAAGUUGCAUAUUCUAACAAUAUUCCUCUUUGUUACUUAUAUUGCAGAUUUUCAAUUGUCUUAUCAAACUCUCAAAUCUUGUUUUGGACAAGACUUUUGGAAAAUAUCUGCAACCUGAAAAACUCUCAAUUAGCCUUGCAACAAGCUUUUUCUUUCGACUUUUUGUACAAGCUGAUGAUUAGCUUUACACCAAAAUACUUCUGUUGGCAUCAAACUCCAAAAUAAAAGAUGGUUUCUUUGACGUAUCUAAAUAACAUUUUCAUAAGUUCAAAGUGGAAUAUCCUUUUAUAAUAUUUGAAUCUAAACAGAAAAUGUAAAACACAUAAAUAAUUAUUAUGAAAUUCCCAAAAUUUCCGCAUGGCUCUUCAUAAACCUUGUUAUCAUCGUCAUCUUUACACUUUUCUUCAAUUGUCACAAUAUAGUCUAAAUUCUUUGAGGAUUUUUCAAUACCUGUAGAUAAAAAAAAUCACAAUUAUAUUCUUGAUAAAUAUUAGGAAUUAGUUUGAUACCUUUGGACUUAUCAAUAAUCACCUCCUAAAUUUUUCAAGAUCUAAAUUCUCAAUUUCAACAUACUCCACUUUAGAAUUGUCAAAAUCCAGCCAAUUCAAAGUGAAAUUUCUUUCUUUUAUAUUAAUUAAGAACAAUUCAUUCUCAACCAAAUCAUAAAUAACAUAAGCCAUUAUUCUUGUGAAAAUGAUAUCAAAAAAUGAUGUAUGAAUGCCGGCCUUCAAUUUUUGUCUAACUGCAACUCCAUGAUCUCUAAUUUGUGUAUCUAUCGGACCUUCAAAUAGUGCUAGAACGUAAUUCCUCUUUAGCAGAUCCCAAAGAUCAUUGAUUACCAUAUAGUUUCAAAAUUUUAUGACCCAAAUUUGGCAAAUUUCACUACUAAGUUAGAGCAUUAGACACAAAAAUUUCUCCCACCAUUUUGGUUUUAACUAUAAAAGAUCCGCACCAUAUAUGCCCUUCACAAAAUAUCACGAACCUUUAAGAUAAAGGCUCUUAAUACCGCUUUGAAGAUUUUGACUACCAAUUUGUUGGAAUUUAGGGCAUAAACUAAGAAACAACACUUCAACUGUUAAUGCUACAAAAAAUUGGCUAUCUUUUUCAUUCACCAACUUUCUCUUCUAUAGAGGUAAAGUAGCAAACCAACCACAGAUAUCUCCUAGCAAAUUUCAACCAAAACAUAUUUGUGAAAUUUUGAAAAUUUCGACAAACUAAAAAUAACCAAAUACUAAAAAUGUGGAAUGACUCCGAACAACUAGACUUAUUCGACAAUUAUUUUAUUUAUCCUAGUGCUACAAAAUUUAGAAAAAUCUGUAGAGAAGUCACAAAUUCUAGCCCUGAAAUUGUGCAGAAGGUGUAUAGGCUUGCUGGAAACCUAGAUUUAGCUACAAUACAAUUUUAGAGGAAAUGGAAAUGUCAGUCAAGCUGUGAAAAUUAAUCUGGCAUACGGGCUUGCUAGAAACCUAGUUUUAGCUGUAGCACAAUUUUAGAGGAAAUGGAAAUCUCAGUCAAGCAGUGAACAUUAAUUCCACCAUAGGGCAGUCUGCGCUUAUGGACUUAUAAAUUGAUGGCCAAGUGUUGUUGUGUCCCUGUAAGUGCAACCCAUAUCAACUUGCUAAUACCAUCACUUGUAACCUGCUCACAAUGGUCUCGUUUUCAUUCAAGUUUACUCUGCUAAGCCUUCUGGCUAUCUUCGCCAAUUCUUGGAUGGCCAUAGCACGAGAUCCGGAUACUUUAACAGAUUUCAUAGUGCCAUCAAAUCUGACUGGAAGUAAGAUCACCGGUGACUUCUUUACCUACCAUCUUAACACAACUGGAAACGGAGGUCCAGACGCACGAGAAACCGAUGUCACAAUGGAUGAGUUCCCAGCUCUUAAUGGCCAAGGUGUUUCACUUGCUGUUUAUACUUUCCCUCCACGUAGCGCAUAUCCAACUCAUAUUCAUCCUCGUGCUUCUGAGCUAUUUCUUGUCACCAAAGGCAAGGUUGAGGUUGGUCUUGUGGAUACCGCUAACAAGCUCUACACAAAACCCCUUCAAGCUGGGGAUGUGUUUCUGUUCCCAAAGGGACUAGUACACUAUCAGUACAAUGCUCUUGCUGGAGCAUCAGCGUCAGCUGUUUCUUUCUUUGGUAGUGCCAGUCCUGGAGAAGUUUCACUUCCUACAACUUUGUUUGCAACUGGUAUUGAUGAUGCAAUUCUCGCAAAGAUAUUCAAGACUGAUGUUCCUACCAUUCAGAAACUCAAGAGUGGUCUUGCAACACCCAGGUUUUAGCUUAACUCGAUGCUGAAUUUGAUCCUUGCAGCCCCUUAGUACUAAAAUAUAGUAAAUAAAUUCCCAAUAUAAAUGUUGGGAUCCUGUCAUAUCUCAUAGGUCAGAUCCUAUGCGUAAGAAUUUGUCAUGAAUUUGACUACAACACGACUGUUUUUAAUCUCCCAAUAUGAAUGUCUCCAAUAUUUAUUAUUAAAGGUCUAAUGGUCCCAUAAUCAAGGAACCGAAGCAUUCGGGUUCAAUCAAGAACUCAAAAUAGACCCUCAAGAAAAGGUAAUAUAAACGCACUGCCGCUAGUUUAUGAUAAAAGCGCACGGUAUUAAAGGUUCCAAUGAGCUAGCUAAAGAAAAUGGUGGUCACCAAUGCAACUCUUGAUGUAUAUUUCCUUAAUCGGAUAUCUUGGAUGAAGCAAAACAAUUUAUAAACAAGUACAUACGAGGUUGCAUGCAUAUGCAAGCCAGAAAAGAAUGUCAGCAGCGUAUCUUUUUUGAACUGGGAUUACAUAAACGGUUACAUUCUAUUAUCUUACGCUACAAAAUGUUUUAUUUUCAAUGAACCCCCAAAUUUGGAACGUUCCAUGAAAGGCCAAUUUUAGGUAAAAUGGGGCCUUAUGCUGAUUUUGAUCAUUGAACGUGUUGCAGUAUAUAUUAGUAGCAAUAAUCCUAUUGACUGGGGAUUAUGGUCCCUCUUGUGCUGGUAAUCCUGCAAUUUCCUUGAGAGGUUUCCACAUGAACUUCCUCCUGCACCAUGUAUAGAUUAAUAAAUUAAUAGCGAAUAAAGAUUACAAACGUCCCUAUAAAACAUUGUGAUUUCUUUCUCUUUAAAGGAGAUUAAAGCCUUGCUUAAAAAAAAAAAUAUCUGGAGGUAUAAACAGAGCGAUUAAGGUGGAUUAGUUUACCAGUUUCCACAUUCUGCAAUCACUCUGACUCUAGGCCUCAAAGUAGGAAGUAAUGCAAGAAACUGCAGUUCAGCCUUUGACAAAACCUAGAAGAUCCAAGCCAAUUAAUAACUUUAACUGAAAAUUCAUCAAAUAAUUGGAGUCUUAACUAUCAAGAGCAAAAGAUUUUCUGUUCACCUUUGCUUCAAUUAUCCAAACCACAAGUCCUUUGGCAUUUGGUGGAAGUAACGAGAGCCUAUAAUCAACUUCUGGUGGGAAAUACCACCUAGCAAUUGGCUGCUUCCCUACAUGCGGCUGCAACAUUAUUGUAUUUCCAAGAAUUCCAAUUAUAUUAAAAUCUCAUCCACACUAAAUUAAAAUGUCAACAAUAAAAAAGAAAAAAGAAGAGGAAAUUGUAAACUAAAACAAGGGUCAAGACUAUAAGUUUUGCCCUUUUUGGGACUCAAGCUAACAAUACAUUUUCUUUUCAACCAAUCAGUGUUAAAUUAAAAAAGAAAAAAGGGCUUACCGGACAAACAGGGUGAAAUUUAGUGAGAGUGGUCUCAGGAUCACCAAGUCCACGAGCGGUGAGGUCCAAGAAAUAAUAGCCUUGAUAUCUUAGCCUGUUGAGGUAGCGACCCUCAUAGCCACCCUCAUGGGGAGAGUAGAUAGCUAAGGCUUUGUGCUCUUCAACAUCUGAUAACCAUUGGCCUAAAUCAAACUUGAGAAGAUCGCCUCCAAUGAAGUCCUCUAGACUAACAUUACAUGCAACAUUUGUCUUCCUACAGUGCCCUCCACCACCUCCAAUGCAUGUCUGCUUUCCGCUCAUAUUCAAUGUGCUUGUUGUCAUGCUGGGGAAAAUUAGCCUUUGUUGCUCAGGUGUGGAUGAAGGUAGCAGAAUUCCAUGGUAUGAGCAGACUGACCAUGCCAUUUUUGUACCGAAAUGUUUGCUAUGUACAAUAUGGAUGUGGCUGAGCGUACUCUAUUGUUGAAUUCAGAACUAUAUGGUGGAGAAUCAAGAUAAGGGACAUUUGAUUUUGGCACAAUUGGACAAUAUGUAAACUGAGCGUGUCGUGUCACUGGCACCGGUACCACAUUUUGCGUAGGAAUUUUAAUGUAAUUUAACAGUGCCCUUUAGAUGAGAUGAGGUGGAGUUUGUGGUACGCAAUUGUGGUGGCCUGCCAUUACAAUUUAGAACAGCAUGUAAAAUAGAUUUAUGCGUUAAUUUCGUUUUGGUCCUACGAGGUUCUACAGAAUAUCAUCUUGGCCCUCCAAAGUACUUAAAUAUCUUAAUUUGGUCGCUUCAAGAGUGAAAAAGUCUCAAUUUGGUCUUGCAAAGUACUCCCUCCAUCCCAAAAUUUUUGUCCCACUUUUCAUUUUAGAAUGUUCUAAGGCGUUUGUCAUGUGUAGAAAGUUAAAAACUUUUUUUGGUAUUUUUUUCCAGUAUUGUUCCUACUUUAAGUCAAAUGCAUGGUACAUUCAAAUUUAAAAUUUGAAAUUUAGGUAUAAGAUUGAAAAGAAAAAUCCAAACAUCACAAUCAAAAUACUGUUGAUAAAAAAUUAGACUCCCAAAGUGUAACCAAAAUUUUGAGACGGAGGGAGUAGCACAUAAUCUCAAUUUGCUCCUUUUAUGGAUGUCAAGGACGAAUUUUGGAUUACCGUUUCUUGAUCUCGAAGUAACAAGUUGAUGUUAAUUGAGUAAUAAAUUUUGUAAUUAAUAUCUGUAUGUUGAGCUUAUCCACUAGUCUUUUUAUUCUUCUUGUUGUGGUCCUUUAACGGGUUUUCCUUAAAUAAGAUAUUUAUUUUGAUGGAUUGAACCUAGAAAAAUAAUUGUAACUGCAAAAAGAGAACUCUAACAAAUUGUAGAAAUUGGUCGAAGAAAUGUUCGGCUAUAGUUUGUUUUGUGCCUGAGAAGAAAAAAUUUUCAAACCAUAAACUAUAGAAGUCGGUCGAAGGCUACAGUUGGCCAUAUUCUUAAUCUGAAAUGAAGAUUUAAUUUUGCAAAUUAUAUCUAAUUGUCCCACGAUACCACAGCAGAAGCUUUCAAAGGAAAUAAGUUGAAAAUGUAACAAAUGCAAACGUAAGUUAAGAGUUUAUUGCUGUUUGUAUUGGACAGAAACAUUGUUAAAGUACAUAAUUGAAAUACAUCAUCCAUCAAUUUUAAAAGGAGAAAAAAUCAUGAAUAUUACACAUUCUUGAAUGAAGAAACCAGAUGGAACAAUAUGAAAUUUAGAAAUGAAAAAAAAAACACAAAAUUUUGCAGGAAGUUUUUUUUUUUUGGAAAAACUUGUCGAUUUUGUCAUUUCGUAUUGACUGCCCUGCAUGACGUCCUAAUUUGUCCUUGACUACCUGUGAGGACUUGGACAGCACCCAAAUUAAUCAAGGCUUGACCAAACUUAGUGGAAAAAUCGACCCCCUUUGCUAUUGCAGUUACUAAGCCCCUGGUUGAUGGAUCCUGUGCCAAUUCUUGAUCAAUUUGAAGAACUCCUCUGUGCAACAUUAUUUGCUGAUAAUAAGAGUUGUCGACAAUUGACGAACUCAAAGGGUUCUGAUCAAGAUUAGCUGUGUUAUCAAUUGUUGCAUUCUGAGGACAUCUCGUUCUCAGGAAAAAUAAUAGCGAUGGGCUCAUGGUAUUAUCAGGUUGACCACUGUUUUGGAAAUUGUACAGACGAUCUUGGAAGAGGGAACAAUGAGCAACUCCCACAGUAUGGCCACCUUUAUAUAAACAAAAAAAAAAAAAAAUCAAUCAACCUUCUGAUACUUUCCAUUUCUAUUCUGAUCAACUUUUAGAUUUGUUGCUCGACUCCAUAUACAAAUUUUUUGGGGAUAAAUUUACACUCAUAAGCAGCUUGUGCAUUUUUUUAAGGGAUAGUGUCAAAUUGCUACUAUGUUAGUAAAGAAGGUCUUGUUACUAAUUAGUAAUAGUAGAAGUUUUCAUAAUUUGCAUGUCCAAUAUAUGUGGAGUAGAAUUCGCAUGCAGUUUGAAAUGUGAAGUAAUUACCAAGAAGAUAAACCAUGUCCACUACGCUAAGCCCUUUCUUGGAGAAUGCAUUGAUGGAAUUUGAGACUGAUAUUGAAGGAGCUGGGAGAUUCACAUUCUUUGCAAGCGAAACUGUCCCGUCUCUCCUUCCAGUUUGUACAAUGUAUCGCCCUCCUCCACUCUGCAUUUACAGGAAUUAAUUGAGUGAUCAAUAUUGCCCACGUUGAGCUUGGUGAGAGAUGAUUUCAUGCUAAACCAGGUCAUGUUACGUGGUAAAGCAUCAAAUCAGAGAGGGUAAAAGGUAGAGUUCUAAUAAUAUUAGCAAUUUUUUUUUUAUAAGAUCCUGAGCAACACAUAAUCAGAUUGCGACUAAACACUAAUACAUUAUAACUCAACAACAUUUCAAACAAACUCACAAUUGGUGGAAUGAACAAUGACGUAUCAUGAAACGAAAUUCACAUGUCGCGAAACUUCAACUCGAAACUUCUAAUUCUUGUAAUCUCAAUCUUAAUUAAAAGUAAGAGUUUAACGUAUUCAUGGCACGUAGUUGUACGUGAUAUCGUAGUUAUGCUACAUUAAUUUGAGCUUCGCUAGGAGUCUAAUGGUUCUAGUUAAUCUUUUCUAGUUUUGUCUAAUUGAGAAUUAUGCAUGGUAUGUAACUUUUCAGAAAUAGAAAAAUUAAAGAGAGAGGGUACGUAUAUCUAUUUACCAGGGAUACAGCAUCUCUGGUAGCCAUUGAAAUGAUAUCAGCACAGGAGACCACACCCGGGCAGAUUGCCUCAACAGCUGCCUUUGCCGCAUCAAUAAGACCAUAUCCCCUAACACUUAAAUUUGGUAUUGCAGUUUUCUCGCUGUUGCUUCCAUCCAGAAGAAGAGAUGCAUCACAACCCUUGUAAACAAUGUCAGAACGUCAACAAUCAACACAAUGUUUUCCAAAUUGCCAGCAUAAUUAAUGAGAAAUUUACCAAAAGAUCAAAAAUGUAAAUAAAGAAGAAGAAACUUCGUACAGUUACGAAACAAUCAUGGAAUUGCAUCCUUAGUAGAGCAGGAGUAAUUGUAGAAUCGCUAGAGAACCAUGUUUUGACAACUCCACCAACAACCACCUCAACAUCAACCGUACCAUUGCAUUUUCCUUGGUAGAAACCAACCUUAAGUGGUGGUGAAGCCCCGUAGCAUUGGCCGGAGAAUGCCACAAAAAUGAACCCUAGGACCAGUGCUACAGAGGCAACUUUCGACAUUUUUUUCAGCUCUUAGUUUUUCUUUUUUGGUAAUUCCUGUUUUUUUUUUUCCCUUUGCGAAUUUAGAUGCAGAUAUAUGCCAUCUAUUUAAAGAGUGAGUGAAGGAAAUGUAGGUAGGUUGGAAUGCAUGCCUGGCACAACCAUUUCUAUGAAGUCAAGAAGGAAUCAAUUGAUUAAUUAGUAUAAUAUAUAGAACGUGCAUUCAUGUAAACAGACAACCAGAUGGUUAGUUGCACGAAAGUACACGGGAUUAGGGAGCAUUAACCCAUGCUAAUAUGUUAUAAUUAAGUAAUUCUAGUCGACGAAGUUGAGGAAUCAUUUGUUUCUGGGACAGGUUUUCCCGGAAGUCAUCAAUCUGGAGAAAUUAGUUUUGUUUAAUGAUUUAGAGCAUUAACCCUUUUUAAUAUGUUAUAAGUAAUUCUAGUCAACAAAAUUGAGGAAUUAUUUAUUUCUGCAGGGACAGGUUUUCCCGGAAGUCAUCAAUCUGGAGAAAUUGGUUUUGUUUAAUGAUUUAUUGGGACUUAAUUAUCUUUGCUGAAGAAUGAUGAUCGUGGAGAUUCAUGGUUCUCUAUGCAUGGAUCCCGUACCCUUGAAGUUGGAAGGACUGUAGGAAUUACGCCAGCUAAAGAAGGUUAUGUGUAAUAAAUCAUUAAACCGAACAUUUAACAAAGAUUUGCCUUUACCGUUUUCUCUUUGUUAUAAAACUCGACCUAUGGGGAGGAUUAGAUUAGGUGGUUUGAGAGAGAGUGUGUGAAUGAAAAGUUUCGAAUUCGAUUCCUUCUAUUUACAUUAAAAAAAAUCUCAACCUAAGUGUUGGCAUGCAACAAAGUACUGGACGAGAGGGCUCCUUAUUAAAAAAAAAUGGACAAGGGAUGGCUGGCAUAUGGAGAUGAUGUAGCAAGGCUUGCAAAAAUAAGCACCAAGGCAAUCUUAAACGUUGAUAUGGUAUUGCGGAAUCUGUGGACCUAUUAUUCAAGUAGUUUACAUCAGGUAAUCUGGAAAGAAAACUCACUCACUAGUGGGAGUUUUAUGUAAUCUUUUUAAUUUUUUUUAUUAGAUUUGAGUUUUUUCAAAUUUGGUUGUCAAAUUUGGAAAUUUUUCCCUUUGUACAUAUUGUGUGGACCUAUUAUUGACAUGUAAUGUGCCAUAAUAAAGUGCGUAACAACAACAUUUUUAAUCUUGUAUUGUUGUUGAAUUCACUUAAUUAUAAAAAGUGCGACAUUAUCAAAUAAUAGACACAAAUAUAAAAAUUCAUAAAAUUAAAGAGGUGGGUUAUCCAUUAGUUUGUUUGUUUCGCUUAUAUCGCUUAGUAUAGAAUUUUGCUUGUUGUUAAUCGCGCUCUAUCUAUCUCCUUUGUGUAUAUUGUAAAAAUAUUAGAAUGAAGUGGUCUAAUUAGCGAAAAGUUAAGUAUCAUUUUUCAAUUUUUUAUUCUGUUUCUAGAAUAACGAGGAUGCCAUUUUUCUUUCUUUUUAACCUUCUAGAUGAGAAGGAUGAUGAAUUGGCAACAAAGAAUAGCAUAGUGACAAAAGUACUUUGUUUCUUUUUCCAUUUUAGGAUUACACAAGUAACUCACAUUGGUCGUGGGAUGGAUACCUAAGAACUGUAACUCCCUACGGACUGCAAAUGAUUAACAACAUACAAAUAGUGAGAUGAAGAUUAAUAUGUAGUUCAAGUAAAUUCACAUUUAAUGAUAAUCAGUUCUUGACCAAUAGUUUCUAUUCUUCUCCCAGAAGCAUCUUUUGUCAACUUUGUCCUUGUGAUUUUUGCAAAGGCAAUUAAUGACAAUAAUUACAAGCCAAUGUUUUUAUUGUUUUAUUUUUUUCCCCCAUAGGAUCGGAGUAUUCAUUACGGAUUUAUUAUAACACUACAGGAAACCAAUGAAGUGAUCGGGGAACAAUCUUAUCUCAAAAUUAAGAAGCAUAGUUGCUAAAUGACAUGAAAUUCCGUUAAGACGUGUGUAUUGGCCACUUUCUCUAUUUUUUUUUUUUUGAAGUUUUAUACCAUUGUUUUAUAGCAAGUGCUGAUUUUUGAAUUUGGUUGAACGUGCUAUGACAUUUUUUGGAACCGUAAUCGUAUAUAUCAAAAUUUCAAUGAUAGUAGGAAAUAUUUCUUAUUAAAGGUGGAGAUAUUAGACAACAAAGUAUGGUCUAAUUGGUGAGAUGCUUCACGCAUAUAUAACUGAUAGAUCGCGAGUUUAAAUCAUCAUGAGAAUAUGCAAGGAACCACUAUUGAUUGAUCUUCUUUAGAAAAAAAAGGGUCAAGACGUUAUUGUUUUUUACAUUUGGUUGUGGCAGUGUUACACGUCCACAAAAUACUGAUGGCAUCAUUAAUCAGAUAUAAAUUAAGAAAAUUAUAUAAUUAAAGGUUAUUUAUAUUGGACUGUGUCCUCAUUACAGUUCCCCAAAAAAAAAAAAAAAGAGAAUGUCUAAUGCAUCACUAAUCAAGAGAAAUUCUAAAAUUCAGAAACCUUGAUGAACAGAAAUUUUGGAAUGAAGGGAAAACAAAAUUAACCAUAAAAAAUUCAAAGAAACAUAUCAACAACAAUGAGAAUUGGAAAAAAAAAAAAAGGGAAAAUAAAUAUCUGAGCACAGUAGAACAUAUUGUCUAGUGCUUUGUAUUCUCUUUAUUGUUCCAUUUUCCUCCUGUGUUACCAUUUUCGUCAUUAUUAAUUCAUUUUUCUUGGUUACCAUUGGUGUCAUUGUCCCUUGCCCUUUUUGUUAACUGCCCUGCAAGAACUCCUAAUCUCCCCCUGGCUUCCUGUUAGGACUUCAACAGCACCCAUUUUAACCAUGGCUUGACCAAACUUUGUGGAGAAAUCGAACCUGGUUGCUAUUGCAGUUACAAUGUCCUUGGUCAAUGGGUCCAGGGCCAGUUGUUGAUCAAUUUGCAGAAUUCCUCUGUUCAAUUUUGUUUGCUUGUAAUAGGAGUUGUCAACAAUUAAAGAGCUCAAAGGGUUCUGAUCCAGAUUGACUGUGUUAUCAACUGUAGCAUUUUGAGGACACCUGAUUCUCAGGAAAAAUCGCAGCAAAGGGCUCAUGGUAUUGUCUGGUUGGCCACUGUUUUGGAAGUUGUAGAGACGAUCUUGGAAGAGGGAACAAUGAGCAACUCCCACGGUGUGCCCACCUUGGUUCAAUCAAGAAUUGAGAUUAGUUAUAGUCACCUUGGAAAUAUUUCGAAUAAGAUUUUUUUCCCCAAUAAUGAAUAACUAAAUCUAUUUGCAUUAAAUUAAAAAAAAAAAAGGAUUUUGCCAUUAGAAUAAUAAGGCGUGAGUACUUAUCAUGAAAUAUAAGAUUAUAAGACUGUUUUUAGUUUCUUUAUGAAAUAUAAGAUUUCAAAAAUGUUUUUAAGUUUAAUCAAACCAUUCACAAUCAAUUUCGUGGUUGAUGUUAGUGACAUGUGAAAAAUUGAAAUGAAAGGAAGCCGGUUCACCAUUAAUUGUGCGGGUAUAGAUUUUAUCACAACUUUCUCAAUUCGUGUACCAUCCCAGUAUUUUGCAAAGAGAUUAGAUGAUGAAACUUUCUCAAAUGAAUUGAUUUUAUAGUAAAAUGACAAUUUCUUCUAAUAAAGCUAAUGGCAUGUUAAUAAUUCUUCUCAAGUUUAAUGAGAUGUAUACAAACAAAUGAAGGGAAGGCAUUAUCUAGGGUCUAAAUUCAAAAGACACAUUAAGUUCAGUUACUCGCAAUCUGAUUGCCAAGAACAGCAAAUUCAGAAUGUAUUUAGAAUUUUAUUUUUUUUUUUCAGAUCUAUUGUAUUUUAUGAUUUUCAGUUUCUGUGGCAUAGUAAUGUAUUUUCUACCAUUAGUGGCAAUGAAAUUAUGCCUUUUAUUUUUUAAAAAAAAAAAAAAAGCAAUGAAAACUUGAUUAUUCACUAGGAUUGGCCUAAUGAUUAGGGAAGGAUUUUUAGAGUUUUUCCGGUUGUCAAAUUUAGGAUUCAGAUCCUGUGCAAGGCAGUUGAGGGUGGAAAAGAUGUGGCGAGAGAUGGGAGAGUUAAAAAAAAAUGAAAAGUUGAUUAGAUUUGCAAAAUGAAGUAUAUACCAAGAAGAUAAACCAUGUCCACCACAUUAAGCCCUUUCUGCUGAAAUGCUUUGAUAGAAUCCGAGACCGAUAUAAAGGGUGGCGGCAGGUUCACAAGCGUGGCAAGCGACAAGGUGCCGUCUUUCCUCCCGGUUUCUACAGGGUACCGUCCUCCACCACUCUGCAUUUACCAAAUCAAGAGUAAUUCUAUAAAGAUAUUGUCCAAUAGAAGAACAAUAAUAAGAAAUGUUGGUCCAAGAAAUGAAAUUAGUAAUUAUUUUUCUAAGGCUCUUAAAACUCAACGCUUAUUUUAAUUUUUAACUACCACCACAGACUUAUAAAGGUUGUUUUUUUGCAUAGCUAGUCAACUUCUUUGCAGCUAAAUGUACGAGUCAAACUCAAAUGUCAGCACCUCUAAAUGACUUUUUUUGAUAAUAAAGGCAUAUAGCCGGAAUUGACUAAUUUAGAAAAAUGAAAACAACUCUUAAAGAAUUAUCUUACCAUGGAAACCGCAUCCCUAGCAGCCAUUGAAAUGAUAUCAGCACAGGAGACCACACCAGGGCAAAUGGCCUCAACAGCUGCCUUUGCCGCAUCAAUAAGAUCAUACCCCCUAACACUUAAAUUUGGUAUUGCAGUUUUCUCACUGUUGCUUCCAUCCAGAAGAAGAGAUGCAUCACAACCCUUUUAAAUCAUAGGCAGAAAGUCAACAACCAACCUAAUAUAUUUGGAUUAAUCUUUCCUACACUAAUAAUAGUGUAUACAUCGUUAGCAUUGGAUGAAUGGUAACUAUGCAAAAUUUGAAUUUGAAAUCCAACUUUUGUACAUGUGUCGUGAAUGUAAUGGUGAUAAUGUAUACACUGUCAAUGUAUAUAAAAUUUAUUCAAUAUAUUUUUUUCUCAAUCAAUUUAUUUUAAUCAUUCUAACUGUGCACGAUGAGUUUUUACGAUAUGUUGGAAAUUUUACCCCUUAAAGUUCUGUAUGCAUGUCAAUUAGUCCCAAUUGAUAUUAAUGACGCUGGCGAACUCGAGAGCAAUGCAUGCACGUAACAACGACAUAAGAUUAUAUGCAAUGGCGAAGUCAAGACCUUAAGAUAUGGAGCAUUUUUCUACAAGCACAUGCACUAUGAUAAGAGUAAUAAAGAUCAAAUGUUAUGAAAAUCAUUCUAUUUAUUUGAAUUCUCAUAGAUUCAACUUAGCCGGUAAGAACAUUAUUUAAGUGAAUAUGAGACCCUUGUUUGAUUUUAUCAGGACACACGUAAAAUUUAUUAAGAAAAAAAAAAGAAGACGAAGAAGAAAGAACAAUGUCCUAGAAAUAAAUAUUCAAGAUGCAAGAUGGAAAUUGACAACACUUUCAAAGGCACUGCAAAAGUGGAAUUUGACUUGUAUACUUGCAUUUUCCAGUAGAGUUGAUGAAAAAGGACGGCAAAGGGAGAAAAGCAAAAAUUCUCUUACCUUAACAAAGCAAUCAUGAAAUUGCAUGCGGAGGAGAGCAGCAGUAAUUGUAGGAUCCUUAAAGAACCACGUUCUCACCACACUGCCAACAAUCGCCUCAACAUCGACCCCUUUGCAUUUCCCCUUAUAAAACCCUACCUGCAAUGGUGAUGAAGCACCAUAGCACUGCCCCAACAAGCCCACAAAAACCAAUCCCAUGGCUAGUGUUACUGCAGCACCUUUCGACAUUUUUUGUAUAAUUGAUCUGGAAACGUUGGUUACUUUUUGCAAUGUAGAUGGCACAUUUCUGCUAUCUAUUUAUAUGUGACUGCAAGAACUUUAAACAUGAGCACGUAGUUUGGAAUAUUGCUUGGUUCUAACAACCAUUUGGCACAACUUUUCCCUCUCAUUGUGAUUGAUUGAACGUGCAAUCAUGAUAUAAUGUAUUUGCACUAAAGAAUGUACCACUGGGGAGCAAGGAUUUAUUUUUUAAACAUGUUUAGCUGACUUAGAGCUGGACUAUUAUGCAUCGGCUUAAGUGUUUAUUUGAAAGUUAUUCGUGUUUAGAUUGCAAAUCUUGUUGGAUUUGCUUACCAUUUCUGGUAACUAAUUAUGGAAGGAGAAUAAGAAGCUAGCUAAUUAAACUGCAUAUUCUUGAGUUAUUAAACUAACAACUAAAAUUGAAAAUUAGUAAGGAUUGACCUGCCUAAUUAAGAAGGUAGAGGGAAUCAGCAGAAGUUCCUUUCCCCUUUCCUUUAGCUGUGAAAAGUCUUUGAUGAAUUGCAUAAUCAAGGUGGCAGACUCUUUCCUAACAAUUAACAAAUACCUGCCCUCAUAGCAAAUAAUUAUUUUAAAACCUACCCCUUUCCCUUUUGGCUUUUUUUUUUUUUUCAUUUCAAAGAGUACUGUGUUAUUGUUAUGUCAUGCAUGAUGGUAUAUAAUUCUCUCUCUCAAAAAAAAAACUAUAAAAAACUCUCAUGUUUGUAUUAGGGGCAGGAAUUGAUCUUCAACCAAUCGUUUAUCCAAUCAAUUCACACACAUUGUUUUAAAAAUGUGCAAUCUGGGUUUAUGACUAAUAAUUCUUUGAAAACUCUAGUUGUAACCUACAAAGUAUUCCUUCGUUGGAAAAAAAUUUGGGGGGCAUCAAAGCAGUCCCAAAAUAGCAAGAAAACACAUUUAGCCCAUAAAUAUUUUGAAGUUUGACAAGAAUAGGACCACUUAACAGGAUGUGGAAUCAACUGCUAAAUGAAAGGUUUUCUUUUUUUGGGUAUUUAAUGGGGGACUCCAACUCUUACAAUAGGGAAAGGAGCAAGGAGAUGGCUUAAGAAUCGAACCAAAAACCUAAUGACUAUUUGGCUAAUCUCCCUAUGACUUAGGUAAGAAUAGUUUAGUUCCAUAAAAAAAUGUUAAAACACUUGGAUGCACAUAUGGCUUUCCCUUUCAUAAAUCUAUAUGUUGAUAUUUUCAUGCAAGUGAGAAAAAUGUAAAAUUGACUUCAUAAAUGAGUUUGAGGGACACAAAUCUUAUCUUAAUAUAUGAAUUAAUUUCCACGUUACUCAAACAAUUAAUACUUCACAAGGUAUUCUUUUGAAAAAACAAAUCCCAAUUGAAGCUCUAUCUUGAAUUAAGAUCAAAACUUCUUGGAUUUUUUGUUCACAGCCCGGCAUGAUGUUCUAAUCUCUCCUUGGUUUCCAGUUGGGACAUCGACAGCACCCAUUUUAACUAUCGCUUGGCCAAAUCUACUAGAGAAGUCCCUAACCAUGGGCAGUGGGCUAUGUAGCAGUCACAGUGUCCUUUGUCAUUAGAUCCAAUGCCGGCUCUUGAUCAAUUUGAAGAACCCCUCCAUGCAAGGCUAUUUGUUUUUACUUUAUAGUGAGGAUCAUCAACAGGUAUUAGCACUAGGAGGGUUUUGGUCGAGUUUAACAGUUUGAUCGAAUCCAGAUAUUUUAGGACACCUUUUUCUCGGAUUGCUCACUAGAUUGGAAUCCAUUGAAGGGUCUGGCUUCCCUGUGUUGUGGAAAUUGUAGAGGCGAUAUUGAAUGAGGGAACAACAAUAAGCAUUUCCAGCUGUAUGACAACCUUCAAAAUUCAACAAAAGUUCAUAGAUGACACUUGCGAGUACAAUUGCAUGAAGUGUGAAGUAUAAUGACUCGAUGACACUUUCAAAUUUUAUUUUCAUAAUGGUGUUAUUGUUACCAUCUAGUUAUCCUGAUUGCCAUAUAGGAUAAUAAGAAAGGAAAGAUUUAAUCUAGUCUAUAGUUUUCAACAUGAACUAAAAAUUUAAAUUUUUGUUAUUAUAGAGGUGCAAAAAGAUUGCAUGACUUCGAUAAUUUUCUUAUAUUUAUUUAAAAUAAAUUCGAUUAUUAUUGACCUUACUAUUAUUGGUCUCUACAUUUUUUUUAAAUGUAUCAAACCUAUUGCAUAUAUUUUUUUCAAAAAAUAAAAUUUAAAAAAUACAAAAAUUGCAAUGAAAAUUAAGCAAUAACGAGGAAAAGUUAGAAAAACUUCAAGGCAAUCAUAUUUGUUUAUGUUAUCCUUCCUACUCCUUGAAAAGAAUUUUUGCAAAAAGUAAUCAAGCUAAAAUUUUCAAGUUUUCAAUAACAAAUUGAAAACUACCAUAUUAUUAUAUAAGUAAUCAACAAGUAUAAAAAGCAAAAGGCAUCCUAGAUAUGAAUAUAUAUUGUUAUGUAGUUUUCUUCAUAGACAUUUUAUCAAACAAAAGGUGUGAGAAAUCAUUUUUUAGAUAAUGGAAGGAAAAAAUGCAUAAAGGUUCAGAGAGAAAAAUAGGGAAAAUAUUAGAUGAAAAAGAGAAAUGGAGUACGCAUCUAUCUUCAUCUUGGCACAUAUAGAGCUUAUGUGGCUAAAAAAAAGGAUCAUAAAAGUAAUAAAUUUUAUAAUUAGGUUACUUUGGGUAUAUGUUUUGAAAGGAGAGUUAUUUUGACAAUAAACUUGUGUGAUGUUGAGGUUGCAUUGCUAUCAUCACAUGCCAAUAUAUUGAAAUAGCUCCACUACCUGAAUUUAUUUGGAUAAGUUUGCUCAAAUUUAAGGUAUAGUAUUAUCAUCCCAUCUCGUGCAGUUUAUUCCUAGGAGAUACCGAAAUGGCUAUUGUCUCUUGGUGGCAAUUAUAAAUCUCAAUGUAUCCUUGAAAAUUUUGAAAAUAUUCUCAAAAUAAUUGAAAGGGAAAAUGUUGUUAAAAACGAAAAAGAAAACACAUGUAAAACCAAGUUCUGUCCUUGUAACUUAGAAUAUGUUCUUGAAACACAUUUUUUAAUCACUAUUUUAUUUAUUCAAUUAUUUUUUAUUUCAUAUAUAUUACAUUAUAAAAAGUAAUACACGAUUAAUCUACAUGAUUUUUUCAAAUAAUCUUCAAUACAAAUGGACUUAAUCUGAUCCACAAUACAUACAUUGUAUACAUACGCCAAAUCUAGGAACACAUUCGAAAUCUAUAUUUUAGGAGUAGUUUUGUCUCUUAUGGGAUUGGGUGAGGAAAAACAAUUUAGGAGGUAAAUAUUGCAAAUUCUGAACGUACCUUGGGGGGAAUUUUUAUGAUUAACCCUUCAGGAAAAUCAUUUAAAACGUUCCGUACGUAUGUCAAAUGAAUUUUCUCUUCAUUUACUUUUAAAAUAUUCAUUUUACGCCGCUUACAAAUUCAAGUUAAUUAGCAAAAUUUGAUCUCAACCUUAGUUUCCGACUAUUUUUUAGUUUGAAAUCAUCAUAUGACCUACAUGCAAUUAUUUUUUAUAUACAAAAUAGUUAGAUCUCAAUUUUUUUAGUGGCAAAAAUGAAUACAAAUUAAACCAAAUCCUAAAUGAGUAUAGUUGAGUCAGAUAUUAUUUUUUUAAGAACAAAAAUGAAUAUAAAUCAAGUCAUUUAUUAUUAUUUUUAAAUAGGAUCUAAUCUUUUUGUCCCUAAUAGAAUGAUUAUGUGUCAAUCACGUGAUAAAUUUUGGAUAAAAAGUAUUCAAAAACUUAUAUUGGAAUCAAAAUUAACCGAUUUGAUUUUACUAUUCUAAAAGUAAAAAACAAAAGAACGCGAAAUAUGAUGGAUGUUUGAACGAUUUGGCGCACCGCUUGGACACCAAAUGUUAGAACUUUUUCCAAGCAUAUAAAAUUUCUAAGCUACCCUUCAUCACUGCCCUGGAGGCCAAAGCCAACAAAGCAACUUAAUCAAGGGCAAUAUCGUCAGGAAGGUCCAACUCCAAUGACAAAAAGUCCCCCAAUAGUCGGCCUCCUCGUUCAUCAUCUCCUUCUGCGUGGACAAAUCGCCGUGAACCUCUCAUCUCUUCCGUAUCCUUCUCAAGAACCCAUGGGCAAAAAGGCCAAAUGGAGCUGGACCUCCGCUUUAGUAGGCGCAGCAACCGCCGCAGCCGCGUCGGCAAUACUCUCCUCAAAGCCGCGUGACCCCACUUUCCACCUAAUCUCAAUCAACCUAACUUCCUUAAAGCUCAACUUCCCUGUUUUGGACGCAGAGAUGAUCCUGACGGUCCACGUCAGCAACCCAAACGUCGCGACCGUCCGAUACUCCUCCGCGAACAUGUCCAUCUACUACGCCGGCUGCCUCCUGGGGUCAGCGGUGGUGGAAGCGGGUUCCCAGCCGCCGAGAUCCUGCCAGUUCCUCCACCUUCCGGCGCGGCUCAGCGGGCUGGAGCUGGCUCAUCAUGCAAAGGAGUUCUUGGCUGACGUGGCGCGCCGGGAGAUGGUGCUGAAUGCAGCUGUGGAUAUAGAAGGAGAUGCUAAGGUUCUGUGGUGGGACCAUAGGUUUAAAGCUCACGUGGACAGUCACGUGAGUGUUGACCCUGUUUUUCUUGAUGUAAUUGACCAGGAAAAUAAAUCUGAAAUGAUGCUCUUUAAUGCCUAAUUUUGUACACUCACGCUAAUUUUUUUUUUUCUCCCUGGUAAGAAUUUGUCAUUGCAAUCUUCAAUCGUGUAAUUUACAGACUUUGAUGAGAUGAAAAUUAAAUAUGAGAUGGGUCUGAUAUUAAUAUAUUGAUGUGUCCACUGCACGUUCAAAAAAUCAAAAUGCAGAAAAGAGGAUUGUUAGAGUAUAAUGCAGAAAUGAUGCUUCUGUAUCAGCAAUUAAACAAGUCAUUGGCAUCCGCAGUUACGAGGGUCAAUUUAUUUCUGGCUUAUCUAAGAAAGUGCAGAAUUGGCAGAAAAGUUCUUGCUGCAAGGGAAGCAGUGAAUUUCAACAACCAACUUAAUAUAUCCCUUUUUUUUUUUUUUUUUUUUUUUUUAAAGAAAUGGUUGUGUAUCAACCUGCAUACAUGAUUUAGUUGACUGACAGGAAUAAAUAAUCACUACAAGAUUCAUAAUUCUUUGUUUUUGGUCAGUGAACCGUUUUAUUUUACCAAAAUGAUAAUUCAACUAACUGAAGCUUACAUUUUUGGAGUAAAAAGUGUAUGUUUUAUUAAUUGAAUGAUCAAAAUUGUACAUAAGUUGAGUGACUAAAAAUUAUAUUUUUUUUCAUCAAUUGAGUAAAAAUUUUGACAGAACAAAAAGUUUAAGAACCGAAAUAAGAAAGGGAUAAUAUCAGAAACCUCCCUUGAGGUUUCUUCUAAUAUCACUUGGUACCCCUAAAGUUUUAAAGUAUCACUUAUCUCCCCUACUAAUUGUAAAAAAACUAUAUUAACUUUCACUUGAUACAUAAUUCACAUAUCAAAUAAAUGGACCUAAAAAAGUUUUUAAAAUAAAAGUCACUUUCUUCUCUUUCCCUUUUCUCCAACAUUCUCUCUUACUUAUUUUUGGAGGAUUAUACAAUUUUUUAUUUGUAAAUUAUAAUAAAUUGAAUUUUAUAUAUCUUUUACUUUUUAUUAUUAUGAUAGAGUAUGGUAUGAUUUAGUUGCUUAUUUUGGAAUGAUUUUUAUAAUGAUCGGUAUAAUUUAAAUAUUUGGGCAAGAAUUGAGAAGAAGUUGAAAAAAAUAUUAAAUUCAUAAAUAAUCGGUUUUGAACAUAUAUAGUUAAAUUAGUCAAAUGUAUUUCUUUACAAAUGCCUUUUUAUUUUUUGAAUAUAUAUUUUUAUGGACUAUAACAGUAUGAUAGGGUAGUACUAUUAGAUAUUUUUUUUAGAUGAUAGUUUUCUUAAAGUAAACAAAGUGAUUGAAAAGUAUUUUUAUUUAGCAAGUAGAAGGGCAGUUUAGAAUUUUUAAAAUUUUUGUUACACAAAUAACAAAAAUAGGAGAAAUAAGUGAUAUUUUUAAAAUUUUAAGGAUACUAGAUGAUAUUAAGAGAAACGUGAGAGAAGGUUUCUAAUAUUAUCCCAAUAAGAAAACUGGUAUUAUAGUUUAGUGACUAUUUUUUUUUUCCGUUUGCUCUAUUCUACCACAAAACUUUUCCCAAAAAUCAUCCAUCCAAUAAAAAAAAUAAAAUAAAAUCAAACGCACUUAGUCGUUUGAUCGUAACAAAACCCCCACAGCCCACCGCCCUUUUGUAGUUUGUGCCGGUCUAAGCUUUCCCAGUCCCAACUCCCGUGCGUUAACUCAAUUCACUCCUGUCGUUUAUUAAACGACUCCUCAGUCCUCAGAAAAGAGCUGAACUGCGCAAGUAAGAGAUUUUGCAAAGUAGUACCGAUGGAGGAUGGGAAAAGGGUGGUGACCGUCUCAGCUCUCCAGUUCUCCUGCACUGAUGACGUCUCCACCAACGUUGCCACUGCUGAAAGGUCCCCACUUUUUUUUUUCAUCUUGCAGCAACUUUCAGCAUGAACCCAUAAGAAAUUUUUACCCGUUGAUGAUAAUUUGGAUCGGGAUCAAGGAGUUUCUUGACAUAAAUAAAGAUGUGAAAAGGGUUUUGGUGGCUUAGUGCAAAUGAUUGAGGUUUUUAAGUAAAAGGGUAAUUGAGGUUUCGUUGAGUUUGAUUGGCGAAUUUGAAAAAUCUGAUCUUGUUGCCAUUCAUUUUUCGAUAUCCUUGCUGAAUUUUCUUCCAGUAAUGUGUUUGUCAGAUCCCUUUAAGCUAAAAGAUUGGAGCUUUAUUGUUUGUUUGGAACUUCCAAGCACUGGAUUAGAUGUAGCUGAAUUCUAGCACUAGCUGAUAGUCAAGGAGUAGCUGUGAAACUUGAGGUUCUAAGAUUGAAUCUGGUGGAUGUAAAUGCCAAUAAUUGAAGCUUAGCCAUCUUCUUUACCUUGGGUCACCCCCAUCAAAAUUUGGAAGAAGUAAAACGUGGCAUAAUCUUCAGAGGAAUGAAUUUCUGUGGCUCAUUUGCAGCUAGAAACAUAGAAAAGGAUAGAAAACCUUAACGUGGGAGGUUUAAAUUUCAAAGCAUGGGGAUUCUUUGGCUGCAUGACUGUAAGGUUGUGUGAAAUGUACACUUGGUUUACACUGGGUCCUGUGUAUGGUCAGGGCAUUAUGAAGCAGGUUUGUCUAUUUAGGCAAAAUAAUUACAUGGCACGUGUGAGUAAAAGGAUCCUCUUGGGCAGUUCUCGAUUGGCAGACUGAGAUAUUCUUCUGUUAUAAUAAGUGAAAUAGCUGUUCCUUAUUAGAAAAUUGAGGUCAAGAUUAAACAGAAGCAGCUACUGAAAAUGAUUCAAACCAGUAAAUCCAAAGACAUGGCAAUGCACUCUCACUUCGAGGAUAUUAGAAAUCUGUGCUCAAUGUUUACGGAAUGCUCAUUCAUUUUGUCCACUAAUCUAACGGAGGAAAGGGUUGAUUUAGUCAGUAUGCAUGCAUUAAGCAUUUCUUUUGAUGAAGAGUGGUUCCACUAUUAGUGCCAAGAUGCACUUGUACAGUCAAUUUGGGCCUUUGCUCGACAAUUGUAUAGCUUACUACAUAUCAAUGCAAUUAUCUACCGUUUCUGGAAAAAAAAUAUUAGAAUAAUGGUAGAAAAACGUCUUUGGUUGUAUUUUUGUGGUUUUGUAUUAAUAAUCUGGAGCUAAUCACCCAAGAGACGAAAACAACAUGACUGUUGAACAUUGCCUGCUUGUGUUUUUCAUACCAACUGUUUUAUUGAAAACCAUGUUGCUAAAACAAAAUUGGGCUUACUAAGAAUUUAACUUCAUCAUAUGUAAGAACACUGUUGCUGAGAUAAUAACCUUGAGAACAAGAAAAUUAAACCUUUAUCAACUAUUGAUUUUUAUCUCUGACUUGUUCCUAUUUGCAGAUUGGUUAGAGCAGCUUAUCAGAAGGGUGCUAAUAUCAUUCUCAUACAGGUUAGUCCUCCCCAUACAUGGAAUAUACAGCUCCAAACAGAAGUCCUCCUAGUCAUAAUCAAUCUUGAAAUUCUUCCGCCAUUUCAUUUUUUUUUCAUGUUUGUGACACUUGUGGCAAAAAAUGACGUGUGCAAUGGCAAAAACCUGGUACAACCAGUUACAUUUCCUAACAGAGUUGGAUGAUGUAGUCAUAGUAUAUCUUUUGUCGUGGAUGCUACUUGUGUUUUAUUUUCCUUUUGGAUUUCCAGGAAUUAUUUGAGGGUUACUACUUUUGUCAAGCUCAAAGGGGGGAUUUCUUUCAGCGAGCAAAGCCUUAUAAGGGACAUCCAACAAUUCUAAGGUGAAAAAUCUUCUUUUCUUCAUUUUUUCCUCUUUGUACUCGUGUGGCUGAUGGAGCAGCUUGUUUUAAUAGAAAUGAUUUAUUUGCUUCACAUUCAUUGACAUUCCUUGAGCAAUAUUUUAUGCAUGGUGUGCUUCUCAGAAUGCAGAAGCUCGCCAAAGAACUGGGAGUAGUGAUACCAGUUAGUUUCUUUGAGGAGGCAAACAAUGCCCAUUACAAUUCAGUAGCUGUAAUUGAUGCUGACGGAACAGAUCUUGGGCUUUAUAGAAAAUCCCACAUCCCUGACGGUCCAGGUGUGCGAGUGUGAUAGUUGAUUUAAAUCUGAUAUGUGAUGUUUUCAUUUUGUUUAUAUCUGAUAAGAAAUUAAGUCUGAUAUGUGAUGUUUCCUCUCCAGGGUACCAAGAAAAGUUUUACUUUAAUCCAGGAGACACUGGUUUUAAGGUGAUUUAGCUAGAUUACGUCUGAGCAUAUACUGCUUCUGUCAACACCAAUCGUGAUUUCUUUUUAAUAACCUUAAUGUUUUGAUGAUGGUGACAAUGACCAGGUCUUCCAAACUAAAUUUGCAAAAAUUGGAGUUGGUAAGUCUUCCUUUUUCCUUGAUUUUCAUAUCAUCCUGCAAUCAUUUUGAAUGAGGUGUGCCCAUAGGUUCCAGAUUGAUGUUUCCACUCAUGGUCAAAAUGCAUAACAAAUGAUAUAGAAGCUGUGUCUUCCAAAGCUCAAAAUUACUGGUAGCAGUAGAAAGAAUUGAAGGCUUAAACAAAUGAUUCAAUCAGCUUCCAGAAGGAAAUAGGAAAUCUAAGUUUUCUACUGCUCGUGCUUGACAGCAAUUUGCUGGGAUCAAUGGUUUCCUGAGGCUGCACGAGCUAUGGUUCUUCUAGGUGCAGAAAUAUUGUUGUACCCUACUGCUAUUGGUUCUGAACCUCAAGAUGAAGGCCUUGAUUCUCGAGAUCACUGGAAGAGAGUGAUGCAAGGGCAUGCUGGGGCCAAUCUGGUGAGUUGCAUAUCCUGAAGGAUGUUUUUAACCUUGGACUUUGUCUGGUUGAUCCACACGUUUAUAUGUUGGAUUAAAAUUUUAGUGGGGACUUCCACAGUAAUUGUUGCAGAUGUUUCUUGUGUUCAUAAGUUAGUGGUUCUGGUUAUUUUGUCUUGAAGGAGUCGGACCUAUAUGCAUGCACUGUAUAACGCAUAACAAACCACCAUUUACUUCCUCUUGGUAGAACUCUUAAGUAUCUUGGACUUCAUUUGACCAUACAAUACACAAUUAACCAAAAUUGUCUUCUUUUAAAUUUGCCCCCAUUUUUGUACAAUGAAAAGAAGUGUCAUGGCAUUUGGUCUGCUGUUGCCUGGUAGAUUACAUAUAGGUGGGACAUGAUUUCAAAUGCUUGUCUUCAGAAUUGAGUCUGAGUCUAUGGCUAAGGCACCAAAGCACUUCCACUACCUUAACACUAUACAGGAGAAUUUUGUAUCCAAAAGUUUAUCAGAGUUACUAGAUACCUGUUUAUCUUUAAAACUGAAGUAUUGAAAUGCUAAUUCCAGGUUGUCCUGUUCCCUCCUUGCCUUGAGAAGCUCUAAAUUUAUCUCUCAUGGGCUCCAUUCAUAAACGGAAACUCCUGUCUCCUACAUGCACAUUAGCUAAGCAGCAAAUCCUUUAGGGUUUCUUGCAAGCACCACUCUGUGUGUCAAGAGUUUCCAUAUUUUGAGCUUGCCAUCUUCUAAUGCAACAAUCCUGGUUGAAAUUUUUCUUGUUGCUUGAAGCCCAUGGCACUCAAUAACACAGAUCUCCUUCUGUUUCAUAUUCCUUUUCUAGGAAUGUUUUGUCGUAGUUUUCCAAACAGUUUUAGAGUUUCUGUUUUCCAAGGAAAGAUGGUUGUCUCUUCUUUCCAAGAGCUAAAUGCUUUGCUAAAAGUUCACAUGGAUAAUUUGACUCUUGUCCAUCUAAAGCUGAAGAAACUUUGUCAUGCAAUAAGAUUUCUAUCUUUUGGCCCCUUCUGUUUAACUUGAAAGUUUUAAGAGUAUAAGCUGAUUCAGGGGGCCAUGUAAAAAAUUUUGCCCCUAGCUCUGCAUAUUACUUUCCAGGAAAUAUAUUUUCAGGCUUCUCUUUGAGAACCUUGUCCCUUCCUACCAGUUCAAGAAUGUCACCUUUUGUUUACAAUUGUCAUUUCUCGAGGGGCCAUCAGAGUAUUCAUCCAAGUGUCAAUCGAAGAGUUUCUCUACCUUUUAUUCCAGUUACAACAUUGAAGUGAGCAUCUAGCAUAACUGAUUCAUCACUGGUCACUGAAAUUUGUGAUAAGACAGCCACUGAAUGAUAAGGACCCUUUCCAUAAAUCAAAGCAAUACAUGAUGGUUGGACUAUUGGCUAUUUCAGGUGUUGGUUCAUGAACAAAAAGCUGAUGCUUUUGAACUUCAGGAAUGUAAGAUUUGUUAGUUUAGGAGGUUGCAUAGAACUAAGUUUUUAAUCUUGCAUUCCUGAUCAUUUUGUGCCUCAUUUGAUAUAUGCUGGAAUAUACUUUUGUCCCUCACUGUAGAAUUUUAAUACCUUUGAGUACACAAAUGUUUUAAUUUGUCUAAAUUGAGGCCUUGCUGACAUAUGUGGUAACAUUCAGGUGCCUUUAAUAGCUUCGAACCGCAUCGGAAAAGAGAUAAUUCAGACAGAACAUGGCAAAAGUGAAAUCAUAUUCUAUGGCAAUUCCUUUAUAGCGGGUAUGUUAUGUGCCAGUAUAACUAGAAUAUUGCUGGCCUUUAAAAAGUUUCUUCAUAUUAUCAUCUGUGUGAGUAGGAGUUUGAGCAUUGAUGUUCUGAUCAGGACCAACUGGAGAAAUUGUUGCAAAUGCUGAUGACAAAGAGGAAGCUGUUCUUGUGGCGAAAUUUGAUCUGGAUCAAAUCAAAUACAAGAGAUAUAGUUGGGGAGUGUUUCGCGAUCGACGUCCAGAUUUAUACAAGGUGCUAUUGACAUUAGAUGGCAGCAAUCCACCUGUGUAAUUUAUGCUGUUACAAUUUUUAGCUGAGACACUUGAAAUCAUGAGAUGGUACUCAAUUUUUUGAUGAAAGAGGAGUUUGGUUUUUGUUUUGAGACUUGGGUAUUUCUUUAGAUAGAGAACCAAUACGUAGGAGCUUAGCAAGAGUAGUAGAGUAUUCAGUAUUGGACUUCUUUAGAGAUACAAGCAUAUCUUUUGCUACUUCCAAAAGCUACACCCUGCUCUAUAUACGUUAGUUGUAUACACUACUGGCAUCUAAAAUAUCUUGGUCUUAGUAAGCAUCUAAGUCUGAGCCUCAGAUCAAGGUUUCUGAGCACUGUCACUGUGUGAGUGGCUACGUGGAACAUUUGUGUUAACAGUAUAGGACUUACCACUUGAGGAUCAAAUUCUGGAAGAUUGCAUGUGUUAGAUAUUCAAUGAUUUUUCGGACCAGUUAUUGGUGUUUUUUUUGGUCAUCAAAGUGAUGUAUCUGUACAAGGUGGUCCAUGAUAUCUUUUAUGUAAUAGUAUAUCUUGCAAUCUGAUUAACCAUUAGCUUGUCUUUGGGUCCUCAGCUGACGUGAAGGCCAAAUGUUGCCAAAAUUUUCUAGUGCCCACCCAAACAAAAAAGGAGAAUAAAAAAGCUAGUAGUAUUUCGUUCACUUCAUUUGUCUCUUCAUCAAUCUGCAUUUGGCCCACAGCAUCUGAUUAUCCUUUCCUGCUUAGACAGAGGAUUUGACAAGGUUGUAAUGCAUUCCGAAAUAAAGCUACUGUUCUACUCUAAUCUUUUCUUGCAUAUGGAUUAUUGUACCUGAGUUAAAGUGUAAACUUUAUAAGUCUCAGAACUUUUUCCUCAGAGAUUAUUGGGUCCAAAGGAGGAAAAAAGGUGUGUCGAUGAGCUUGGUGAUGGCCCUCCAACUUGGUUGGAAAUUAUAUCAUGGAUGGUUACGUUUUUCCGGAUCUUUUUAUUCUAUAUACAUUACAUCAAAAAAAUUAUAAUAUUUCUUUUUUCAAAAAAUUAUUCCACGGCAACUUGGAAGCACAGUGGCCUCAGAUUUUAGUCAAGAAAGCAGCAAGCUGUUACAGCAGGCUCCCCGUUUUCAGGCCAAGAGACAGAUGGCUUUUAGUGUUCAAAGACUUGGUUGAUGUGUUGCCAUGUGUGACAUGAACAAAGACUUAUUUGGUUGUCAACAAAAUCCAAUAUGACCUAAGAAGAGCGUCUCCGUAGAUGUACCUGUCAUUAUUUUUGCUUUACUACUUUUUUUUAUCCAGAAAUAAGCUGAAAAUAACUCUCAGAAUCUAUUCUCACCAAAAUAUCAAUGGCCUCCGGGGCUUUGAACAGUUUCUAUGUAGGUCUUGUUUCCAGUCAAUGUUCUAGUGCUUUCUCCUUUCUAGUUGGUAUAGUGGCUACCCAUAAUUGAAGUUGGCUGGAAAAUAAGGGUAUUAUGCAGGCAAUCUUGACUUCUAUCAGCCCUCAUGUUUUAUUAUGUUAGUUUGGUAGCAUCAGGCAUGGCAUGACACAAAGCUCUGAGUUGGGAAACAUUUAUCAUUUUUUAUGUGUGUUUCAAGACCAAGUAGGGCUAGUGGGUAAGAAUGCACUAAUAUUUCUACGCACAACGUCACAGUAAAAAUGCACUAAUAUUUCAACACUGCUCCUGUUCAUUUUCAGCUGCAAAAGUUUGAAUAGCUGGGGUUGGAUAUAGGAUGAAGUGUCUGUGAUUUUCAUUUUCCAUCAGAAGAAAGGAUACCGAGUUUUGGGCUGGCUUACGCCGUUUUUUUCAUGCUUUUUGGCUUUUCUUCCUCUCUGUGGUGGAUCCUAGAAAGGGAAAUAUGGAAUUGGAAAAACAAAUAAUAUCAAGAACUACUGUAUCAAGAAAGGGGAGAAAAAAGAGAAAUUCAAAUUUUUGAUAUGAAGGAACUUGACUGCUGCAAUAGUUUAUUCCCAAAGUGUAUGGGAAGCAGGCUUCUGAAUUCACGAUUAAAUAUUUCCCCCUUUUUUAAGAUUUCAGCUUGCUUCUACCACUUGAUGUUUACAUGUGGUUAUAAAACUUAAUCAGAGUACACUUAUGAUUACUGCUCAGGCACAACAAGCUCUUGAAUUUGGCUAUUAACACUCUUCUGAUCAAUCUUGAUUAAUUUUUUUCUUGUACGUUGAGUUGAGGAAGAGAUGCAGGCAAGAAAUCACGAAUACAUUUCCGAUAGGAGUUAGAAUAAUCCAGGAGAUAUGGCAGAAUGAAAUACUGCAAAGAAAUAAAUGAGAAAAUAAAGAAACAAAAAUUGUCUGCUGGAAAAUCUAAAGGUGAAUUCACCAUCUGCCUAUAUCAAUAUUCUAUUUAUUUCCAAAUUAAGAUCACAAAAACAUGCCGCAAACUUGGAAGUUUUGGCUGCAGAAAGAAUCAAACAAGACUGGGAGCUUCUCUACCUAUUUUGUGAGCUAUCUUGGUUAUUGUUGGUCCUGAUUAGAACAUGCUUUCCAGCAUCAUUUCUUUCAAUCUCUCUUCUGUCUGCAAUAUUCUAACGGUGCUCAUGCUCAUCAUCGCUAUCAUCACCAUCGUUUUCCAAAUUUACUUCCUCAGAAUCAUAAUGAUCCUCUUCAUCUUCCUCAUCCUCCUCACCCUCAAGAAUUUCAUCAUCUGAUUGAAUAAGCUGCAACCUCAAACGUCCAUCUUCUCUGCAUGCAUGCAGAAACUCUUGAGUCGGAAAUCUAAUCUCCUGAAGAAUAAACCUGCCGUCUUGUCUAUAUGAUCUAAAAGACACCCAAGGCCUUCCUGUCCUUCCUAUACAAGAAAUUGGUGGAGGAAAUGACCCUUUAAUUGUUCUUGACCUUUUUGAUUCCUUAAAAAAGCAUAUUUUCUCCUCUGGGGGCUGGUGCUCCUGCUGAAUGUCAAAACUAGUCUCAUUUCCCAAAUCCUCCACAUCGUCAGAGCUUUCAAAUCCAAGACCCUCCGUGCAUAAUGAUAAACUCUCCGAAUUCACGGAAGAAAAGCUAUUACUGUGCUUGUAAUAUUUCUCGUGGCUUGGCGUUGGACAAUAGCUUGAUGCGGGGCUUUUGCUGCUGUCAUCCUCCUUGUCAAGUGGACUUUCAAUCCUAUUUUGUUGAUAUAUAUCUGCCAACAAUGAUGAAGAGGACAGCGAUGACGGUGACGAUGAGGAUGAGCAAGAAGAUGAUUCAGCAGGGAGAUCAAGAGAAGAUGAAGAGGAAGAGGGGGACUCAACAGAUUCAACAACUUCAUUCUCCUUGAAAUGUACUUCUCCAAAAAUCUCUGCAAAAGAAGAAUCUGGGAUUGGGUUCAUGGUUUUAAUCUGUUUCCAUGAAGGAAAGGGCUCAAGUAGAGUUGGACUUUCUGGUAAUGGCCUGUCAAAUAUGUGUUGAAGGCUUCCACAGGCCGUAGCCAUAGUUUGUACUUUCCACUGUCUUGUGGAAAAGAUGGUUCGAGAAAGAAAACAUGACAGGACUAAGCACAAAAAGAGUUAUGCAUCAGAGAUAAAAAAAAAAGAGAGAGAUAAGAGAGCAAACAGCAAAGCCUAAGAGGGAGACAUGCACGGGAAGGGCAUGGUUCUGCUGAUAAAGUCAAGAGUGGAAAGUUGCCAUUUAUUUGGGGAUGCUGGUUUCAGGGUGCCUCUAACUUAGGAGUGGAACAAGGAUGGGUGGUUAUCAAACUUUGGAUGAAUUUUGGUGGUCACAGUUUUUGUGUAGAAACUGUAAAGAAAUCACCAGUUGCCUUAUCUUUCCUGCCAGAUGAUAACAUUUGGCAUAUACCAACGUUUUAUGCGUGCCAAAUAUCUGAAAGAUUGUAACAUAGCAUCAUUGAAAGUUACACAAUAUACGCAUAGAUAUAGGAACUACUAGUAUCUGCUAAAGGUGCAUUGAGCACAAUUUUGAAAGGUUAAUUGCAGUUUAAAAAAAAAAAAAAACCUUUUGUUUCCUUCAAAAAAAAAACCCUUUUGUUUUAGUAUUUUUGAAUUAUUCUAGCCUCUUUUUUUUCAUUUUCUUAAUCGAUAUGCUAUAAUACAGUGAAUUUAAUUCUCAAUUUAACCUUUACUCUUCUCAUUCGUCAUUGAUGAUCGUUUGUCUUCUCAUUUAACACUUCUAAACCAACACAUAUCAUAUAGUGUUUUUGUUAUGAUUAUUAAAUAGUAAGGGCAUAAUAUGAUAUUUCAAUCAAUUAAUAAGGGCAUAAUGAUAAUAAGAAAAACUAAGAUCCUAACGAUGCUUGCAUUCAAAAUACCAAGACUCAUGGUACCUUUAUAAUGGUAAUAAAGAGAUUGAUAGAUAAAUAAUAGAUGUUCUUGAAUUCAACAAGGACUUGAAUUCUAUAUGCACAGGCAAAAUGGUACUCUUUUCUAACAUAAAAAUCUUAUCUUGGCCGAAAUUGGAGUUCUUCUCCGUACAUAGGUUAUCCAUUGCUUCGUCAUUGAUGAUCUUUUGUCUUCUUAUUUAACACUUCUAAACCAACACGCAUCACAUAGUGUUUUGUCAUGAUUAUUACAUAAUAAGGGCAAUAUAUGAUACUUCAAUCAAUUAAUAAGGACAUAACGAGGAUAAGGAAAACUAAGACCCUAAUGAUGUUUACAUUCAAAACACCAACACUCAUGGUAUCUUUAUAACGGUAAUAAAGAGAUAGAUAAAUAGAUAAAUAAUAGAUAUUCUUGAAUUCUACAUGCAAAGGCAAAAUGGUACUCUUUUCUGGCAUAAAAAUCUUAUCUUAGCCGAAAUUGGAGUUCUUCUCCUUUCAUAGGUAAUCCAUUUGCUUGCGUGUGAAGGUUAAAGAAUUCCUCAUUUGCAUCUACUUAGUACACAUAUUGGGAGUGCGAAUGGAAGGUUUAAAAAGCAGUUAGCAAACCACUGAAGACGAUGAAUGAUAUUUGCAAAGAGGGCUGUGCUAUAAAUGGGAUCACAAGCUCAGCAACUUUAUUGCAACUCCUAAUCUGUACUGGCACUGCAGAAUGCUUUACAGAGCAUACUGAUGUGAUCUGUUAAAACCCCAAAACCACAACGAACACUUCUUAGCAUAUCAGCAACUCCCACCUCCCAAGUUUUCCCUAUCAGGAUGGAUGUUAGUACUGAGUCAUGAAAGGCUUCAUCAAGUCAAUUUUUCUUGAUGUGAUCCUCGACUGUUUGAACCUGUUUUGUGAGCUAAAUUUUGAUGGUCACUACAGUUUACUUUACAUCAUAGAUGGAUUGUCGUCCCAAAAAAGAAAAUAUAACGACCGACACCAUUAGUUUCAAUUACCAUCAGAUCCCAGUAAUAUUCCCAUCUAGUAGAUUCAAGAAAUGGAGUAUUUGAACUUUAUGUGCAUUAGGCUUCUCGAAGUUCCAUCUCUACCCAAAAUGACAAACGAAAAGUAUGCUAUAUUGGCUUUAGUGUUGCCUAUCCUUGGCUUUGAUGAAUCCAAGUCUAUAGCACCGGUGCCUAAAGAAUAUUCCAUAUUGGUCAACAACUACUGGCCACCCUGCUGGAUCUUUCAGAUCUCUGGGCUGUCUAAAGAAUCCAAGGAUGAGGAUUGCUACUGAGGCAGCUAGUGAGAAUCUAAAAUCCACAGGAUAUUUUGCUUUUCCAGUGUUAUUGGCUUGAAAAUUUACCACCAUCAGAUAGUAGUGGUGCAAACAACAUCCAUAUCUUUGAUGUGGUCCUGGUGCAUCAAAAGAUGCAUGCACUACAACCAGCAUCCACAAGAAAAUGAUAUGAGAAUUUGCCUUUGAAAUCUUAAGGGAAAACUGCGGACUAGGCUCCAGAAGAAGCACCAUCAUCCAUCUCAUGCUGACAUCCGUGGAUGCCAACUGAAACCAAACACAUGAAAAUCAUUUUCUUGAUGUUCAGGAUAGAAGCUAUUAAGAAGUGUACGCUUGGAAGUGAAACUGCUGUCGCAAACCACUGAGUAGCACUACAUGGUAAUUCACAAUUUUUCACAUAUCAAAGUAUCAAACUGAACGCAGAACUGUUUCAUCAUGAAGUCAGUUCUGCUAAGUUAUUGGGCAUCAUUAACGCCAGGCUUCAAUUCUCUCUGUCAGGGAGUUUAUACGGCUCAAAUUGCUGAUUCCUUUGCUCUUAUUCUGAACUCCAAUAGCUAGAGCCACCAUAUGCUGCUCCUCUGUUCUCUUAGUACAGUUCAUCUGAAUGGAAUCACUGGACUGGCCAGUUCUGCUUUCUGGGAUGCUCUCUUUGAUGUCAUUCCUUGGACCACUUGCUAGAUUGGUUGCUGUAUAGGGACCAAUGGGAGUUCCACUAGACACACUUUCAUCAGAACAUUCUUCAGGAGAAGUUGAAGAACUGACAUACUCCUCAACGCUAAUGUUAUCUACUUGCUGACACUCAGAAGCACUAUCUGGCUCAGGUUCUCCAGCCACAAACAAAGGUUCGGGCUCUUCAUUUGACUCAGUAGCAUCCUCCACACAAACCUCUGGACUCUGAUGUCCAUUCUCAUCAUAGGGUUCACGGUGGAACAUGGAAGCUUGUUCUACAACCGAAUCUUCUCUGUCUCUUAAGGUCUUCUCAAUAAGAGUCUUGAGGAAAUUCAUUACUUGGACUGCAUACAUUAAUGCAGUCAAUGGAUCAGCCAUCUGCAGAAGGAAAAAGAAUUAAAAAGAAUCAACUCAGUUAAAAAGGAACAAAGGAUAAUGUUAAGAAUAAAUUCAAGAAGAGCAAAAGUAUGAUUAGCGAAACUCACCAUAUAGAUAAGGUCACCAUAAAUAUGUUAACAUUCGGACAGGUUUUGCUUUUUUCCUUUUUCUUUUUGGGAGGUACAGUGGAGUUGGAACAGUUACAAAUGCCCAUUAUAACUCCCUACUGUCACUUCAGAGAUGCAUAAUUUCAAGUAUGAUGCUGCUGUCAAAAUUCUUAUGGCUGGGCCAGAAUGAGAUAGUAAUGCACACAUAGAGAUGAUAGAAAUGGUCUAAAAUUAUCAUUCCUUCUCUUAAAAGUAUCUUUAAGUUGGUCUCACUAAGUUUUUCCCUUUUAAGCUUAACAAAUUUCCUGGAAGUGGUAUAUUGUCAUAGCAUCUGACAUUUGUGUGUGAAGAAUUCUGCCUUGGAAGCUUAGUUCCCCAAUGGACAAAAACUAAGAUUUGAUUCUUAUACCUUUUCUUUAAGUAGAACAAAGUAUGUUUUCAGGUAUGCAGUGGAGAAAAGUGAAUCAUUAACUUAAUACAAAUCACAAUAACCAAAAGGAAGCAAAGUUGAUUUAAUAAAAAAAAAAAAGUUAAAUUAGAUGCUCAUCCUAAUGCCAUCAAAAUUUACAGCAUUAUAAAAGAUAAGUAGCUGCAAGAACAUUACCUGCGUCAUAUUGGGCGCAAAUACCAUGGCAAUGUUGCGUGAGUUCAUCUUGUUUAGAUGUUCCAAUUGAACGACAUCUGCCAUCAAGUUGAUUGCCCAAUCCAGUAGAGCAGCUUCAGAUGAGGGUAGAAGCCUCACCAGUGCUGCACAAUCCUCCAUUGUUUGGCAUUGCAUAAUCUGUUCAGGUGAAAUAGGGUCUAAUACACCGCUAGGGAGUUCUCUGAACCAAGCCUGCAGGAUCAUGUGAAAAUUAAGUCAACCCUAAAACUUGCAGUGACUACUAGUCAAUGGGGUUAGCAAAAUAAAAUGCCUACUGAGCAAAGAGUAACUGUUGCAAACUCAAAAGCAAGUACAACUAAUCAGAAUUUUUCCAAACACAGAUCUUUUUCCAAAGCAUAUAGUCAAUCCAUUUUUAUGCAACUGUUUAAGAUAUUUGGACUGGCCCAAGAAGAUGAAUUUCUUCUUGCUUCUGCUCCAAAGACACUUGAGAGAGAGAGAGAGAGAGAGAGAUCUUUCAGGAAUGAAUAUAAUCAUCAAACCCAGAUAUAAAGAAGACAAAAGAAAAUUUGAAACAAUCUUCGUACUCUAUUAAAAAACAGAAGCAGAUUACAAGUAGAAUUCAUUUGGUAGAGAUUUAUAAUCUAGAUUUCAUAUCUAAUGCUUAAUCAUGAAAGUCCACAUAUUCACCUAAUUACAUUCUGCAUAACCAACAAUCUCCAUCCUAAUGCCCAAAACUGAGCCCAAAAAGAUGAUUAAUUGAUACUACCUAAGAUGUUGAACUUCCAUCUUAGCGCAGAAUUUCAUUGUUGGUCAAUAAGCUAAUGGGACUCUGGGUGGUCUUUAUCAUUCAGUUACUGACAAUAAUCAUCAGUAUGGUGAUGAAUUACAAAGAAGUUAUACUUCAGUUUAUCAUAAAAGGCAUGAGCUGACACUAGGGUACAGAAUAAUCGAAUUAACACAUUACAACUUUCAAGGUUGGAUGUGCUAUAUCAAGGAGCUUAUUGCAUAAUGCGAGUAUCAAAACACUGUGUCAAAAUUCUGUAUAUAAGAUUUCAUACAGCAAAACACAAUCACAGGGAAAUGAACAUAUUUACUUAAGAAUACAUGUAUAGCAAAGGCCAAUAGAAUCAGUAAUUCCAUUAAAUGUAUGAUACACUAAAUGGAGAAGUACUUAACAAGCUAGAAUUCCCCAAAUUUAUUCACAAAAAAUGAGAGGUAAUUCAGAUGGGCUUCAUUUCCAGAAUACAAACAAGAACAAUAAGCGGGAACCUUUAUUACAACGAAAAGGCCAGCAAAGGUUUGUAAUUGUUUAUUAGCAUAUAGGGAAAAAAAAAAUAGAAGAAGUAAUAUAUACCAGGUUGUCAGGUUAGUUCAACUUUUAACUGCUUGAUAACACUUAGGAUAGAUAUCAAUGGCUCAAGCACUCUGUCAGUCUCAAUACUGUAUGAUCUAGGUUAUGCCUUUAACAAGAUAUGUAUCAUUAUAAACACGAAUGAUCUUAACAUAAACCAUCCAUAUCUACUAACUUGUAAUAUAAAUAUGCACUCCCAUUAAUAUUGUCCAACAGAAGAAGCAAAGUUAUAACUAAAAAAGGAUAUGGCAGUCAUAUCUACUCAUAUUUUGAGGUCAGGAUGAUUGCAAAAUAUCCCUCUAAUAAAGUUAAACAGCCAUUGGAGAAACUGAAAAAACGGAGGUAAAUAUACAUAUAAAAAUUUCAUUAAUGUACAUUCAUCCUAGCUUUCCCAUUAAUGCCAUCAUGAACAAGACAUUAUUAAAUAACAGAAUACCAAAUGCAUUUGAGGUGCACCUUGAUUAGGCCAGCCAAACAGUGAACAUCAAUGCCUUCCGGAACAGUUCCCCCGUUUAGUUGGUCCCUCACAUACUCUUCCUGGCUAUUUUCUGCAUUUAUUCUGAAAAUGCCUUCUGCCUGCAUAAGUUGAAAAGUUAAACUUCAAAGCUUGUGAAUUUUAUUAAAGGGUAGGUUGUGGAGAGCUUACUAGCCAUACAGAGAAAUGUAUUUCAUGAAUGAAACAGAAGAUCCUAACAAAAAGUCUUCACCUGUAGGCCACCUUGAGCAUACAAACGUCCUUGCAUAAGUAAAAGGAUUGUUGGAAUACUGUUCCCUCUGGAGUCAAAUGAUAACUGCAUGGAUUCUGUGGAAACUCCAAAAACAGUGGCACUGUUGGUUCAAGUUCAAAAAGUCACUAACAGUGAGGACACACUCAUGCUAAGAAAAUGAUUAACACUUAAAAUGGAUUCUCAAAGAUGUAAACUACACAUUGAAACAUCACAAAUAUGUAGGAAUGAAAAUAAAGAUGUUAACUUCUGGACACCCCAAGGAACCAAGUCCAGAUUAUAUUCUGCUUGGUGCAUGAUUAAAGAGAUUUACAACUGAUAUAAAGAUAAGCAAACAGCAUACUAUAAAAUAGCUCUAAAUUCUAUCCAUGAAUACAUGAGUUACCGGUGGAUAACACACAUUGCAUUACAAACUUGUCAUACAUAAACGCAAGAUCAAACCAGCCAAGGCAGGCAUCCAGACAUGGGAAGUUUCUGAAAAUGCAUAUGCUCAUAUAUACCAGAUAUGCAGCUCUUAAUAGAAACAUAAACACCUUUAUCUCAAGAACCCACUUUUCCACUGAAGCUACCUCCCUCUCCCUACCUCUUCCUCUCUUCCCCCUUGUAUUUGGUAUUUGCCAAAAUUGAGAUUGGGCAAGUACCAGAAGUCAUUUGCAAACUAAAGCAGAUCCAACUUUUCAAAAUAUCAACUAGUAUCUUCUCACCUGUUUCUAGAAAAUUAGGUCAAUCUUCAAAAAGAGAGUUCACCAAAGAAAAGGGUCUCCAGUUAACCUUCACAUAAUGGGCUUAUCCCAUGCCAAUCCUGCUUGCCAUUAAAAAGAAACAAAUGAAGGACACCUUGAUCUGAAAGAUCCAAAUAUGCAGGUGCCCCAUCUUGGUCCAAGCAAGGUUGUAAGGUCCAGAAAACAGUAGUGUCCCAGGGGAAUGAGAUAAUGCACAUUCUGGCCAAUGAAUAUCAGUUUAUAGACAACACUUUCCUAAUGCACAUAACAAGGGAGUUAUUUGGUAGCUCACAGACAAGACGAGGAAGGAUAUACAAACUACUUUUGUGCAUUAUCACUUGCAACAAAAGAAAGGUUCGAGACAUCUACCAAAUUACUUGAUACACAAUUGGAGGUUGACGUAUAACUCAUAUUGAAUGGACAAGAACAGAGAACAGCAGAAAGCAAAAUUAAAUGCUCCCUUAGCAGAUACAGAUUUGUUUUAGAGGAUAACAAAAGCACAAAUGAACAAGUAGAUUCAUGCACUGAUUCAAAGUGGAGGAACAUAUUGUAUCUCAUCACAAAAAGAAGAUGGAUAAACGCAGUUUUGACAGGAAAUCAUUUUUUGGUUACAGCAAAAGAUGAGUUCUCUCAGAAAGCAAAUUGGCACAAACACAGUAGAAUAAGCAUAUAGAUUAGUAGAAGCCAGGGUUUAAGCCUAACUCCAGCUUAUCUUCUUUUUCAAGAUAAGGAAACUCUGGUCAUAUUUCUGGAAACAUCUUUUCCAGUUACAGUUUGAGAAGAAACUCAAUGCAGGAAAACUAAUCAAUCCUGUCUUUUAAUAUCUCAGAGGUAAAGUAUAGCAAGUCCACACCUUCCCAUAUACCUUAACCCACAUUAAAAUUGAGAAAUAAAUUACUGAAGUAUCAUAAAAGGUGUUCAACCAACAAAUUUUUACUUAUAAAGCUCUACUCGCAUAUAAGUUUCAGUCCCUAGACCAUUUGACUGAAGCUAGAUCUCAAUUUGGAAGAACCAGUACUCCAACUUUUGUGUCAUAUAUCUAAUGUGCCAAAUGAACUGAUAGAAUCAUAAGCAAAACGUACAGCCAGUUAAACAGCAGCAAGGAAAACCUAAAUUUACAGAAUUGCGUUCAAGAAAAACCAUCAAGCUAGUAAACGUUCAAUAAAAGAAUCAGCUACACAAGUGCUCAUUGAUACAAAAAUUAUUUUGUCCAAUUCCAAAAUUUCCUAUUAAACACAACUAACAAUUCACCAACAAAAAAGACUCACAAGUUCAAGACCCUGAACCCAAAAUGCACACGUACACGAACAAACAGCACAAAUUACAAAUGGAGAAUUCCAAAAUCCAAGAAAAAGAAAAUUCGUCCACAUUUCAGGAUAGAUAAAUAACCAGAAGGAAGAAAAGAAAGAAAGAAAGAAAGAAUGUACCUAGCACUAGGAGCCCUUCUGGGGACUUCAGGCUCAAACUCAACAGGCAAACCCAAGAAGCCAUUAAACCUAUCAAAGGUGACAUGUGCAACAUGGCGGACAUUAGUAGGCCACCCAAUCUCCAUCCCUCCUGCAGCACCUCCGCCUCUAUUACCAAGCUCUUCUCUUCCACCACCGCCAGUAGUAGUCUUGCAAGCCAUCCAAAAACUUUUCCUAAUCAAUGUCACCAGAAAAGCUAGUAAAGACAGCUGAUGAUCCCUUCUCUCCUUGUUCUCUUUUUCUUUCACUUCUCCUCCUUCUUCUUCACUUUCCCCCUCACUACCGGUAAUUCUAGCAAUAAUUUCUUCUUCCUCUUCUUCUCUUCUUCUCAGAAAAGACUGAAACAAUGUCCCAUUGUCGGUUGGGGUGGAAAUUGAAGGAGAAGAAGAGGAGGAAGACGAGUGGAGUACCUCUGUCAUGGCUGGCCUUUUCAGUAGAACUAAAAAAUGGGUUUUUUUUUUCUCCAAAAAAAAAAUCAACAAAGCAAGAAUCUCGUCUUUUUCUUGAGAAUUAAAAUAUGGGUUCUUGAAGAUUUGGUAAAGGGUCUAAAAAAAUGGAAGAAAUGGGGUGGAAAGAUUCAAUCUUGAUGUAAAAUGUCAAUAUGGUGGUGGACUGGUGGUUAUAGUUUGAGGGAGGCAACGAAUGGGAUGCAUGAAUAAUAUGAAGAAAAAUGGAAUACUGCGAGAGAUUCGUAUAAAGGGGUAGCAGUUAUACAAGAGUUAGAUUGAAGGAAUGGUAAGGAGCGAGGAGAGAUGGGACGUGAGAAUCAUGAACCGCUGACUGAUGACUAAUUUUUCCCAUUUUUUAUUAGUAUACGUUUCUUUCUUGUGUUGUUGGCUCUGUUCUGGCUUGCUCUUGAAUGAUGGAAGCGUUGAAGAAAUCAGAUAUGUGCUCGAGGAGAGAGAAGAGGAAAUGGAGAGUGAGGAGGGGAAUGCCAUAAAGUUAGCAUAACAAAAUUACUAUCUAUAUAUAUUAUACUACUCCUAUAUAUAAAUCUAGGACAUAGUAGUGUAUUGUGUAUGUGUGAGUCUGCAAGUGUUUAGUGUGUGAAAUUGGGUUUUGGGGAGAUUCACUUCAGAAGGUGAUAUCGCGAAGAUGUGUUCUUGCUUUGGAUCCCAAUAUCUCAUCAGACGUCUGAGCUGCUCGUCAGGGGUCUUUUUGGUCUUAUUGUUUUUUUUUUGGCCUUAUUGUUACUCUGGCCUAAUAUUCUUUUUGGUAUCUUGGUGUAUCCAGUAAGAUUAUGCCACAUCAGAAAUAUAUAGAUCAGUUUUUGUCAUUUGGGGUCAAAGUUGAUGUCAUUAAUUUUUCUUCUUUCAACUUUCAAUUCAUUGAAUUCAGUUUUAAUCCCUUGAGAAAAAGCAUUCCAGAGUUCAUUUAUUCUCUGUUUUUCUUCUUCAUUUUCAAGCAUCCAUUUGUAAUUUCUUCUUCAUUUAUUCUCUGUUUUUUUUCUUGUUUGGACAGCAAUUUUUCAAAGAGAAAUUGAUACGUUUUUUGUGAACACAUUUCUCAAUCACCUUUUUAUCUCACAUAUAUCAAAUCGUUGCAAUAAUUUUUCUAUAAAAAGAAUCCAUAAAAAUGCAAUCCAAACAGGGAUAUUCUUCGAGCAAUAAUGCAACAAUAACAUGUUGCUCAAGUUUUGGGAUCAAAAGAUAGGGUGAUAGCAAUUGAUGGUUCAUUCAUAUCAAGGGUCCCAAAUGAGAGCAAUCAAUGAAUCAUGCUACGCCAUAUAUAUAUAUAUAUAUAUAUAUAUAUAUAUAUAUAUAUAUAUAUAUAUAUAUAUAUAUAUAUAUAUAUAUAUAUAUAUAUAUAUAUAUAUCUAGCAAAGAUGACUGCUUAUCUGCUUGAAGACAGGGACGGAGCCAGAAAUUUAUUUUUGGGGGGGCUGAAGUGUAUUAAAAAAUUUUUUUUGUCACGAAAUAAAUAUAUUUAAUAAGUAAAAUUUAGAAUCAAUAAUUAUAAAAAUAAUAAAAACAUAUAAUUAUACAUACCCAAAAAUUUGUUAUUGAUUAACACUUGAAGUAUUGGUAGUUGUUGCACUCGAAUAACGAAGAGGAGGCAAUUGCAUUCUGCGAGUCUUCAUCCGUUGAAAACGCUGCAAUAUUUGCUCAUUUUCAAUUGUUGCAAAAAUAUCCUUCUCGAUGUAUACAACCAGACAGUCAUUCAUCCACUCGUCUCCCAUUUUGUUGCGCAAAUCAGUCUUGACAAUAUUCAUUGCAGAAAAUACUCUUUCAACAGAAGCAGUUGGAAAAAUUCUGUCGUAGGGAUGGCAAUUAUAGGGCAGGAGAUCCCUCUCCCGUCCCGUGCUUUUAAAAUUCUUUUUAUUUAUAAUAGCAACGAAUUGGGAAAAUUCUGCCAUUUGAUGGCAAUGGGGUGUGGGAUCCCUCUUCGAUCCGAUGUUCUAAAAUCUCCCUGGCCCAGUUCCCCGCUUUUUCUAUCCAUAUACCCUGCCUAUACACCUACGGGUGCCCUCACUAUUGUGUAAUUAUACUUUUUAUGUAUAUAAAACAUUAAUAACAACAUUAUAAAUUAUUUUUUAAAAUUCUUAACUGAAUAUUCAAUGUAAAAUCAAGGUUAAAAAUCACUUUGAUCUUUUUUUAAUUCAUUUCUCUACUUUUAAUAGGAAAUCUAAACUUACAAUCAUUAUGUUUAAACAAUGUAAAAAAAUUGAAGUAAACUAAAAAAUAAUUAAAUAAUAAUGUGUUUAUGUAUAAAUGUAUAUAUAUGUAUAAAACAAUAUAUAGAUCAUUGUAUUUUUGUUCAAUUUUUAUAUUGAUAACCUGCUCCGUUGAAAUGAGGGGAGAAAAAUCUAUCCGGCCCUGCAUUCCUAAUCUACCGCUAGUUAUGCACUUGACAUCAAAAGUAGAAAGAAACUAACGACCAAUAGAGCAAAGGAAUUGAUUCAUACAGAGACAUGUCCAAGUCAUUAUGUUUGUCCGGCAUUAUCAUUAUCUCCUUUCACCGUGGGGGGGCUGGGCUGGCCGCCGGAAUCCCCUAUAUAUAGGGGGUUUUCCGGCGGCUUGGGGGGGGGCUUAAGCCCCCACCAGCCCCCCCUUAAAUCCGUGGCUGCUUGAAGAUAUGGUUAUAUCCCUCUUUUCUUACAAUUUAGAGUAUCAAUUUGCAAUAUCUAAUAUUACAUUUUAUCUCAAGAUAAAGUUUUAAACGCAUGAAUCAAAUAAAUCCACUGUCUAACUCUAACUCAUUAGUGUUUUGACCCUUAACUCCACAAUCACCAAAACUCAUUGCCCUUUUCCUGAAAUUUGGUUUUUAUCCUUGUAAUGAUCCUUGAAGGAAAAUAAUAAUAACAAAUGACCCUUAUUGUACAGCAAUUUUUUCCCUGGUACCUUGCUGGAUUCAUCUACAACUACCCUCGCACCAGCUUCAUUACUUGUUAGUUCUGACCCUGCCAUGAUUUACUUGACACAAAAUUUUGUCGGAUAUAAAAGUGUAGUUAAUUAUUGCAUGUGCUUGCUCAAAUUCAAGCAGGACAACAGAAAAUUUAUUUACUACUAGUCUAAUAAAUGCGUCAUAACAACCUUCACCUUGAUUGGAGACCGACUUAACUUAUUAAUCUCAAUGAUUUUGGUCAAGAAUCAAUCAUAUCAUGCAACCAUCAAAACGCCAGUCAUUUCUCACUUCUGAUAUACCAAGUCUAGGAAACUUCUUGGAUUGAUAAUCAUGUUUGGUAAAUUACCCUUACUUACGCUUAAUCUUUACUCGGUGGAAAACAUACUACUAUGUGUCAAAGCAAAAUGCGCAAUAAGUUUUACCAAGUGCAUUUUACAAGUCUUUGCUGGUAUCUGUUCUAAUUGUUAUUCACAUCUAAUGCCAGAGACAGUGAAUUUGUAACAUAUACUCCUAUGAUCGUGGUAGAUUUGUGCCAAUUCCGGUUACCAUGAAAAGGGAUUUUGGGCAUCAUUUCUUCAUUCUUUUAUGAACUUGGUAGAUGGGAAUUAUGCCCAUUCAAAAUACAUUGCUGAGUGAAAAUAGAUGUAUGUGGUAAUAGACAUAAAAGUGUGGCAUAAAUGUAGUUGAGCCUACUUGAGUAUCAUAUUGAAUCUAUAAUUAACUUGCCAAGCCAGAUUCAUCUUUACUCAAAAUUAAGACGACUUAAAGGAGGAUGGAGCUCUCUAAUCAUUACGUUUUUCUCACUUUGGGUGCUCCCUAGUCUCAUUAUAUAUUUAGGUAGUGGAUUGAGUACCUUAAAAAGGGACAUCAUAAGCUUUUCCUCUUGAACUUCCAAGAUGUAAAAUGCUGCCCCUCUAAGUUUUUUUUUUUUUUAAUUAAAGGUGAAGAUUUCUCAAGUAGUUUUCCAAAUUAUAGAAUUUAUAAUGACUGCCCUUCUUGGUUAAAUUAUCCAACAAAAAUAUGUAUGCCAAUUUAAAAAUCUUCUUGCAUAUAAUACUCCCACCAUCCCAUUUUGAUAGUUUUGUUUUUUUUUCACAUAAUUUAAGAAAAAUUAAUUAACUUUGUUGGAAGAGUAAAUCUAACCUACUAUUUUUUAAAUACCCUUAUGCUAAUAUUAGGAGUAUGACUAAUCAUUAUACCUUUAUUUUAAUUAUAAUAAUAAUACUAAAUAGAAAAUUGCACUAUUCAAGGCAUGAAUCAGAGCAAUUAUUGAAUAAGGUGGAUUACACUCACUGACAGUAAAAGUACAUUAAAUAAGGGUAUUUUAGAUAAAUUAAAAGUUAAUUAGUAUAUUUUUCAACAAAAAGUGAAAUAUAAUUUGAGAUGGAUGAAAAAUAAAAACAAGAAUAUCAAAGUGAGAUAGAUGGAAUAUAAUACAAUGAGGGAAACAUAAUCAAGGUGUAGCGAUGCAUGGGAGAUUUUUGGAAUUUUGUCAAAUUUUACGGGCGAUCAAUGUAAUUAACCCAAAAUAAUUUUGAACAAAAAAUUUAAAAAAAUAUAUGAAGUAGAAGUUGUGGACAAAGCUUACAACAUGAUUACAUCCAUCAAAAAGUUUAUAUUAUAUAUCUCGUAGCGACGGUGUUGUGCUGUACUAGCCCAGAAGACACGUGAAGCCGAAGAAGCAAAACACAUGUAAUCCACGCGUCGUAUGCCCUCUAGCUUCCUCUUCAUAGUUUCUCUUUUGCCUUUAUUUUUUUUUUUUUUAAAUCUCAAGUACAAUUUCUGCUAUAUUUAUUCUUGAUGAUUCUUUUGCUUCCUAGUACUAAGUAGAGAUUAAUUUGCACCUCAGACGUUAAUUUAAGGAAAUCAAGAAGUGCAAUUAUGGCUAGUACUCCUGAUCAAGAAGCUGAUCAAAUGGCUGCAGCUGCUAUAGAUGAUGACUUGACUUAUGAUCAAUUAGGUGAUGGAGAGAUAGAGCAAGAACUUGAUUCUGAUUUUCUUCUUAAUCCUGAUAUUCCCACCUCUUCUAAACAACUAAAGGUACGAAAUUUGCUGACCCUUUAUGUUAUUUUAUAACUUUCAUGCUUUGUAAGCUCUAAUUUCUGUGUUGCUUUUGUCUUUGCUUAUGUCCCAAAAGGAGAAAAAAAAAAAGUGCUAUAUAUAGUUUUGUUAUGUAUUGAAGAACAAAGGUAUGUACCAUGGCUUAAAUCUUAACUUGUCACCUUUCUUGUAAUCUUGACUUGGCAACAAUUAAGUGCUACCUCUUUUGUGAUUAUGUGCUAUUCUGAUUCUAAGGUUGAAGCCCAAAACGUGGAGGUUCUUAAUUUUAGGAUUCCGACUUCAAAAAUUAGCCAAAACAUGUUGCCAAGAUCAAGAAUCAGUUGAGAACUAACCCAAAAGAUGUUCUUAAUUUUAUGAUUUUCCUAAAAUUCAGAGGUGUUUUGAGUUGUUCUUGAAUUGGUUGACUUGAUUUACUACUACAUUGGAACUUGCUGGCAAUUUGCAGAAUGAAAAAGCUGAUGCAGAAAGGAAAGAAAACAAGCAUGGGAUGCCUGAUAACCUCAAGUCCACCCUUCUAUUUUCAGGGGUGGUGAUUGCUGUGGUUGGAGCUAUAUUUGCUGUGCUUAAGAAGAUUAGAGAGGCAUAAAUUUCUCUCCUCCUGAAGUUUUUUGAAGUCACAUCCGCCGUUGCAUUUUCACGCUCACCCAAGUCUGGAAUGUCAAGCCAUCAACUUCUAGCUUUCUUUCAAUAGACUAAGCUGUAAGGAAUCAUUUUGGGUUGCACGUUCAAAUCAACAAAUUGUACAUCGAUCUCAAGCUUUCCCCCUUGACAAAAAUGAAAUUAAUAUCACUGCACUGUAAUUUCCUUUACUUCAGGCUUCAUCCCUUCAUUUUGAGGGAAGAAAAAAGUCUGCCAAGAGACCCAGAGCCUUCUAAACUUUCAAUUUGCCUUCAUCUUCCUAUCCUAAAAGAUCCACCAUCUACGUCCUUCCGUUUCUAAAAUUUUCAGGCCUAAUAUUUAACAUUCCUCUGCAAAGGGUACAGGGCACAACUUGAAGCCCAGCAUUUUCCUGUAAAUGCAGUGGAUACAUACAACGAAUACCAUAAAUUUGCUUCAUAAACAUGGGUUUUGGAUGUUGUACAGGGUCUCCAACCAUAAAGCAGCAGUAGGAGAAAGGAGGGAACAGAUCACCAAUCAGAACAUAUCAAAUCAAAAAUCAUUUGCAUGUAUCAGCGUGUGCUUCCUCCUCCUCUAAAAGAGCUGUAGUUUACUAGAAUUAACAUGGAUAAAAUCGUCACAAAGUAGCAGACAAGUUAUUAUAUCUCAGCUUCACAUUGUAUAUCCACCAUUUAGUGUAAAAGUACUCGUUACAAGGGGGAAGAGAAGAGGUAACACAUCAAAGAUUAGUCUGCAUUAUUUCCUCUUAGCCAUAGCUUUGUGUAAAUUUGCCUUAGUCAUGCACUUCUUCUGCUUUCUUGUCUUUUGACAACAAGUACCAACCCCCAGCACCAAGAAGAGUCACCGCUCCAGCAACAACUGCAUAGUUUCUAUACUUGUCAGUUGACACACCAGGUGUUGAGGAGCUCUGAGCACUAGGUUUAGCAUCAGCAACAGAUCCUGAACCCCCUGAGCCUGUUGCUGUCUCUUCUGCUUUUGGUCCCUGUUAGAAAUUAGCCACGAAGUUUUAAGAAGUGAAAUCAUGAAGCUCAUAACAGCAGAAAGUAAACACAGUAUGAACACAUUUAAAUCUCGCCUCAAUUGGUUAUCAUAUCACCACAUAUCAUAUCACCACAUAGGAUAACACGUUGAUGAGAAUGAAUUACAAAUAUGCAAACUAAAAUGUUAUGCUAGAGAAUAUGCAACAUACUAAAAUUCCAAACAAAUUCUGGCUAGAACACACCAAAGCAGCAAAUAUUCAAUCACCAAGAUGAUUAUCAUGUCGCAAAUUAAUCUGACGAUUCCUUUCCCUAGUGUCAAAGUAACUGAGAAUUUUCUUUCCACUCUGCAGAAUAUUUUGAAUUAAAAGUGUAUAAACUGAACCACUAAUAGUUCACAAACACCAAGGUAAAAUCAUAGCCAUUUUUUUGUGUACCUUGCGUGCAAGCUUCUCCAACUUCUCUUGCUCAAUUUUCUGCAGAGCAAACAAACAAAUUCAGCAGUUAAAGAAUUUGAUCUACACAAAGGAAAUCGAAAUGAACAAUCAAGUCAACAUAGAGAAGCAGAAAUUCAUGUAUAAUAAUUAUAACUACAUCAUAAAUAGUUCUGAAUUCAUACAUUUAUCCUCCGUUACGGCUCUGAGGAAAUUAGUUUCCUAACCUUAGGAGUAGAAGAAUGAGUAAAAGGAGAAAAGACCAAGUAAUAAGAUCAAUUUUCAAGUGCCAUCAAGAGAGAGCUAGACAUAAAUAUCUUUUUUUUCAAUCUGAAAUCCUUUGUGCGGUAGGGUGACCAAUCAACAUCGAACAGGAAAAGGGACAGAGUCAAAACAGCAAACUUAAGUUUCUAGAAAUGCACAGUAAACCCUAGACUAGCACUAAGAAGCCCAACAAAUGGAACGCCUACCUGUGAUCAUGUCUAUUAAACACAUUAAACAUGCUUUAUCCACAUAAGAGCCAUUCUUAGACUAGACAUCCAACAGAAUUCAACACUGUUUGAAGAUUCAUGACCUAGUUUAGACUUGAGAAUCACACAACAAACACUAGAAUAUGACUUGGUGCUUGCCAGGUGCAUAACUGAGGGAUCUGGAGUUGUUAGAUUUUACUCAAAAUAAGAACCAUCGAAACAUGAAGCCUUUUGAGGAGUAUCAAUACCAUCAAAUGUCAGAGUACUCAAUAUACCCAACCCCAAGCAUUUGAGAACCAGAAUAUGCGAUCUUCCUAUAAAGAUUUAGUCAAGCAUACGAGAAAAAACAUAAAAAACAACUUACAACUCCUGCAGGAAACAUAAGCAUUCAGAAUUUUGACAUUUCCGACUAAUCAUUUGCUUUAGGUACCAAAGCCGAUAAUAUACAAUAAUGCACAUGUAUGAUCCUUUCUGUGUAUGGAUACAGUUCUAGACACAGAACAAGAAACAGAUACAAACUGUCUAGCAGCUCAGAUAACUAUGCCGAAAAUAGAACACAAUCAGGAAAUGCCAAAAAGGAUACAGCACCUUCAUAAAAAUAUGCAACUAAAAAUCAAAACUGAAUGCGUAAGUAAAUUGCAACCCAGCAGCAACAUCCAAAAGAUCAAUCAGGAAAAAGAAACCCAAUAUCCCAAAUAAACAACAGUACUUAUUAACCUUGAUGUAGACAUUUUCUGCAGCUUUUUCCUCCUCACUGAGAACUUUGCCACUGCUAGAGAACCUGCGAGAAACAUAUCUCAUUGCCAUCCUACUCGCCAUUGUGAGCUGCCUUGAUAAGAAUUCCCUGUCAAAAACGUAGAUAAUUACAAAAUCUUCCACUGACUACACUAACCUACUGCUUUAGCAAACUAAACCGAAAUCUAAACAUAUAAUCAAGAAAAUGAAUCGAUCCCAUCAUAGAUUCACAACAAAAAUUAAACAAUCCAAAAUUUUUUGCCAAUGAAUUUUAAACGAAAAAACAUGUAUAACAAUAAUAAUUAAAAAUCCUUAAAAAAACCCCAACAAAAGAGAAUAUUAGUAAUGUAGAGACAAAACCCACAAGCCAGAAUCCACAAAAUGUAGAACUUCAUACAAUCAAAAUAAAUUCAUCUGAUUUCGAACCGCUUCAACUAAUAAUGCAGGAUAUGCAUGCGAAAAAAAAAUCAGAAAAAUACUCGAAAUUAAAUAAAUAUAUGAAAAAAAAUCAAGAGGUUGGGUGCUUACCAAGAAAUUCGGAUUGAGAGAAAAUUGUGAGAGUAGCUGAAUAGAGUUCUGCGUGGGUUUUUGUUAUAGAUUGGGAAGAAAAUACGUCAGCAGACUAGAAAGUUGUACUAGCGGAUUAGUAGUAGUUUUUUAAUAAGAAGCACAAUACCUCCGGCUCAAGAAAGGAAUUGAUUUUGUGGACCGGUCCAACACCAUUCUGGGCUUAGAACAUACAAAGCCCACAAACAGCAUUUUCGUUUUCUACACAAGUUUUCAGUAUUAAGAACUACUAAUAUUAAAUUAUCUUGGGAAAAUAUAUUUUGGAUAAUUUGUAGUGCUAUAUUUUUUGGAUUAACUUUUUAUGCCCUAACAUUGUGGUAAAUUUUUUACACUAAUAGUUAUGAAUACAUGCCACGUAUACAUGAUUUGACUUUUAAAUUUAAAUUAAUGUUAUGUAACAUGGUUUAAACAUGCUAGUGUAAAAAAAUUGUAUACUAGCAGUAUACAAAAAAAUUAAUCAUAUUUUUUAGUGUAUCUUGCUAGAUUAUUAAUAUUGGUGUAACCUAAACGAGGAUAAUCAAAUUGAAGAAGUUCAAUGUACAAAGGCCUGGUUUUAGUGUUCUUGAGUAGCUCAUAAUUAUUUAUGUGGGAAUUUUAGCAUUAAAAAAAUGGAUAUUCAUCAAACUAAAAUCAAUGUACAAAGGUCUGGUUUUAGUGUUCUUAAGGAGCUCAUAAUUAUUUAUGUGCGAAUUUUAGCAUUAAAAAAAUGGAUGUUCAUCAAACUAAAAUCAUCUAGUACACCAUGAAUACCUUAGAUUUAUUUGCACAUAAGUUUCAAAAUUUGUUACUAUAUCUCAUUGGGCAUGAAUUUAACCUUUUCUUAAAAAAUUUUAAGAUCUCUAAUUUUUAGAAUUUCAACUUUAGUCUGAACAAGAAUUUAACCUUAAAAGUUGAUGUAAAAGUUGUUAAGCAUCAAAAUUUGUUUGCUAUUUACUUUGAUUGGUUCACGAAUUAAUUUAAACAUAUUCUUGUCCUAUGAUAUUGUUAAAUAUCAUGCUUUUUGUUUUUCAAAUGGUGCAAUCAAUUGAAUUCUUGUGAAUUCAUAUUAGCACUCCCAAGUUUAGUAGCAACAAAUUCCUUCACUUUUCAAAUUACAAAAAUAUGUUCCAUUUGGAUUAAUAUUUUUUGAAUUUUCUAUACAAAAAUUAUAUGGUAGCGAUUUUGUCAUUUAAUGUAUGUAGGGUAAAAAGAUAAGCGUUAUUAUCACUUUGCCCCCCUUUAAUUAUAUCAUUAUUAUCAAUUUACCGCCUAAUGUUAUCUUUUAGUUACUUCACCAUAUAGGUAAUUCAACUCAGCACGUUAAUAAAAUUUUGACAAAAAUACUCUUUUAUUUUAUAGCAUUACUACAUUAUUAUUAUCACUUUAUCCCUUUAAAUUAUAGUAAUAUAAUCGCUUUAUUCUCUUCUAGAUAUUUUACCCUAUUGCUAAUAUAAAAAGUAUGUUAAAAAAUGUUUAAAUGCAUUUACCUUUUUUAUAUAUAAUUAAAAAUAAAAAGUUGGAAUAAUUAUUCUUUCUUUUUUCCACUCUAAGAUUCAAAAAACAUAAAAAUAAAAGGGUUUUCUCAAAUUUCUUCUUUCACACUUAUUAAUACUUGGAAAAGAAAAGGAGAUAGGACAGAAGGAAAUGGAAAAUUAGAUUUUGCAAAAAAAGGGAAAAAUAAGGAAGAAUCUAAUAUUAUCGUAUUACUUUAAUAUUCUCUAAAUUAGAAUUGAAAUUGGGUAAUAAACAGAAAAAUAAAAUAAUUUUAAAAUAAUAAAAAUAUUGAAUCCUUUCUUGUUUGUAUUUAAAAAAAAAAGAAUUGAAUUCUCUCUCUCCGUCACCCAUUUUUCUACUUUUUUUUGAAUAUAAAUAAGAUUGCCAAUAAGAAAUAGAUUAAUAUUUUGACUUUUUUUUUCUUCAUACUAAAAAGGAGAAGAGCCACUCUAAAUUUUUUAUUAUUUUUAUUAUACAAAAAAAGAGUGUCUAUCUUCUAAAGUUUUUUAACUUUUUAAGUUGGUUUAAUGAUAGGAUAAAUUAUUUAAAAAAUUACUUUAUGGGGUAAACUGAUAAUAAAGUUAUAAUUUAUGGGGGAUAAAGUAAUAAUAAUUUUAAAUGUUAAAUAUGUCUCAUCACUUAAAUUAAUAAAAAACUCCGUUAAGUUUAACCAUUAAUUUUGGGAUAAAAUGACUAAAAAUAACAUUAAGGGAGAAAUUGAUAGUAAAGCCAAACAUUAAGGGGGUAAAAUGAUAAUAAUCCAAAAUAUAAUUGUGAUACAUGGUUACUUAAAAGGCAAAAUCGUUCAAAACGUCCCUCACAAUUUGUAAAAUGAUUUUUUUUUGUCAUUCAUUUUUAAAAAUGUAAUUUUAUAUCCCUUACAAAUUCACAUUUAUCAAAUUUGAUCAUUACCUAAGUUUCUGACUAGUUUUUAGUCAAAAUUCAAUGUGUGCCUUGCAUGUGAUUAAUUUUUAGGGGCAAAAUUGUCAAAUCAAAAUUUAUAUAAUUUGAUUUAUAGUCUCUUAUAUUUCACAAAAUGAAUUGUUUCGUCUCUUACAUUUCACAAAAUGAAUUUUUUCAUCCCUCAUUAACCAUGUAUACGAAUAGUUUUUAUUUAAAUUCAUGUAUAUAUCUAUUUAAAUUCACUUGAACUGUACAAAUAGUAUGUAAUAUAAUGCUAUUUGAUUUCACCUAAACAGACUAAUUGUAGUUGUACAUAUAUUAUUCAAUAGAUAUAUAAAUGUGUUUAAAUCUAACAAUUUUGUUUUAAACCAAAAUAUAUAUAUAUAUAUAUAUAUAUAUCUAUAUAUUUGAUUUCACAAUGUAAAUCUAUUCAAUAUUUGUAACUUUUUUUUUGGUAAUAAUUCAUUUUAUCGAGUUGUGUAAUAAAAUCAUCUAAUUAAUCAGUUCUAAUUCGAAUUUUAUAGUCAUGCUAACAAAUUACAGUUUAAAUCUAGAGUUUUUACUUGUCACUUUUAAGACCAAUAGUUAAAUUUCUUACCUUAUGAUUGUUUUAAAAUUUGAAAGUGUCAAUCACUUACUUCUUUUUGUCAUACUUUUUAUUUGUUUAUUUUUUCUGUCUAAUUUUAAUUCGAUAUAAACACUUGAUAAUGUUUAAGAUUAAUUAUCUUCUUUAUUUUCAAUUUUCGAGUAAAAGGAAAUGAACAUGAGCGAAAAACUAACAAAUUAUUUUAAACUUCUGUAUAUCUCUAUUUAAUUUCAUAUGAACAGUAUGUUCAGGCGAAAUCAAAUAAAAAUAUAUUACAUACUGUUCGUAUUAUUCAAGUGAAAAAAAUAGAUAUAUACAUGAGUUAAAAAAAACUAUGUAUUGGAUUAUAUGUACAAAUAACUUUGAAAAAAAAUCAUUUUGUAAAAUGUAAGGAACUAUGUAUUGGAUUAUAUAAAUUUUGAUUUGAUAAUUUUGUCAUUAAAAAAUGAUCAUGUGCAAGGUACGUGAUGGAUUUCGACAAAAAACUAAUCGGAAAUUUGAUAGAGAUUAAAUUUGAUCAAUGUAAACAUGUAAAGGACGUAAAAGUAUACUUUUAAAAGUGAGGGACGAUAAAGUUAUUUUACAAAAUGAAGGCACGUUUUGAAUGAUUUUCAGUAAUUAAAAAAAACUCAAAAGCUGAGGUGGCAAGCCACUAUUAGCUAGAUUCACGUGUAAAAAUUAAAAAAAACCCUCCAAAAAACCUUGCAACUUUCAAUCUUCUUCCUCCAUUUCCAGCUCCGGCGACUGAGACACACCAUGGCGGUGCGGGCAACGGUGGGCCGGUUCCCGGAGAACCAGGAAGCGUUGGAAUCAAGCGGGAUACCAUGGGGAGUAACCGUGACGCCAUUCGCCGGGAAGGACGAGAACGGGAGCCCACCGGCGUACGGAUCGGACGGGAACCUUUUGCCCCGAUGCGAGAAUUGCUGGGCUUACUACAACACUUUCUGCGACCAAGAGCAGUGGGCUUGGACUUGUGCGCUUUGUGGAACCCUCAAUGGACUUUCUUCUCAGGCCAUCGCUCGUUAUUCUCUUCCCCACUCUUGUGCUGAGAAUCUCUCCUCAUUCAUCGACCUCGAAUUGCCAUGUAUUCUUCUUCUUCUUCUUUUUUUUUUUUUUUUAAUUUGUUAGGUUGAAGUUUUUGCUGAUGGUUUUAGGAUUCAGGACAGCACCCAAUAUGAUUUUUCCAUUUGGGAUUGUGUAUAUUGAUUAAAUUGUGGAUUGGAGCUAAAUCAUGAUUAUGGUUUGCAUUUCACUGGACCUUUUUCCAGUACUGGGCAAAGGUUAAUUUUGCAUUUCUAUGGUCAGUUGUCUGUGGAAAUUGUUCUGUUGUUAAAUAGCGUGCGAGUAUAAGUUCUUAUGUAUAUGUUAAUUCACCCGGUUUCAGCUUUUGCUCAUAAUUUAGGUUCUAAAGUUGUUUUCCAACUUAAGCUUUUGGUGAUAGUGUAGGAUGUGUGUUAUCAAUUAUAUUGAAUGAGAUAUCUCAUACAUUGCCAGUCGGUUACCAAGAAAUGAGAUCCUACAUGGGUAUCUCGUUUGCAUUACUAUGCUUUUUUUAAUAUGGUUUGUUGAAUUAUGUUGUUUUCUUGUUCUUGCAGUAGAUGAAUCUGAGGAAAUGCAAGCACGACUUGUUUAUGUGGCGGCUGUGGAUCUUUCAUGUAAGAUUUAACUGGUCGUAAGAAUAGUCUCCUGUGUGCUUUCUUCUUUUUUAUUGUUAAUUUUACCUUUUUUCUGUUGUUGUAAUGUGUAAAACAGUAGUUAAAGGUCGGGUAUUGGAUUUGCUAUCCUUGAUGAUAAGAAGUUUAACAGACCUUGAGCUUUUGCUAUAUGGUUCAGUGAAUAGGUCAUAAGAACUUAAUUGCUUGGCAAUAACAAUUUGAAAGUUACUGUCAGCAGAAACAUGGAAAAAAUAGUUUAAUAUUGGAGGAUUCCAUAGGUUUUUGGGUUUGUGCAUGUAGAAAUAGGUUUUAAUAGAUCUUCUUCAUUGAAACACUAAAGUUUUCCAAUUUAGACUUGUUUUGAGGUUUCUGUCUGCACUGUUUCCUUUGCUAGAGGAACUGGAAACGUUGGGGUUCCUUUGUGUUUUCAAGCUGGAACCUAUGCAAUUGUCAUGAUCGUAGUUCAAGUUUCUAAUUCAGUGUUGUACUGCAUUUUUUCACUAACAAAUGGUUUUACCAGUCAUAAUGAUUUUUAAGGUUGAAAGACAAAUAAAGAAUAAACAGGAUGGUAGUUAUAUGCAGUUUAAGAAUAAAGAACAGCCAUUUAUUUAGGCUUCACUGUGUAACUUUUUGUGCUGAAGUUAUGGGGGUAAUGCCAGUAUUGAAUUUGACUUAUUUUUACUGCUUAACCUUUUUGCUCUCCCUCUCUGGGUGCACUUUCUCAUAAAAUGAGUAAUUCUUGUCGAGGACAAUUUACAACCGGCAAUGGAAAUUGGUUGGUGGCUUUAUGAUAAGAUAGUGUUUCUUUAGAGUGGUUUUGACCUUUUGAUAUGUGGAUCCUAGUAAUGCCUAUGGUUUUGUCCUGUUUGUAGUUUAACACUAGUAGGAAGGCCUCUGUGUUAUUGAAAUUGUUGUCAAGCUAUUGUUAUGUGUGAUGGAUUUAAUUACUUACUUGAACUCUUUUGCAGCCUCGGAAGAGUUUCUGGAACUUAUUAAAAGUGCUUUGUUAGCUGCUUUAGAAGGUGAUUGACUUUUUUGGAUGAUUUGCUCAUAAUUUUGCAAUCUGUUGGAGAAACAUAUCCCUAUUAGACAUUGAUAUUUUGUUUUUCUUUUCUUCAGCCCUUGGACCUGGAUCACUUUUUGGGCUUGCUACUUUUAGCCACAAAGUUGGUUUGUUCGAUGUUCAAGGUCCAAUCCCAGUGGUGAAAAAUGUUUUCAUUCCUCCAGAUUCAGAUGGCAGCCUCCCAAUUGAGCUUGAUGAUGUUAUGCCUUUGUCUUCAUUUUUGGCUCCAGUGCGUUGGUUAACAUAAUCAUUCUAGCGAUUUUCUCUCUUGUAAAAGCAAAAUCAUAUCAAGCUUUAGGGUGAAUCUGGAACAUCUUCCAUUAGGGUUGUUACGCUACUGAAGAAAUUGUGGGCCUGAGUCUCUCUAAUCUCUCUUGCAGGUUGAUACCUGUAAGGACCGUAUUGCAUCUGCACUUGAAGCGCUAAAACCCACAAAUUCGUGGGAGAGGACCACAGCUGCCGGUCAAGGAGUAGAUGGGGUUCUGUUGGGCGGGCGAGGCUUUGGGGUGGCAAUGGAAGCUCUUCUUAAUUAUCUUGGUUCAGAAUAUGGAAAUACUUUUGCAUUAGGUAGUACUGAUUUUAUAAUUUCUUCUACUUGUACAAUCUGUUUUUCUUUGGGUUCUUUUAAUUUUUUAGUAUUCUUGAAUUGCAAUUAUUUUUUGGUCUCAGAAUUUCUUAUAUAUCGUGCUCCAAGAGUUUUUUUUUUUUUUUUUUAAAUGUCAGGUCAUUAAUGUCUCUGAAUGUGCUUAUCAGAGAUGUGACGUUGAUCUUAUCCUUUGACAUUGUUGCACAUUAAUUGAAGUGCAGGAAGAAUUUUUGCUUUUCUAUCCGGUCCACCUGAUUUUGGUGCUGGAGAGCUGGAUACUAGAAGGUAUGGUGAGCAAUAUGCCAGUAAAGGAGAGGAUGCAGACCUGGCUCUACUUCCAGAACAGACACCAUUUUAUAAAGAUUUGGUAUAUAGAAUUCAUGUUGUUUUAAAUGGAUGUUUAAUUAUUCUUAUGGAAAAGCAUUGACAUAUAUUUCACAGGCUACUGUCGCUGUUCAAGCAGGUGUUUGUGUGGACAUAUUUGCUGUUACAAAUGAGUACACAGAUCUAGCAUCUCUAAAAUUUCUCAGUAUUGAGAGUGGGGGCUCACUGUUUUUAUAUACAAAUACUGACAACUCAACACUGCCACAGGACAUGUGAGUAGGAGUGCUAGUGAAUUUUUUGACUUUAUUUGUAUUUUGAAGGUGAUACCAGGCCUAUAUUUAGUCUGAAAAGGAGUACUGGUCUAAUUUUAAUAAAAAAUGGAACUAAUUUUUUUUUCUGUCAAAUUUCUCUACAUUUUAACUACCUAAUUCUUGGGGAUCUUUUACGAGUCUGGGUGAUAUGAUGAUGUUUUACAGGUACCGCAUGUUAAGUCGUCCUUAUGCUUUUAAUUGUGUGCUCCGGUUGAGAACAUCUUCUGAGUUUAAAGUUGGUAAUUCAGUAAGUGCUCAUCUGUCUUUGCAAUUCUAUUCACUUCCGUGAUUGGUGAUUAUAUAUAACAUUGGCAUUUUGUUUUCAUACAGUAUGGCCAUUUUUUCCCAGAUCCUCAAUAUGAGAAUGUACAACAUAUCAUUUGUUGUGAUUCCUUUGCCACAUAUGCUUAUGAUUUUGACUUUGCAAAUGAUUCUGGAUUUUCCAGGUAAAAAGAAUCUUUUCCGUAUAUAUUUUUUUUAAAUAUCUACUUUUAGGUUCAUGUCGUUCCUACUUACUGUGCGGCUUGAUCAUGUCUGUUGUUUCACUAAAUGAUGCAUCUUGCUACCUUAUAUGAGUAUGUAGCUGGUGACGAACAUGUCUCAAUACUUUGUUACCUUUAGAAUCCAUGAGAUGUAAAAGCUUUUGGAAUUUUUAAUUCUUCAGUAUUUUUAGGGGGUAGGCUUGCUUCAUAUUUCCCUUUUUUUUUUUUCGUUUUCCCCUCUUUGGUUUAUUUUCCUGGUUUUAUUUGAGUAUUUUUCUAAUCUGGAGUAGAUAUAAAAUUGAUACUGUAUUGUUCAAUCUCAAUGCAGACAUACUACAGAACUUCCUAUGUUGCAAAUUGCUUUUCAGUACACCAUUGUAGUGCCCCCUGAUGAACUGUCAAAAUCAACAUCAAGUUCUGCAAACAGGUAUGCCAACUAAUUGCUGAAUGAAACUUCAAUUAGGUAAUUUGCUGGUAAGACACUCUUUCCCCCUUUCAUUUAGAUGUCCAUUUGUGAAGAAUGAUAAAUCCAGUGGCAUCAUCUGUAAUUUUAAGUAAAUCUGUUAAACCAUAAACAUAUAUCAUCUUGCAUAUCAGAGUAAUUUUUAAGUUUCAUAAGCAAUUUUUGACAAUUAUUAUCCUUUUAGUGGAAGUGAUUGAUCCUAUAUUUUUUUUUCGGGUGUCACAGCAACAUUGCUGUGUGCUGUCUUUUGUUUUCUUGUCAUUUAGUUUUAAAGAAAUGUUCAGCUCCCAAUAUACUUUACAGAUCUUAUUUUAAUCUUGAAUCUUGUUACUCUGAAGAAACAAGCAUUCCCUUCAGAGGAGACUAAGGAUCCAUACUUUGCAAUUUACAACUGCCCAUAAUAUCAAUGAAGUGUACGAUAGUGUUGAUCCAGAUGUGGUCCUUUCUAUACUUGUGCACAAGGUAAUUAUAUUUUACUUCGAUGGUGAUUUAUUUAUACAUUACAAUAUUUGGAAGGAAUUCUUUGUGUACAUCUUCUUAAAAGACUAUACAAGAUGGGCGAAAAGGGUGAAGAAUAAUAAAUCAGAGGAUGGCUUUAUGACCAGAUUUUGUAAAGUUUAUUAGUUUGUAAAAGAAGUGAUGGUGGAAGGAAGAUGCCCAAUGCUAUUGCGGUUUAAUACUUAGACACUCAUCUUUAUUAUAGUCAGGAUGUGUUGGUGCACACUUGGCAGGAUUAUACAUUUGAAGAGAAAACUACAAACUUUGUACAUCAUUUACAUAUCUCUCUCUUUCAUUUCACAAAGAAAAUGAUAAAUUAGAAUCAUCACUUUGUUUUUCUUUAGAACUGUUUGCUUUUGAAUGAUCAGUUUGUUUUCCUUUAGAACUGUUUGCCUUUUUUUUCUCUCCCUCAAUUGUAGUUCAGCUUAGCUUCAAUUUAUUCAUAAAUAUGCACCUAUGCGGUGGUUAAAAUAAAUAAUCUUUUUUUGCUUGCCUUCUAUAUCGCAUAGUUGAAAAUCAGUAAUACGAUGACAUGGAACAUAGAAGACAUAUAAUACCACCUGCAGUUCCAGCAAGUGUAGAAACUUGUUGUUGAUAAAUAGAAGGUGAUGUUGUCAUUAUUAAAGGAAGUGAGGCAUUAAUUUUUUCUAGCUGAUUGUUCAUAUAUUUUUGACUCAGGUCAUAUUGAUUUCAUUGGAGCAAGGAGUUAGAGAAGGCAGGGUCUUACUUAAUGAUUGGCUUGUACUCCUUACAGCUCGAUAUAAUGAUGCUUGCAAACUUCUGCAAUUUGAGCGUGGAAAUUCAGCUACAGCUCAUGUUGAUGUUGCAUUCUCCCAGUGCCCACAGCUUCACCCUUUGCCCCGCUUAGUUUUUGCUUUGUUGCGAAAUCCUCUACUCCGCCUGCAUGAAGAAGGUGUUCAUCCAGAUUACCGAAUAUAUCUUCAGUGUCUAUUCAGGUAAGUUAGGAGUUUAGUUACUGAGACUUCUCAGAGGUAUAAUCAGUCAUUUCAGAUGCAAGUAGGCGUAAAACUGCAGCUUGUUUUGUGUUGCGUUGCAAGUAUAUGCUUCUUUAGUUUCUCCUUGCAGUAAAAGACUAAGGUAAGGAGGUCAGCUAAUCAAGUAUAAGAUUGGAUUGAAGUGCCAUGUUUCAUAUAUUAAUCUGCCCUCCUUGGUAUUGAAGAAAGCAGUUGAAAAAUUUCUUGCAUGAUUUAAGUGCUGUUAGAUCAAGAGGGAAACCCACACAAGAUUGCAUGGACUGUGAUUCUUAAAAUUGCUUUUGUGCCUAAAUCACGUGUCUGCUGUGUGGUCAUCAUAAUAUAGGAUCAUUGUUUUUAAUCUCAGGUUGUAAUGGGGUUGAUUAAGGGUGACACAAAUAUUCUUUAGCUGAUUUCUGAUUCAAGAUUGAUCAACUCUCAACAUUAUUUUGCCUUAUUUUUGUUCUGAAAAUGUUUAUGGUUGAUUAUCCAGCACUAGGUAAAUGUUUUCUUCAGUCUAGUCAAUUUGCCAUGAUCUAGUUGACUAGUUUAGCAUUUGUCAAGGUAGGAUACACAUGGAGAUGGAAUUUUGGUUCUCUGAAACUGCCAAGGGAGCUCUUCUAAUUCUCUUGUGCCAGUUGUUGAGUUGAUUGAAAAUUUUGGAUAUUACGUCACAAUUCACUGUUUUGAACUUUGGAUGCAGUGCUUUAGGACCUUCAUCUCUUCACCGAGCUAUAUAUCCUAUCUUGACAUCAUUUGCCACUCCGGAUAAACAAGCCUUCCCACGCCAUUCCUUGAGUCGCGCUGCAUUGAUCACAAGUGGAAGUCCAAUAUUUUUUCUCGAUGCAUUCACUACCCUCAUUGUAUUCUAUUCUUCUACUGCAGACCCUGCACUUCCUUUUCCUCCACCUCAAGACUGUAAGUUUUCUUGCCUUGCUUUGAUGCUUUUUCGAUAACCAUAACUGUUUCUUUAUAACAAUGAGAAUUGUGGUUUUUCUUUAUCCAAUGAAUUAAGGUUGGCUUCGAUUUUGCCCACUUUCAUUUUUCUUUUCACUGCCAGGCUUAUUAAGAACUACCAUAAACAAGUUAAAGCAAGAGCGAUGCAUUACACCAACACUCAUGUUUAUAAGAGGAGGGCAGGAUGAUUCCACAAUUUUUGAAAACUAUCUUAUAGAGGAACAAGACGUUGAAGGCAGCGGAUUCACUAGUGUCAUGGGCUUCGUUUCUUUCCUGGAGGAGAUAAAUCAUGGCGUGUUGGAAUAUCUGAAAUGAGUGAGCCGCAUCAUACCUCAGUUAGAUGUAAAAUUAAGGACAGGAUCACUUGGCAAACAAAGAGUAUACUGAUGUGCUUUGUAGCUGCAGUAAGAGAGAGAGAGAGAGAGAGACAGAGUGUGUGCGUGUCUUGAAGCAGAAGAGACGAGGCUGUCUUCUUGUACUAAAUUAGUUCCAUCCAAAGUAUUUGCUGUAGUCGCGAAAAGGAGGGAAUCCAUUUUUCCCUUUCCUAAAAUUAGAAUUUUGUCUGCACAUGUUUAUAUUGCCUCCAUUGUUUUUUUUUUUUUUUUUUUUUGGUUCAAUUUAUUUUGACAUAGUCCAUGUGGCCUAUUCCUCUUUGUGAUUGUAGUUAAGUGUUUUGAAUGCGGUCUUAUUCUGCAAUCAAUAAUCUCUGCAAUGUUAAAGUUUGAAUGCUUGAGACAUAAAUUUUAGUCGUAUCAAAUCUCUAUAUUAUUUCCUUGUAUGUUUCCGCUCAUACUUGGACUCUUGAACCCUUCGAUGACCAAGGUUGGUCUUCAUUAAGGCGAGAACCCUUCGACGAUCAAGGUUUAGUAAUGCCAAAACUUAAAAUUAGUCGGAUCACAUUUGUAUGAUAUCGCGCUCAUGUGCAUCAUCCGAAUGAGAGUCCAUUUAGAUAGUGAGUUUUUUUUUGGAUGUUUGUAUGAAAUUUUACUGUAAUUUAUUGUAAAAAUUAUAGAAUAUCUUUUUUAGAUUUGAAGGUUUGGAGGAAUUUUUUUUCUUUUUCUUUUUCUUGUUUUUCUUCCCUCCCGCCACAUCUCGAGUUGUAUCACUAACAGCCAUCACCACCUUAGCCCUCUUCCCCCCCCCCCUCUCCUCCUCCGUUUCUGUUCCUUCUCCUUCUCUCUUUCUCCUCUCUCCUUUCCUUCUCUGGCUUUCCCUUCUUUCGACCCCCCUUCCCCUCUUGCGCUUUCCUCUGAUUGCAUGACCAGAGAGAGGCAGGAGAGGGAUUGAGGGAAGGGGGAGGUGGAGGAGAAGGGAGGAAGAAGAAAGAAGGAGAACGGAGGAGGAGGAGACGAAAAAAAAAAGAAAGAAAAAAGGAGACAUCGGUGGAGGUGCAGGGCAACCAUGGUCGGCAACGGAGUUGUUGGUAGUGAGUUGAGGUGGGAAGAGGACGAAGGAGAAGAAAGGAAAGAAGGAAUUUUUUUUGUUGUAUAUUUAGAUAUUUUGAUAAGUAUAUUUUAAAAAUUUUGAAAUUUUUUUUGAUAUUCUUAGUUGAAGUAGUUAAAAAAACUGGGAGAAGAAAAAUUAGGCAAAAUUUGCCUUCCAAAUUCUCAAACAAAUUUUUGUAUUUUAUGUAUUUUUAAAAUAUUGUAUAAAAAAUACUUGUUCUUUUCAUCUAAUUGUGUAAAACAUGUAGAAAUAAACUAUUGAAGUUCAUGAAUUAUAUUUUAAUUUUUAAAAAGCUUUAUAAAUUAUGUAAGACAAUGACAUAUUUUUUGAGUUAUCACAAAAUAGCAACAAGGUAUAUCAUAAUUAUACAUCACAGUUUUUAUAGAUUAAUGUGUAUAAUACUAAUAAGGCAAUAAAAUCUCAACUAGUUUAAUGUCUAACAUGCAUGGAUAAGAGUUAAAAUUGGUAUUAAUAUUUCAUAAUCUUUAAAAAAAUGUUUUAUUAAUUCUAUACAUUUUUUAUUCCAUAACUUUCCAAUAUAUUUCUUAUAUUAUUCAUGUGUGGAUUUAUCUGCAUAAUUUUGCCAUUCUCGUAUUUUUUACACCAACCUUAUAAUAGUACUUUCAAAAACAAAUUUUGUACGAGUGAUAAUAAAAUGCCCAUAAGGGGGACCCAAGUUUUAUACUUAACACACAAAUUAUAUAAAUCCUAUCCUUGCCAACACUUGAAAUGGACCAAAAUAAUGAGGAGAUAACUUCUACAGUGAUGAGAGCGUAGAAUCUGUUGCCUGUAAGGUUGAAGUUUAACAUAAACCCAAUCACCCACAUCAAACUCCCUCUCUGACCUGCGUUUAUUAGCUAACUAUUUCAUCUUGUGUUGAGCCUUGGACAGAUUAUGCCGCAGGGAGUGAAUGACUUUCUCCCUUACAUGUAGGCUCCUGUCCACAGAUUCAACUGCCGUGGUCUCAGGUAGGUAAGGAAUGUGAAGUGGGGGAGGCUGGCCAUAGACUAUCUCGUAAGGAGUGAAUUUGGUAGGGGAAUGAAAAUUCGUAUUAUAGCAGUACUUGGCCAUUGGCAGCCAUAAACUCUAAUCCUUGGGAUGAUCACCAGCCAUACACCUCAAAUUGUUCUCUAAACAUCUGUUAACUACCUCUGUCUGGCCAUCACUCUGAGGAUGGUAGGAAGUGGACAUGUUCAACUAGACACGCUGCAACCUGAAAAUUUCCUGUCAGAAAGAGCUCAAGAAAAUGGGAUCUCUAUCACUGACAAUGGUCUGAAGAAGACCAUGUAACCUGUAAACUUGGUCUAUGAAUAGCUGGGCAACUGAGAUGGCGGUAUAGGGAUGAGCCACAGCCAUGAAGUGAGCAUAUUUGCUGAGUCUGUCCACCACCACUAAGAUCACCUUCCUGCCAUGUGAGAGGGGUAAGCCUUCAAUAAAAUCCAUAGAGAUGUCAGACCAAAUCUUCUCAGGUAUGGGUAAAGGUUGUAAUAGGCCCAGAUAAGCUGUAUUAUCUGACUUAUUUCUUUGAAAAACGUCACAUACUGCUACAAAAUGGGCCACAUCCUUGAACAUGCACGGCCAAUACAAAACCUACUUAAGUCUCCUGUAAGUGACUUCCAUUCCAGAAUGCCCCUUUGUGAACUUGAAUGCCACAAGGCAAUCAACAUGUUCCUUAAAGACUGAUCAUUGCCAACCACCAAUUUGCCCCUCCGCUUGAGCAACCCUUGCUGCCAAGAAUAGUUGCUAGAAUGCUGACCAUUGCUGCUUAACUUUUGGAUCAAUUCCUGGACUAUCGCAUCUUGUUGCCAACUCUAUUGGAUAUCUUUGAUGAGAGAAGUUGUGACAGUAACCAAGGCGUACAGUGAGCUGCCUUCCUAUGGUUGUCUGGACAAUGCAGCCGCUACAAUGUUGUCACUCCCCUUCUUGUACUGUACCUCAUAAUCGUACCCCAUCAACUUGGCUAUCCAUUUCUGCUGCAGUGGUGUAUGUACCCUUUGCUCCAUUUUAUACUUCAAACUUUGAUGAUCAGUUUUGAUAAUGAAGUGUCGUCCCACCAAAUAAGCUCUCCACUUUAAAAUCGCAGUGACUAUGGCCAACAUUUCUUUUUCAUAUACUGACAGAGCUUGAUGUUUAGUCCCCAGUGCUUUACUGAAAAAAGCUAAUGGUCUCCUUUUUUGCAUCAACACCGCCCCAAUCCCAUUUCUAGAAGCAUCAGUUUUCACAAUGAAUUCUUGAGUAAAAUUUGGUUGAGCUAGGAUAGGGGGACUGCUCAUAACUUCCUGUAGUCUUUUAAAAGCUUGAGUAGCCCUAUCAUGCCACUGAAAUUGAUUCUUCUUAACCAAGUCUGUGAGUGAUUUAGUAAUCUUACCAUAGCCUUGUAUGAAUCUCCUAUAAUAUCCAGUAAGGCCCAAAAAUCCUCGCAGCUCCUUGAUUGUCUGCGGUAUUGGCCAAUUUUUAAUGGCAACAGUUUUCUGAGGGUCGGCUUGAACACCUUCUGCAUUGAUAAUAUGCCCCAAGUAGUCAAUUUGCUGUUGAGCAAAUGCACAUUUACUCAUUUUUACCUGUAAUUCAUGCCUUCUCAACAGUUCAAACACAAGUCUCAGGUGUUGCAGGUGCUCAUUCCAACCACCACUGUAUACCAAAAUGUCAUCAAAGAAAAUCAGAAUAAAUUUCCUUAGAAAGGGCCUAAAGAUGUCAUUCAUCAGACCUUGAAAUGUUGAGGGGGCAUUAGUUAGCUCAAAGGACAUAACUAGAAACUCAUAGUGGCCAUCAUGAGUUCUAAAGGCUGUUUUCUCCACAUUUCAGCCUUCAUUCUAAUUUGAUGAUUACCAGACCUCAAGUCUAACUUGGUAAAGAAUUUAGCUCCAAAAAGUUCAUCCAACAACUCUUCUAUUAGAGAAAUAGGAAAUUUAUUCUUUAUGGUGCCUGUUCAGUUGCCGGUAAUCAACACACAUUCUCCAGGAUCCAUCUUUCUUUUUUACCAAAACUACUGGAGAGGAGAAAGGGCUAGAGCUAGCUCUAAUAAUCCCACAAGCAAGCAUUUUUGCUACCAGUUUUUCAAUUUCACCUUUCCAAAAAACAGGGUACCUAUAGGGUCUUACAUUGACAGGUUCAGUGCUUUCUUUUAGAACAAUCCUAUGGCCAUGCAAUCUUUCAGGAGGUAAACCAUUAGGUUCUUGAAACAAAUCACCAUAUUCACUCAGCAAACAUUCUAGAUCCAGCAAGUUACUAUCCUGCCUUCCAUUAGUUCCAGCUGUAAUAGAAAAAAGAGAUAAUGGCCCUGGCUCUGGUUCUGGACGAUUCUAAUUAGACAGAGUUGUGCUCCUGCAAUUUGCUCAGGUUUUUGCAAUAUUUUCUGCAUUUUCUUUUGUCUCACCAACUGUAACCCGUGUUGUUUCAUUCCUCUCAAGACUACCUUGUGACCACUCUGCAGGAAUUCCAUCAUGAGAUCACCAAAAUUUCACUUCACAUCACCAAUGGUGGUUAACCAUUGCAUUCCCAGAACUAUUUCGCACCCCUCUACAGGUAACACCAACAAAUCAGUCUUGAAUUCUUGCCCUUGCAUUUUCUAGGUAAAGUCUGGGCAGAGAUCGUGGGUAGUCAACUUGUUUCUAUCUGUUACUUCUACCAUUAGUGGCUCAACCCUUUGUGUGAUUAACCCCAGUUUUUGCACUACCUUGGGGUGAAUGAAAUUAUGUGAACUGCCACAAUCUAUGAAAAUAUUCACAGACUGCUUCCCUACAUGUCCAGUGACCCUCAUUGUCAUAAAAUUAGGGACAGCUAUGUUGGUCAUGGCAUUGAGAGAAAUAUAAGCUAACUGCCCCUUAUCUAUUGCAUCCUCCUCACCCUCAGUCUUCGGUUCCUUCUUAUCUGGCGUAUCAUCCCAAACCUCCAACCUAUGGAAUUGCUUAUUUUCACAUCUAUCCCUAGCUGUAAACCUCUCAUCGCACCAAAAACAUAAUCCCCUUGCCCUUUUCUUGUUCAUUUUCGCCCUACUCAGCCUCUUGAAAGCCUUUUUAGCACCCGACUCAUGCUGCCUUUCAUUGUUGGGAAGUGCUGGAAACAUAGGUAGGGGCAGUACUGCCUUAGAGUCUGUUUUCCACUUGUGACUAGGAGCAUGCGCACGGAACUGUGUGGUACCCGUGCGGUCUGAGUAAUUCAGGAAUGAUUUGGACAUUACUUUUUCUUUUGACUGCACUAUCAUUUUUGCUUCUUCAAUUUUGGUCAAGAUUCGAGCAUGCUGCACAUUCUUAGGCAUAAACAUUCGUAAGAUCAACUGAAUUUCUGGCUUCAAUCCACUCAAGAAGCAGCUAGUAGCAUAAUCUUUUGGAAGAUCCACCCUAUUGAGGAGUUCCUCAAACACAUCGUGGUACUCCUUUACUGACCCAGACUGCUUCAAGCUCUUAAGCUCCCUCAUUGGAUCAUCAUACAAGGAAUCUCCAAAUCUUGAAGAUAGCUCUCUCACAUACUCUUCCCAGGUAGGAAACUCACGUGUAAGUCUAGAUUUCAUAAAAAUUUGGUGCUACUGAAGAGCUUUACCUUCCAAACUCAUCGCCGCUAUCUUAACUUUUACUGCGUUGGGAGUCUCAUCCACCUCAAAAAACUGCUCACUCUUGUAUAACCAUCCUCUAAAGUCUUCUCCAUUAAAUUUCGGGAAAUCAAUUCGUGAUAGACGAGAAGGAACCUGAUAUCCUCUCCUGCUGCUGGUUGGAGCAUCCGAGUUGUGAGGGCAGCCAUUUCCUUCCCCCUGAGCCUUCUGUGUGUGCAAUUCGAUCACCAAAUUCCACAGAGCCGUCAUUUCUCUCUCAAAUUGCUUAUGUUGCUCCUUCAGCAUGGAUCUUACGUGCUUUUCUAUUUUCCGGACAUGCGACCUAGUGCCCUCUGCUAUCAAAGAGUUGAGCUGGCGUAACCCAGCUCUGAUACUACUGAUGCAAAGAGCAGUGGAGGUCAUUAAUCUCUGAUCUAGGGACCACAGAAAUAAUGAAGAAGUAAUUCGAAAACCAGAGAAGAUUUAUUGCCUUGAAUGAUGAACAUAAGAGAUUACAAGAAAUGUGAAAAAAACAACUUUACAAAUGGAAUCCACUACUGCUAGGCCUGUCAACGGUCCGGGUCUGGAUCCGGAUCCGGAUCCGUUUUGUCAAACAAAAAAAUGGAUCGGAUACGGAAUAUAGUAUUUCGACCCGUAUUAGACUCGGAUCCGAAUAUAAAUGGAUUAAUAAUUUAAAAUAUGUAUAUUUAUCAAUAUAAUUUGAUUAGGGUGAUGUAUUUGAGUAAAGUUAAUUUGAUUUAUUUUCUUAUUUGAUUUUUUUUUGUAUUAGUUAGAAAUUAGUGUACAAAUAUAUUUUUUUCUCAUUUUUAUUAGAAAUUGUAAAUUUUCAUAAUUUUUUCAGGUAGACCCGGACCCGGAUCCGAGACCGGUCGGAUCCGGAACAUAAAGUAGAAGACUCGUCGGGUAAACGGGUCGAAUCCGGAUCUAAUUUGGUAUGCCGGGUCCGGGUCCGGAAUAAUGAAUUCCGGUUCGGACCCGACCCGUUGACAGGUCUAACUACCGCCAUAGAUUUCCAACUUCACAUUUUAUAAAUGACUUAGGCGGUGAUCUUAAGUUGGCUAACAAACUUAUGACGUCGACUGACGUCAUAAGAUUUUACAAAUCAUUGACUAACCUAUCGUACCUAACUCCAGCUGUAACUAACUCCAUGCACAGCCACAUGCAGCCCCAUGCACGCACAUGCAACCCAUUUCACGCAUAAUCCAUUUCACGUGUAUUAGGUACACUCAGGAGCUUGCUCUGUAUGACCCAAAUUGGUACUACAUCAGAGCUGCUUCCAUGGCUAGAAAAAUUUAUUUGAGGCAAGGCCUUGGAAUUGGUGUUUUCGGGAGGAUUUAUGGAAGAAGCAAGAGGAAUGGAAAGCUGUCCACCUCAAUUUGGUAAAAGUAGCGGGAGUAUUGCUUGUCACAUUCUUCAACAACUCCACAAGAUGAAUAUUGUUGAUAGGGACCCAAAAGGUGGAAGAAGAAUCACAUCCAGUGGACAAAGAGAUCUUGACCAAGAAGAAUCACAUCUAGUGGAUCCCAUCCAAAGUCAUUGGGUCCUCUGGUAGGACCAAAAUUGCUUGCAGUUUUUUCUACAAAAGUUAUUAGCUGCAUAUUUGACCCAAGAGCAAGAGAAAAUAUACAAAGAGCAUGGGCUGCUUUAUCUUCAUAUGCCAUCAAUAAGUUGUUCAAACCUUCAUCUCCAAUCUUCUCCAUUCAUCAUGGAGGCAAGUAUGUUGCACCAGCCCUAGUCCAUUUAUUUCUUUGGUAGCAAUUUUAGCCUUUUCUUUGGAGAUAUCCUCAGGCUCACCUCGUAGCUCCGACAAAUCAAGUUUGAGCAAUUGAAAAGGAAUCAGCUUGUCGAGAAUAGCACAAACUUCCUUGAGCUUCUUGGCAUUUCCAGAGAUAAAAGUCACUGGUAGAGAUAGCACCGAUCCCUUCACCAUAGCCAUUGCUGCAGACAUUUUCUUGCGAUUCUGUGUUUUUCUUUUCCUUUUUUUGGGUGGUUUUUUUUUUGUUGAGAUUCUAGAGUGAAACGACCGCCUAUUGUGGUUUAUUUAGCGCGCUUAAAUUUUUUGGGCAAUUUUGCCCUACAAAUCUUAGGUGUGCAGUUCACAUGGCAUCCAUUCUGUUUGACUUGAUGGUCAAAUUACAUUGAAUGAUAAGAAACGUGCAUUUUGGUUAGUUCAGUGAUAUUUUCGGCUAAGAAAAUAGUUUAGUACCCUACACUAGCACAAACAUAUAGUUUAGUGACAUUUGGCGCAAUUUGUUCUAAUAAGUAGGGAAAGGACAUGAGAUUAGCACCCAAAACUUCUAAUUCUUGAAUCUCAACUUUAAUAAUUAAAUCAAAACCGUAUCAGUCAUCGAUAGUAUCUACUUAAUACACUUUACAUUAUUAUAUUAAUUUUUGUAUAUUGAUAAUGUAUACAUCUACAAUAUGUGAUAUAUGUAAGAUUAAUUUUUGCUACUACAUCUCUUCAUUGGUAGCGAUAACAUAGUGAUGGUGGUUAAGUAGAUUAAUCCAUACUUUUUUUUGGCUAUUUCUUUGUGUGGUGUUGGUGGAGAGUACAUGAACAACUUCUGAUUUUCAAACUAACCACAUUGGAUUAAUCCAUACUUUUUUGGCUAUUUCUUUGUGUGUCGUUGGUGGAUAGUACACGGACAACUUCUGAUUUUCAAGCUAACCACAUUGGAUUUGAUAGCUACUAAGAAGUUUGGUAAGGUUGAGGCGCGUAGAACACUCUCUUUAAGACGAUACGUGCCUCUACGGUAUUUUUUCAGCUGAUGCAAAAGAUCUAGUGCGCCGCCUCCAAGAUACAACAGACUAACUCUUUGAUUGUUGCUUCCCUCUGAUCUGCACAAUCAAGAGAAGCAAAAGCUUCAUAAUACCUUACUUUGUCCAAAGAAAAUUAGAAUCAGGGAGAAAGAAAUAAGUGUAAGGAAAAAAUAGUAUUUAGAAUAAUCUUUUAUUGAGAGAAGUGUGUAAGAAAUUCUCUAAAGAAUUUCACUAUUUAUAGGCUACAAAAACCUUUAGAAAAUAGGUUGAAUGUCCAAGUUCAACAUAUAAAGGUUUUUUUCAUAUUAAAUUGUAGCUAAUUUGUAAAAUUUGUAACCUAAAAAUUGAUUCAUAUUUGAAUGGCUUAUAAUGACUCAAAAAAUUCUUCAUUUGAUUAAAAAAUUCAUUUGUAACUCCUAUUCAAUUUUGUAACUCCUAUUCAAAUAAUUGUAUAAUAACUCUAUUCAAAAUGUAUUGUAACUUCCAACAUUAUAAUUCCCAUAACUCUCAAAUAAAUUAUAUUAUAACUCAUUGUAAAUAUUUUGUUAUGAAAAAUUUAAGAUUUUAUUAAAAUACACUAACAUAUAGUGGUGGUAGGGCUGAAAAAUGAAUCAAAUUACUUGAUUUUCAAAUAACUAAAUGUUCGUUUUAGUUUGGUUCGCCAAUUAGUUAAGCUAAACUUAACUUGAAGAGCGCACUUUAUGUUCGAUUACAUUCAAAUUCGACAAAAAAGUUUGUUCAAACUCGAUCUGACAAAUAAACAAGUCAAAUUUGAACAAAAUUUCAAAAUAGUUAAAAUAAUCAAACUAGGUUGUUUGAUUUGAUUAGUUUCCAUUGCACCACUAGGUGCGCGGUAAGUGGUGAGACAAUGAAGAUGGUUAGGUUUUCUUCCGAGAGUAUAUUGCUUUAUAUUAAAAAAUAUUCAAAUUCGAUAAAAAAGUUUGUUUAAACUCAAUUUGACAAAUAAAUAAAUCAAAUUUAAACAAAAUUUUAAAUUCGUUAACAUAAUUAAACUAGGUUGCUCGAUUUGAUUAGUUUCCAUUGCACCGUAAGGCGGUGUUAAGUGGUGAGACAAUGAAGAUGGUUGUUUUCUUCCGAAAGUAAAUUGGAAUUUAACCCCCACCACAUGAAACCAGGCGAAUCAAUCGGGUGGGCAACCACCGCCACCGGUACCAGUACACCAAACUUCUCUCGUCUCCUGUCGAAAUUUGGACUUUGCUUCGUCUAAAAUUCAACGAGUGAAUUAGUUAUAUACUACCAGAUUAAGGUACUUAUGAAUUAAGUAUUUUAAUCGCUCAGUUUGCAAUUACUAGUAGUAUUUCAUUCUCAUUUCCCAGCUGAAGAAGCAAACACGCCACACACACCAGCACACCACAAGAAACACGCACUCAAAUGGACUCAUCAUCAUCAUCAUCUUUGGACAGCCACCGAGCUGCCUACUCACCCUCCGCCCCACCCGUGCCCGACCCGGAUCAGGAACCCAGGUUGGCCCACCCGUAUUACCCCUCUCGUUCUUCUCAAGACCAGUACUACCGUCCUCCCGCCUCCUCCUCUUCCUCUUCCUCCUAUACGGGUCACACUUAUCACCAGAGUCAGUACCCGACGCUUACACCGACCGGCAGCUUCAGCAGCAAUUAUGGGUCAGGUCAUUCAUCUCAUUCGGAUCCUGGCUACGGGUAUGGUUAUCCUCCUCCCCAGCCCCAGCAGCAGCAGCAGUAUCAGAGCUAUAACUACAAUGCUUCCUUUCCACCUGGGACCGACCCGGGUGUGAUUCGGACCUUCCAGAUGGUGGAUAGGGAUGGCAGUGCGUUCAUUGAGGAAUCGGAGCUCCGACAAGCUCUUUCUUCGGGCUAUCAAAGGUUCACCAUGCGGACUAUCCGUUUACUAAUCUUUCUCUUCAAGAACCCUUCUGAUUCUGCUCUCAAAAUCGGUAAAUAUUCUAGUCAACGCUUUUUCAAUGAAGUCUUUUCUGGGUUUCUUUUAUAUUAUGCUAUUACCCUCCAGAGAAUAUUCUUUUUAUUGUGGUUAUUCAAAGUUUAGAGAGUAAAAAAAAAAGUGAUCUUUUUUGGUUUUAUUUCUUUCAUUUGAUUCUGACUGAUACUUUUUUUCCUUGGUGCUUGUGAAUACAUUACAAUUGAAAGAUCAAAGACCAGAAUAUUAAGUGAAUCCCUUUCUUUAAUGCGAUACUCCAUGAUGCUUUAUCCCGAUGCAAGAUGCACCUUUUAUGUAGCAUUUAACAUUUGAGGAGCUAGAUAUAUUUUGGAAGAUUUAGGAUAUCCAAUACAUAAUUUUGCUUUUUUUUUUUUUCAAUUUUUCUGGUACUCGUUCUGUGUGGUUUUAUGGUUGGAUGAUGCUGCUUUAUGAGAGAGAAAAGGUAAUGGGAUUCAAUGUGCUAAUGAGUUGGUAAACAAGAUGCUUUUCCUAUGUAGGUUAGUGAGCUAGUAUAUUUUUCAUCCUGAAUUGAUAAAAUUGUAGUUUGUAGAGGUUAUUCUUUGACAUCUCGGAGAGCGUUGUUUCAAAUUGUGGCUACUGUUACUAGUGUGGGAGAUGAGAAGGAGAAGAAGUGAAGAAAUGAGGAAAGAGUAGGGAGAGUGUGAUGUGUGUUAAAGCUGAGAAAAAAUGUGAGGCUUUAUUUGAUUUGAUGUGGGAUACUCCUCUGCACUUAAUGACUAGGAUUUUGCUCUGGUUCUGGAAAGUGGCGAUUUACUAUGCAGAAGAAAUUUCUUAUGCGGAGAUGGUAUAUUUAGGAUUAUGAAUCAGAAACUUAAAAUACUGAAGUAAAAGGAUUUAAGUGGUGGUCUUUUUUGACUUCGUAAAAAUUUUCUUUGUGUCCAAUGGUGGACUUGAGAACGAUAAGAGCUGUUGAUAUGUUUCACUGCCUCUGGAAGUGUAACGCAUGCAGUAGGUUGAAUUUGCUUUAUUUGGAAAAUCCCAUUGACUUGUGAAUUUAUGGAUGUCUAAUUUCAACUCCAUUCCCCUUUCCCAUUCUCUCUCAUCCAAAAGACUACAAACAACAUUUUUGCUAUCUUUCAAGUUAUUUACCGACUCCUAUAACUUUGGAUAAUGGUUAUGGUUACUUGUGUUGCUUAUUCUUGGUUUUGAAAUCACAGGGCCCAAGGAGUUUUCUGCUUUAUGGAGUUGUCUUGGUCAAUGGCGAGUGAGUGAUCUUUUGAUUCUUUGUUACAUUUCCUUCUUUGUUCCCCUAUUAUUUGGUUUAUUCUGCUAUUGCUUGUUUGUUUAUUGUUUCUUUUUGGGAGGAAGGAUGGAAAUUGGAUAUUUGUUGUGUCUAUAUAUGCAUCUUGAGAUGAAUUAUAGGGUACUUUCUUUGUUGGUUUGCAAUGUCAUCUAUGAGAUACGAGAUAACUUCCUGAUUUUUGGUGCUUGAAAUCUUCAGGUCAUCAUCUUUUCAAAUACUAAAGAAUCAAAAUAUAGUGCAUCAUCAAAUGAUUGGCUGUAAAUUCUACUCGUGCACAUAUAUUUUUAUCUAGGAUAUGCUGUGUGAUUAAAAUUCAGUAGGCCAUGACAUUAACUGUGAAGCAUAUUGUUCACUCUGAACUACAUAUAGCACAUGGUGUAAAGAGGUCAUUUUGACUUCAUUAGACCAAGUGCAGAUGUACUGAGCUAUAGAAUGGCGAGUAAUGCUCCAGUUUUCUACCAUCUUUUAGUUUUAUAUACAUGAGAUAGAUGGUAAGCCAAACCACAAUAUAGUUUCCUGUUUAUUUAAAUUUGGAGUUCAUUAACUGUUUAUCCUGAAUUAAUCACACAACAGACCUGGAUAGAGAGAUGAACAGUCAAACGCACACAAUAAGAGGAGAAUUGCUUUACUGACAUGGCUAUGUGCUUUUUCUUCUGUAAAGCACUACUUACAAAUUCAUAUUCAUUAUAUUCAAUGCUUGUGGUCCUUAAGAGCAGUAAGAGGGAAAAUUGCGUGGUAUGUUUUUAAAUCUAUUUGUCUUUUAGAAGAGUGGUCUGACACUAACAUGCUUCUAUAAACAGAGUUGUGAGGCAUAAAUUUUCUUUGCUGUCAUAGCCAAAAGUAUGGUUGGAACUCUUCUAACGUGGGGUAGCAUAUAAAUCUCUCAAGGAAUGGGUUUAAUGGCAUCAGGGGUUGUGAUUCAUAUUCUUAAGAAAAGAGGUAAAUGAGGAAAUUCCUGCCAUAAUUGGGAGUGGUCCAUUUGCACAGCAGGAAGUCUUUUAGAUUUUUUCAGUCCCAGUUGAUUCUUGGGAUCAUAUUUCUUAAAUAGUAGUUAAUGGUAAUAACAUAUUUCUUACCUUUAAGAAAAGGGAAGACAUUGGGGCCUAAAGAGUUUCUUCUUUUUCUUUUUUUUUUCCCCUUAUGUUUAACCAUUUUCGUCAACCUCUGCUCAUAUCUUUUCCUGAAUUCUUGCAUAGUUUUGGAUUGUCUUGGGAUGACAAUCCUGUCUGUUUAACAAGUUAUUUCUGAUUUUGUAUGGAAAAACACCUACUAUAUUUAAAAAUUCAUGGUUUAGUUUGAUUUGGCCCAAACAUUGCGAAAUACUUGAAGAACAUAGUUUAAGAAGGAAAUUAGCAAGAUAUGCAUGUGGUGUUAUCUUAUAUCUGAGGAAGAAGAGGCCCAACAUUCUAUGCUACUGCCCUGUUAGGUGUGUAACUUGUUGAGAAAGGUGCAAUGUUUAGUUACUAAAACUUUCCAUCAUGGGGAUGUGCAUAUAAUAGCAUAACUAAAAAAUUAAGUAUAAACUCUGUUUCAAGUAUAAACUCUGAUUCAGGUAGAAUAGAGUAUCUCUUACCUUCUUAGAUUUUGGUGCUACUUUAAAUGCUGCUUAGCAGAUGCAAGACACCGUGAAGAAAACAAUUUGCUUAGUGUCUGUUUUUGGAUUAUUUCUUAAUCCGAACACAUUGUUGGGUGCAUAUCUUACAAAAGGCAUGCUAUACUCUCUUUGAUUUUGGAUGGAAGGGAAAGUAAACUUCUGUACAACUGGAGAAUAUGCCUAUGUUAUGGUAAUAGAUUUGAGCAGAAAACUCUCUCGUGGUAAUUAUGUUUCUUUGGUAAUGGGUAAACUACUUCUGUUCGAUCUUAAAGGCAUCUAAUAUUUUACUUUCUUUCCAGUCUUGCUUUCUUCCCCACUUAAAAUUGUUCAACUAGUCAGUUUUUGGUGUUCAAUUUUAUUACAAUAUUUUGUUUCAAGCUAUAAUAGUCUAUUGGAAUAACUCUUUCACUCUUUACUGCAGGCCAUAUUUGAGAGGUUUGAUAGAGAUCGAAGUGGGAAAAUUGAUGCAACAGAACUAAGAGAUGCUCUCAAUGGUAUAGGCUAUGCAGUACCACCUUCUGUAUUCCAAGUUCUCAUUUCCAGAUACGAAGAAGGAAAUGGCAGAAGAGUUGAGCUCAGUUUUGACAGUUUUGUUGAGUAAGGCUUCCUCCUCCUUUGGUAUAUGAACUUUUUGUCUUCUGCUUUUUGUUGGCUGUUGAAUAGCAUGGUUUGAUAUAUUCUUAUCUCAGUCCUUUUCUUUUCUUUUGUGCAGAUGUGGGAUGAUUGUGAAGGUAAGAAACUAAAUUCAAAUUCUCUUAUGCACUUUUGUUUCAUGGUUGGAAUCUUUUUGUCCUGUGAGAGUUUUUAAUAAUGUUGGCCGAAACAGGGGGAAAUUUUGUUAGAAUCUGCAAUCUUACACUCUUUCUGCAAGUUCAAAGUUAUUAGUAUAUUGAUGUCCCUUUCUAUGAGACACUUGAUUCUUACACAUGUUAUAAAUACAGGGUUUGACUGAAAAGUUCAAGGAGAAGGAUCCACGUUAUACUGGAUCAGCUACAAUGACCUAUGAUUCGUUUAUGAGUAUGAUCAUACCUUUUCUUGUAUCGUACUAGCUACCUGCUAUCAACAAUCUUUAUCAAUUCUUGAUUUGUUGUCUGUUGUUUGAGGUGAAACUGUACAUCGUUAGGGUGAGGUGCGUGAAAUGUUCAGGAGACAUGGAAGGGAUGUAUAUCUUUGUGUACAGAGUUUUUCUAUUGUCAUGUUUGACUGGUUUUUCGAGAUUCGAUUGAAUCGAGAUUUUAUUUAUGUAUGAGACAAAUUUUCUAGCAAGCCUAGUAAUUGGCAAGUCUGAACUUCAAAUUGAUUUUCCCCCCAACCAUUCUCUCGUGCGUUCUUGAUCUAGUGAGCAUCAGCAAAUUGCUUUCCAGCUAAGGUGAAGAGAGAUGAAGACCAUAUUGCCAUGCUCUGACAGAAAUGGUUCAAACUCUGGUUGAUUGCAAGGAGGGAAGGGCCAUUUGAAAUUUUUUUGUUUGUGACCCCAGUGUAUUGAUGUUUUUUCUUUCUCUUCGGAACAUGGAAUAGAUGAAGAUCAAUUUUCAAUGCAGAGUCAUAGGCUUUCACUACUUGGAAAGUAAAUUAGACUCCAAUUGGUUCAAUUUAGUACAUACGAACUUGUACAAGAUAUUCUUGAGAGUUUUCAACUUGGGUUUAGACAUGAAUGGUUAAUGUCAGAGCACAGCCAGAUCAGGCAAAGCUAGCAUUGUCGGGUACCCUUAUGCAGAAUCAAUCAUGCUUUAUUAUGCUCCAAUUGGCAGAAUUUUGUUUUGGGAACGUUUUGUUUGGACCUUGGACACUCGUAAACUUCGAGUAGGUUUGACUAAAGUGAAGCUUGUGGAUCAUGGCCUUCUCAUUGUGAUGAUGCUGUGUGAAUACUGUGGGAAGCAAACAGAAAGAUGGAUGAUUAAAUCUUUGCCCAAUUCCUAUGACUAAGGUGUAGAGAGAGUGUUUAUGGUUUUGUUUCAGUUCUGCAGGCUUGAGCCUGUCCUUUUCGAUGUUUGUGGGGAGGAGGGAUCAUGGAUGGAAGAGGCAAUUUACUACCAAACCCCCGGGCAAGACAAGUUCACAUGUUCCUCUAAACAAAUACCAAACAUUCCAGGUCUGCACCAAAAACAGCCCAGGUGAUAAUAAUGGUUAUGCAACCACCAGUCCAAAGGCUGGUGGCCACCACCAAAGCAUUAACCCUUGCCUCCCACCAAUUGUCAUACUAAAAGUGACUUUGCUUAAAAAAAUUCAAGUGGGUGCACUUCGCACCCGUUUGGUCUGAUGAUGGUUCAGUCAUCUCCGGAUUACCCUGAGCUUCCUUAGGUUUGUCCCCUCCCCCUGGAUUACCCUAAAUUAUGUUAUGAGCUUCCUUAGGUCUGUCCCCUCCCCCUAGUACAGAAUAAAUUACGUUAUACAACAGUUAUCGUCUCUGGAAAAAAAAAAAGAAAAAAAGACAAUAAUGGUUAUGCUCACAUGCAUAGCAUCAAGGGCCGAACAUGAUAAAUUUAAAAAAGUGACUACAAUCCAUCAUGAAAGUACCUUAUCAUGAGCAUCAAAAUCCUAACAAGACUUGCAAGGAAUUGAAAGGUGCCUGUUGCAAUAAGAUGCCAAAUUACAUAUAUGAAACCAUUUUUCUUCUUCCAGUGAAUCCUCUCGCUCGCAACAAUUUUUGUUUUGCUAAUUUAUUAGGCACCAUAUUUCCUACAUCAAGUGUAUGUUAACUGAUUGUAUUGACGCGUAAUACUUGGGAUAUUUGAACACGACAAAGAAUCUUGUGAUAUUUUGUUUUGUAGUCUAUAAUCAUCUGAUUUUUUGUCAAAAUUCUGUCUGACCCUUCUUCAAUAAAGCCAGAACUCAAAGCGGAUGAUGUUUUUAUAAAUGAAUUGGAGGACUGAACAGAAAGUGCUAGACAACUACCGUGUCCAUGUAUACCAUGGCUAUUACGAUCAGAUAUUCUGGCCGCUUGGUUCUUGAAAGUAAAUAGCAUGUCAGAUCUUUUGAAGUUGGGAACGCUUAAAUGAGGCACCUCUUCCUCUGGAGGAGAUUCUUCAUGUCUCUGAACUACCUAAACAAAACCACGAAAGCAAGGUUCACAGUAAAAAUCCAUUCUUGGCAUCUUGAAAGAAAAGACACUAAUAGUAAAGAGUAUUGACUAGAAAUAAGACUCUCGUUGAAGGAUGAAAUGCAGAUAAUAAGCCAAAAUGUUUUGCCUAUAAUAAACCGGAAAACUAAUCUAUAGGUAAACAUGAAUAUCAACUCAGGAAUAAAGUGAUCCCAUCAGAUGUACGAUUCUGGAACUAAGUGAUCCUUUGCAAUCAUCAACCAUGCAAACCCCAAAAAAGCAGGAAUAAGUAGAUCUGAUGCUUUCCAGGAAGCCACUCUUGCUCCAGAGAUUGAGAUUAUCCCACCAUCAGGCAAUAGCUUCAACAAGCUUGGCAGGCAAUUGUAAGAAUCUCUCGAACUCUUUGCUGAUUUAAAUGGCUCAUCAUGCAAAGUACUAGAAGUGCAUAGAAACUGACGCUAACACUUUGCUGUGGCAGAAGGAUGAUGUUCAUUUUCCUUUGCCAAAGUCAUUGCAUUAAGUCUAAAGUCCCCCUGGAAAAAGCAAUUACACGAACAAAGUCUUCAGUAAAGUUCCCCUGACUAAGAUAAUAUGUGGACAGCUAACCAUAAAUCUGAUAGCAGAUAUGUUUGGAAGAAAUGGAGAAUUUUUGCACUGAGAUUGACAUUAAACUAUUAACAGCCGAUUCAGAUUCAGACCCAUCACAACAUAGAAGCUAAUCAAACAUGAUAAUUGCUGUCUUGGAUAACUGUUGUCUUCAAUUAAAGUGGUGAUGGAAAUGUAGACAGGUUUUGAACGCCAAGCAUAAGUUCCUGUUCUUAUUUUCUUUCCCAGGGUUGAAGGACAGGAUAAUUUAUGAUUACAAGUCAAUUACUAGUGUUAUAAUUUUGAACUACCAGAUUUAUGACAUAUGCCAAGAUAAUACAAGUACACUCUAAAACCAGGAAGUUUCAUUUGGGAAAAUUUCAUACAUUAAGAUAUUCCAAGAAAAGAGUACUCUCCCACACAAAAAGGAAAUACACAGAACUACAAAAGCAUUAUAAAUGGUGGUAUAGAUAGCUCACCUAGUGAUCUCAUGAUUGGUGAAUGUUGUAGAUUGCAGCACUAAUGCUUUUACAGUCAAAUUCCAUUGUCUUCAUCCAGUUCUCAAAGUCUCCAAUUUCCUGUCAUGCGAAACAAAGAUAAUCAGAUCAAAGGAAAAUCCAGGUUUUAAAAUAUAAAAUCUUCACAAUGAAAAAAAAAUUAAAUAAUUACAAGUCCAGGACAAUAGCAGUAAUGUAGUGAAAUAGCUGGUCAUGAGGCUGCAUAAGUAUCACAGCUAAAUAAAAAUUUUCGGUAAUACAAAUUCCUAAUUUUCUUGGCAAUCAAGGUGGCCCAUUGUAUCCUGUAUCCCUAGGGAUGAAGGCAUAAAACCAGAAUUGAGCCUCACACUUCUUUUUCCUUUUUUCUUUCUUAACCUUUUGCUGCUGGCCAUAAUGAAGCAGAAUUAAGUGCAGUGAAUGCUUAGCAUCUAGCAUAAUCUUAAAAAAGAAGUAAGUACACACCAACAACGUUUUAGAUUCAAUAAUUUAUCAUUCCCACUUCUACACGAUCACCUAUCAAUAAUAAGCAUCCCAGGAAACAACUGCAGGUAAUAACCAACCAGUCGUUAUUCAGCAAGCCUCAAACAAAGAAAAACUUCACGUUUGAAAAUCAUUUGUGUAAACUUUCAACUAUAGGUCUUCAAAAAUGCUUAUGAACUUGCACAUGGAUCACCAAAGGUUCUUUUUUUUUUUGUUUUUUUUUUGUUGGGGGGGGGGGGGGGGAGGGAGUGGAGGUUCUUUAGAGGGCCUAACGGCCCAUUACAACAUGAUUAAAUGCAGGGUAGACAUCCAUGCAACAUUGUCACUCAACAAUUUCCUAAUCUGUUCUGGUGAAUCCCCAAACUUGUGCAAUCCUCAUUCCAGAGCUUUGCUAGACCACCUGCCACAAAGCUCCCUUGUCUCCAGUAUGUAGCAAUCUACAAUCUCAAUCCUUCUGAAGCCACUGUCUGAUUUCUCCAAUUAGGUUCAACUGUACAUUGUCCUUUGUAGCCUCUUUAACCAAGCCAAUGCUGCUGAGAGAAUCAGAUUCUACCUCCGCUUUCCUGUAUCCCUCAGCCCAAGCAAAUUCCAAUCCACACAGAAUACCCAGCGUUGAGCUUAUACAUUAGUAGUGAUUCCCAGGUUUGUACAAAAGCCCCCCAGAAAGACACCAAGUUCAUUCCUUAUCAGCCGCCCCGCUCCCACAACUCUGGGGUUGCCAGAAGCUGCCGCAUCCACAUUAAAUGUGAUGUAGUUGGCAGGUGGUUUAGACCUCACAUAAACUAUUUCCAUUCGUCUGCCUUUAGGCCAUUUCUCAGCUCUUCCUGUGCUCGCUCCGCAAGAUCACCAAAGCUCAACUAGAAAGCUUCUACCACUCCCACUUUUUUCAUGUGAAUACCAAAAACUCGUGGCACUUCACCCAAAAAAAGAUGUGCAAAGAAAAUUUUGGGGUAAAAAAAAAUGAGGAAAAAAAUAACAACGCAAACUAUUGCAUAUUGGUCAUUUAAAUAUCGCAGUAACCGAAUUUAAUGCAAUACAUUUAAAUAAACCCCCAGUUUUCUUCUCCUUUAAUACCAAAAUGGUUAAGGGCUAGCACAUAAUCACACAAAUAACUCACAUAUCAAGCAAAGACUUAAACUUGCAUUACUCUGUUGGUAACCAUUGCCUCAACCAUGUCAACUUUUAGGUUUAUAUAUCAAAACAGACGAUCAAUUAAAAAAAAAAAAAAAAAAAGCUUUUCAACCUUGAUUGCUGUAUUGAUAGCAUGAGAAGCUGCUAGCCACUGAUCAGUCUGCUUCCCAAAUUGGACAAUAGCAGCUGUCAAUGCUCGAAUUUCCAUUUCUAUCCUUUUCUCCGUGAUAAAGGCUUCUUGAACACCUCCAUCAACCGAAUCAACUAAAAGCGCAGAAACCCUUUUGGCAAUUUCAAUUGCAUCUUUCUUUGCCUUGUCUGUUCAAAAUUACAACAACCCAACUGAAUCAAAUUACUACUUAAUCAAAUAUAUGGUCAAAAUCCCAGAAGUUUCUUUUAAGGGAUAAAAAAAAUAGGAUUGGACGGGGAAAUCAAAUGGGUUGACCUGUAUGUUCCCGGAGUUGGAUUGAUGAUUGAUUAUGAGCAUGCAUCAGUUGAAGUAAUGAAGCUUCUAAACCUCCAACUUCUGGCUGUUUUGAUCGAUCCAUCUUCAGAAGAAAAGGGCAUUCGCAGCCUUUUUCAGCUUCAAUUUCUGAUGCACUUUCCCAUUUUGUUGGGGUGUUAGUAUAUUAUUACAAAAGUUUUGAUUUUUGAUUUGUUUUUAACGAGAUUAAAAUUAUAAUUGUAGCAAAUUAAAAAAUUGUGUUCGAGUCUAACAUGUGAAAAUUAUUACAUUUUGAGCCAUUAACUUUUUAUAAGUUAGAGUUCAUAUGAAAUUUUGAGCUUGAAUAACUCGACUAAUUAAUGCUCCUUAGUAUGUUAAACUAGGUUUGAGUACUAGCUUUCCAUUGAUUAAUCACAAGAUUGAAGUCACUUAGGGAAUUGAAUUGUUUGAUUCGUUUCUUAGCUCCACGAGUACUACCUAGUUUCAAUGUGCCUGCAAAAUGAAAAAACAAUAAUUUUUUUUCUUGUUGUUGAUGAAUUAAUUGUACAUGUAAAAUGGGUAUAAACUAAAUAUUGUAUAGAUUCAUGUAUCUUAUGAAAGUUUGAUCGUUGAUUGUCUCAUGUACGUGAUAGAAACUUGGAUUUGCUUUCCAAUCCAAUAUGAGUUAAUGAAAAUAACACAUUGAUGUGGUAGAGGCAAGAUGACAAAUCUUGGAGAAAAGGUUUCGCACUAAGGCAAAAGUAAGAUCAUGAUAAUUAGCAUCAAGAAGAAUGACAAGAGAGUAAAAGAUCCUACCCCAAAAUGGUCUUUGAUAAUGUGUCAAAGUUACUUAAGUGCAACGCAUCAAUUAUGCAUCCCAUAGUGAACCACAAGGUCCACCAUCUUAUCAAUUGAGGUAAAAACAUCAUGAAUUAGAGAAAGAAACAAAAAGUUGGGGACAUUUGUUGUUUGUUAGCGCAAAUUAAGUAGUUGAAAUUAUGGAUUUGAUGUUGGAUGUUAAGUAAAUAAUAAUUUUUACUGGGGUCUAAAGCACUAAAGAUCACUAGAUAAUGAACACACAUGCAUGACAUUUGGUGCCCCUCUUUCAAAUCCAUCAUUUAUUUCAUGAAACAUUAUAAAAAGUGUGAUGAAUUGCAUAACCGACUUUGGGAUAUUUGCAUGCUACGUAAGAAAAGAAUAAUUAUGCUUCUUGUCAAGCAAAUCGUACUGGACAAUAUUCGACAAUUUCAUUAAUAAAAUUUUUUGUUUUAUCAGAAAAUAAAAAUAGAAAAUCAUGUGUCUUGUCUGGGUGCUGAAAGAUACGUUUAUGCAAAACUAAUUUCCCAUUUGUUUUGAUAAAAGGUUUGAGUGGCUAAAAAUAUGAGGAAAUGCUUUCACCAACUAAUCAUAAGUGGUCAACUUGCAGUUUUUAGUAGUAUUCACGCUAGAGAUAGAUUAACUUGCACCUUUAGUUAAUACAGUUAAAGAUUAACUUAUACCUUUAGUUAAUAUGAUUAAAGUUACACCUCAGUUAAUUUUGUAUUUGCUGAAUUUGGCAGAUGUGUGAUGUGACUUUCUUUAAAUUGAUUGAAGCACUGCAUAUGGAAACAUGGCUCAAUCUGGACUCUCCCUAAUAUAGGUUAGAGUAGGAGCAGGAGUUCCGUUUGAUAAAAAAAAAAUAUGGGAACAAAACAUUUCUUCACCAUAACCUUUUGUAUGAUCAUCCAUUCAUUUUUUUUAACUGCAAUGGAAUAGACUAGUUCCUUAUGAUAAUAUUAUACAACCUAACCACCUAGUUUUUCAAAAUUCUUAUUGUUAGACAAGGCAUUGCAAGUCAAUUUAUUUUCCAUAUAAAGGUUAACUGGAUCCAUUCCCAUAUGUUUUCCUUUUUCUGGUAUCCUCUACCUUAGGUUGAAGUGAUAACUAUUUGCUAAUCGUUAUUUUACGAAAGAAGGGUUAUUAUUUUUUUUUUUUUUUGACAAAGGAACCUGCAGUCACUGUCCGAAGGUGCGCGCUGAGUAAAUUUCGUCCCGUGCAAUAGUCCGCCAACCACAGGAAGUACAAAUCUUGUACGGCGGGCGGAUGUCCCAGUAAAGAUUCGAACUCGAGGGUUAUUAUCAUUUGACCUUUAGAUUUUACCAACAAAAUUACUUUGGAACAAAUGAAAAGUAUCACGAUGUUUUGUCCACCUUGCAUUGAGAUUCCUCUUGCCUGCAUGCGAUUCGCGAAGGUCACGAGAUAAUUUAUUCAUUACAUUGAAAUUAGGAAUAUUGUUAAUCGCAUUCCAUCUCUUUUUAUAUCUUUUGCACAUCUACAAAAAGUGAAGUGUAAAUUAACCUCAUGCUCGUGCACUACAAGUAACAUAUCGAAAGUGAAAAAAAGAUUAGAAAAGGCGAUUUCUACGUACUAAGAUUAAUCUAUUUCUAAUCCUUUUUUUUUUUUAAAGAAUCUAUUUGUCAUCCUUUUUUUUUUUUUCAAGAAUCUAUUUUGUGAUCCCUAUCCAACUGUUGUGGUGAAAUGAAGGAAAAAUCAAGCAACUUUGCAUCUUACGUUUGUGAUUUGAAUAGGAUUGUCCUCAACAAAUACUAGUUUUUAUUUAAAAGAUAAUGCAUGCGGACACAUCACAUAAAUUUUAUCUCACACGCUCCUCAACACAAUCCGUCUUGCUUGUAAAUAUUAUUGUCGUCGACGGAUAAUAGUUCUCUACAUAAAUAUUGGUUAAAUUUGCUAUCACUCUCUAUAAUACGUAGUUAAGAAAUUACAGCCUUGUUCGAAUUGCUACAUUUCUGCAAAAAAUUCUUUUGGAUUUUCUAAAGUAUUCUCUCGACAUGAUUGUUAAUCACAUUUUUUAUAUAAAAAAAAUGCUAUAAUGUAGUUUUUCAGCAUAAACCCCCCAAAAAUAAAUCUCAAUGGACGGUACAUUUUGUUAUAGUCUUGGACUCGAUUCUUUUCGAUCAAACGAUAAUUUUGAAAACUCAGCAAUUAGGAAAAUCUUAUUUCAUACAACCAAGGAACGACUUAAAUCCUUUUUUAGUUGUAGAUCGAUGAAUUAAAUCCCUGAUAGAAUAAGAAUUAUUGCAUAAAAGAAAAAAAGGAUGGAGCGAGCCGAGUUAAAUUAAACACUACUAGAUUAUAGCGUUUGACCAUAUACCGACUUAUCUACGAAACACAUGGAAGUUCCAAUUCUGCAGAACUCCAAACCAGGGCCUGAUGCCUGAAUGGCCUACGGCAUUGACCAUAUCGAGUAAACGAAAAAGGUUUCAGUUCAAAACACGGAUCCCCAAAAUAGAAGUCCAAGCUAUCAAAGCUAGUAGGAAAGAUAGAUAGAUACACCUGCCAGGGCUACAGUGCUACACAUCCCCACACACAGUCACAUUGUGUCACACACAAUUUUUCCAGUUUCCGAAAAAUAUUUCAUUACCCCCACCCGGCAGAAAGUGAAGGAAGGUGGCAGUAAAAGAAAGGAUUUUUACGAAAUAAUUGCAAGCCAAUGUCGGUGAAACUAAACUCCACCUUAAGCAAUAAGAAAAAAAUGUCACGUGCAACCUUUGGUAACUGAAUCAGAGUUUCCUGGAAACGCUUGCUGAAUAGAAACGUUAUUGAAGUGAAAAUCAAUCAUGAUUGCAAGUGUUUAGUACAGGAUGAAAACAAUUUUUGUUUUACUAGUUGUGUUGUGCGGUUGCUCCUUUCACACAUACUGUGACAGAAUAUAUUAGUACGUAUAAAUAUCGGAAGGCAUCAUUAAAAGGGCAUCGUGGUUGAGGUUUGGCUAGGCUGGCAUUACAGCAAUGGCCUCCCUGAGGUCCCUCAACCGCUUCAGGGCUCUUGUUCUUCUCUUCUCCCUCCUAUCAGGUCCUUCAUCUUUCAUCUCUUGUUUUUUUUUUAAUUCAUUUUUCAUCAUAUUACGAGUCUUCUUAAGUGGGUUUUUCUGGGUUUUGGUUGGUUGUGCCUAAUCAUUUGGUUAAGGGGAAAACAAGGUGAAAAAAUAGUUGGCUACUGAUCUUUUGGAUUGGGGGAAUUGAGCUAGUUCUUCUGGUUUUGCGAGCUGGGGAGCUUUUCUGAAGUGGGGCUUUCUUGUUUUUCUCUGUUUUCCUUUAUUUUGGUUUGCUGGGUUUCGGUGGCAAGAAGUUGGAAUGUUCAAGAUUCAAUUUUUGUUUGAUUAUCUGAGCAUUCAAGUUGCAGGGCCUUGAGUUUUAUGAUUCUUUUAUCAUAUUUGAACUAUAAUGUUCUGAAAUUCUUCAAGAUAUGCUUGCUAUUGGAUUGGUGACCUGGAUUCUUGACACAAAAGAAUAGGAAUUUAUUGUUACUACCGUGUUUCUGUGAUUCUUUUCAGAGUUUUCCUCGUAGGAAUGAUGUGACCUGUUGAUUUUAUUUGUCCUCUGAUUGGUUUAUGUUCUGGAAGUUUAUCCUGGUAUUGGUACUUAUGAAUUUUCACUGUUAGUUAAUACUAUAAGAUGAAUUAGAAAACACUUGAAGCUAUCUUCUCUUUUGCCAAAUUUUGAAGGAUUAUGAAUAUUGAAGCUGAUAGCCAUCACUAUUAUUCUGUUUCUUUGGGAAUAAGCUUAUGCAUUUAUCACCCUCUUCGUCUACACUCACCAAUGGCCUUCAAUUUUUUGCUCAGAUUUAUCUGUUGGCGUACUCAGCCUUGGAAUUGGGAUAAAUUAUGGCCAAAUAGCCAACAAUCUCCCUUCACCGUCCCGGGUUGCUGUUCUCCUUAGAUCUCUCAAUAUAAGCAGGGUGAAGCUAUAUGAUGCAGAUCCAAAUGUGUUGAGUGCUUUCUCCAAUUCCAAUGUUGAUUUUGUCAUUGGAUUAGGGAAUGAAAAUCUUCAAGCAAUGACUGAUCCUGGUCAGGCUCAAACUUGGAUUCAGCAACAUGUUCAACCAUACCUUUCUCAGACUAAGAUCACUUGUAUCACUGUUGGAAAUGAGGUCCUAACUGGGAAUGAUACCCAGAUGAAAUCUCACCUCCUCCCUGCAAUGCAAACUGUCAAUAAUGCUCUUAAUAAUCUCGGGCUCAGUCGAGAGGUCUAUGUAACAACUGCUCAUUCAACAGGCAUAUUAGGUAACUCCUUCCCACCUUCCUCAGGGUCAUUCCGACAAGAUCUUGCAGAAUAUAUCCAGCCUAUCCUCAGUUUUCAUUCUCAGACAAAUUCACCAUUCCUCAUAAACGCGUAUCCCUUCUUUGCGUACAAAGGUAGCCCCGAUCAAGUCUCAUUGGAAUAUGUGCUAUUCCAGCCAAAUCCAGGAAUUCGCGAUCCAGUUACAAAUUUAAACUAUGAUAACAUGUUAUAUGCACAAAUUGAUGCCGUUUACUCGGCUAUGAAAGCACUGGGCCAUACAGACGUUCAAGUUAAAAUAUCUGAAACAGGAUGGCCAUCAAAGGGGGACCCAGAUGAGGUAGGAGCUACUGCCGAGAAUGCUGCAUUGUAUAAUGGCAAUUUGCUGCAACGGAUCGAACAGAACGAAGGUACCCCUGCAAAUCCAUCAAUACCAAUUGAUGUCUAUGUUUUUGCCCUUUUCAACGAGGAUUUGAAGCCCGGUCCAGCUUCGGAGAGGAAUUAUGGCCUGCUUUACCCAGAUGGUUCUCCAGUUUAUCGGAUUGGGUUGCAGUUGCUGGAGCAACAGCAGGGAUAUCUCCCCCAUAUCGAUUAUUCAUCUUCUGGUCAACAGAAUACCGUAAGAAUCCUCCUGCCACCAUUUAUCUGUUCUUCUACAGCCCCCACACCUCAUGUAUGCACAUACGAAUGCUGAUCUAACAUUUACACUUAUAUGUGAUGUUUUGCAGGUUUAUUCCAGUUUUUCUCUUCUGCUGAUUGCAUUAGCAUUCUUAAUAUGAGCUUCAGAACGGGAGACGCUCAAAUUAAAAGCCAGAGAAAGGCGAUGGGAACAGGAGGAGCCUCUGAAGAACCUCAGGGAUGUUUACCACUUACUUACAAGAUCAAUUCUUUUGCUCGGUUCAUGAAUUCUUUGACCAUCCAUUUGGAACUUAAUAGUAAUAAGUAGUCAAGGUGGCUCAACUGGAAGCAGGACUAGAACUAUAGCAAUUGAUAGCACUUGGUAGCAGUUUUGUCUUUUAAAUUCCCUAUAUCUGUACAUACUCUACCAAUACCAAAAUUUUAUGAGUUUGUAAUGAGGGAACAUCCAUCAAUUGAUCUGUUAUAGACUCUCUAUUUUUAUCAUUGAUCUGCAAAUCUUUGUUAUCUGAAAUGGAUUUUUUUACAACAGCGGAUAUUAAUGUCAAGAUGUGGUAUAGGUCGGCUGUUACACCCAAUUCUUGCAUACGUUUCAACCAUCAUUUUUUUAAUGAAGAUAGGGCCAUGAACUAUUAGGUCUGUAUCCACUUGCUUCUGCCUGCUAUCAUGCUUAUGAGCCCUCGCUAUAGAUGAAAUUCCCAUAUUCGUCCUUAUUGGCUUCUAGGAGGAAAAAAUGAAGGGGAUAAUUUCAUAAACCUCCCCUGAUGUGUCUAACAAUUUCACUGAGUUCUCUUGAGAUUUCAAAAUUUACACUUCCUUCCCCUGAUUUGACGCUUUUGAUAUCCAAAACUUAGAUUUGGCCAAAAUUUUAAAUGAAUACCCCAAAAUACCCUCACUUUGUAAAAUUCAAUUACUUUCUAAAGCAAUAAUAAUAUAUUUAGUACAAAUAUAAGAAAAGAUUGUCAAGUUUUCACCAUCAAAUUUAUCUAUCAAUUAUGAUAAACUACUUUUAAUGGUGCUUUAUCGCGGAUACAUAUUUUUCCUAAAUUAAAGAAGAAAAAGUCAUCAUAAUGCUUUUAGAGUUUGUGGAUUUUUGAAUUGGUGAAACUAUCAUAGUUUGAUAGUAUUUUGGGCUUUUUUCUUGAGUCAGUGUUGCUUUUGAUACCAAAAAAAAAUUGAUGAAUAAAAUUGGAUCACAUCAAAUGUUCUAAAAAAAAUAGUCAUUAGUUUGACAUCUAGGGUUAGUGUUUAUAGUUCCAUAAUUUUACUGGCAAAAAAUAUAAAAGAGGAGGAAUAAAAAGAGAAAAGGAAAAGGAAAACUAACUAUAAAUACCAUUUUUUGUAUAUGCAUAUUCAACAAGGGAGUUUUAUUAAAUUGUUAAGAUCGGUAUUGUCAUUUUAGGUGAAUAAGGGAGGUAAGUACAAUUUUUAAAACUUUGGGGGACCUCAGCGAAAUUAUUAGAAACUCAGGGGAGGUUUCUGAAAUUAUCACAAAAAGAAGCCGCCCUCGAGAGUCUCUAUCUUUUCUCCAACCGCACAUUUUUAAUCUAAACCGCCAAAGCUGAAAGUUCAUAAAUUUUUGUCUGGUUUCGUCAAGCCUACAUCGGAAAAAUGACAUUUUGUGUCUACAUGUUGUGUUUUUAAUUUCGUAAAAAGAAUGUAUUGCAUCACUCUUAUGUCGACUAGCAAUCUUUCUCUGCUGUACCCCUUUAUGUCAAUUUCCAACGCUACAUCCCUGAAUACUUUUUCUUGAUCUUUUGCAUACUUUUUCUUGACCUUUUCAAUGGGUGGUAGUAGUUUUCUUCCAAGCUAUAAAUCCUUGCCUCAUUAUGCAGUCAAUUUUCUCAUUCAUCCCUGUAGGCUUUUCUAACACAACUAUUAUUAGCUCUUGAUAUGCAUGGUCAGAUUAGAUAUGAUUUCCCUUUGGGAUAUUUUUUUCUGGGCUCCUUGAGAGACCUUCCAAGAAGUCCUAUAUUUGGUGGGGAUGGAAUCUUUUGAUGCCAAAGCCUAGAGCAUCAAUAUCAGAUGAUGCUUAAGUUACACAACUGCUUUGUGGGCUUCAACAUCAAGGCAUUUUCAACUUUAUAUUUCCUACAUCAGCAAUGACUAUAAAAUAAGAUAAGGGUGACAGAUGGACCAAUGCACUUGACAAAUUUUUCUUCAAUGUCAGCUGGCUUAACUAAUACUGCAUACCUUCCCCAGUUGGCUGAUGCCCCGGAGUUUGUUCAUAUUUGUUGCUUCUAUCAAGAAAAGUGGCCUAAAAAUGCUGAUCAACCUGGAUGGUUAAUAAGAUCAUUCUUUCGUCGAACAUGUUUAUGGCCUGUUCAUGACAUAACGAGAAUGUAGAAUAUCUUCUGCAUGUUGUGAAUUAUAGAAACAAAUGCAUGUGUAAAGCUAGCUUUCAUACUCGUAUACAUAGAGCACCAGCUGCUUUUUUCAUUUGUGGUAGGCCAUUAAUUAGUUGAUUGAUAGAGAUGGAUAAUAUCAAUUGAUCUAAUCAUGCGCUUGGAAGUGGGAAUUGGGAACUGUAAAUUAUCGGCCUGCUGUUACUGUUACGACUAAUCCAAGCAUGUACAGUAUUAGAUUGUUCUACGAUUCUAUGAUGUAGAAGGCUCUGAUUUGUGAUCUUUUACAGACAAAUUCUGAACAUCCAACAUGGAGAUUUGAUAUUUAACGCAAUCAAACUUUUGUUAGCUACAAUUCUUGACUGUCUACGCAAUAUGAUAGUGAUCGAUGCAGUGGUGCUGCUCCUUCGAUUGCAUGGGGCCAAACCAUGACAAGAAAUUUUUGUGCAUCUGUGUUUCCAUCUAUGCUGAUUCAACGGUUAAGGCUUUUUAUCUUGCGGUAGUUCAUAUGUCUUUUCUGUUGCUCACCAGACUUCACCAAAUACGAAUUGAAUGUCAAAAGAAGGGGACACAUUAAAUUAAAAUAUCUGAAGCAUUUUAAUGGGACAUGAGCUUUAGUGACGCUUUGAAACCCGUUUACAUGCAGAUUAAUAUUGAGCAAUCAUCUCAAUUAAAUAAUGUUACUCAAAUUUGUACUACUUCUCUAAUAAUGUGUAGCAAGCAAGACCCAAUUCCAAAAUUUUGGAUUUUCUUUGCUAGGAUUAAGAUCUGACUCCGGCUUGAAUUAUUAGUUGGAGUGGUUGUUAGGUUCAGUCAGAAGCCAAUUAUUUGAUUCCAAAAGCAAUUUAGUCCAACUAAGACUUUUGCAUAGAAAAAAAAGUAAUAUACACUGUCAGUGUAUACACUGUCACGGUUGGAUGGAUGACACACGAACAAAUUUUGAAUUUUAAAUUCAAAUUUUGCACAUGUGUCAUAAAUUCAAAUUUUGCACAUAUGUCAUAUAUUUAACGUGAUACUGUAUACACUGACAGUAUAUAUAAAAUUAAUCCAUGUAAAUAAUACUUCAAUUUUUUUAAAAUAAUGUUUGUACUCUCUUUGUCUCAUGAAAAUAGAUUCACUUUUCAUUUGUAUUUGUCUCAUUCACAAAUUAUAAGCCCAUUUCCUGCUACACUCAUAUUAAACAAAUAUUUACUUCAUUCAUUAAUUAUUCUAGUAGUACUAAUAAACACAACAAUAAAACUAGUACUAAUUCAGAGGCAUAUAAGAAAAGUACUAAACAAAAAUGAUUGCAUUAACUACAAUAACUUACGCUUCUCAAUUUGUGUGAAAAUGAAAGUGGACUUAUUUUUGUGGGAUAGAAGAAAUAUUACUUUUUGUUUGGGAUUAAGGGUUGACUUUAAACCUUAUAAGUGAGAAGGAAAAAAAUCGAAUCAGAGAUUUUAUGGUCACCUAAUUAAUGUCUCUUUUCUUCAAAAUAAAAAAUAACGUCCCUAUCAGUUAAAUUGGGUCUUAUUAAUAGUUUUUAACCGGCGAAGUUAAGCCUUAUUCACCUGAAACUAGUUUUAUCUAGACUUGAGAGAUUAAAUAGGAAAAAAAAAAGUAAUUUCUAUAGUGCACGCAAUAAUUACACACUUUCAUGAUAAUAGAAGUGAAAUUCUUCCAGUAAUCAUAGCAAUGGAAGCACAUUUUGCUCCAUUCUCCAAAAAGUUGGCCUUUUGUCUAGAGUCAUCCUCAGUAAUUUUAAUCCUAUGAGAGGAUAAGGGGCAUUUUCGUAUGUCGGCAUCUUGUACCCAUUCUCAAUGGUGCGGCCGAAAAGCAGAAGACAAAUAUUAGGAACAAUAUUAGUACAUCUGUACUUUGGCUUUAUAUCUCCAAGUAAUUUGGUGGGCAAAGAAUCCCAUAGGAAGCAGGUAAAAGUAGUAGGAACUAAUAUUAGGAAUUUCAUGUCUCAAUAGUUUUAAGCCCUUUCAGUAUUUGUAGUUUUAUAAACAGAUUAGUUGAGGCAUGAAAAGAAAUUUGGCAUUUAGAAAAAAAUAAGUUUUGAUAGCAUUAUAUGACGCAUAAUGCAAUUAAUAGCCAUAUAAUAGUGAAUUUUCACAUGUACAGAUGAGGCUAAAUACAAAUGAAGCUCCUUAGGUUUGGGCGGAGAAGGAAUGGUUUUUCCUCAAAAUCCAAAGCUGUUCUUUCGGAAAGUCUCAAGGUUGACACUACUUUUGCAAAGAUUUUGCAUUGCUCGAGUAAUAUAAAAUUUAGAGUAAAUCUUUAUAUACAAUAUCACUAUUAGAUCCAUGAUAUAUGUGCAAAAAUUGAAUUUUAAAUUCAAAAUUUACAUAAUUGUCAUUCAUCCAAAAUUAACCGUAUAUAUGUUAUCAGUGCAUAUAAGAUUAAUUCUAAAAUUUAGUGAAUAUUCAAAACUUUUAUAGUUGCAGAUACGAAUGUAAACAAACCUAAUCAAACCCAACACUUUAAUGUUCAAACUUGUUUGACUAUUUUAAUGAAUUUGAAAUUUUGUUCAAACUUAACUUAUUUAUUUGCUGAAUUGAAUUUGAAUGAGACUUUUAUCGAGUUUGAAUGUUAUUAAAUAUAAGACGCUAUUUAUCCUUAUCUUGACUAAUCGGCAAACCAAACUCGAAUAAAUUCUUACCAAAUGGAGCUCGAUUCGAGUAUCAAGUAAUUUGGUUCAUCUUUCAACCUUAGUUGUAGGUACAAUCACAAAAUGUAAUCAACGCAUCAAAUUAAACCAUGAGAUUUAUUAAAUUUCUAUUGUUCAUUUUAAAUUUGAAAUUUGAAAUUUAACAUUUAAAUUUAAAUUUCUGAAAUGAACUCUCAAUAUCCAGCUGAUCUGCUUUGACUCAAAUAAGGAUGUCAAAAAUUGCUGAGUGAUUGCUAUGACGAUUGUUUAGCCUACCCCAACCCCUCAUAAAAACAACAUGCUGUGCAAAAUGCAAACUAGCUUUGGUCCAAGACUUGUAAUCACUUGGCCUAAAAGACGAAUGAGCAAUGAAUAUCAAGAUAGUCAGUAUUCAGAGCUAAAGAUCUAAUAAUUAAUCUUUUUUACAGUAAUAGUAUGGUGUUGGAUGAAUGAUAAAGGUAUAAAAUUUAAAUUUGAUAUUUAAAUUUUGUAUAUAUAUCACGAAUCUAACGGUGAUAGUAUAUACAUUUAUAUAAAAUUUAGUCAAUAUCUAAACAUGUUCGUGUUAUGAUUUUAAGGUAAUACUUGUAAUUGAUUCCAUGAUUUUUACCAAUAAUAGAAAUAUAAAUACCUGUCAAUUGCGUGAUUGACCAAAUGCUGACACGAAUCUUAGUAGGCGUACGUGCUUUUCCAUCAGCCAUCGCGAGAUCCGCCUAAAAAUGCGUGUUCCUAAGCAGUGGUCGGCGAGAUCAGGACCGCCACGCACCGCCAUGUCAUCAUCUUAGCAACAUCAUAGGCUACUCUUGCAUGUGUACUACGGUUACUGCACCUUUUAGUCGGUCAGAUAUGUCUUUCACUUUUUCAUUUCCUCUUUUUUAAAAAAAAAAAAAAAAUAUUUUUCAUAUUGUAUUAUUCAACUAUUAUUUUUCUAAAAAAUUAUUUUCUAACAAGAGAGAGGUGAAAUUUAAAAAAUGAGAAGGAAAAAGGGGAUUCAAAUCCAAAAUCUCUAAAUUUAGAGUCUCGACUCAGUCACUAGUAUUAUUUUACUUUUAAUUGGGUGACCGGAAUAUCAAAUUAGGCUACAAUAAUUUUCCAAUUACGUUUUGAACUAGCAAGUUUGAAUGUAUGUAAUAUAUAUGAACAGGAAUUUGAAUACUAAUGAAGUUUACGUAUCAUGUAUUGAGACCCAUCAGUUAAAAAAAGAAAAAAAAUUACACGGCUUGUGUAAGAAAAAAUUAAUUUAGUAACAAUUAAAAAAGAAAAGAAGAAGAGUAAAGAACAAAAAAGUUUUCAUAUUUCCCAAAAAUUCAUGGAGACUUGCGAAGAAGAGAUUUCCAAACGAAGUAAAAGAUGAGAAUCGCUAGCUUAAGAAACAAUCUAGUAGUACUAUGUUGUUCUUAUCUCUAAUAAGAAUUUUUUUAACGGGUACCCACUUCACACGUCUAAAUUAUAUUUAAUUUAUCAUAUAAAUACACACAAUCAUAAUUAUUGUAUUUUUUUGGACGCUUUUCUAAAUUAAUUAAACAUUAAAAAUAAAACUAACAUUUGAAGUCGCUAUUAACGAGUACCUAACGAGUAUCUGUUUGCCGAACUUUUUUAAUAAUUAUGAUCUCAUUGGGAGGGUAAUAUUCAAUAUAAGGAAGCCCAAAUUGUUUGCUUUAAGAGAAAGUACCUUUCAAUGAAUGCUAUGUUGCGGUCAUCGUCAGUUCAAUCUUUAGACGUUGCUUCGAAGAAAGGCAAAAUUUCAAUUUAUUACGGAGCUAAAGGAAGAAAUCUUGGGAGUCACUCACAGGUCAAAAAUUAACACAUCAUCAGCCAUCAGGACAUGUAUCAGUAGGAGUUGUCAAAACCGUAUGUCCUCUAGUUCGUUACUGUCCAUUCUUCAUUUCGUCCUGCACCUUUCCUAACUAUUGAUUCCGUAUUUAAUUGGGACACAAAUUUUGUUAAUUUUAUAGAAACGUAGAAAAGGUUCUCAGUUAUUUCCCACAGUAUUUACACGUGCAUUUAUAAAAGAAGUAAUCGUUAAAUUGUCUACUAAAAACACGAUUCUUUUUUUUUUUAAUUAAUUGAUCGUGAGAAAACAACGGGAUGACAGCGUUCUAAGGAAAAAUGAAACAAAUUAAGUGUUCAAGUUUAGCACCUUGUUUACUUUUUUUUUUGUUUUUGUUUUAUAAAACAAUAACACAUAUACUCUCCUAUUCUAGGGAGGGAGGAAAAAAAUUAAGAUACAUAAGGGACUUGAAAGAAAACAAAACCCUCUAGAUCAAAAAAAAAAUCAAAUAUUUUCUUAGUGACUAAUUUACCAAAAGUAAGAUUGGGACUCUAGUGGACUUCAGCCUAAUACAUAAAAUUAACAACUGUAAAAGUGAUUAUAAAUAUAUGCAAUAAAAACAAGAAGUCAUGCCUUUUUCUCCAAAAGUAAAUAAGUUCAAGUUGUUCUUUAACUAAUUAUAAUUGUUAUCCUACUAUGAUCACACUUUGGAUGACUCAGACAAACGUUUGAUUCUUUGAAUAGCUCCUAACUUGCCCUUUGAAUUUUCGAAGUUAUAAUCGAAACCCUUGUAACAUUUUGGUCAGAAAAUGUGGGUAGAAUCUUCAAAAAUAGAAUUCAAUGAGUUGGUUGAGGAAUAAAUAGAAUUAAAUAUCCACCAUGCACCACUUUAUUCUAAAGGGCCUAAUUGACAAUCAAUCAAGGAGGGCUAAUAGCGGCUGUUAGAAGAAUCAAAUUCCUCCUUUUUUUUUAUAUUUUAGAGGUAUAAGUGGAUAACGUUCAAAAUUCAACUUUGACUGCAUGGAAGAAAAACGUUUUCUUGGAACUUAAUUUAAAAAAAAAAAAAAUGAAACACAAGUUUUAGUUGGUCAAACAUAACAUGUUCAAAGCCACAGAUGAGUCUCGAUCACUAGGAUGAUGGCUAAGGGCAUGGCAAGCUUUGGACAUUAAUUCUUUCGUGACAAAUUUGGCAUUCUACUUAUUGGCUAUUGAACUUUUUUUCUUGGUCCAAAUUAGUCAUUCGAUCAAUUGAUUGAAACAUAUAUAUUUGGACAAAAAAAUGUACAUUUUUUAUUAGUUGAAUGAUAAAAAAAAAAAAUUACGUUUUUGUUAGUUGAGUGAAAAAAAAAUGCAGUGUUCUAUUAGUUGAGUGACCAUUUUGGCUAAAUAAAGAGUUCAAUGACUACGACGGGAAAUUAUCAAUAAUUUAGUGACAAUUUUUUUCAUUUAUUCUUCUACUUUUCUACAAAAUUAUUUUAGUUUUACUUUCAAGUUAUUGAGAAUAUUUUAUGACAAAUAUAUUAAUACACAUAAACUUAAUGAUUUCAAAACAUUUCAUAUCUCAUUAAAAAGUUUUGAGGUUCACAAAUGAAAUGUAAGAUACUAAUAUUUAAUCUUGGGAUGAAAAGUAUGAUAACCAAAUAAGCGUGGAUUUGACUUUGAAAUAUCUUACACUAAUCAAGGGAUUCGAUGGAAAAGCACUUAGCAUCUGACUAGUCCUGUCAAUUCUGUAGAUAAAGCAUCAUCUGACGUGAGAAUUCAUCAGUAGAUUGAAGAAAACAAAAGCCACUUGCUUAAUUAAAUGAAACUCUUUUUGUUCACAUUUCAAAUAAUAAAGUCACUUCCUUUGAAUUAGACCUGUCUUUGCUGAGGGACUGUUCUCAGUUAAUUAUUUUAGCUUUAACUGAUUAUAGAUUCUGAUUUUGGAUAAUCAAUUUUUGUGAUGCUUUCGGUUGCUUUUGUAUUUUGAUUAUAGAUUUUUUAAUGACCAAAAAAUCUAAUAUCUAUAAUCACCUAAAGAGCAGCUUUUCCUGAUUCUGAUUAUUAUCUAUAAUCAGUUUCUAUAAUCAGAUUUUGUAAAAUUUAAAGUAACCGAGAGCAAGGCCUAAAUAUUUGAAUUUGAGGUACAUAAAUACGUUCACAUGUCAAUUGCAAUUCUGAAUUAGGACACAGAAAAACUUGCCCACUUGAUUCCCGAAGCAAGUUUUUUUCUGCAUUGAUUUAGCAUUUUCAAGUUGUUACUUGGAUUUAGUCCCCAAAUUGGGCUAGUAGUCCACUUGAACAAAAUAAAUACUUUCACAUGUCCAAUCCAAUUCUGAAUCAGGACACGGAAAAACUUGCCCACUUGAUUCUUGAAGUAAAUCUUGGGGAUCGAUUUACCAUUUUCAAGUUGUUACUUGGAUUUAGUCCCCAAAUAAAUACUUUCACAUGUCAAAUGCAAUUCUGAAUUAGGACACAGAAAAACUUGCCCGCUUGAUUCUUGAAGUAAAUCUUGUGCAUUGAUUUAGCAUUUCCAAGUUGUUGCUUGGAUUUAGUCCCCAAAUUGGACUAAAUACUUUCGCAUGUCAGAUGCAAAUCCGCUUUAGGACCCAGAAAAACAUGCCCACUUGAUUCUUGAAGGAAAUCUUUUGCAUUGAUUUAGUCCCCAAGAUUGGACUAGCAGUUGACCAGAACAAAAAUCGUCAAGCCAAGAAAGGCCCUUUUACAAAAGCGUUCUCAUGAAAGGGUAAGAUUGAUAUGCAUGCCAUUUCAGACUUUUUAUCUCCUCAACUUUUUCUUGGCCAAUGUCACAGACGAGAGCUUUAUUCUUAUUCUGAUCACUUUAGCAACCAAUUCAUUUGUCUCAAUUGGUAAAGUUGGGCCCUUUUUUGUUCGUCAACAAUGUUCUAUGGGCCUAAGUUUAGAUGUGUGGCUUUUGAUAUCCAAGAUAAUGUCUAAGCUGUCUCAGUUGGCCACUUCCCAAAUAUUAUAAUUUUAACGUGCUUAAGUCACAAUCCAAACUUUACCAAAAGUUAUAAAUUCAAGGCCAAUAUAUGUUAUUCCUAUGCCCUUGUCUUUUCUUGUAAACAAAUACACUAAUGUAGACUAUGCAGUGCCCAUGAGUCAAAAACUAGAGUGGUAGGAAAGAGAUGGUACUAGACUACUUUUGAAAAUUGACCAUAUAUUCUUUAGCAUUUAGAAAUUCAAUGAGGUAACUUUGACAAGAUUCAAAUCACCAAGAAGUAAUUUUCUUUUGAUUGGGGGGGGGGGGGGGAGUUAAAUAUGGGAUUAGUAGGUUGACUUAGGGUGCGUUUGAUAAAAUAGAAUCUGAAAACUAAAAACUGAAAUUUGACUUAGGGUGCCACUUAAUUAAUUCAGAUGCUCAAUUUUUUGUUAUCAAAGGCAUCUGAACAUAUUAAGAUCUGAAUACAUUAAGUCUAAAUGUUGAAUUGAGUUAUCAAACAGGGUCUUGGAGUGGAAAAAUAUGGAUAAGCAGAUUAUUAAGCAUAUGCAAGUAAUUCACUCCUCAUCUCUUUGCAUGAUUCGCGGAAUUUUGUUAAUAUUUUCUUCAAUAAACCGAUUUCAUUUAGAUUCUUUGUCAAGUAAAAUCCCUGCUGGGGAAACAAUAUGGUAAAACUAUUUUGAAAAUGCAUGAAAUUAUACGGUCGAUGAAAAAAAAAACUUUUCAGCCGGCUCUUCAACAUAUGUCGAAUUGGAAAUUAUUACGAAUUUAUCGAACUGGGCCAGGCUUCGUAAGGCAACCCAAAACUACAGGGGAGGCCGCAGUUUGUAACUUCUUUAAAAUUCGUGAACUAGUUGGGUUUCAGCCUGUCAGAAUUCAAUUGAAUAGAAAAUGUUUCUAGAAAGCAAUAUGGGUUUUAGAUGAUUAGGUCUUAGUUACAAUAAGAAAAAUGGCCCAAUUUGGAACUCCUAGGCAUUUUUUGACCAAGCGGCACAAACAACAAAGAUAACUCCAAUUCAGCUGCAAUACAUUUAAAUUGAGAACAUUAAUAAAUGGUAUAUACAACGUUCAAUUUGAUAAUAAAUCAUAAACGUUGUACAUGGAAAAGAAGUUUUUUUUUAAAAAAAAUUAUUUUCAUUUUUCAGCUAGGAAUGGACGAAAUAUAAAAAGUGGGGAAGAGAAAAGCAGAUUUAAAUCUGAAAAACCCUAAUUAUUGAAGUCUCAAUCUUAGUCAUUAGAUCAAUACAUUCUCAAUGGUGCAUGAAUAUUAUGUUCCACGAUAAACUAGACAUGGGGGGAGGGGGGAUGGGAACAAUAUGUUUAUGGGGUGAAGGGUAUGUAGACCAAGGAAUAAGUUAAAUCUUCUGUGCAUUCUUUAAGUCCCCAUUUGGACAAAUGUUUUAUCAAUCUUGAGAGUUCAAACUUUAAAGACUGUAAUUUAUUUGUUUGCUAGGAGACCUAUUUAAAAAAUUGAAAAUUCUCUAGAAACCAGUUUGACAAGCAUUGCUCCAAUUGACACCACGACUAGGCAUCUAAAUUGUUAUUUCUGCUGUGCUUUUAAAUGUUGCAGUUCACGGAAAUGGAGAAAAGACUUGUUUGAUGAAGGACCAUGCCAGCAAUUCGAUUGGCCAUCCAUCUAGUUCCCAGAUAUCAUGAUUUCUGAUUAAGAAGGGAAAAUAUGUUACUGAUUAAGAAGGGGAAAUAAUGUGGUUGAAACUUGAAAGCGCACCCCCACCCCUCUUCCUUUUUCGGCCUACCAAAGAAGAUGCAAUGAAGAAAUGUCAGUUGAAGUUCAAUCAUGAUCAUGCACAAGAGGCAUUAUCUACUUGUUCGACAAAUAUGCAAUAGCAGCCUGAAGCAUGACUCCCAAUCUGAACUUGUAGUCAGAAAAGUUCCUGCUCCUUGUGAGUUAAAAUCACGCAAUCUGAAGUCGGAUAAGCAAUGCAAGUCAGCACAUAUCCUGCUUUAAUUUGACUGUCAUCAAGAUAUGAUCCAUCAGAUUGGUCAACAGAUCCUGAAACGAUCUUGCCUGUGCAAGAGGAGCACGCACCAGCCCUGCAAGAAAAUGGUAUAUCUAUUUCCUUAUUCUCUGCUACAUCCAAGAUGUACGCGUUGUCUGGCACAUCGAGCACACAUUCCUCACCAUUAGGUUGAAUCAGUUUUACUUUAUAUACUGCCAUGGCAGAUGCCCGGAAACCAGAGGCAGACAUAGCCUUCAGACCACGGACUUUACAGAUGCUGCUUACGGAUCCUAAGGAUGAGGGACUCUUGAGAAAGGGACUCUUAAUUUGGUUAAGGGGUGGGUUUCUGGACACACAGCUCGCAGGAAGUUUAAGGUUUGAGCUUGACAUCUUUAACCUGUGCAAGAAAUCUUCAGCUGGUUAGAUGAAUGAGAAUCAGGAGAAAAUCUUUAAUGUAGUAUUAGGUGCAGUACCCUUGGAUUCUUGACAACCAUCCUUUUUUCAAUAUGGACAUUAAAUGUAACUAGUCUAACUCAUAACUUUCCAAAUCUGCAAGCUUAUAGUGAUUGGUAAAUUUAUAGCGUUAAGCUGCAGUUCACAAAUACUCUGAAGCCAAAGCAGAAAGCAGACAACUUUAGCAAAGAUACUUCAGAAAUCAGUAUUUGGAAAUGGUAGUGGCUGAAUGCAGAUAUUAUAAUCCACCAAAGAAUGGCCAUUUGGUGAUCAAUAGAAGAUAAACGUCUCGCUGCUCCAACUAGGAUGGAGUUUCUUGGCAGCAUUAGGUACAGUAUUGAGAGCAGUUCUGCGGUACUAGAGCAGCCAUUGCAUUCACUGCUACCAAAAAUUGCAAAGUUCUUCAACAAUUGCUAACGCAAUGAGGUACAAGGCUUGGUUAGGCAAGAAGUUUCACAAGGGUACCAAAGAGGAAGAAAACAGUGAGAUUAUCAGGCAUACUUUUACUGCUUAGAAUUAAAAGAGUGUUUUCUCAAGCUGGCAAAACCAGUCAGCAGAGUGAACUAUUGUUUUGCAGGCUGCGUUCUUGGGUCUUCAGUAUGAAUUAUUCCAUCGAAUCGUGGGUUCCUACCAGCACUAAAUUUCAACAGCUAUAUGGAGUAGUACUGCUCAAGAGAAUUGACUGCAUCUACAAACAUAAUCAUAAAUUUCGCGUAUCUUGAUUUUGAAAAACAUGAAAAUGCACAAGAUUGACUCAAUACUCAAGUAAAAUAGAGCAAAGAAGUGCAGAGAAGCAAUAGCAAUUGCACAUUAGAGACAUUGAAUCUUACAGGGUUGUUAUUGUUUUGGAGCAGAUUGCAGCUCUAAUGUGGCUCGGAUGAGGAGGGGUCUUCUGUGGCUUAGCAAGAACAGAUAAGAGUCCAGCUGAGAGCACUGACUACCAAUGCUUUAGCAGUGACCCAACCCAAGUUCGCCGUAAGCACAUGUCCUCAUUCACCAUAUCCAUCCACAUUCAAAAUGGAUGCAAACUUGUAAGCACGUCCUUAUGCACUCCUAUUUUUGUUAGCUACACUCUAACUAUCAUUCUAAUUAUAUAAUUUUUAUUUAUUAGACUAUAUGAUAAAACAGAUGAUAAAAAUAUAACUAACAAAAUAUAGAGUACAAAUAACAUUUUUGCGUUGGGGGGUUUUUAAGAGGAGGGGGAAGGAGGGAGGGGGGAAGGGGGUGUGGUAAGCAAAUUUUUGCUUUGUGACAUUGACUAUUGGAAGAGCAAACUAUGACCAGUAUGACUCUUCGCUACAAAGUCCAAACUCAAAUUCUUUGGGCUACUUUAAAUUCGACUGCUCCCUCCAUUCACAAUAAAAGCCUCGAGGUUGAUUUCAUAGGAAUACGAAAUAACUUGACCAACCAUUUUUCAAAAGAUCAGAGCAAUCAAACAAAUGGGGCAAUAUUAUCCAAAAAAAAAAAAAUAUCCAUGCUCCUUGCAUACGAACAGAUUCUUGGGUUUUCACGCAGGCAAGCAGUACCAAGAGUAGAAGACCGCACUUAAUUGCCUAAAGUCCUCUGAAUCAGGUUUUGUAUUUUGGCUUCUGACUAAGCAAGCCAGUUCUUUCCUAGGAGGCUAAGACGCCAAAAACAAGUAGUCUGAAAAAUUCAAUCCUAGCUCUUGACAACCACAAUGUACUUGCAUUACCCGACUCAAACAUAUGUGACUCACUUGGCAAUGGCAUAGCAACACAGAAGCAUACUUGAGGCAGUUCACAAGAUUCAACCCCAAAAUACUGAUGAUUAAUUGCGGGCAGUGGCAUAAUACCAUAAUGAUAUAGUUGCCCUUGGAGUAUCAAUUCUGCAGAAUUACUUGCCCAAUGGCAUACAUAGAAAUCAACAGUUGGAGGGGAUAAAGAAAGAUUUGAGAAACAAAUGCAACAAGUGUCCGAAAUCCCACUUGAACCUUACAUGAUUCUUCAGGACAAAACCCAAACAUUCAUCCAUCUGCAAUCUACCUAGCAAGCUAAUGGGUAUGACCUGGACUCUCAGUAAAGUUCGCCCUCCUUGUGAGUGUGGAUUACACAAUCAGCAGUGGGGUAGGACACACAAGUCAGCGCAUAACCAGAUUCGAUGUGGUCGUCGCUAAGGAAGGAUUGAUCAGAUUGGUCGACAGAACCCGAAACAAUCUUCCCAGCACAAGUAGAGCAUGCGCCAGCCCUGCAAGAAUAUGGCAAGUCAAUUCCAACAGCCUCAGCAGCAUCAAGGAUGUAAGUGUCAUGAGCAGCUUCAAAAGUGUGCUCUCCUUCUGGAGUAACUAGUUUGAUCUUGUAUGUUGCCAUGGCAGAGGCCCUGAAAUUAGGUUUAGCUCUCAAACCGAAGGUUUUGGAGAUGCUCUUAACAGAUGUUAGGGAUGGUGGGCUUUUGAUCAAGGCUCUUGAAUUCUGGUUCUGGGGUGCAACUCUCACCAUGCAGUUGAUUGGAAGUCUGGUGGUGGCCAUUUUUUACCUGAAAAUAUACAACUUAGAAUACAGUCCAAAGCCAUUGCUCCAAGGCUAUAUACAACAUAUGAGACAUAGAAUUGACACAAACAAAAAGGAAGCGCAGGGUGGGAGGUGGGGUUAGGGGCGCUUUAGUACAGCUAAAGAGAAUUUCUAACCACCUCUCAGCUUUAAAAUUAUCAUGCUUUCUCACCGUACAGGAAAAAAGUAAAUCAGUUUCAAUCAACACAGUAAUAUACAACAGCAAUGCAAAAACCUUGAAGUGAAGGAUUCAAACCAUAUUCAGCAACUAUCCCAGUUGUAUGCGUACACGAGAAAGAGAGGGAGGACACAUUCCAAAAGAACAACAGAGUAAGGAAUAUUGUGUAUGCCUUAUCUCAGACAAACAGAAAUGGAAAUGAUGUUCCAUCUUCAUAACAUCAAGGCGGUAGCUAUCUGGAGCACAAUGAAAAGAAACAGGGGAGUAGCUCUCUGCUCUUCACUCGAGGCUCCAUGUCAAGUUCAGAAAGACAUAUAUUGUGUCUUUACCAUGUGAAAGACACCAUGUGUAUCAUUUCGCCAGUUAAAGCUUUACUUAACUGGUGCUAGGGACUCAGAAACACAGACAGCAAGAAGAUGCGGGACAUUUGCUUCCUAUCAAAAGAUUAAGCCAGAUAUUCACGUUGUCUGCCAAACUAUGUCAACCCAAGAAAAAGAACGAUCCAGGUAUGGAGGGGGAUGGAGACAGAAAAGGGAAAAUUUUUGCCAACACAUUGAAACAGAGAAAUAAGUUUUGAAAUUUUGGCUACCACCUUUAUCUGCAAUCUAGGGCACAAGUACCAUCAUGCUUGUAGUAGUAUUAAAACCAUUCGCGGGAGAAAAGAUAUGCAGUAAUAUUGCAAACUAGCUUACGCAGGCAAAUGACAAAGGAAACCAUAACAAUAAUUAUCAGCAAGAACCUGUCCAAUGGUCUACUCAUUACUACAAUUUAUGUUCGCUAAACAAGUAAUUCAGCAUCCAAGGUCUAUUGUCGUACAUAGCCAUAAGCCAGAUAGACUAGUGAUGGAAGGAAGGGCCUGGGGAGGAGGGCUGAAAUUUCACUCAAUACAACGCAAAGGGGCAAGGAAAAAGGGCAAAAGCUAGUAACUUUAUCAGCACACACGGACAAAAGGGGGGUCUUGAAUGUGAAAACAUUCAUGAUAAUCAGCAAAUAUUGAAACACACCAGUGAAUUGCCUUAUAUUCUAGUGCUUAAACUACAUGGAAAAGUCCCAUAAUUCUGUCAGGAUACUUAACAAAGAUAUACCAAAGCUUCUACGCACACGCACACGCACACACACAAAACCUUGGGUAAUACAGUACCAAGUGAGCCCAUCAACCUUAAAAAUCCAUAAAACUGGAAUUCAAGAAAGCAACUCUAAUUCGGUCAAAAUAAACAAAACAAGGGCUCUUAUCUUUCCUCAACUAGAUCCUAAAAUACUCAAUAGUCAAAUUUAAUUAACCAAAACCCGUGAUUGAUUUAGGAGUAAUCAGGAUCUAACAAAAUUCAGCUAAUCUAACCACAUCUCUCCAUCUAACCACAAACAAACAAAUAGUCCACAAACUCAAAAACAAAAAACAGAAAUAAAGCAAGCCCGCAAGCACACCCUUAAGGAAAAAAGAAAAGAAGAAAAAAGCCCGGAAAUGAAAUCUUACAAAAAAAAAACUAAAGAAAAGAACUGCGCUGAUCUUCCUAUCCCAAACAAGAAAAGAAAGUUUCCCUUUUCUUCUUACCCUUUUAUAAGGCAGCAAGGGAGGAGGACCCGGAAAACAAGAGAGAGAUAGGUUCAGGCGGAGCGGAGCGGUGGCGACCAAUACUGAACAGUAGUAGCAACAGAUGGGGGGCGGAAGGGAGUGUGGAAAAUGUGAAUUAUUUAUAGAGGGAGAGUUGAAUGACCAGUACGGUGAAAGACAAAAAACUGGAGAGUGGAACGAGGCCAAUGGUUGGUGUUGAGAUACUACGUGAACAUGAUUUGAGUUCGACUUUAAUUUUAAUAUUAAUGAAUUAUAAAUAUUAUUUGAAUUUAAUUUAUUAAUUUAUAUAAGUAUUUGAGUUCGAUUAUGAAACGAAUUUGAGAUGGAGUUUGAUUCUGAAAAGGAUUUAGUUAUACUUUUAAUAAAUAAUACAUUAUUUAGAAUAAGGUUAAUUGUAUUUAUUAAUUUUAAAAAAUAAAUGAUGCUAAUUUAUGUAUAAUUACUUUUUAGUAAAAUAUAAUAUAUAUUUAAUAAUAUUAAAUAUAUUUAUAUUUAUUUAUGUGUUUAUGAACUAUUUGAUUCGAUUAUUGAACAGAGCCAAUAUUAUAUUUGAAUUCGAUUCACUUAUUAUAGGGUGUAUUUGGAUUGCUUCUUUCUAAAGAAAAAUUGCUACGUUUUUCAUAGACAUAUUUUUUAAUUACCUUUUUAUUUUACAUAUAUCAAAUCGUUAUAGUAAUUUUUUCACAAAAAAUCCAGAAAAAUGCAAUCCAAACAAUUCUAAAUUUUUUUGAAAUUCGGACUAGUCAAGCACAAACACUAUUGCAAAUAAGUUGAUUGGUUGAGAGCUCUAACCAAAAUUGAAAGGGGCCAUAAAUAAAUGGGAGAUGCCUUUUGGGAUUCGCAGGGAGGCGACGUGCAUCUGCGCUUUGGCUUUUUGCUAUACAGAAAAUAGCAUACGCAGCCACCAACGUUGAAUGAAAUUGUUUGCUGUGUACAAUAUAAUAUAAUGCAUGGGGUGCAACCGUAACCUAACAUCCCAGCCGCCUCUCGGCUUCGCAUUCGUCCUUAAUUUUUUUCUUUUUAAACACAUCAGAGUAUUUAGUCCUAUAACAAGCACACUUUUGUAUUUCUUGACCCACAAAUUUCGGUUUCAUUUUAAUUGUAUUUUUCAGAAGCUGUUCUUGAGAAAAUUACUAAUAAAUAUUCUACUAUUGUGAUUUUUGUUGAUGUAAUGUAGAAUCGGAAAAAAAAGUAAUUAUAUAAUAAAACAUUAACUGAAAAUUAUGUUCAAGGAAUAUUCUAAAAUAAGGUAUGCGAACUUGAGUUUUUUAUUAAAAAAAAAUAGAUCUCGUGUUUACUUCCCCUUUCAAUUUUUCUUUUUGGGUUUGGACUUAAAUUUUGGAGUAUGCUUUUUUUUUUUUUUUUUUUUUUUUUGUUGAGAAAUUUGGAGUGUAGUUACUUUUUCAUUUGACUUUCUCUCAAAACAAUAUAAAUGUUCCUCUACCAUUAUGCUUCUAGUUUUUUUUUUCUUUAACAACCACAUUUUUUGUUUUUCUUGGCUCAAAAUGUUCUUGUUUCAUUUCAAUUGCAUUUUUUUAGAAGCAAGUUUUAAAAAAAUAGUACUGAAAUUCUCUUGCUUAUACUCCCUCUCUCCCUCGGUGCUACCUAAUCCAUUUCUUCCCGUACUAGAAUUCUCUUUAAGUUACCGUAUAAAUAACACGUGUAGGAAGACAUGGAGCGUUUACGUCUCUUUUUUAUUUUCCUUUUUUCAAGAUAUGGAGUCUGGAUCUGGGGGAGAAUUAUUUUUGUCUUUUAAGCUUAUCUAUUUAUUUUUUAUUUAUUUUUCAAAAUAGUUAAUUUGGGAUUUGAACUAAUUUUGUGCCGCGGUUGAAUUACCAUACAGUAGUGGUUUCUGUCAACUCCCCAGUCAUUUGCUUCGCCUACUCAGUGGUGGGUCAUCUUGAUGAAGUCGGUAGGAAAGCUCAAAUGCUUUUGCUCUAAUUAGAACUCUACCCAAAAAGAAGAAAAAAAUAUAUACUAGUAAUAGCUAGGAGAAGGGACAUGAUAGUAACAUGAACGGAUUUGCAAAAGGGCGAUGAAGAGUCAAGAGCCCUCGAGGAACACAAUGGCCUUAUAUAAAUUAAUAUGCAUAAGGUUGCGUGAAGCCCACAUGGCGUGUUGCUUCUCAACUUUAGAACCCUCAAUAUUUUAGAACUUCUAUGGCUUGAACUUUCACCGAAGAGGUAACCAUUCUGCACGUGGGGCCAAAUAAAAUAGAAUGAAUAGUCAAAAAGCUCACUAAAUUAUCAAGUCUGACGUGGAUGGUUAUCAAAAUUUUCUUGUAGCCAUAAAGGUCACUACACUGGCAAAAACGGAUCAGUGAGUUUAUUUUAUCAAAUUUUACCGAUAAAACAGCUGAUUGCCAAAGAUCAUUUUGCCUAAAAUGUCAUUGAAUUUCAAUGAAUUAAUGGUGUGAAUUAAUGUUGUUUUAUCCAUAGAAUUUGACAAAAUGACUUCAAUGACCCCUUUUUGUCAGUUUAGUGACCUUUGUGACUCCAAAAAAUGUUUUGAUGACCCGUUUGAUGACAAAAAAAAAUGUUUGAUUGAACAAUUACACAAGAAACUUAUAAUUUGUGGGUCCAAUUACAUGAGAAACUUAAAAUUGUGGGUCUAAUUUGUCCAAAAAAUGAGUUUGGUUGAGAUAUGAUUCAACAAUUACACAAGAAACUUAAAAUUUGUGGGUACAAAGUACCAAAGGGGCAGAAGGAAUUGUACUCUUAAAUAUCACUACAUGCUAGUUCAAUUAUAGAUAUAAUUAAAAUCUGUAAGGUGUUGGUUCCCCCUCACACAUUAAUCAGGCAUCCUGUACCCAAUGUUUUUAAACUCGGACCGGUCAGUGAACCGGAGAGGUUGCCGGUUUGCGGUCUGACCGGUCCAACCGGUCGGUUCAUAGGUUCACUGGUUUUUUUUUUUUUUUUUUUAGUGUUAAGUACUAAGCAAGUUUCAUUCUACACUUGAACUUUACCAACAUAACUUAAUUUAAGUUAUGAUAAUAAUAAAUUUCGUAAAAGUUAUACAUAAAACAUGGAAUGAUAAAUAUAAUUAAAAUAUCAUAAUUCACCACAAGUUUUCAUAAAUUCAUUAUAAACAUAAAUAGAUACAAUCCAAAUGUUCACCAAUUAUCACAAAUAAAAACACAAAAAAUAAAUAAAUUAAAUAUUGAAAUUCUUUUACAACCCUUAAAAAAAUCCAUAAAAGAGUUCAAGUUAAGACAAACCAUUUGAAUAGCAAACUUUUAUGAGUGGCAUGAUAAGCAACCACACCACCUUCACAAUUUAAUCAACUUAAGCUGAAAAAGUUAAAAUUUUAUUAUAAAAAUAUAAAUCUAAUUGCUCAAACUAAAAAAAAAACUAAAAUUUUUUGAAAAACAAAUAUACAGUUAAACACAUAAAAAAUUAAUUGCUACUAAACAUUACCAAUUAACAUGUUAUAUUAAAUUCAAUGAUCCUAUACCAUUAAUUAUUUUAAAUUCAAUUAUCAAUAGUUUCGAUUAUGUGCCAACUACCAUAUUUUUUACCAGCCCAAUGUUAUUAUUUGUAAUUCCUACUCAAUUCCUACAUGGAUGUGCACUACUUUUGCAAAAAAUUUCAUCCUUAAUUAAUCAAAUAAAAAUAAAACAAAAAAUGAGGGAAACAUAUGAAAAUUGAGGGGAAAAAGAAGAAAAUGCAAAAAAAUCAACUAAAGAUAAUAAUAUAGAAAAAAAAAGCCUUGAAAAGAAAAAAAUUAAACUUACCAAGUUGUUGGAAAACAAGAAAAGUUGAAAUUUUCAACUUGUUUACAAUCUGCUAAAGAUAAUAACCUGAUAAUAAUGGUGAAGACUUGAGAAAAUCUUGUUAUGGAUAUUUGGGUUAAAAAUGGUUAAGAAGAAAAAAUUGAAAAAAAAAAAUAAGAGAAGAACUUGAUGUUUUAAUAUAUUUGUUAGUCAAGUAGAAUUUUCAACAAACUUAACUACAGUCUGGCGGUAAGAUUGUCAUAUGCAAACUUGGAGACCCAGGUUCAAAUCAUAGCUACACCAUUCUUGAUAUUUUGUUGAAAAAUUUAAAAAACCGCCGGUUCACGGUUCUUAACGGUUCACACGGUUCGUCCGGGUUUCAACGGUUCUCCAUGAACUUCUGGCUUUAGCAUUAGACCGGACCGGUGACAUGGCCGGUUCGCGGUCCAACCGGUCGAACCGGCCGGUCCGGUCCGUUUCUGUAAACACUGCCUGUACCUUUCUCAACUAUUUCCCCCUCACAUAUUGGGUCUUAAGUUAGAACAGUAUCAACAUUUUAUACAUUUUAUUCGACGUACAACAUUGCAUUCAAGUGUCUAGUAGGUGGAGUUGCCAUUACUACGCUCCGAUAACAAUGCUGGGUAGGGAUGGCAACAGGACAGGGGAUCCCUCUCCCGUCUCCUGCCCUAUUGCCAAAUAUCUCCCUCUAUACCCACCCUAUCCUUUGCCCCUGCUCCUCCUCCCCUGCCCUUACCUCGGCUAGCUCCCCUCAAGGUAUUUGCUGGGGAAUGAUAAAAAAUUGAUCCUAUAGUUGUUUGCUUCCACAAUAACUAACAAAAAUUCAACAUAUCAACCCAUGGGCGCGGCUGUCCCUCAUUGCCAUCCCUAGUAUUGAGUGUUUCUGGGUCUUCUCGUCACAAAAGCUAUCUCAAAAGUUAAGGUUUUCUCUCACACUUAUAACCAAAUAUCCUAUCACUUCUACAAUCAUGCAGAAUAAACUCAAAAUUCCCCAUUCACAUCGGACCCGGGGUUGGAAUAACUUCGACCUUUCAUUCAAUGGGUCUAGCCUAGGAUAACACCAACCCUUCAUCCGACAAUCAACGUUUCAUUCAAGUGUUUAAAUUGAUUAAUUUUUCAUUUGAAGAUGCAAUUGGUCAAUAAUUGAUAGUUUAAAUACUAAUGUGUUAUGUUAAAAUGUUUGAGAACGAAAUAUAUCUAUGACCUCAAUUUUAGGGAUAAAAACUGGCAUUUUCCCGCUUUUACUCUUUUCUGUCAAUAUGUUAAGUUAUAAGAUGCUAUGGGAUAAAGGAAAAAACAUUUCUUUGAAAACUUCCAUUUAGGAGAUACUUAGGAUGCGAGUUUAUGGGAUCCUUUAUGACUUCAUUGCGUUAGUACUCUUUCGUGUUGGACCUCAAUAGUUCAGAGUUCUAUGUUAUCUCCUGCCACAAUAUCAGUUGAAGUUUGCUAAAUACAAAGAGUAUAGGAUCAACAAUUUGUCACUCUAUGACUAUAAGAUUAAUUAUUAAGGCCCUAAAACUUACCUUUGAUGAUCUUCUCUUUUCUAGUCCACAUAAGCUAGAUUGAUUACAUACUAUUUGGAGAAAAAUUUACCAUCCUGAAGUUAAAACUGAUACAUUUCCAUUUAUGGCUUCAGGGAUACAUACUUGGACAUCCAACGACUAAAGUUCAAGGAAUUCUUUACUGUGUAGUCCCAUUUGCUUAUAGUAUGGGCCUGAUUUCUGAUGAACUCUAUGAGGAAUUUUGAUGAACUAUGGGAGGGACGUGGGAGGAGGGAGAGGAUAGGGAGGAGGUUGCAAGCUGGUGACGUUGGCAUCGGCUGGCCAACAGUGGCGGGGUGAGGUGGGGGAGAAGGAAGAAAAUGAUGGAAAAAGUGAAAAAUUUGCGUGUUCUUCGAUAUUAAAGGACGUGUACAAUAAAAAAUUUGAGAUGUUUAUAAAGAAUUACUGUAAUCAAAAUAAUUAAAAAAUUUGUCUAUUAAAAAUUAGACUAAAAACUUGCAUGCGAGACAGGUUCUGGAACUAACCGAGAAUUAUACUACAGUUGUAAGGCCACAAUUAUGGUAUUGGAUUUGGACCUCACAUAUAACUGUACUAUAAUUGCACGGAGUUUCAGUGUUCCUCGUAUAGCAACAGCAAUUGCCCCACGAUAAUUUGAAGGAAAAUGAAAACAAAGGAAACAAAAUUAAAAUCAGUUUUGCCGAUUAACGUCAAAGAAAUAUUUUGACAAAAACUAGGAAAGUCUUCAUUAUUGGUCCCCAAAUCUGCAAUGAGUAAUGAUUAAACUUUUAUCGUACGUACCAAAAAAGAAAAUUGAAAUCGACUAACAUGUUAUUGGGAUUCAAGGCCGAAAUAAGCAGCUAAUAAGACGUCAAGUUAAUAACAAUUUAAGGAAAAUGAGUCAAAAACAAGAAAAUACAAUUGACAGGAAAGAUUUAACAUGUUCAUAUUAAUGAUCCAUUCUUUAUUAUGAAAAAAGUUCAUACAAAAAUACAAUUUGAAUUAUAAACCCAACCCUUGUGUAAUGUUUCUCAUAUUGGAUCUGUUGGAUCCUUCUGUUUUUCAAAAAUUAGUUUUCAAAUACUAUAAAAAUUUUUAAAAAGUACUCUAAAAGGUACUCUAAAAAAUAGUCUAAAUUUUUUUAAUGUUUAAAAAAUAUCCCAAAAUAUAUUUUAAAAACUCUACUACUCUUAAAUAUUUCAAAAUAUUUUCUAAAAAUAUCCCAAAAUAUACUCUAAAAACUCUGCUACAGUAAAAUUUUUCAAAAACACCCCAAAAAAAUUUUCCUUUUUCUCACUCUCAUCUAUAACACAUGACUCCUUUUUGUGUACUUUAAUUUAUGAUAAGACAGUCCCCUUCAAUUUAUAGGAUAUAUUACUUGACAAAUACUUCAAUAAUAAUAAAAAAAUAACUUACCUGAUUUCCAAACGUAUGUAAAUACAAAAAUUUCUUGGCAACUACUCCAAAUACGUAUAAAUUACUAGAAACUAUUUACUUGUCACACAAAUAAAAAUUGCCUAAAGAAAAUAAGUAAUUUCCUAAUAAUCUCCACCAAAAAGCUUGAUGUGUAGUUAUACAUACCGAAUUAUUACGUUAGUGUAAUGUCCAUAUAUACAUAGCUAAUCCGAGUCCAACUUUUAGCUGACUUAAGUUUGUAGGAUUUGCCUUUUCACCACUACUUACAACUUGAAAGUAAUCUUGGAUCCCUUUUUUAAUUCUGCUCCCAACUAUUGAGGUAAUCAAUAAACAAGUUUUUAUUUAUUUUUUUAAAAAAUCACCAUAAUUUUCCCCUUCACAAUAUUGUCUAACCCGUGUGUGGUUUUUAAAAUUCCACCAUUAAUGAAAACCUCGUAACUUUGAGAGUCUCGGGAUGCAUGAGAGUUAGAUUUUUUUUUUUUUGGAUUUUUUGGAUACACAUGUCAUACUGCUCAAACAACAAAACUGAAAUACAUCCAACAUCAAGUACAUACCAUUGGAAAUUGUUAAGAACAUUUCCACUAAAUUACAUCCUAAUUUAACAUUGGACUUUAUGUUUUUCCAUGUCCUCUGAAUCACUUGCCCAAAUUUACUAUCAAAUAUCCUCUAUGUUUGUUGUCUUUCAAUCCUUUCCCUUCAAUGCCAAGCCUUUUUGACAUGAAUAUUCUUUUGCUAUUAAAUUAUUGAAUUGAAAAUUACCGCAACUCACUUAAUACCAAUAAUUAACCAAAACCUAGCUAUGAUAUUAUACCAGAUGUUGAGAUCCAAGUGCUAACGAAGAAUCAUUGAAAAAUUAAGUGCAUGACAAUUUAAAGAAAACAAAUAAAAAACAUGAAACUUCAAGUAGAUACAAGAUUAAUGUGGUUUGACUCAAUUAUUAAAUCUAUAUCUAUAAAGACAAAACUUGAUAUGUGAGAAAAAUAAAAAAAUCUAAUUUGAAUCCUGAGGCAACCGUAUUAUGACGUUUCUCACGUAACAGGAAGCCCUUCCCUCACUCUCAUUACAUGUUACUACUUAAAACAAAAAUAAGGCAAUUUUCAUAACAAGGUAAAUUUUAUUUCGUCCUUACGCCACUUUUUUAAGAAGAAAAGUUUAAGUAUGAUACUUGGUAAAGAAAAGUGCACGUAACUUGAAAGUUGGGUGGCAACUUCAAAAAAUUCUUCAAUAAACCAAACUCGUAUAUUAAAUUUUUAACGCAUGUCAAUCAUCCACCAACUAAGAUAUCCAUAACGAAGUUAUCUUGUGUGGGGAUUUUAGCAUUGUAUGAUUUAUAAUUUGCUUGAAAUAUAUUUUAGCCAUUAAAAUGAGAGAGCUCAAAGGAUAGUGAGAUCUUUUUCUUUUUCUUUUUUGAUAAAUUCUUCUGAUGAAUUGCUUUGUUUUGAUCGAUCAUUCAUUGGUACUUGACAGAUUUUAUUCUAUCAUCUUUUCGCAAACAUUUUGAUAGUUAUUUAUAUACUGUUAAAAUUUAGGUAAACUUAAUUUUCAAAAAUUUAAUAGUUCAAAUUGUAUUAUACACCAUUUGACUAAGUAAAGUAACGUAAUUUGGACCAUCUUUGAAAAUCGGAGCUAAGUCUUUUCCAUGCCCCUUCACAGUAAAGCUAUCAUUUCUAAUGAUAGUUCGAUCGUGCAAUGCAUGGGACUAGGAGCAGGAAUGAUUGCAAGUGUAAUCGUUUCGACAGUUAUGUGCAUUUUGCAUACGGCAUAAUUUUAUUACAUGUAAUAUAAUUUACUUUUAAUAACAUGUAAAUUUAGAAUAAAAUUUUAUGAGUCUCACGUAUGUUAUUAAAAUCAAGAUAUAAGAUAAAAUUUUGACCAUAUAAUUUUUUUUACCAAAUCUUAGUCGUGAAUGGUCAGAAAUGGUUGUUCCUCUUCCCAAUGCAUGAGUUGGCAAACAAGACAUUUGUGUUGCUAGGGUCAGUUAAAUUAUUGGCUCCGAUAAGGCGAUUCUCUGUAGACAUAGCAGCUUGUGGGUUAGAGUUCCAAAGUUCCAAGAGCUCUAUCCAAGGAUCUGGAGUCUAAAGUUGCUGCGCCUAGAUCCCAAAACGAGAGAUAGGCCAAGCUCAAUGGAGAAGUUGCAGGUGCUCCUAAGGCAUCCUAUCUUCUGCAACCUGCUCUUGCUGCUAGUUUAUGUUCAAGCAUGUUCAAACCUUGCGAUGGCUGGUUCCAUAGUUAAGUUUCUUCCAGGAUUUGAAGGACCCCUCCCCUUUGAACUCGAAACCGGGUGAGCCACUAAGUAUAACAUAUAUAUAAUAACACUAGAAAUUAACAUUGAUCAAAACUUAGAAGAAAUAGUUGAUCCAUUUUCUGAUAUUAUCAGGUACAUUGGAGUUGGUGAAUCAGAGGAUGUGCAGCUCUUCUACGCUUUUAUCAAAUCAGAGUCAAAUCCUCAAUCGGAUCCUCUUAUCAUUUGGUUAGAUGGAGGACCUGGCUGCAGUUCAUUUAUUGCAUUUCUCUUUGGGAUAGGUGAAUUCUAAUGCCUUACACUUUGCAGUAGGUGUCACAAAAAAAAAAAAAGGAACAAUUGCGGCACUAUUUUGAUCUUGAUUUUGUAUAAUCUUGAAACUCUGCAAACAGCCUUUCUGGUUGAAACUCUGCAAAAAAGACAAAAGACGUUGUCUGGUUGACGAAGCUUUAUGUAAGGUCUUUUGUCGCCAGUAGCAACUGCUACAAACAUCUGUACAAUAACUAACUACACAUUCACAUCAAAUUAAAAAGCCCAAAUAUAAACUAAGCUCCAAAAACACAUACCUAAAUAUUUUUUCAUAUGCAUUGCUACAAUAAAGCUUUUGAAAAACGUUCCUAAAAAUGGAGCCAUAAUCUUUAUUUGUCUUUAAUGUUCAAGUGAUGAUGACUGAUAAACUGGAGUGCCAGCAUUUGAUCAAGUCACUGGCCCGUGAUUUCCUGUUGCAGGACCAGUAAUUUUGGAGCCAUUGUCGUUCGACGGCACUCUGCCCAAAUUGGUAUUAAAUCCCUCUACUUGGACCAAGGUAAACUCAAGAAUUGAGUUUCUCUUUUCUUUUCUUUUAUUUUCCUGCGAGAGAAAAAGAGAUUUAAGUUGAUGAGUAUAUCUUAGACUCAUAGAAGUGUUACACGAAAAGGUUAUUGAGAUACAUAUAUAAAUAAGGUUCCAAUUUUUUUCUUUUUUCUUUUUUUUUUUGAAAUAAUGUUCAAAUAAUCUUUAUCCAAACAAACCUAAUUUUCAAGAUUAAGAAUUCGAGUAGACUACAAGAUUGAGAAUCAUUUCUUGUUACUUGUUAGGUUGUAAGCAUCAUCUUUCUGGAUUCGCCAGUUGGAACGGGUUUUUCUUAUGCUAAGACUGCAAAAGCUUCUCAAUCUUCAGAUUUUCAAGCCUCUGAUCAAGCUUAUGAAUUUAUCAGGAAGGUACACGCCCAUCACUCAGCUAAUUAAUGAAUCGUAAGGCUUCAUGGAACGUUGGACAAUUACUAAUUAGGAAAAUGCCAUAUUUGUCUCUAGACCCUUUAUUAUGCAAAAAGACCAGUGUACUAUCAUUUAAUUGUUUUCCUUCAGAAUAGUGGAAUCUUGCAUGGCUCUGCCCAAAAUUGCCUCCAUUGGAUUCAAGUUCUCUAUGAACACAGUUUUGAUUGUAUAGAACAGUUGACAGUGGAAGGUGAAUAAAAGUUACAUCAAUAAUAACUGGCUAUGGUAGUUUCGACAGUUAGCAUCAUGGAAGCCAUAGUAGAGGAGGAGGUCUUGCAUGGGGAAAGAUCCCAAAGUCUCAUGAAAUGUGGCAAUCUCUAGAAUGGAAUAUCCCACUCACAGUGUUUAGUUAGUGAAAUGUUCUGAUACGGACUCCUAUGAUAAUUAGUUUAACAUGUAUACUGAGAUAUUCUAUCUCUUGUACAAACUUCUCCAAUAUCAAUGAACUUACAGUUUUACCUUGAAAAGAUAGUGGAAGAUGACUAAUUUUGAAUUUGAUGCUUACAAUUCAAUUUUGGGUACAAAUUUCAAUAAGCGAGGCAAUUUAUUGUCUUUUUGCAUGUUGUUGUAUCUUAAUGUCUACAAUUGGUUUGCUAGUACCUAUAGUACACAGUGCAAUUACAACUGCCAAUUAUAGAGGCUUGGGCAGGCGAUAUUUGUUGCGUUUUUACCCAUUUGAACCUCGAGUUAAAAGCUUAAUUUCCCUUGAAAUGGGAAAGAAAUUAUAGUUAAAAGAUGUUUACCUUUUACAAGAUUGGUUUUGAUAGUUGAUUAUACUGCAGUGGCUACAUGAUCACCCAGAGUACAAGUCGAAUCCAUUCUAUGUUAGUGGAAUCUCGUAUGGGGGAAUUCCUGUUCCAAUAUUAACUCAACUUAUAUCAAAUGGUAAGAUUUUUUCAAUGUGGCUCUUUACCCUGGGGAAGUUUUUUGGUUGUGUUACAAUCUGAUUAUUGAAAUUGUCAUGCAAAUACAUAGGCAUUGUAAGAGAUCUGAAUAUACUAUAAAUGCUUUCUGUAAGCUUGUAGUAUAUGCGAAGUCUCUUUUGGUAGGAAUGUAGUUGCCACCUUAAGCUAAAUGGGUUUUAUUAACAUAAUGCAGAGCUUUAAGAGGGGGAAAAAUGGUUAAAAUUUCCCUCAGAAAUUUGCAGGCUUUUUAUUCUUUUCUGUCAAUAUGUUAAGUUAUAAGACGCUCCAGGAUAAAGCAAGAAAACGUUUCUUUGACCAGUUCAGAGUUCUACAUUAUCUCCUGCCACAAGAUGAUCAGUUGAAGUUUGCUAAAUACAGAAGUAUAGGAUCAAUACUUUGUUGCUCUAUGACUAUUAAUAAGGCCCUAAAACUUACAUGUAUUUUGGUGUUAUUCCAGGAAACAAGGACGGAAUUGAACCACGUAUUGACCUUAAGGUCUAUACCUUUGAUGAUCUUCUCUUUUCUAGUCUACCUAAUCUUGAUUGACUACAUACUAUUUGGAGAAAAAUUUACCAUCCUGAGUUUAAAAUCGAGACGUUUCCAUUUAUGGCUUCAGGGAUACAUACUUGGAAAUCCUUGGUCGAAAGCUUCAGGAAUUCAGAACUAUAGGGUUCCGUUUGCUUAUGAUAUGGGGCUGAUUUCUGAUGAACUCUAUGAGGUAACUUAUUUCUUUUGUUUGUUACCUAUUGAUAUCUUAGAACACUGUCAUUUGUCACAUGCAUUCUUACAAUGUAAAACUACCAGUGAUUUUCUAAUUGACCUGUAUAUUUACAACGCAGUCCUUGAAGGUUAGCUGUAAAGGGGAAUAUAAAAUCAUAGAUCCCAGUAAUGCAGUGUGUUCGAAAAAUAUGCAGGCAUACAAUGAGGCAAGCAAUCAUAUCUAUGCAAUUUUUAUGUGACUCUAUUUUCAAAAAUUAGGCAAGGCCUAAUGGAUUUACUUAAAAGCGCCCCCUAAACUCAAGAAAGAGAGACAGAGUUAAGGAUCAUCAAUAUAACCGUUCCUGAAUAGUGUAAUAUCAUUUGAACAAGAAGUAAUUUAUUGUAACUUACUCAUACAAUUUCGUAACAGAGUUGCAGUUAAUGUUAGGGGCUUACACAAGCAGUAAUUGAACAUCAUACUUCUGUUACGAAAUUGUAGAAGUUAACAAUGAAUUAAGGUUUAUUCAAACAAUAAUACACUUUUCAGAAACGGUUGUACUAACAAUUGGUUCCUACCCCUUCCCUUUAAUUUGCGGGCCACAAAGGUGAAAAGGUGGGAAGAAUCAGAAUAAAGGAACGGGCAACCAGAAUGAUGGUUAAUAAUUUGCUUCUGCAGUUGCUUUGUAAUAUUGACAAACAAAAUAUCUUGAUUCCCGUAUGUCAUCCCCUUUCACGAGAGCCAAAUAAAUUAUUUACUGGUGGGAGAUCCAUUAUACAAAUGUCGUAUGAGAAGUUUGGAGAGCUAGACGUUCGGGAAUCGACUCCAGUCAUAUGUCGAGUAAGAUACUACUAGUAUUGUUCUAUGUAAACUCGUGGAUAAGAGCAUCAGUUCUUGGUAGCACAACUGAUCGCGUUUCUUCUGUUCACUGGCAAUCGUAGACGGAACGGAUUAUGCUCCUUCAGCACUGGGCUAACAACAAGAGCGUCCAAGAGGCCCUCCAUGUGCGAAGGGUAUGUCUAAAUCAAGCACUAUGGUAUGUAGCAUUUGAAUGCCGAAGCAAGCCUGAACUGAUUUCUGUAAUCACAUUGCAGGAAACUAUCGGAGAGUGGGUAAGCUGCAGGGAUGCCUUGCCAUACACAAAAAAUGCAGCGAGUGUUGUACCAUAUCAUGCAAACCUUAGCACUAAAGGUUAUAGAUCCCUUAUAUACAGGUUUGGUACCUAACUCUGAAUCUUGAUGCAUGUAGGUUAACAGCAGUGAUUUUAAGUACUGAAAGUGGAGUACUUUGUGAUUCAGUGGUGACCAUGAUCUGAUGGUACCGCACAUUGAAACUCAAGCGUGGAUAAGAUCUCUACAUUACCCAAUUAUUGACGAUUGGAGACAGUGGAUUCAUCAAGGCCAAGUUGCAGGGUUGGUUCAAAAUUGAACAAUGUUUCUUUUCUUGAUUACACCACCAUUAACACGAGAUAAAAAGAUAACUUUACCCAACUCAUCUAAAUUUGUUCUGUUUUCCUGCUUCCAGUUACACAAGGACCUACGCAAAUGAGAUGACAUUUGCAACAGUGAAGGCAAGAAAUUCCUGUUUCUAUUGCUUCAGUGCAAGAUUUGUUCACAUGGUAACGACUAACAACAAGGUCAGAACAUUCUUGGGACUAACUAGCACCCCUUUUUUCUUUUUCUUCUUUUUGGGUGAAGGGAGGAGGCCAUGCUGCUUAUGAGUUCAAGCCUGCCGAAUGCAGAACUAUGUUUGAGAGAUGGAUAUCGCAUCAGCCUCUCUAAUCAGUUGGCAUAUGGAUAUGAACAUCUUUGAUGACUUCUGAGCAUCAAAUGUUCCACUCUUAAAUAUAAAUUACUGUAACUUUGGGUCAUGAGACGCUUCUACUCCGAGUCUCCAAGGGGUUGCCUUCUUAUUGAGAUAUGAUUAGUAGAAAAGUGAAUAAAAUGUAGUAGUUAAAAUGGGAAUCACGUUACUCCAAACCUUUCUAUAUGACUGUUGAAGCUUUUACUUUGAAGAUAUGUCAUUGAAGUAAAUUUCCUCUAUUUUGCAAUAAAUAAAAUUUUGAAUUCACAGGAAAGUACCGUUGGCCAAGGAAUUCAAAUAUUAAAAAAAAUUGUUACUCCAUUAAACAUGAAUGGAGGGAAUCUACCAAAGCUUUUAAAAGAUGAAGAGGAGCAAGAAAAGGAAUUUCUUAUACAUAAUUGAAAAGUAAUUUUCUUGAGAACACUUUUAAAACCAAAAGAAGAUCAAAAGAAGAAAUCCCUCGUGUCUAGGAUUGAUCCAAUCACUUUUUAAGCGAAACUGUGACUCAAAAGUAUCUUAAAAGCCUUUUUGUUUUGGGUAGCCUUAACUUACGUUUUUGUGGCCAUUGAUGAUCUAGUCAUCGAAAGUUUACACUUGACUUACACUUGAGUAGAUCAGAUCUUUAAAAAUGUAAUGGGUCAAAUUAUGUUAUUCAUCUCGUCAAGUGGUGUGACUUAAUCUGAACUACUGAAUUUUUAAUAUUCGGAUCUUCUAAGUUUUGGCUGAAUGUAUUAAGGGUACUAGGAGGCAUAAAUCGCGUGAUGGGUGUAGGGAACUAAAGACAGUAUGCCCAAGCAAAUAUGCGGAUUAAGGGAGUGAUUGAAUUUUGGUGUAUUCUUCUUUUAUCCAGCAUGGCAUGCAAAAUUUUUUUUUUUUUUUUUUUUUGUAUAUGAGUAUGAAUACGCAUGGCAGUUAACAAGGGGAAAAAAAUCACUGAGCUAUAUAGAAUAAGGUUGAUAAUCCAAAGUGCGUCAAACUUCAGGGCAAUGCAAAGACUUCAAAUCCAUUGCAUUACAUGAAUUUGGCAAUGAUGAUGAUGAUGUACCUGGCUGCUGCACUAGAUAGCAAAAUCACAAACUGUAAAGCGAGAUAUUCUCUAUAUUUUCAGAAAGUCUAACAACUUACAGGUUGAAGCUUUGUAACUUGAUGCUAUAUCUUUUUGGAUUCAUCACCCGUGGCUUUUGAUGUACUUUCACAAAGUAAUUGAAAGCAACUAAAACUAACUUUGAAUCAGAAAUAGCUAUAGCAAAGAUAGAUAAAUUCCUCGAGAAUAUACUACUAGAGAAAAUGUGGAAUAACCUUACAUCGCACUUCAACAAAAGCAUUAAACCACAGAAGAAACGUGCCAGAUUACUGAUACAUAAUUAAUUAUGGCCUAACUGAGCUGAAGAUAAAAAUUAAAAUGCCAUGGAUGCACAGAUACCGGGUGCCAGCUGAUCUUGAGAAAUGCUCGACAUGUUCUUGAUAUUCGUCUUAAUCUUAUUUCUACAGGAAAACUUGAUGAUGAGAGCUAUCAUAACUCGCAAGGUGGAGGCAAAUGAAAACUCAACAAAGGAAAUCUCGUUGUUGCCAGAGGAAAGAAGCAGAGUACCCUCUACUUGAUACAAGUCAAGUUGGGGAAGGGAGAAGUGAAUGCAGUUCGUGAUUUUUCAACUGACCUUUGGCAUAGGUGACUUGGACACAUGGGUAAAAAGAGAAUUCAGACACUUGUUCGCAAGUAACUCCUACCUUGAUUUAGAGAUAAUGUACUUAAAUCUUAUGUUGACUGCAUUUAUGGAAAACAACAUAGAGUCACAUUUUAAAAUUUUUCUCCAUCUAGAAAAUUAAAUCCGUUAGAAUUAGUGCACAUUGAUAUUUGCUAUAUGAAAUAUAGGUCUCUUGAUGGUGAUGUUUAUUUUGUAACUUUUAUUGAUGAUUUUGCUAGAAAAGUUUGGUGUUUUGCUUUGAAAUCCAAAGAUUAGAUUUUGGAUGUGUUUAAAAAUUUUCAUGACAAGCAAUUAAAGUGUGUUCGCGCUGAUAAUGGUGGUGAGUACAUGAGACCGUUUGAAAGUUACUGCAAGUCCCAUGGGAUCGGACUAGAAAAGACAGUACAAAAAACUCCUCAAGAGAAUGGAGUAACAGAAAUGAUAAAUAGAUCCAUCACUGAGCGAGUCAGAUGUAUGCUCUCCAAUGCUAAGAUGUCAAAAUCCUUUUAGAGUGAGGCAAUGAGGACUACAGUUGAUUUGAUUAAUCUUUCUCCAUCAAUUCCUCUAGAUGGUGAUGUCUCAGAAAGAGUAUGGAUGGAAACAGAUAUGUCUUUUGAACACUUGAAAAUUUUUGGUUAUUGAGCAUUUAUUCAUAUUUUCAAAGAUGAGAGAUUAAAACUUGUUGUAAAAUCAAAAUAGUUUAUUUUCUUGAGUUAUGAACAUGAAAAUUUUGACUAUAAGUUGAAUGAUCCUGUUGAAAAGAAAGUGAUCAGGAGUAGAGAUGUUGUCUUCUUUGAAGAUCAAAUCAUUGAAAUAUUGAUAAAGGUGACAACAAAAAAUCCUCAAAUGACAUUUCUGCUAGUUCAAAUCCAGAUCCAGAUCCAACUCCAGUAUCUGUUGAUUUUAAUCAAUGGGGAGUUGAGACAGAGUAGAAAGAAGAUAUUGAUGAUGGUGAUGAUUCUCCUGCUGAUGCACCUGAACAUGAGGCGCCACCUACUCUACCACUGCCACUACAAGAUGAGUUUACGAAAUCUAAUAGAGAGAGGAGACCUUCUAGCAGAUAUAAUCCCCAUGAAUAUGUGUUGUUGACAGAUGGAGAAAAGCCAGAGUCAUACUGUGAGACUCUAGAGUAUGAGGAUAAAGAAGAUUGGUUGCAAGCCAUGUAAGAAGUGAUGGUGUUCCUGCAUGAGAAUCACACUUAUGACUUAUUGAAACUGUCUAAGGGAAAGAGAGUUCUGAAAAACAAAUGGGUUUACAGGUUGAAAACUUAGGGACAUAGCUCAGAAUCAAAGUAAAAAGCAAGAUUGAUUGUGAAUGGAUUUAGUCAAAAGAAGGGUGUAGAUUUUGAAUAAAGUUUCUCUCCUGUGGUAAAGAUGUCGUCAAUUCGAAUUGUUUUGGGUAUUGCAGCCAGAUUAAACUUGGAGAUCGAGCAACUUGAUGUGAAGACAACCUUCUUGCAUGGUGAAUUGGAAGAGAAGAUUUACAUGAAACAAUCGGAAGGAUUCGAAAAAAAUGGCAAGGAAAAUCUUAUAUGCUGUCUCAAGAAGAGAUUGUAUGAGUUGAAACAGGCACCGAGGUAGUGAUACAUGAAAUUUGAUUCCUUCAUAACAGAUCACGAGUACCACAGGAUUACAUUUGAUCAUUGUGUUUAUUUGAAAAAAAAUUUCUAUGGAAUUCUUGGACACCCAGCGACUAAAGUUCAUGGAAUUCUUUACUAUGUAGUCCCGUUUGCUUAUAGUAUGGGCCUGAUUUCUGAUGAACUAUAUGAGGAAUUCUGAUGAACAACUUGCAUGCGAGACAAAAUAGUUAAAAACUUGUCUAUUAAAAAUUAAACUAAAAACUUGCAUGCGAGACAGGUUCUGGAACUGAUCAAGAAUUGUACUACAGUUGUAAGGCCACAAUUAUAGGAUCAACAAUUUGUUGCUCUAUGACUAUAAGAUUAGUUAUUAAGGCCCUAAAACUUACCUUUGAUGAUCUUCUCUUUUCUAGUUUACAUAAGCUAGAUUGAUUACAUAAUAUUUGGAGAAAAAUUUACCAUCCCGAGGUUAAAACUGAGACAUUUCCAUUUAUGGCUUCAGGGAUACAUACUUGGACACCCAGCGACUAAAGUUCAUGGAAUUCUUUACUAUGUAGUCCCGUUUGCUUAUAGUAUGGGUUUGAUUUCUGAUGAACUCUAUGAGAAAUUCUGAUGAACUAUGGGAGGGACGUGGGGGGAGGGAGAGAAUAGGGAAGAGGGGCAGAAGAGGAGGUUGCAAGCUGGUGACGUCGACAUCGGCUGGCUGACAGUGGCGGGUUGAGGUGGGGGAGAUGGAAGAAAAUGAUGGAAAAAGUGAAAAAUUUGCGUGUUCUUAGAUAUUACGGGAUGUGUACAUUAAAAAUUUUGAGAUGUUUAUAGAGGAUUGCCGUAAAAAAAAUAGUUAAAAAACUUGUCUAUUAAAAAUUAGACUAAAAACUUGGAUGCGAGAAGGUUCUGGAACUGGCCGAGAAUUGUACUACAGUUGUAACUAAAAACAGUAAAAGCUAUACUACAACUUCAUAAUACAUAUUCAAACAUAAAAUUUCGUAUUGGUUUACAUCUCAUAAAUGUACCUCAAAAAACAUAUUAUCAUAAGAUAUAGUUAACGUAUAAGACACACGAAAAAUUUUUCCCUGUAGUUUAUUUCAUUAAUAAUUCUCACCUUACGAAAAAAUUUUAAAGGUUUCAACUGAAUGUUAUGGUCUAAAAAACAUUUUUAUAGUCAAGAAAUUAAGUAAACGAAAUGGAUAUUUAUGGUCAUUAGAUAUAAGAUAAAAAAAUAGUAACUACCUUUGGAAAGUUUCAAGAAGGGGCUCUUUGUACAAAAAAGUUGACAAUAUAUAUAUAUAUAUAUAUAUAUAUUGAAUCUUUAUUAGAAAUAAGACAAAUAGUAACUACCUAAAACUUUGGCGAGGAGUAAAUUAAAACUAGCCUGUAGAUUUAUAGAUGUAACCGCAAUUAAAUAUUUACCAAAAGCAAUGGAAAUUAAUUUGCUAUUUAGUUUGUAAUUUUCUAGUUUUUUAUUUACCUAUGAAUCUAUAUCGUAAAUUGCGCCAAUUUGUAAUUUUUUAACCAAAUUUUUAGUCAAGCUUUGGAGAAAAUUUUGUUCAAUAUGCAUAAGUAUAAUAGUUAUUAAGUUUCAUUGCACUUUUUCUUCAUCUGAUCCUUAGUAACACUUUGUCCUUGUAUCAAAAAAAAAAAUUGUCCAAAUGAGCUUUAGAUAUGUACAUCGCACCCCCUUCUAUGAUCAAUCAAAUAUUAGAAACAACCUUUCCAUGCAAGAACUUGUUGAAAUGAAAUUAGUGCCCCAAGAUAAUACUUGUAUGGAUGAUGCCACAUUUUCAGACCAAAAUAUGCAAGGUCUUAAUGGAUUAAAAGUACUGCACUUAGGUCACGCUAUAUAAAGUAAAUAUAUAAGAACAAAUGAUAGAAUGGAGAAGAAUUGACUAGAAGUUGUAAAGGCAAACGUAGAAUUUUAUAUUAAUUUUGAUCUCUUCCUCUCGCUUCAUCUAGAUUAUCAAACAACUAGCAUUCAUAGUCUCACAAACCUUAUAAGAUCCCUUCAAUAUUCUCCCAUGAUUCUCAUGAAUUUAGGUGGUGCGAAUUGGUACAUUUGUGCCACAUUUGCACCUUAUUUAAUAAUAUAUAUAUUACAAUGAGCAUUGCGAUGAGUAUUGACAUUAGCUCUUUUACUUGUUUGCACUUCUAUGCAAUUUUUCUAAUUUUUUCAUUGCUAAACUCUUUUUUUUUUAGUAUAAGUGAGAGAUUUUGAAAUCGGGACAUCUCACUUACACAUCCUCCCUGUGUAUCACCUAACCCAACCCUUCCUCCUACUCAACUUUAAUUUCUUCGACAUUUAAUCUAUGUUCUAGCCAAAUACAAAGUUUAAUAUGUUCAAAUGGGUUUAGCAAUAGUUGAAAAAAUAACAAUUUUUUUUAAGUUUGAAACUGCAUUUCGUAUAGUCAAAAAUUAGUAGAAGUAAUUUGGUCAUACAAAAAAUAUGGCAUUAUUUUGACCAAAUCCAAUUUUCAUGAGGCAUAAAGUAUUAGUAAAACCCAAAUUCAGGGGAACAAAUGCAACGAAUCCGAUUUAAUUAUAUACACAUUGCAAAAUUUAAGAACUAGGGGUAAUUUUAGAAACCCCACCUGAGGUUUCUAACAAUAUCACUUGGUAUCAUUAAAUUUUUAAAAAUUUCACUUCUCACCCCUACUUUAAGUUUUCAUUUUUGUAAUAAUUAAAACCUAUUUCAAACUAUAAUAUUAAAAUAUUAUUUUAGAAGGGAGAAUACAAUCUCGUUUUGAAAUUUGCCCUUUGUUGUCUUCUCUUAAUUGUCAUAACACGCUAAUUUUAUCUUUUAAUUUUUGUAAACUUGGUUAAUUUGACUUUUUAAUAGGAAUUUAAAAGUUGAUCACAGGGUCGAGUGACCCUUUAAUAGUUUUUAUGUCAUUGGUUUAGACAAGACAUAUUAAAUAUUUAAAAUUAUAAAUAAUUUACAAUACUCAUAAACAUAACUUGAAAUAUUUUACAAUAAUAAAAUUAACUUUUUGCACUAACUUGAAAACAACACAAACAAGUUUAUACAUAAUUUUCACCAUUUUAUAUUUUUCUAGUUUUUAAGCCAUCUAUAUGGACAUAAGAAAAUUAGAAAAUUCUGAAAAUUUUAUAACAUUCAUAAAACUCAUGAAAUUAACUGAGAGCACUUUAUAGUAAAGAAAAUAUUUUUGUAACUUGCAAAAACCUCAAAUAUACCUUUAAACAUUAGCUCUUUUUUUGUAGUAAAAGUAAGACAACAAAAUGGCGAAUCAAAUGAGAUUAUAUUCUAUUUCCCAAAACAAAAUUUUAAUAUUAUAUUUUGAAAUGGGUUACAAAUAUUACAAAAAUCUUAUAAUAAGGGAGGCAAGUAAAAUUUUUUUAAAAUUUAAGGCCUUGUUUGAAAAGGAAUUUUUCACCAAAAAUUUUUACAUUUUUCAUAAAUACAUUUUCCAAUCACUUUUUUAUCUUAUAUAUAUUAAAUUGUUACAGCAUAUUUUUUACAAAAAUUUCAAAAAGUUACAAUACAAACACGAUCUAAGAGUGCUAAGUGAUAAACUUCAAGAGAAGUUUUUGAAAUUAUCUCUAGGAACUACCGCAGACUCGUAUGGCGUUAAAUUUACCCCACUUUCAGCCCCAGAAAAAUAAUUAUUAAUGAUCAUGGGGUCAUGGACGUGCUCCAUAGCAAGAAAUAAAGGUACAACGGUAGAUUUGUUAUUGUUUUUGGGGUCAGGAACCACAUGACUUGAGCCACUCUCUAUUAGUUAAAAACUCAGUCAAUUGAUGCCAUCGGACUGACUGGCUGGCUGCCCCUCCUAGUGCCCUGCGCAAUCAAUAGAUUUGCAUAUAUCUUGGGACAGGUUUAUAGUGGAAUUAACAUUUUAAUAUUGCUUAUUAGGUGAUGCGUGAAUCUGAAAGAUCAUCACUGUACUGUCCUUUACAUUGUAUUGCUGAUUAGGUGACUUAAUACUUUAUUAAUUAAUUUUCUGAACAGAUUAGUGCUGUUAGGCUGGCAUUUCCUAAUAUCAUGCUCAACUCACGUAUACUGCUAAUUUCACAGAUUCAGAGUAAUUAUCGAUUAAAUAGUCACGGAUUUGCUGAUUAAGUUGUUUAGUAAUCAAUUACUGAUGAAAAAUAGUUUGAUGGUCAAAACAUGAUCCGACCAUUAGUUUAAUAGUCGCUGAAGUUUUUUAGUCUAAUUUCUAAUAAGACAUAAUGUUUUAGAGUAUAUGAGUAAUUUCCCUCAUAUAACGUAUUUGAGCUCACAAUUCUGUCAAGAGAGAUUCUUAGAUGGGAGGUUCUACAAAAUGGUGAAGAUGUUUCUAACAUUUUUGUGGUAAAGUUAAGACUAAUCAAUGAGAAGAUGACACAUAAGAAAUUACUGAUAUUGAGGAGGAUUUGUACAGGUUGCCUAUAUUGUUUGUUCACGUUGAUUUGUCUCCAUCCCUAACACCCUGUUUGAAUUGGAAAAAGCUGACCCGAUUUGAUGUUGAAAUUGGCAGCAAUUUAAAUGCAUAUACUUACCCAGUGGGUAAGGUUAAUUGAAGUAUGGAUAAUUACUGAUAUGUGUUCGACCCAAUGAAUAAUAACCUAUUUGGUACUAAAGCAUGAGAUAGUUAUUGCACGACAGAGGAAAGCAAAAUUUGAUGGCAAAGGCCUCGAGACAUGUGCAUUUUGCUAGCUCCCAUUCUUCAAUGAAUGAGUAAUGCUUGCAGUUAAGGCCCUCGGUGGUGGUAUUUUAUCAUUUAUUGCAUGUUUACAUUCUGUAUAGGCCAUGGGUAAUGAUUUAGGGACAUUACAGUGUCCAUUUGAUAUUUGUUAAGUGAUCAAGUCCGGCAACUUGCGUUUUAUUUGUUCUCUUAAGUGGUGUAACUGUGUAAGCACUUGAUUUGAUAAUAACCCGUUCUAGUACGGCUUUGUUAUUCAAAUUUGAAUUGAAAUACAAGCAAAAUUAGAUACCCAAAAAUCAAAUAGACAAAUUGUACUUACCAUUGUCAUUAGAAAUAUAACUAGUGGGCCGAAAUUGAUACUAUGUAAUAGUCAAAAUCAAAAUGGAGUUAGUAAAACAAUGGGGGAUACUUGGAAUUGUAUAUUGCAGGUUAUCUAAUAUUUGGUUGGUUUAGGAGUAGAUAGGAUAUAUCCCAGAAAAAAAUGCUAUAAUUGUGUUUGGUUGGGAAUUCGGGUAUGAUAGGAUUGCUAUUAUAAUGAUCAAAGAACCCCUUAUUUUGCAAUUUCUUCCUAAUAAGGUUAAUUUACCAUUUUUAAUAUUUAUAACCUGCAUUCCUAAUAAGCUUAACUUACCAUUUUUAAUAUUUAUAACCUUCGUUAACAUUAUAAAUUAAAUCAAGGAUUUUAAUAUAUACAAACUAGUAAUUGUCAAUCAACGGUUUUAAUACAUCCCCUUAUUGACGACGUCAUUCAUAGGGUCAGCAAAUUGUGCAAAUGCGGUAAUUCUUCAAUAUAUGAAUUCGGUUAAUUCUGUUAUUGGACUCAAUUGAAAUAUAAAUCGCUCUCAAAUUUGAAUUGGAGAUACCUAAAUUCAUUUCACUGUCGAAUUUGGGCUUUAAAUUAUUAUAUAUUCAUUAUGCUCCUCAGUUAUUUAAAAAUUUAUUGUUGAUUUGAUCCCCAACUUUAUUUAUAAUUUAACAUAGUACUCAUGUUUUAAUCAUUUUGUACUUUAAUUGGUAUUCAUUUGAUCACGUAUAGCUAGUUAUAUCUUGAAUCCUUAAUCAAUGAUUUAAGGAACAAGUAAAAAGUGAUUAAUUUAAACUACAAUAUACCUUAGACUGUACAAUAAUCAAUGACAAGUUUCACGUUUAUAGUUUACAAUGAUUAAUAAUAAGUAAUAUUAGUUACAAAUUACAAUAGUGACUUAAUUGCUUUUAAUAGUGAAAUCACCCGCACUAAUAUAUUGAUGUGCAAUUCAUAUGCAUUCACUUAAAGUGCUUAGUUUAUUUGUUCUCUGUGCUUAAAGCCUUAAGAUUAGUGAAUAGAGAGUAAGAAUUUUCAUGUGAAAUAUAUAAUGUAAUAUUAGAGCACAUCGUUACUUGCAAGUUACAAGUUAUGCAUUUAAAUAUACAAUAAUUCAAACAUGAAUGAUGUACCAAACUGUCAAUAUCUAAAUUUCAAUUAAUAAUUAUGUUUAUUGUUUAAUAUUUAGUAUUAAACCUAUACUUUUUAAUUACUAUCUAAUUCUAGUCAUGUAUAAAAUGAUAGGUAUUAUAGUUAUGUUAUGUAUUGUUGUAUAUUUGUAUUAUUAUAGUCAUAUAAUAAUUAACAAAUACUAAAAUGGUAUAUUGUACAUCUUUAUAUAUUUUAUCAUCAUAAGUACAUGAUAAUACCAUGCACUCACUAUUAUUAGUAGCAUUUACCAUAUUAAUAAUAUAAUAAUAUAUUAGUAGUAUAUACCAAUACCAAAUAGUAUUUACCUGUAUAUUAUAUGAUUUUAUAAACCAAUUCGAUAUUCGAAUGUGUGAAUACGAUACCCCGUUUUCAUCGUACCGAAUUUGAAUUCGAAAUUGAUUAUUACCAAAUUCAUAAUCUCAUUACCUAUUUUGUACUAUAUUAGAUUUCGGUCAAUUUGGUAAAUACCGCUUUUGUACCAAAUUACCAAAUUCAAUUCAAAUUCGGGUAUGAAUUCGGUACGUACCAAAUUUGAUAGGAUUUUUUAUUUAUUUGGAAUGUGGUUGACAAAAUAAGUUCAGUAAGGGUAGUUUAGUUCAAGGGCAAUAUGGUUGCACUACAAUGAUGUCAAUACGUGUAAAGUAGUAAAAAAUAAAUAAAUGUAUAUGUAUAGUACACGUAAUAUGCAUAUGUACCUCUCACAAGGGUAAAUUAGUCCAAAAAUACUAUUUUCAGUUUCUUGGGGGGAUAUUCCCAAUUAAUAAUCCAAAUUAUUUAGUAUUGGGUUGGUUUUGAGUUAGAUAACAUAUAUUUAAAAAAAAUGCUAUAAUGUGUUUGGUUGAGAAUUAGGAAAAAUAGGAUUGCUAUUAUAAUGACCAAAGUCCCCCUGAUUUUGCAGUUUCUUCGUAAUAAGGUUAACUUACCAUUUUUAAUAUUUAUAACCUUCAUAAACAUUAUAAAUUAAAUCAAGGAUUUUUAUAUAUACAAACUCAAGGGUCAAGGAUUUUAAUAUAUACAAACUAGUAAUUAUCACUUAAGGGUUUUAAUAUAUCCCCUUAUUGACAUCGUCAUUCACAGAAACCAAUUCAUAGGACACUUUUAUUUAUUUGGAACGUGGUUGACAAAUAUGAUUUGGUUGGUUAUUACAAAUCCAAUUUUAUGUUAUUCUAUGAACCAUACAAAUAUUAGUAAAAUUACAAUAAUAAUUUGGUCUUCUAUGUGUCCCAUACAAAUAUCAGUAACUUUACAUUUUUUUAUUCGUAAUUUUCCUAAAUUUCGAUCAAUCUGACAAACAAAGCUAUGUUUGUAAUUUGUCAGUUUUUAACCCUAAUGUAUGUAAUAUAACUAGGUAUUUGUUACAACUUUAAAAUAUAAGCUGUAGCUUAAUAAAAAUUUGUUAGGUACAACCCAAAAAGAAAAGGACCUCAAACACAAAUAAACAUGGGCCAAGUUUACCGGCAGGUCUUUGGACAUAUGUGACUAACUUGGUCUUCUCAGGGAUAGUGACCCACAGCGAAUCUCGCACUUCAAGUGAUGUGACAAGUGCCUGUUUUUACAAGUGAUUUUGUCAGUCUCAACAUACUGAUACUGUAUAACUAUCCAUUCUUAGAUAAGUACAAUUUUACAAACUUCAAGGUAGAUGAAUAAAAUUGUCAGAAACCACUUGGGAGAGGUAUGUGAAAUUAUCCAUUUCCCGUCCACAUCGCGUUAAAGUCACUCCGUCAUCUGCACCUCGAAAGUCGUAAUCACGUGGACACGCACAUGUUCGACAGCAAGAGAUGAGCUACAAAUUAUUUGCGCUUUUCUCUUUCUUUUGUCAGAAAACAAGUGGCUCGAGUCUGUUUAUUCAACGAAAACUCCGCAAAAUCGAUGCCAUUAGGCUGGCGUUCCUUGUGCCUUGUGCACUUAAAAGAUUUUCGUCCCCUGGGGAGGGUUUAUAUUGAAAUUUACGUUAUAAUAAUAUUGCUUAUUAGGGCAGCGUAUGAAUGUGAAAGUUCAUUAUUCUAUUUUUUUUUUUGUUCCCAUGUGUUCAUUUUUGUCGCUUUCAUACUAUCAAAUUCUUUAUUUUCUCCUCCCUGACCGGAGCCUAAAGCUUGACCCUGGCCGCCCUGACAAAUUGACAAUCAAGAAAGAGAUACAUUACAAUAGUGAUUUUGUUUUUUUCUUUUGUUUUCUGUCCUUUUUUUUCUGCAACGACAACGAAGCAUCUUACUUCUACUCUAAACUAAUUAACUAAUUAUAAGAGGGGAGAGGUUUAAAUGGACUUACAUGAGAGUUAAAAGAUGAACCGUCAGAUCAAAUAAAUACGACACUAUUGUAUGGAUAGAGAAUUAUUUAGAAUAAUUAUUGUAAUAUUUUUUAUAAUAUAAUAUAUGUGAGAUAAAAAGGUGAAUUGAAAAAUAUGUUCAUGAUAGAAGCGAAAAUUUUUUCACAAAAAUUUGCUAUCCAUACAAAGCCAAUAUUAUUAAAUUAAUAUUUUGAAAGUGUGAUAGGAAACCACUUGCCACUACACUAAUGGCACAUAAUUCAGAACUAAGGCCUUAAGUUCCCCAAAGUUUUUCUUUGUUUAUACACAAACAGGAGGGUCUGCCCAACUCCCAAUCAUAUCAGGUGUUAUUUUUUUCUUUUCAAACGCAAGUCAACAAACCAAUGGAGAAUAAUACACAAAUUCAUGGUUUUCUGUUCCUGCAACCUUCUUUUGAUAACAAUCCAACCUUCACAAUUGCUUUGUAGGAUUUGAAACAUAGCCAGACAAAACAUGCUGAAAAGCUAGCUUGAAUCAAGAGGGUUAGGAUUUAAAGAAGCAUAAUGGAGAAGCUCCUGAUUUUUCUCCAGUGUAGCCAUGUACUCUUCUUUCAUGGUCACCAAUGCUUCAAUCCCAUCACCAGAUUUUGUUUCGAUCAGAUGAGCAAUAUUUCCCAAUCCGUGUAAAUCUCUGUUUCCACGCGCAAUGCAUGUCCAUAUGGGCUUUCCCCAUCCAAAAUCAGCCUCAUAAAAACCAGUCUUGCGGAUGCUGCUGAUAUAGAUACAUUCAGCCAUACUAUUAGGAUCAUAGAACACUUCAUGGAAAUCUUUUAAGGCUCCCAUCAGCUUCUGAAUCCCAUUCUCACCAUUUAUAGAUUCAACAAAAUCAGCGUUCAUUGUACCAAUGGAAUUUGAGAUCUUGUUUACCAGCAAUUCCAGCUCUAGCUUAGGAUUGUCACAACAUUUAGCACGAGCCAACCAGACGAUAUUUCCUAGUGAAUGAGGUGAUAAAGGGGGCGAAACUUUUGUCCUCAGAUUCACCGGGAUAAACAAAACAGACCUUACUUUCCAAGCUGCUAUGGCAGAUUUCCAUAGAAGUCCCAUAACAGCCUUGGCUGAACUUGGUUUCGCGGAAGAUGUUGAUGUAGCUGCCUUGGAUUUAAGAGCAGCCAAGGCCGAGCUAUCGAACACAAAUCUGCUUGUAGCAUAUUUAGGCUCGUUCUUUUGUGGUUUGGAGACCACAGGAGGUGAAUCUUGGUACAUAUCCAAAAUGGAAGGAAAUAAGGAAGAUGAAAUAAAACUGGGAUUUAUUUGUACCGUUGAUUCGCGUGCUGUAGCUGCCCAAGAUUGCAUAAAUGUUGAAACUGAGAGACCAUCAAAAAUCUUGUGGGAAGCACUCAAGCAAAUGGCAAUACCACCACAGUAAAAAAUGUUUACUUGAACCAUGAUAGGAUAACUUUUUGACAAUAAUUCCGUGGAAUCUGGAUGAAAUGGACAUAGCUGGUUCACGAACUCAUUUUCAGGCUUCCUCAGAAAAUCUAACAGUCCAAUAUUGGUUUGAGUUUCGACGUAGUAAACUCCAUCAUCAUUACACUCAAUAUGCAAAUUAUCUUUGAUUUUUCCUGCUAGUGGAUAGAAGGGUACUAAGGUUUUUGAUAGUGAUUCCUUUAGACAUCGACUUCUUUGGGAAAUAACAUCGUCGAGAUAAGUGCCUUGUUGUUUUCUUGGGGAGAAAAAGAACAAUAUAUUUGUAUAAGAGUCACGAGUAAGCUGAUCCAAGAUUGAAAACCUAAAGGUUCUCAACUCAGGGGGAGUUGGAGAUGCUGGCUUGAUUUCUUCCUUGGAGAUAAUUUCUAUGUCCAUAUAUUCAGUUUUCUGAUUGACACUCGAAUGAAUGCUGCAGGGACAUGUUUAGAAGAAUUUUUAGCCAUUACAAAAGAGGAUAAAAUUAUCAUAAAAUUAAAAUUUUAAAUUUAUGGAAAAAUAAACUUUAUUGUUUGUUUUUCAUAUUUAAGAUCAGCUCGUCUGGGGCUGUUUAAUUAGCAGUUCUGCUUUUGAGUAAUAAUUUUCAAAUUAUACUAGUACGUUGUAGUAAAUGAAUUACUCCCCUAUAAAUUGAGAAAGUCCUAAUUUUCCUGCCAAUGACAAUAAAAAGAAAGCAAUAUGAAUAAGAGUAUUAUCAAAUUCACGAAUAAUUAUUGCUUUUGGACUAGAAAAACAUAUAAUUAGCUAGAGUUUCAAUAACUUCACGUUAUUGUGAUGAAUUUUUGGGACUUUUAGAACUAUUCCAUAAUAUCAUAAACAAGAACAAAACUCAAAACAUGAAAUUUUUGCUAUGUCAUUUCCGUGAAAUGAUGAAAGGUCCUCUCUGCUAAUUCCAGUGCAAAAUGUACUUUUGAGCAUACCAAAAAGGAAAAUGUAUAUUUUCCUAUCUACAAUUACAUGUAUCUCGAAGUUGAAACCCUUUAAUUCAAGAACUUCUCCUCAUGGACCCUUUUCAAAAAAAUAUUCCUAUAAUCACAGCCUAAAAUUGACACUCAUUUAGUUUUAGCAAAGGAGUUUCUUCUGUCCUUUCUAGUUAUUUUUGUUUUCUUUUUUGGUUUCCCUAUUUGUCUUUCCCCUUGUCUAUAAUAAAAAGAAAUUGAAAAAACUUCCCUCCAAUAGUCAUGGACAACCAAAAAAAAAAAAUCAAUACUACGUAUUCUAAAGAGUAAUGAAGAAAGAAACAAAGAAACAAAAAAAUUUACAUACAUACCUUCUUGAGCCAGCAAUGCCAGAACUGGGAAAAGGAUAGACAUGGCCAUUACUCUGCCUGUUCAUGAAAUGUUCAUUAUAAUACCCUUUCGAUGCACAUUUGCAGCCAAACAGCGCUGGUUUGGCAGUUCCUGCAGAACCAUCCGCAAUAUGGUUUCUUCUCGAUUGGCGGGGCAACGAGAAGAGAUGGCAUUUUGAUCCCAAUAAUGACUCCCUUCUUGUGGGAAAUGCUAAUCUUGAAAUGAACCACCUCAUGAUGGGAGUGUUAAGGUACUGAUGAAUGGUGACUAUACAGACAAAACUUCGUCCUUUCUAUGGUGGAAAAUAGGUUGAACAACCCACCGUCGGCAGAUAGAGUGUUAGAAGUACAGCACAGCAGUCAGCACAAGCAUCUCUAUCCAUGUUGGGGCCCAGUUGAGAGAAGGUGACCAGCAAAGCCUAUUAUCAUCUGAAGGAGCUAAAAGCAAAUACUAAUAUAAAUUGGGUUGGGUGGUUAAAUAAAUUAGUGAAAUUAUAGAUGCUGUACUGGAAUAACAAUAAGAGUAAAAAACCCUAUAAAUACCAAGAGAUUGUAGGGUUUUAGUCAAGUAGAGUCUGCGCGGCGCCAUCUCAGUGAAUUAGGGUGUAAAACGGACUAUUUUUAACAAGGUGCUUAACAUUUAGGGUGGAAAACGGACUAUUUAUAAAACCUGAGUUUUGUUAUUACUGACACGGUGCUUAACAUACCAGUCGUGUUUUCAGAAUUACAAUCCCAAGCUUAACAUGCCAUAUUGGUACCAAUUGGGUUAUAGUUAUGAAAUUGGUUUUUUGUUAAUUAUUAUUACAAGAAAUAUUUAUAAUUGGAAAAAAUUCAAUUCUUGCAUACUGAAUAAUAAAUAUUUUUAGGAAAAAUCAUUUAAAAUAUCUUUCACAUUUCGUUAAAUGAAUUUUUUCAUCUUUUACUUUUAAAAUAUUUAAUUUUAUAUAUCUUACAAAUUCAAAUUCACAAUUUUUGGUCCCAACCUGAGUUUCAACCACUUUUUAGUCUAAAAUUAUCACAUGACUCAUAUGUAAUAAUUUUUAUAUACAAAAAUGUCAAAUUUUACUUUUUUAGCGACAAAAGUAAAUAUAAAUUGACAAAAAUGAAUAUGAAUUUGAUCAUUUGUUUAAUUAUGAAUGGGAUAUAACUUUUUUUCCUAUAAAAAUUGAACUUUUCUUUUUGCCAUGAUAAAAACUACUUUUACUUUAACUAUCUAUAACUACCCAUGACUAUUUUUACUUUUAACUAUUUAAGUAUAUGUUUUCAACAUAACUACCCAUAAAUAUUAUAAUUACUAAUAUAAAAUUAUUUUAAAAAUAUUUAUGAAAAAUAUUUAGAAGAUUAAAAUUUGUUUUGAUAAUAAAAAAUAUAUUUAAAGUAUAUGAUCAUAAAUAUUAUAUUUUUUUUAUUGCACCCACAUUGGAUGUGCAUGAGCACUAGUUAUAAUCAAAUUCCAAAUCUCACUCCUAGUGAUAAUGCAAUUGUUUCAAAUAGUGAAUAUCUCCCCCACUAAAUAAUUAGAUUGUACUAUAUUAGGUCCUAAGUCUGCCAUUAGUUGUAAUGAACAUGACCGACUACAAAUCACAAAUUUGACAAGUGCAAUAUCAAAUUUCGAGUCUUUUUAACUAUUAAUGUUUUCCACUAGUUAUAAUGAAUAUGAUGGAUUAUAAAUCACAAACUUGAUGGGUACACUAAAUUUAAGGCAUUUUAACUAUUAACUCGGAAGCAACGAUGUUUAGAUGUCAAGUUAUGCUCCCAUGUUCAAUUUAACGUAUUUAGAUAAGGGUUUAAAGUAUAUAUGAGGAUCAUUUUGAUUUGGGAUUUUUCAAGCACUCAAUGACUUAUUGUCACCUAGGUUUCUUUAAGUGCUCCAUCUUAAUAAUAGUGUAACUAUAUUUACACAAUCUUCACAUUUGCUAUUUCUUUUUUUUUUUUGUUUAAAGUAAUUUAUCCAACUUUCAUCAUUUAACAUUUUUCCCUUUCUUUAUUUGUUCAAAAGCAAUUUUUUGUUCAUUGCACUUACCUUCUUUUAAUUAUGUUUUUCUUUUGUUUAAUGUAAUUUAGCCAACCUUUUUCUUUUCUUUUUUUGUUUUAACAAAAAAAGCACCCUUAUUAUCUUAGAACCAUAGAGAAACUCAAGAAACAAGAUGAAAUAGUGGUUAAGCUACACACACAAAAAAUGCACGCGAUUAACAUCUCAAAUUUGAGAGAUUUGAAUGAUGGGUAUAACAGUAAAAUUAUAAGAUCAUAUGCUUCCAUAUUGUGAAUUUCAUCUAUGCAUUUGGGAUUUGCAAGAAGUGUACGUAACUUUGAAUUGUCAAGAUUUCUUGGUUAUUUGUGAUUAUUGCUAGGGUAAAAUAAUUCACUAAUGUAAUUACUCAAUUGAAAAUUUUCAUGUACAUACCUUUGCGUAAUCAUCGAUAGUUGGGAUAGCCAUUCACAAAUUAUAAGAAUAGUAUUUUGCUUAAAGAAAAAAGAAAAAGUUGGUUAAAUUAUAUUAAAAAAGAAUUAAAAGGAUAAAUGCAAUAAAGGAAAAAUGGUUUUGAACCAAUAAAUAGAAUUAAAAAAUUAAAUGACAAAAAUUGGAUAAAUUACUUUAAACAAAAUAGGAAAAACACCACUUUAAAAUGUCUUUCGAAUUUCCAAAGAGAUAAAGACGCCAUUUUAAUAUAAUUGGAGAUGUUGCAUUAGGUAAAAAUAUCUCACGGAUGCUUGAACUGAAAACACAAAAACGGCAUCUUUAUUCCUUCACGAAAACAGGCUUUAUCUUAAGGAAGCGCCAAAAUUAAACUACGGCCCCUUGUUCAUUACCGGUUCUUGCCUGUCUUCGGUUGCAAAUUUCAUUUUUGUCUAUUAUCUGGCUCACCAAACUCACCAAACUUUGUUGUCCUGUUCCUAUUACUGCUUCCCCCCAUGCAAAGAUGACUCAGCUUUCCACCAUAGAAGCAACCGACAAAACCUUACCCUGCAAACGUUAGUUGUUUACGAUUGAUGCCACAUGCAAAUGUGUGAUAUCUAUGUCACAAUGGGUCCAUAACAUUUGGAAUUUAUACUUAUUGAGUCCCUUAUAAACGAUGAUGCAUUUUGGUCCCCGAAGUUUUCAAAUUACAAAAGUUUGGUCCCAAUUUUCACUAUUUGUUGGUAAUUCCUUUGUGUAUAGGUAAUAGUCUGUGUCUGCGCCGGCAGAAAUUAGGAACUAUGUACACAACUUUGAAUCUUCAAACGACAGGCGUGCUCUGCCUGUGAACUUGGGAGGUAAGUUAGAAUUACCGAAUCAUUUUAAUCACGUCUUCUAGACUAUUUAGCACAUGGUGUGUUAAUGAUAGUUUCAAUCAAACAGUGUAUGAAAAGAACUUUGAGUCAAAAUUAUUACUUCUUACGUCCUAUGAAAAUUGUGUUUUGCGAUUUGUGCUUCUUUUUUUUUCCCUUUCCCCCCCAGUGGCAGGAAGAUUGUGGUCCAAUACCACGAUGAUUUGGGUCCAAAGAAGGUUACCGCUAUAGAUCUUGACACUACCGAGCUAUUAGCGUAGGUUCAGUUAUUGACCCUAUAGCAUUAAAAUUUCAGCAUAUCAAUUUAAAAAUAAACAUUUCAGCAUCACUGUCCUCAGCAUAACUUAAAAAUCAUUCUUAGAAACAUUAAUAUCUAUAAUUUGGUUUAUGUAAUUAAAUAAAAAAGAAAAGCACUCGCUUAAUGUAUAAAUCAUUCUCAUAAACAAUUGUCAUAUUAGUUAGUACAUAAUUAAACAAAUUUUAAAAAAUCUAAAGAAAAUCGGUCAAAAAAAUUUUAAAAAAUCUAAAGACUAAUUAUUUAAUGCCACAACCACUCACUUUUAUCUCAUUUUUUUUCCUUAUCAAGUUUGCAUUUCUAUUUUCGAUUCUCUUGAUUUCUUUCAAACUCCAAACUUCCUUUUUUAAAUUGCAAUCUCUAAAUCCCAAAAACGUAAAUUAAAAUUUAAGUUCACAAUGUCUAAAUUCUCAUAGAUGCGAAUUUUGUAUAAUUUUAAAAUAUUGUGGUAUUUUUGGGUUGGAUUUAAGAUUAUUUUUUGGUAGAUAUAAUUGAAAUUGAGAUGAAAUUUAUUUAUUUCAACUUAUAAUUUAAAAUUUUAUUUUUGAAAAUCCAAGUUAUUCAAAAAUAGUAAACUUUUCAUCAUAUAAAGUUUUAAAUUAGUCCAUAGCAUAUCUUAUUUUCUAAACCCAACCCUUGUGUAAUGUUUCUCAUAUACCAAAGUUCUUUUUCUCACUCUCAUCUAUAACACAUGACUCCUUUUUGUGUACUUUAAUUUAUUAAUUUAUGAUAUGAUAGUCCCCUUCAAUUUAUAGGAUAUAUUACUUGACAAAUACUUCAAUAAUAAUAAAAAAAUAACUUACCUGAUUUCCAAAUGUAUAUAAAUACAAAAUUUCUUAGCAACUACUCCAAAUACGUAUAAAUUACUAGAAAAGUAUUUACUUGUCACACAAAAUAAAAAUUGCCUAAACAAAAUAAGUAAUUUCCUAAUAAUCUCCACCAAAAAGCUUGAUGUGUAGUUAUACAUACCAAAUUAUUACGUUGCUGUAAUGUCCAUAUAUACAUAGCUAAUCCGAGUCCAACUUUUAGUUGACUUAAGUUUGUAGGAUUUUCCUUUUCACCACUACUUACAACUUGAAAGUAAUCUUGGAUCCCUUUUUUUUAAUUCUGCUCCCAACUAUUGAGGUAAUCAAGAAACAAAUUUUUUUUUUUUUAAAUCACCAUACUUUUCCCCUUCACAAUAUUGUCUCCCCCGUGUGUGCUUUUUAAAAUUCCACCAUUAAUGAAAAUCUCGUAACUUUGAGAGUCUCAGGAUGCAUGAGAGUUAGAUUUUUUUUUUUUUUUUUGUGGAUUUUUUUGAUACAUAUAUCAUACCGCUUAAACAACAAAACUGAAAUACAUCCAACAUCAAAUACAUACCAUUGGAAAUUGUUAAGAACAUUUCCACUAAAUUACAUCCUAUUUUAACAUUGGACUCUAUGUUUUUCCAUGUCUUCUGAAUCACUUGCCCAAAUUUACUGUCAAAUAUCCUCUACGUUUGUUGUCUUUCGAUCCUUUCCCUUCAAUGCCAAGCCUUUUUGACAUGAAUAUUCUUUUUCUAUUAAAUUAUUGAAUUGAAAAUAACCGCAACUCACUUAAUAUCAAUAAUUAACCAAAACCUAGCUAUGAUAUUAUACUAGAUGCUGAGAUCCAAGUGCUAACAAAGAAUCAUUGAAAAUUAAGUGCAUGACAAUUUAAAGGAAACAAAUAAAAAACAUGAAACUUUGAGUAGAUACAAGAUUAAUGUGGUUUGACUCAAUUAUUAAAUCUAUAUCUAUAAAGACAAAACUCGAUAUGUGAGAAAAAUAGAAAAAUCUAAUUUGAAUCCCGACGCAACCGUAUUAUGACGUUUCUCACGUAGCAGGAAGCCCUUCCCUCACUCUCAUUACAUGUUACUACUUAAAACAAAAAUAAGGCAAUUUUCAUAACAAGGUAAAUUUUAUUUCGUCCUUAUGCCACCUUUUUAAGAAGAAAAGUGUAAGCAUGACACUUGGUAAAGAAAAGUGCACGUAACUUGAAAGUUGGGUGGCAACUUCAAAAAAUUCUUCAAUAAACCAAACUCGUAUAUUAACGUUUUAACACAUGCCAAGCGUCCACCAACUAAGAUACCCAUAAGGACAUCCACAAUGGUUUACAUUCUUUAGAGCGUAAUCCACGUGCCACGUCAGCAUUCCACUUUCUUCUCUUUUAUUGCACUUCCACUCACAAUGGAUUACACUCCACAAGGUGUAAUAAAAUGAGUCCACAAUUAAAUCAAAUAUUUAUUUUAAUAAUGCAUAACUCAUAUUCCAUAAAUAAAUAAAGUAAUUUUUAAAAAUAAUUUUGUUAUUUUUAAAAAAUAAAGUAUUAAGUUUCAUUAAAUUUUUUACCUUUUGAAUUUUUAUUUUCUAAAAAUAAUAUUAUUCAUUUCUAAGUUUGAACAAUAUAUCUUUUUCUAUCUCUCAAAAAUAAUAUAUUGUUAUUUUUUGAAAAAUAAUUAUGCAGAACGUUAAACAAAUAUGUGAUACCUCAAAUGCGAUUAUAUCAUAAUAAUCCAUACUCAAUUAAUAAUUCUUUAUGUAAUUAGUUUGAUUUCCAUAACCUAAUAUUACAUAAUUUAAAUCAAAUACACUGCUUAUUUGUUGGGCAAAAGUUUUCCUACGGCUAAAUUUUAUAAUGGGAUGGCCCACCCAUUACACGCAUCAUUAGAAUGAUGCAUGUAAUGACUAAUGGGUAUUACGCGGCCACAAUGGGUAGCCGUGUGACCAACUCUUAAGCUGUCAGACAUUACACCGCUUAUUCCACGCGGUUGGAGAUGCUCUAACGAAGUUAUCUUGUGUGCGGAUUUUAGCAUUGUAUGAUUUAUAAUUUGCUUGAAACAUAUUUUAGCUAUUAAAAUCAAAGAGCUCAAAGGAUAGUGAGAUAUUUUUCUUUUUUUCUUUUUGGAUAAAUUCUUCUGAUGAGUUGCUUUGUUUUGAUCGAUCAUUCAUUGGUACUUGGCAGAUUUUAUCCUAUCAUCUUUUCGCAAACAUUUUGAUAGUUAUUUAUAUACACUGUUAAAAUUUAGGUAAACUUAAUUUUCAAAAAUUCAAUAGUUUAACACCAUUUGACUAAGUAAAGUAACGUAAUUUGGACCUUCUUUGAAAACCGGAGCUAAGUCUUUUCCAUGCCCCUUCACAGUGAAGCUAUAAUUUCCAAUAAUAGUUCGAUCCUGCAAUGAAUUGGACUAAGGGCAGGAACGGUCCCAGGUGGAAUCGUUCCAGACAAUUAUGUGCAUUUUGUAUACGGCGUAAUUUUAUUUAUUUAUGAUGUAACUUAUUUUUAAUAACAUGUAAUCGGCAUACAAGAUGAAAUCUGGAUGUACAAAUUUUUUUAGCCAAAUCUUAGCAGUGAACUGUCAAGACGGUUGUCCCGCUUCCCAAUGCAUGAGUUGGCAAACAAGACAUUUGUGUUGCUAGGGUCAGUUAAAUUAUCGGCUCCGAUAAGGCGAUUCUCUGUAGACAUAGCAGCUUCUGGGUUAGAGUUCCAAAGUUCCAAGAACUCGGAUCUGGAGUCUAAAGUUGCUCUGCCUAGUUCCCAAAACGAGAGAUAGGCCAAGCUCAAUGGAGAAGUUGCAGGUGCUCCUAAGGCAUCCUAUCUUCUGCAACCUGUUCUUGCUGCUAGUUUAUGUUCAAGCAUGUUCAAACCUUGCUAUGGCUGGUUCCAUAGUUAAGUUUCUUCCAGGAUUUGAAGGACCCCUCCCCUUUGAACUCGAAACCGGGUGAGCCACUAAGUAUAACAUAUAUUUAAUAACACUAGAAAUUAACAUUGAUCAAAACUUAGAAGAAAUAGUUGAUCCAUUUUCUGAUAUUAUCAGGUACAUUGGAGUUGGUGAAUCAGAGGAUGUGCAGCUCUUCUACGCUUUUAUCAAGUCAGAGUCAAAUCCUGAAUCGGAUCCUCUUAUCCUUUGGUUAGAUGGAGGACCUGGCUGCAGUUCAUUUAUUGCACUUUUCUUUGGGACAGGUGAAUUCUAAUGCCUUACACUUUGCAUUAGGUGUCGCCCAAAAAAAAAAAAAAAACAAUUGCGGCACUUUUUUGUUCUUGAUUUUGUAUAAUCUUCAAACUCUGCAAACAGCCUUUCUGGUUGAAACUCUGCAAAAAAGACAAAAGACGUUGUUGUCUGGUUGACGAAGCUUUAUGUAAGGUCUUUUGUUUUGUUUUUUUGGGUAAAAGUAUUAAUUUUAUUGAAUACCAUCCAUUUGUUGCCAGUAGCAACUGCUACAAAUAUCUGUACAUUAACUUACUACACAUUCGCAUCAACUUAAAGAUGCACGUAGAAAAGCCCAAAAUAUAAACUAAGCUACAAAAACACACACCUAAAUAUUUUUUUCAUAUGCAUUGCUAUAAUAAAGCUUUUGAAAAACAUUCCUCAAAACGGCUAAUUCAAAUGGAGCCAUCGUCUUUUUUUGUCUUUAAUGUUCAAGUGAUGAUGAUUGAUAAACUGGAGUGCCAGCAUUUGAUCAAGUCACUGGCCCGUGAUUUUCUGUUGCAGGGCCAGUAAUUGUCGAGCCAUUGUCGUUCGACGGCACUCUGCCCAACUUGGUAUUAAAUCCCCAUACUUGGACCAAGGUAAGCUCAAGAAUUGAGUUUCUCUUUUCUUUUAUUUUAUUUUCUUGCAAGAGAAAAAGAGAUUUAAGUUGAUGAGUAUAUCUUAGACUCAUAGAAGUGUUAUUUAGCAUUUAUUAUGAUGUGAUGUAUCCUAGAUGAAAAGGUUGUUGAGAUACAUGUAUAAAUAAGGUUCCAAAUUUUUUUUUUUUCAAAUAAUGUUCAAAUAAUCUUUAUCCAAACAAACCUAACUUUCAAGAUUAAGAAUUCGAGUUGACUGCAAGAUUGAGAAUCAUUUCUUGUUACUUGUUAGGUUGUAAGCAUCAUCUUUCUGGAUUCGCCAGUUGGAACUGGUUUUUCUUAUGCUAAGACUGCAGAAGCUUCUCAAUCUUCAGAUUUUCAAGCCUCUGAUCAAGCUUAUGAAUUUAUCAGGAAGGUACACGCCCAUCACUCAGCUAAUUAAUGAAUCAUAAGGCUUCAUGGAACGUUGGACAAUUACUAACAAGGAAAAUGCCAUACUUGUCUCUAGACCCUUUAUUAUGCAAAAAGACCAGUGUACUAUCAUUUAAUUAAUUUCCUUCUGAAUAGCGGAAUCCUGCGUAGCCCUCCCAAAAUUGCCUCCAUUGGAUUCAAGUUCUCUAUGAACACGGUUUUGAUUGUAUAGAACAGUUGACAGUGGAAGAUGAAUAAAAGUUACAUCAAUAAUAACUGGCUAUGGUAGUUUCGACAGUUAGCAUCAUGGAAGCCAUAGUAGAGGAGGAGGUCUUGCAUGGGGAAAGAUCCCAAAGUCUCAUGAAAUGUGGCAAUCUCUAGAAUGGAAUAUCCCACUCACAGUGUUUAGUUAGUGAAAUGUUCUGAUACGGACUCCUAUGAUAAUUAGUUUAACAUGUAUACUGAGAUAUUCUAUCUCUUGUACAAACUUGUCCAAUAUCAAUGAACUUACAGUUUUACCUUGAAAAGAUAGUGGAAGAUGACUAAUUUUGAAUUUGAUGCUUACAAUUCAAUUUUGGGUACAAAUUUCAAUAAGCGAGGCAAUUUAUUGUCUUUUUGCAUGUUGUUGUAUCUUAAUGUCUACAAUUGGUUUGCUAGUGCCUAUAGUACACAGUGCAAUUACAACUGCCAAUUAUAGAGGCUUGGGCAGGCGAUAUUUGUUGCGUUUUUACCCAUUUGAACCUCGAGUUAAAAGCUUAAUUUCCCUUGAAAUGGGAAAGAAAUUAUAGUUAAAAGAUGUUUACCUUUUACAAGAUUGGUUUUGAUAGUUGAUUAUACUGCAGUGGCUACAUGAUCACCCAGAGUACAAGUCGAAUCCAUUCUAUGUUAGUGGAAUCUCGUAUGGGGGCAUUCCUGUUCCAAUAUUAACUCAACUUAUAUCAAAUGGUAAGAUUUUUUCAAUGUGGCUUUUUACCCUGGGGAAGUUUUUUGGUUGUGUUACAAUCUGAUUAUUGAAAUUGUCAUGCAGAUACAUAGGCAUUGUAAGAGAUCUGAAUAUACUAUAAAUGCUUUCUGUAAGCUUGUAGUAUAUGCGAAGUCUCUUUUGGUAGGAAUGUAGUUGCUACCUUAAGCUAAAUGGGUUUUAUUAACAUAAUGCAGAGCUUUAAGAGGGGGAAAAAUGGUUAAAAGUUCCCUCAGAAAUUUGCAGGCUUUUUUUUCUUUUCUGUCAAUAUGUUAAGUUAUAAGACGCUCCAGGAUAAAGCAAGAAAACGUUUCUUUGACCAGUUCAGAGUUCUACAUUAUCUCCUGCCACAAGAUGAUCAGUUGAAGUUUGCUAAAUAAGGAGAGUAUAGGAUCAAUGCUUUGUUGCUCUAUGACUAUUAAGACACUAAAACUUACAUGUAUUUUGGUGUUAUUCCAGGAAACGAGGACGGCAUUGAACCACGUAUUGAUCUUAAGGUCUAUACCUUUGAUGAUCUUCUCUUUUCUAGUCUACCUAAUCUUGAUUGAUUACAUACUAUUUGGAGAAAAAUUUACCAUCCUGAGUUUAAAACCGAGACAUUUUCAUUUAUGGCUUCAGGGAUACAUACUUGGAAAUCCACAGAUCAAGGUUUCAGGACUUCUGAACUAUAGGGUUCUGUUUGCUUAUAGGAUGGGGCUGAUUUCUGAUGAACUCUAUGAGGUAACUUAUUUCUUUUGUUUGUUACCUAUUGAUAUCUUAGAACACUGUCAUUUGUCACAUGCAUUCUUGCAAUGUAAAAUUACCUGUGAUUUUCUAAAUGACCUGCAUAUUUACAAUGCAGUCCUUGAAGGUUAGCUGUAAAGGGGAAUAUGAAAUCAUAGAUCCCAGUAAUGCAGUGUGUUCGAAAAAUAUGCAGGCAUACAAUGAGGCAAGCAAUCAUAUCUAUGCAAUUUUUAUGUGACUAUUUUAAAAAUUAGGCAAGGCCUAAUGGAUUUACUUAAAGUGCCCCCUAAACUCAAGAAAGAGAGACAGAGUUAAGGAUCAUCAAUAAAACGUUCCUGAAUAGUGUAAUAUCAUUUGAACAAGAAGUAAUUUAUUGUAACUUAUACAAUUUCGUAACAGAGUUGCAGUUAAUGUUAGGGGCUUACACAAGCAGUAAUCGAACAUCAUACUUCUGUUACGAAAUUGUAGAAGUUAACAAUGAAUUAUGGUUUAUUCGAACAAUAAUACACUUUCCAGAAACGGUUGUACUAUAACAAUUGGUUCCUACCCCUUCCCUUUAAUUUGUGGGCCACAAAGGUGAAAAGGUGGGAAGAAUCAGAAUAAAGGAACGGGUAACCAGAAUGAUGGUUAAUAAUUUUCUUCUGCAGUUGGUGGUUCGUAAUAUUGACAAUCAAAAUAUCUUGAUUCCCGUAUGUCAUCCCCUUUCACGAGAGCCAAAUAAAUUAUUUACUGGUGGGAGAUCCAUUAUGCAAAUGUUGUAUGAGAAGUUUGAAGAGCUAGACGUUCGGGAAUCUACUCAUGUCAAAUGUCGAGUAAGAUACUACUAGUAUUGUUCUAUGUAAACUCGUGGAUAAGAGCAUCAGUUCUUGGUAGCACAACUGAUCGCGUUUCUUCUGUUCACUGGCAAUCGUAGACAGAAUGGACUAUGCUCCUUCAGCACUGGGCUAACAACAAGAGUGUCCAAGUGGCCCUCCAUGUGCGAAGGGUAUGUCUAAAUCGAGCACUAUGGUAUGUAGCAUUUGAAUGCCGAAGCAAGCCUGAACUGAUUUCUGUAAUCACAUUGCAGGAAACUAUCGGACAGUGGUUAAGAUGCAACGAUUUCUUGCCAUACACAGAAAAUGCAGCGACUGUUGUACCAUAUCAUGCAAACCUUAGCACUAAAGGUUAUAGAUCCCUUGUAUACAGGUUUGGUACCUAGCUCUGAAUCUUGAUGCAUGUAAGUUAACAGCAGUGAUUUUAAGUACUGAAAGUGGAGUACUUUGUGAUUCAGUGGUGACCAUGAUCUGUUGGCCCCGCACAUUGAAACUCAAGCGUGGAUAAGAUCUCUACAUUACCCAAUUAUUGACGAUUGGAGACAGUGGAUUCAUGAAGGCCAAGUUGCCGGGUUUGGUUCAAAAUUGAACAAUGUUUCUUUUCUUGAUUACAUCACCAUUAGCACGAGAUAAAAAGAUGACUUUACCCAACUCAUCUAAAUUUGUUCUGUUUUCCUGCUUCCAGAUACACAAUGACCUACGCAAAUAAGAUGACAUUUGCAACAGUGAAGGCAAGAAAUUCCUGUUUCUAUUGCUUCAGUGCAAGAUUUGUUCACAUGGUAACGACUAACAAGAAGGUCAGAACAUUCUUGGGACUAACUGGCACCCCUUUUUUCUUUUUUCUUUUUUGGGUGAAGGGAGGAAGCCAUGUUGCUUAUAUGUUCAAGCCUGCCGAAUGCAGAACUAUGCUUGAGAGAUGGAUAUCGCAUCAGCCUCUCUAAUCAGUUGGCAUAUGGAUAUGAACAUUUUUUAUGACUUCUGAGCAUCAAAUGUUCCACUCUUAAAUAUAAAUUAUUGUAACUUUGGGUCAUGAGACGCUUCUACUCUAACUCUCCAAUGGAUUGCCUUCUUAUGGAGAUAUGAUUAGUGGAGAAGUGAAUAAAAUGUAGUAGUUAAAAUUGGAAUCACGUUACGCCUCCAAACAUUUCUAUAUGACUGCUGAAGCUUUUACUUUGAAGAUAUGUCAUUGAAAUAAAUUUCCUCUAUUUUGCAAUAAAUAAAAUUUUGAAUUCACAGGAAAGUACCGUUUGCCAAGGAAUUCAAAUAUUAAAAAAAAUUGUUACUCCAUUAAACAUGAAUGGAUUCAAAUAUUAAAAAAAAUUGUUACUCCACUAAACAUGAAUGGAGGGAAUCUACCAAAGCUUUUAAAAGAUGAAGUGGAGUAGGAAAAGGAAUUUCUUAUACAUAAUUGAAAAGCAAUUUUCUUGAGAAUACUUUAAAACCAAAAGAAGAUCAAAAGAAGAAAUCUCUCAUGUCUAGAACUGAUCUAAUCACUUUUUAAGCAAAACCACGACUCAAAAGUACCUUAAAAGUCUUUUUGUUUUGGGUAGCCAUCGAAAGUUUACACUUGACUCACAUUUGAGUAGAUCCGAUCUUUAGAAAUUCAGUGGGUCAAAUUAUGUUACCCAUCUCACCAAGUGGUGUGGGUUAAUCUGGACUACUGAAUUUUUGAUAAUUGGAUCUUCCAAGUUUUGGUUGAACGUGUUAAGGGUAAUAGGAGGCAUAAAUCGCGCGAUUGGCGUAGGGAACUAAAGACAAUAUGCCCAAGCAAAUAUGUGGAUUAAGGGAGUGAUUGAAUUUUGGUGUAUUCUUCUUUUAUUCAGCAUGGCAUGCAAAAAUUUUUUUUUUUUUUUUGUAUAUGAGUAUGAAUAUGCAUGGCAGUUGACAAGGGGAAAAAAAUCACUGAGCUAUAUAGAAUAAGGUUGAUAAUCCAAAGUGUGUCAAACUUCAGGGCAAUGCAAAGACUUCAAAUCCUUUGCAUUACAUGAAUUUGGCAACGAUGAUGAUGAUGAUGUACCUGGCUGCUGCAGUAGAUAGCAAAAUCACAAAUUGUAAAGCGAGGUAUUCUCUACAUUUUCGAAAAAUCUAACAACUUGUAGGUUGAAGUUUUGUAACUUGAUGCUAUAUCUUUUUGGAUUCAUCACCCGUGGCUUCUGAUGUACUUUCACAAAGUAAUUGAAAGCAACUAAAACUAACUUUGAAGCAGAAAUAGGUAUUGCAAAGAUAGAUAAAUUCCUCAAGAAGAUACUACUAGAGAAAAUGUGGAAUAACCUUACAUCGCACUUCAACAAAAGCAUUAAACCACAGAAGAAACGUGCUAGAUUAUUGAUACAUAAUUAAUUAUAUCCUAAUUGAGCUGAAGAUAAAAUUAAAAAUGCCAUGGAUGCACAGAUACCAGGUGCCAGCUGAUCUUGAGAAAUGUUUGACAUGUUCUUGAUAUUCGUCUUAAUUUUAUUUCUACGGGAAAACUUGAUGAUGAGGGCUACCAUAACUCGCAAGGUGGAGGCAAAUGGAAACUCAGCAAAAGAAAUCUCAUUGUUGCCAGAGGAAAGAAGCGGAGUACCCUCUACUUGAUACAAGUCAAGUUGGGAAAGAAAGAAGUGAAUGCAGUUUGUAAUUUCUUAAUUGACCUUUGGCAUAGGUGACUUGGAUAUAUGGGCGAAAAGAGGAUUCAGACACUUGUUCGCAAACAACUUCUAUCUUAAGUUAGAGAUAAUGUACUUAAACCUUAUGUUGACUCCAUUUAUGAAAAAUAACAUAGAGUCGUAUUUUUAGAAUUUUUCUCCAUCUAGAAAAUUAAAUCCGUUAGAGUUGGUGCACAUUGAUAUUUGCUAUAUCAAAUAUAGGUCUCUUGGUGGUGACGUUUAUUUUGUAACUUUUAUUGUUGAUUUUGCUAGAAAAGUUUGGUGUUUUGCUUUGAUAUCCAAAGAUCAGGUUUAUUGAUUUACGUAAUUGGAAGUAACCAAUUAGGUUUACGACGAAACCUAGAAAUCGAUCACUAAUCCAAUUUGAGUACCUCUACAGGAUAUACCUCAACAGAAAACUGAAAAGUAACGGCAGACCUCAACAAAAAACUGAAGAGUAACGGCAGCAAGUGAUUGAGUUCAAUAGUUCCUCAAAUAAAAUUAUUGACUCUAGCAUAGCAAAGUUGAAAGAGAAAUUGAUAAGUAAUUAAAGUGUGUUCGUGCUGAUAAUGGUGGUGAGUACAGGAGACCGUUUGAAAGUUACUGCAAGUGCCAUGGGAUCGGAUUAGAAAAGACAGUACCAAAAACUCCUCAAGAGAAUGGAGUAGCAGAAAAGAUAAAUAGAUCCAUCACCGAACGAGUCAGAUGUAUGCUCUCCAAUGCGAAGAUGUCAAAAUCCUUUUGGAGCCAGGCAAUGAGAACAAUAGUUGAUUUGAUUAAUCUUUCUCCAUCAAUUCCUCUAGAUGGUGAUGUCUCAGAAAGAGUAUGGAUGGAAACAGAUAUGUCUUUUGAACACUUGAGAAUUUUUGGUUAUUAAGCAUUUAUUUAUAUUUUCAAAGAUGAGAGAUUAAUUUUUCUUUUAACAUCAAUACUAUAUCACUCACCAUUACUUUUGUUACAUAAUCAUGUAUCACCAUAACUAUAUAACAACUUACAUAUACCAUAGUCACCAGUGAACUUGGCGAGCAAGACCCCUUUAAUAGUUUAAUGUAUUUUUCAUGUGAGAGUUGCAGAGCAGUAGCCGUCAAUAGCUGGGUCAAACAGUUUCAAAUUCCAUUUUGGAACCACUCUCCCACAAAGCUCCCCGCUUUGUAUGGGAUCUCUCUUUUCAAACUCUUAAAUAAGUUCUUGACUUUCAAACCAACUUUUCUUAGGCAAAUUGGUCACUAGAAGAGAUUUAGACCUUUUGUGGGUCAGAUAUAACAUCAAAAUAAAGAGCUAAGACAAAGUUAAAACAAAUCCUCAGACAGUGACAAGCAUUUUAAAUCAUCAAAAGGGUGAAUUUAAGCAGAUAACUACUAAACAAUACGCCAAAACUGUAGACAAUACGAGGCGCAAGAAAGACUAAAUAAUAGCAUUCCUUUGUUUGUAUAUGAUACAUGUUUGAGCCUGUAAGAGCUAUGCUGUAUAGUAUCUCAAAUGAAUUUCAGCUGCAUCGAGUAAUAAUCCUACACUAUCCAACAUCUACCAUGAGAAGCAUGCACAAAACACACUUCAAGCAUCAGUUCAGAAUUACCACAAUGACUAUUUUCUUCUCCCUCUAUUUCCUAAAACAACAGGAAGAUGAGCCUAGGCAUUUCAGCUAGUACUAUCAACUUGUAGCAGUUGGCUGGGUUUAUUGUCCAGCGUCUUGUUUAUAUAGCAUGCUACAAUCUUGCACAAAGAAAUUGCAGAAACCUCUAAAAUGAUCAAAAAUUAAGUGACCAUUCACAUCAUAUUUAACUCGUCCUUCUCAAUAUCCAACAGCCCCUAAAAGCUUUCCUUUUCCCCAGGAGAAAAUACAAGUUUAAUCUCCACUGUAUUUCCACCUCAUAUUCAACUCUCACUUUCCUUUUCUCAAAGAGAAAAUGCAAUGAAUAAUUAAAGGAAAACAUCCCUUCCCCAAUUUACAAUGUAUCGAUUAGCAUUAUUUGAAGUAAAUAAAGCAAAGGAACAUUAGACAGUUAACUAGAAGGGGAAAAAAAUACAACUGAUCAAAAUACUUCCAAGCAACAAUCUUUCCUAAUUUCUUAUAACUAGAGGUGUGAAAAUAGAUGACUUGAGCGGGAAUGGGUUGGUUAAAAUGGGUAAUGGGUAUAAGUGAGUCAACUCAUUUAUACCCAUUUAAUUAGAUGGAUAUAAAUGGGUAAGUCAAAAAAUGAAUUGGGUAACUCAAUUAUCCAUUUAUAACCCAUUUAUUUUAACUUUUCAUAAACUCAUUUAAAUUCAUUUUUGUAAACUAUGUUAUCAAUUUGUACCACCAUUUGCACCCAUCAUUAGUUUUAAAUAUUUAUUUAUAAUAUUCAAUAAACCUAGUUACCAAUUUUUUUUUAUCCGUACUCUAUGUCGCAAAAUUAUAUACUAUUUAAUAAUUGAACAAUAAGAAUAUAAAAAUUUGACAUAAGUACUAUAAAAGUUAACAUAAAAACUUGAUUCAAAAAUUUUGAAUUCCUAAUAUUUUUUUGUGUAAAUUUAAAAUUUCAUUUUGAAAAGGUAGAAAAAGAGGCUAAAACUUGUCAUAAAUUGGGAAUGCUAAAAAAAUGAGUAAGUUAACAAACUAAGAGAAAAUAAAAUGAUAAUAUAAAACCCAUAAAUAAUAUUAAUAAUGAAACAAAAGUAAUUAACAUCAUAACAAAAUAAAGAAUUUGAAAAAAAAAAUGGGUGGGGGAAGAGAGGAGGUUUGGGGGAGACAAUUCUAAAUGGGUUAAUUGGAUUUGAUGUGUUAUCCAUUAAUACCCAUUUAUUAAAUGGGUAUUAUUGGGUAACUCAUUUGUACCUAUAUACAAAAACUUAAAAUACCGAUAUCUUUCUAUUCAUGGACGAAUAUGGGUAAAUUUAGUUAAAUAAGUUUGUUUGACACGUAUACUUAUAACAAUAAAAAUCCACUUUUAUGGCUACUAGUUGGCCUGGGCCUCCCGCGAGGCGCGAGGGUGCCCAUAUUUUCACGGAUUGAGUUUUCAGAAAUUUUCAGGCAUGUUCUUAUAAUUAUUUCUAUUUUUACAUUCAUACAUGAGAUAUAUUUAUAUAUGGCCUUUAGUAAGUAUUCUCAGUAGGCCAUCAAAAGUUAGCAAGAGCUAAUUAGCCUCGACAAAAGGAUUCUUCUAGCUGUUAGAAAUACAGUGGAUGGAGAUGAGGCUUUAAGUUUGACAAAAGCAUCAUAAAGUGCAUACUAUACACAUUAGCUAGGCAAAACCGCAAAAGUUGAUCUCUACAAUGUGACCGUGAUGGUGGAAAGUUGAUUUAGUUUGUCUUCGGUCACUUGGCUGGGGUGUUGAUUUGCUGGAACUGGCAGUAGUGCUCCUUCAGUUGGUAAGCAUGCUGUUAUGCUGUACAUUGUUACUAUAUUAUUUCGGAGAGGAUGAGUAAAUUUCCUCACUUGGAGGCGGUAGAUUUCUUUUCCAAGUCUUUUGCUGACAUUAAGCACAUCUGGUUGUUGAUUCUGUGACAGAUUUUAUUUCGACAAUUGAUUGAAGUUAUAAAAUUGACUGGGAAAAUUUUUUACUGUGACAAUCUUACCUAUUGUGCGAUCGGUAGUAUAUCAUCUGCACUAAUCUGUAGUAUUUGAUAGGUAAAAUUGGUACCUAAUAUAUGAAUGUUCUUGAUGGUCCUAAUGAAAAGGAAAAGUUGAUGAAAUGUAGCAGACAAAACCACGCAAUAGGAGGAAGCCACUGCAUGGGAAAAAGCGCAGCACACCGAUUGCUCUGUGAAGACAAUUCAAGAAGCUGGGCGAUCAGACAAAAAAGCCAACCUUGGCUUUGAUAACCAAUUAGUCAUUCGGGGGCAAAAUUGGUAGGUAAGGAUAUAAUGGUCAGUAUACACUCCACAAACAAAUUCUAGCCACAAAUGUCUCCAAUGGCACCGCUUCACUCUUUGGAAAUCACUGCAAAAUGACCAAAAAGCCCACACACUCAAGGUGCCAAUGAGGGACCAAAAUCAUUGUUCCUAAGACCAUUCGCUCUUUUAUAGUAUUACUAGUUUAUUUGUGCCUCAUGCGAUGCAUGAGGGUGCCCAAUUUUUUGUGAAGUUGUUAGUUGUGUGUGUGGAGUUAAGAGUGGGUGUGUGCGAAUUUGAUGAUGAAAGAGUGGUAGUUCAGGAUACGUAGGCACACUAUUUUGUAGUAGUCUGUACAUUAUCAAAAAUUGGUCAUUACAGGAUAGAAAACUCAUACAAAGAGCUGUAGACAAAACCACUAUUUACAUUAACAAAAAUAGGUGGUUGCAUGGUAGAAAACUAAUGUCAACAGCUAUUGCAAAACUAUAGAUGGCAAACAAACCUAUUUAACUAAAUUUACCCAUACUCGACUAUGAAUAGAUGGAUAUGGGUAUCUUAAAUUUUUGCAUAUGAGUAUAAAAUGAAUUACCCAAUAAUACCCAUUUAAUUUUAUUGGAUAACUCAUCAAAUUUAAUUAAAUCAUUUAGAAUUGUCUUCUCCCAAACCUCCUCUCUUUCUCCAUCCCUUUUUUUUUUCAGAUUCUUCAUUUUGUCAGGAUGUUAACUACUUUUGUUUCAUUAUUAUUAUUAUUAUUUGUUGAUUUUAUUUUAUCAUUUUAUUUUCUCUUAGUUUGUUAACUUGCUCAUUUUUUAGCAUUACCAAUUUAUGACAAAUUUUAGUAUAUUUUCCUACCUUUCCAAAAUGAAAAUUUAAAUUUACACAUGAAAAAAAUGCUAGGAGUUCAAAAUUUUUGGAUUAAAUUUUUAUGUUAACCUUUAUAGUACUUAGUUCAAAUUUUUAUAUUCUUAUUGAUCAAUUAUUAAAUAGUAUGUAAUUUUGUGACAUAGAGUACGGAUGAAAAAAAAUUGAUAAUCAGGCUUAUUGAACAUUAUAAGUAAAUAUUUUAAACUAAUAAUGAGUAUAAAGGGUGGUAUAAAUUGAUAACUUAAUUUGUAAAAAUGAAUUUAAAUGAGAUUACAAAAAAAUUAAAAUAAAUGGGUAAGCCUCCAAUUGCUUCCACGUAAUAAGGCAACAAAAGUAAAGUAAACUCAAUCUAUACAAUACUAAUAUGUUAAGGUGAAAUUUCAAAUUUAGCCACCUGUUUAAAGUACAUUUGCACCGUUUUUAACAAAGACAUGCAACUUCAGAAGCUCCCAAUUGCUUCCACGUAAGCUAACACCACCACCGUAUAUGUUAAGCAAGUCAAUCUGUCCAAAGAUAAAUUUGAGAGAGUAGUUGGAUAAUUAAUGUUGGAUUUGAAGUAAGACUUUCAGUUCAGGCAAUUUCCCCUCCGUAGACCUUUACAAAGGUACUUCACAUCAUCCCCAACUCCCUCAAGCUUUCAGUAUUUGUAUCUCCAAUGCUUAAUCAAAUUUGGAAAUCUAUUUGACUACUCAAACUCAACAAAUGCAUCUCCGACGGAAGAGAAUUUCAAUUGCACUCUCGAAACUAGCAAUGCCCAAUUUGCACCCAACUAGACAGUUAAAUAUCUUUGUCAAUGAGAUUUAACUUUCUGGUGAGUUCAUUACUAUAGUUUCAUCAAAAUAUCUUUGUUGCAAAAAUUUUGCGGGCUGCUAUCUUUACAAUUCAUGCAAAAUAAUAAAGGUUUUUUAUAACCCAUCAGCUGUUUGAUAAAUUGCCUCUUUCAAACUAAGUUCAAAAUUCGUUCAACGCCUUGGCUGCUAGUUCAUGCCUCCAAGUAUAGUCAUCAGCCCAUCAUCUCUACCUCGUUCAAACACUAGCAAUCAUCAUCUUCAUGAUAAUAAUUUUUUUUUUUUCUAGCCAAAGGUGAAAUCCAUUCCGGUUCAAUAGAAAAAAGUUCUACAUUCUUUAAGGAUUUUGUGCUAAGGUUUCCAAGGAACGGCUUGGGUAGUGGUGCGGCAGUCCAUGGCUGCCAUCUGCCCACCUGAUGGAGGGCAGCCUGCCCCUCCUACCUUUCAACGCAAAUCCUUUUCAGAAUUGUUCACGAAGAAUUCACAGCAGCCGACGCUAUCCUUUGCGGCACAGGAGGCUACACACAAAGGGGAACCUGCGUUGAUUUUCCCACAGGCAGCGGUCGAAGCUCUAGCCAGUCCAUUUCGUUUCGCAUUGAUUGGGAAAUUCUCUAGACGUAGACCGAAGUUGGAGGAGGUGAGGAAGUUCAUUGCAUCGCUGGAUUUACGUGAGAACCCGGUGGUGGGCUUGUUGGACGUAAGACAUGUGUUAAUUCAGUUGAACAAUGAAGCUGAUUUCCAUCGUGUAUGGUUUAGGAGGAUCUGGUAUGUGUCUUCCUUCCCCAUGAGAGUAUUCAAAUGGACCACGGACUUCCAUGUUGACAGGGAGUCGUCGGUGGUUCCGCUCUGGCUUCAAUUACCAAAACUCCCGCUGCACUUUUUCAAUAAGGAGGUGAUUUUCCAGAUUGCGUCUAUGGUAGGUAACCCUUUGCUAGUUGAUGCGGCUACCCUUGCAGUGUCACGGCCAAGUGUUGCACGGGUGUGUGUUGAGAUGGAUUUGUUGCGUUCGACACCGUCGCGGGUUUGGAUUGGCAAUGGAAAUCAUGCUGGUUUUUGGCAAGAGCUGGUGGUGGAGAACCUUCCAAGGUACUGCUCACAUUGUUUCCGCCAAGGUCACGAUGUGGAGACUUGUCAUGUUUUAAAGCCCGAGUUGCGAGGAGCAUCUGGUCACCAUACCAAGACUACUGGAACAACACAACUACGGUUGGCAGAGACGUCGAAUACAGACAUGCCUGAUGGCCCUUUGGAGGGUAAUGGAGAAAGGCCAUCGGUAUUGAUACAAGAUGCGGCAGUAAUUGAUGGGGCAAAGGGAGAAGUUAAUGAGACUGUGACUGGCAAAGCGCUAGUUGCUCACGAUCAGUUAAUAGGUGGUACGCCUCACGAAGCUGAGCAAGGUGACCAGGUGCAGCAGUCCUGUGCUACUAUACCAGCGCAGCAGGAGAGGAAAAUGGAGGAGGAUUAUGGGACGGUGGCGGUAGAAGGUAUCGAGGUGGUGCUGCCACAUGACAAAGGAGAGGAACGUUCUGAAGAUGUGGGGAGUGGGUUGCCCGCGAGGGUGGUCGUACGUUCUGCUGAGGGGCAAGUUGAAGACUUACAAGAUACUCAACGAAGGGUCGGUACCCUCUCCCCUAGGGGCAAGGAUCUUAUCCGACAAGAAGAGUCAUCACUAGAGACCGGGCAUAUAGACACGGGGGGUACCCUGGAACUAGAAGAAGUUGUUCGUAAGGAGCGAAUGGAUGCAAGGUCGCGUGGUCUCCGGGUUGGUCUCCCGUCAGAUAGAACACUACGCUCCAUGGUUAGUUCUUCAACAAAUUCUUUUUCUGUCCUUUCUGAUGAUUAAGUUACUUUUUUGGAAUAUAAGAGGGGUAGCUCGUGCUCCUAAUUUAAGGCGGUUAAGGAAACUUAUUAAAUUGUAUGAUCUUCAAUUGGUGGUUGUUGUUGAACCUAAGUUGAGGGUGGAGUCAAUUACUGAUAUUAGAAUUAAAUUGGGGAUGGAUUGUUGCAUGUUCAAUCAUUGGGGUUCUGUUUGGAUUUUCUACCGGUCAUUGUUUACGUGUCAGAUUACAGGGGAGUCUCCCCAACAUAUAACUAUUAGAGUACAAUCUCAUCUUUUCCAAGACUCCAUUAUUUUGUCUUGUAUACACGCGAAGUGUACGCAGCAGGACAGAGAGGAUUUGUGGAAUGCACUUUUGCAGGAUAAACCCGCCUUCAAUCCUUGGUUUUUGGUGGGGGAUUUCAAUGUGGUCACAAAUACAGAGGAGAAGAGGGGUGGAUUGCCAUUUAGACCGUCGGAGGGAUCAGACUUUCUGAAUUUUAUGGCGCUAGCUGGUGUCAGUGAUGCGGGAUUCUCUGGGUCAAGGUUUACAUGGUGUAAUAAUCGUUCGGGAACGGCGCGGAUCUGGAAGCGUCUGGAUCGCUUACUUCUGUGUGGGAGUGCAAUGGAGCUACCGUACCAAUUCAUGGUGCAACAUUUAGGCCGUGACCCGUCGGAUCAUGCUCCCUUGUUGCUAUCGGUGGAUACGAGGCUAGACAAUAAACCCAAGCCGUUUCGUUUCUUAAACAUCUGGACCACUCAUCCUGAUUUUCUGGGGGUUAUCAAGGACUGUUGGGUUCAUCCAGUCAAUGGCUCUCCUUUGCAAGUAUUGGCAUCGAAGUUGAGGAAUGUUAAAAAUGCCCUCAAGCAGUGGUCUAGGACGACAUUCGGGGAUAUUUUUGAAGGGGUACGUAGUGCAGAGCGUGUGGUAACCGAGUCUGAGACAGCAUACGACCUCGAUCCUACUGAGCAGCGACGGAGCGAGUUACAUCAUGCUCGGGCUCGAUUGCGCCGAGCGCUUGUAGUUGAGGAGGGUUUUUGGAGACAAAAGGCGCGGGUUAAGUGGCUUUCGGACGGAGAUAGGAACACCAAAUAUUUCCACUCCUUGGUUACGGAAAGGAGACGUAGGGCAGUAAUUCAUCGAGUCAGGGGUACUGCUGGAGAGUGGAUCGAGGGGGAAUGCCAAAUUGGGGAGGCAGCGGUGGGUUUCUUUAAGGAUCUUUUCACGGCAGAGGGGGAUCUUCCCUCCCUUACCGGUCUGGAGAUCAUACCUAAACUGAUAACAGACCAGGAAAACUCACGGUUAACGGACAUUCCAUCUCUUACAGAAGUUAAAGACAUAGUCUUUGCUAUGGAUGGAGAGAGCGCAGCCGGCCCGGACGGGUUUACAGGGAAAUUCUUUACCUUUGCUUGGGAGGUAGUGGCAUCGGAUUUAUACCGGGCGGUUGUCAGCUUUUUCUGCGGUGCUGAACUACCUAGGAGUAUCACGGCUACCUCAAUUGUGUUGCUGCCAAAAGUGGAGAACCCCCAAGAUUUUAAGCAUUUUCGUCCAAUCAGUCUGUGCAACUUUACUAACAAAAUCAUCUCCAAGCUGUUAUCGGCAAGGUUGGCGAUGAUAUUACCCCGGAUUAUAUCUCCACAGCAAAGCGGGUUUGUCCAAGGGAGGCAGAUUACAGAUAAUUUCUUGUUAGCUCAGGAGUUAGUAGCCGAUAUCGGGAAAUCAAAUCGGGGUGGCAAUGUGGUCAUCAAGUUAGACAUGAUGAAGGCUUAUGAUAAAGUCUCAUGGCCCUUUCUCCUACAGGUGCUACGAUAUUUCGGAUUCAGUGAGACCUGGAUAGACAUGAUUUGGCGCUUAAUAUCGAAUGUGUGGUUCUCGGUACUUGUUAAUGGUGGUUCAAACGGCUUUUUCAGAUCUUCACGGGGUUUACGGCAAGGGGAUCCAAUUUCACCAGCCUUAUUCGUUAUCGGAGCUGAGGUGCUGUCUAGAACCCUCAACACGCUACCCACACAAAGAGGAUUUACUCCGUUCAAAGUUCCUCCUCAUUGUUCUAUAAUUACGCAUUUGGCAUUCGCCGAUGACGUGAUUAUCUUUUCCAGUGGGGCCAAGUCAUCCCUACGUCUGAUUAAACGGGUUUUGGAUGAUUAUAAUGAGGCAUCAGGUCAGCGAAUCAACCCUCAGAAGAGUUGUUUCCUUACUCAUCCACGGGCACCAUCUCAGAGGGCAGCGGUUGUUAACCAGAUACUAGGGUAUAAUAAACGCGACUUUCCAAUACGGUACCUUGGUUGUCCCUUGUAUACCGGAAGGAGCAAGAAGGUUUACUAUACGGAUAUAUACAAUGCGGUGGCGAAUCGGAUUUUGAGUUGGAAAAACCAGAUAUUAUCGCUAGGAGGCAGGGUGGUGUUGAUUCAGAGCGUGUUAUCCUCUAUGCCAAUUCACUUGCUGGCAGCCGCGUCCCCUCCAAAAGGGAUGUUGAUGGUCAUAGAGAAAUUGUUCGCCAAGUUCUUGUGGGGAUCUUCGAAUUUCGGGGAUAAAUUCCAUUGGAUACGUUGGGCAGAUUUGUGUCGGCCGAAGGAUGAAGGGGGUGUAGGCCUGCGGGGUUUGAAACAGGUCUACGACUCAUUUUCCAUUAAACUCUGGUGGAAAUUUCGACAACAACAAUCAUUAUGGGCAAAGUUUAUGUCCCAGAAGUAUUGUGCAGGUCAUCACCCUUGUCUUGCUGAUAUUGGGCAUCCGGGAUCCCAAGUUUGGCAGAGGAUGGUUACAAUGCAGCGUUUUGGGGAGGAUAAUAUUAGCUGGGUAGUUCGGGAGGGGGCUUUGGACUUUUGGCAUGAUAAUUGGAUGGGGUCAGGUGCGCUUUGUGACAAGGUUGAGGUCUUCCAUGAUCAUUCGGUGGUUGAUUUUGUAGAUCGGCGGGCUUGGAAUGUGGACAUGCUCCAUCAAUUCUUGGAUGGAGAAUUGGUUACGCAGGUUUUGGAGAUUGACCCUCCUACCGAUAGGGGAAAUGAUACAAUGGUAUGGGCAUUGACGAACUCGGGUGUUUUUUCCACUGCAUCGGCUUACUCAUUGAUCCGUCAAUCCAAUGACAAUUCUUGGCUUUUUGGUCGUAUAUGGCAGCAGGGUCUUCCAGUCAAGGUUUCUUUCUUUAUGCUGCGACUACUACAGGGGAGGCUCCCUCUUAUGGAUCGCCUAAAGAGGUUUGGGGUUUGUGGCCCAUCUAGAUGCUUGUGUUGUCAGAAUCCCCAGGAGGAGGAUUUGAAUCAUGUGUUUUGCUCAGGAGAAGGGGCACGAUUGGUCUGGCGACACUUCGAGAGUACUGCUGGUGAGUUUAGUGGGGUGCAUACGGUGCGUCAUAUGGUGUGGUCUUGUUGGUUAAGGAGGGGGACUAAUGAUCGUGUAAAGUUUUUGCAUAAUAUACUUCCUUCGGUGGUAUGCUGGGUUUUAUGGAAGGCUAGGAAUGAAGGGGUGUUUGAAGGUCGGAAGAUGAGGAUCAGGCCUACGGUGAAUCGGAUUGUUCAGUUUCUGCAUGAUUUCCUUCAGUCACGGUUCCCGGGGGUGCAGCCUUCUGCCCCUACAUGGGAAGGGUUGCUUCUCGAAUUAGGUAGUCAUCAAAGGCGGAUGGUUAUUAGGCCAGUUUACUGGGUAACUCCACGUAGAGGCUAUAAGUUGAAUUCAGAUGGAUGUUCUCGGGGGAACCCAGGAAGGAGUGGGGGGGGUGGGCUUGUGCGGGAUAGUCGAGGAAAUUUUGUAUUCGGCUACGCGGAGCCCUUCGGGGUGAUAACCAGCAUGCAGGCAGAACUUCGAGCGUUGCUAUGGGGCGUUAGACAUUGUGUGAUUCGAGGGUGCUUGGAGUUACACUUAGAGGCGGAUUCUCUCACCCUGGUUCACAUUGUUCAAGGGACUAGUGCUUGUCCUUGGCGUUUACAGAGAGAUCUGGAUGAGUUGAUGAUGUUCAAGCAAUAUUUCACAUCGAUCACACACUGCUACAGGGAAGCAAACGCACCUGCAGAUCAUUUGGCAAAUUUUGGUGCUGAUUCUAGUGCAGGUCAUGUGUUUAAUACAUUCUCAGAAUUGCCGCAAUUGGUUAGGGGGGCUAUUAGAUUAGAUCGAUUAGGAUUUCCUACGUUUCGUACACGGUGUCUGGCAUGAAUUGGAAUAAGAAGCAGAAAAGGCCAAUGAAGGUGAAAAUGGCGGUUAGAAGGACAUCAAGGGAGGAAGAUUGACUGCUAAAAUCUUCAAAGAUCAUCCUUCAGAUUCACUGGAAGACAUCCUGAUAUGGAAAAAUGAAGAUUUAAUCUUAAUUUCAGUUUUUAAAUGCUUAAACUUUCACUAGCUUGUAAAUUUAUUGUCAAAUUGUGGUUUGAUGGCAGGGAGUUUCGUCCUUUUUUAAGGGGAAACUCUGCCGAAAUAUAAAAAAAAAAAAAAAAAAAAAAAAAAUCUGUCCAACACCAAAACAAAGAUGUGAAAUUCCAUGUUUAGCCACCUACUGAUGGUGCCCAUACGGGACCAUCACUAUUGCACUCAUAUCAGCCAACUCCCCUUUUUAUACUUCUUAUGAUAUGAUAUGAUUAGGAUAGGAAGUAUCAUACAUCACUUGACUAUAGGACAUCCUCGUUUAAUGUCUAUCUCUGCCAUCUGCCAAACGAAUAUACCUCUCCCAGCAUGCUUCAUCCCUUAUUUAUAUACCCUGUACCUCUAGUAUCAAAGCCAUCCUGCAACCAUGAUUUUGUUUUUUUUUUCCAGAAUUUAUCAACCUUAUAACUGAUCCCAGGAAGAUUCUAGAAACUGGUGUGGCCAACGUGUUAGAUCAAGAGAAGAAGGGCUAAGGCCAUCAACAGUACUAUCUUUAAAUUUAUCUGGAAAACAAUUACAGAAAAAGGAACUAUCUACAUCUUGUAAAGUACCAAAAAUUUUAUGUACCAAAGAUUCAGGGAUCCAUCCCAAUGGCUGCAUCACAAAAAAAUGCUAAAGAAAAUCAUUUCCUUCCAAUAGCUCAUGACCCCUCAGAAACCAAAUAUAACUAACAAUACAUUCUUUAUUGCCCUAUAAAGGAUAUCAAGCUAUAAAAGAGUCAACAUAAAAAAAUAGAAACAAAAAAGAACUCAAGGUCAUCGAAGAUUUAAAAAAAAAAAAAAAAAAAACUGCUAGGAAAGCAUAUUUAGCCACUACCUGUUCAGAUUAUUGUUAUAGUUUCCCUAAAUCCUUUACCCCAAAUCUUCUCUCUUCUGUCUGAAAAUGUUACCUUUAGUGCCCAGACCGUACAAUGUCAUAUUGAGUCUAUGUAUCUGGGCGAUUUUGAAUUUUUCAAAACUAGGGUACUGGUACAUGGCCAAAGAUCUAGAAUUGGCUAGAGGGCGUCUAUCUUGUAUCCCAUCUGUAAGUAGCAUAUUAAAUACAACUUAAAUUAUGAAAUGGCUCAUACUUAAAAGAAAAUUUCUAAAUGAUCCAAACAAAAAAAAAAAGAAAAAGAAGACAAGAAAAUUAGCUUAAAAUAAAGAAGAAGAAAAUCUGGGGCAAAAAUGAUUGCGCAAACAGUUUCUAAAUGGUAUAAAGCUUUAGUGACAAAUUAUAAUUCGCAUCGUAUACAAGACACAAGUUAUAUAAUUUCGUAACAAUGACAUGAAAUAAUAAGAUUGUUCACAAUUAAAAGUAUGUGUUAUGUUAUUGUUAUGUAACAUUAUCUGAAUCUGAUUUCUCGAAAAUUUAUUUUGUUGGCAAAAUUUAAACUGUUAUGAUCGAUCCAAAAAGGAAAAAAAGAGAAAUUAAAGUACAUGGUUGAGAUCUGCAAGUUUCACAGUUAAAAUGUUGCAAGAUGGGCGGCACAACUGCAAGUUUCACAGUUAAAGGACUCCAUUUAAAAUUUAGUUCCAUCCAGUUAAAAUGUUGUUCUCGAUUUUGGCAAGUUUCACAGUUAAGUUUCAAACUGAGAGUAGCAAUUAUGCAGAUAUAUAGCCUUCUAAAGAGAUCCAAAUUCACUAUUAAUGCUCUUUUAUAAGCUUGUGAAUCCGAAAAGCUUCUUAGCUAGGGAUAUUUCAUGCUUGCACCUGAUAGCAGAGUUUUAAGAGGAAAAUCAAUUAAAAACUUUACUAAGGAGUUUUUAAGCUUUUUAUUCUUUUCUCUUGGUAUCUUUCCCUUUUCCUUCUCCUCCUCACCUUUGAUGAAGUACUCAUGAAGUGUAAAGAAGAAAACUUAGGGAUGCAAUUUUCUGGGAUUUUUUUAAUAUCUUGAUGGCAUUACUCCUUCAAGUUGGAUCUCAUAAUUCAGAAAAUUUAAUCUCCUGUCACAGCAUGAUCCAUUCAAGUUGCUGAAAACAAAAAUAGGAGCAACAAAUUAUUGCUCCAUGAACACAUGAAAAAUUAUCUCAUAAAACUUGAUUCAUUUUGGUGUCAUUGCAGGUAACGAUGCUAGGAUUGAGCCACAUAUUGAUCUUAACGUCUAUAUAUGUCAUAACCUUCUUUCUCCUUAAUCUAUGUAGCAAGAUAAAAACACUUAGGCACAAAGUUACAUCUUCUAUUCCGGCUCCAAAACUCACUAUCUAGAUUUUACAUAAUUAUACUUCUUGGUAACAUGUCGUGGCGUUGUUAAAUUGAUUGCUUUAGGGAUACUUCCUUGGAAAACCUACCAUUAAUCAUCACCUUCUUCUUCCUUGCCAGCGGCCAAAGCCGCCGGCUCUCUUUCUCUCUCUGAAAUUGUUGCCGCUGCCAUUGCUACCAUGUGCGGCAGUAGCAGCGGUUGCCGCUGCUACUGUCUUGAUCUGCCGUGGCUUCCUUAUCAAAUGGCUGGCCUUUGUUUAGCCAAGAGGUCGCCGAUGUUGUACUGGCGACCUAGCAGCAAGGAAGGCUCAAACGACCCUUUCUUCUUCUCUCCCCGAACCGCAUCUUUUUUUUUUUUAACCCCAUCAACUUUCCAUAUUUUCCUUUCUAUACAAAAAUUAACCCUAAAGUUAAGGAAGAUUCCUGCCUUGACUCGAACUCUUUAGAGUUUUCUUCAAAUUUUGCCCUUAAUUGAUUUAAUUAACUUUUUAAAGUUAAUUAGGCUUUACACGCCUUUAUGUUGGAAUGAAUAUAAAUGUUGUACUCUUUAGUAGGCAAGUUAAUUAUUAUUAUUAUUGUUUUUGGACAAGAGAGGGGUGGAAUGCAAGAAACGAGUAGGGGGAAGGGGAAAGAAGGAUUUAAAUCCAAGUCCUCCAAUUCUUAGAGUCUUAAUCUUAGUUAAUUAAACUUUUCAUGCUUUUAUGUAGUAUUGUUUCAUAUGUCGUAUUCUUCAUAAGGGUUUAUUGAGUACUUAUGCGUUGAUUCAUAACUUUUGGAAAAUCUUCGGAGUAUCUAAUUUUUACUUUUCCAAUAUCCUUUUAAUAAAUUUCACUAUGAUCUAACAGAUAUUGAUAUAGUUCUAGACUAUUAACAUGAAGAACUGAAACCAUAUGCUUUUGAGAAUUAUGAGAGUUAAAGAGAGUGUUGGUAAUAAAUAAGCACAUACUUAGUUCACACAAAAUUUAAAGUAUUGUGGAGGCAAAGUUAUUAGAUCUAAUGGAUUGAGACACAGGGUCAGUCACGAAUACUACAAGAUCUAAGUCCAACACGGAAGACAUGGAAUGUUGGCGGGUUGUGGUUGGCGUAAAAUAUGAUAUUAACCAUGCAAUGAAAAUGUUGACGAAUAAUAAUAGAGAGCCAAUCUUACGGUGAAAACAAGGACGAACUGUAACUAGAAGUCAACCAUACAAUGAAACCGUGGACAAUUUUUCAGCAAGAUAAAGAAGAUUAUGUACGUUAGUCUAAUUUAUAUUUCAAUCUCUAGCAAGCUUAGGUUCCACCAUGGGAUUGAUCCGAUUUUAACCUAUUUUAUAUCCUUUCAACUAGAUUCAUCCCAUAUUUGCUUCUGUUUCAAUCGGUUGAACCGACCUGUGUGGUUCAAUUUGUCAAAAAAAUGAGUUUGGUUGAGAUGAUUGAACAAUUACACAAGAAACUUACUAUUUGUGGGUCCAAUUACACAAGAAACUUAAAAUUGUGGGUCCAAUUUGUCAAAAAAAUGAGUUUGGUUGAGAUGAUUGAACAAUUACACAAGAAACUUAAAAUUUGUGGGUCCAAUUGCACGAGAAACUUAAAAUUGUGGGUCCAAUUUGUCAAAAAAAAAAUGAGUCUGGUUGAGAUGAUUGAACAAUUACACAAGAAACUUAAAAUUUGUGGGUCCAACGUACCAAUGGAGCAGAAGGAAUUGUACUCUUAAAUCUUAGUACAUGCUAGUUCAAUCAUAGAUAUAGUUAAAAUCUCUUAGGUGCUAUUUUCCCCUCACACUUUAUUACCGGGCAUCCUGCACCUUUCACUACUGUCUCCUCUCACACAUCAUGUCUUUAAGUUGGAAUAGUAUCAACCUUUCAUUCGACGGACAACAUUGCAUUCAAGGUCCUAGUGGGAGGAGUUGCCAUUGCUACGCUCCGAUAACAAUACUGGGUAGGGAUGGCAACGGGACAGGGGAUCCCUCUCCCGUAAAAAUAAAAUAAAAUCUGUUAGGUGUUAUUUCCCCCUCACACAUUAGAACUAGGCAUCCUGCACCUUUCACAAUUGUCUCCUCUCCUCACAUAUCGGGUCUUUAAGUUAGAAUAGUAUCAACCUUUCAUUCGACGGACAACAUUGCAUUUAAGUGUCUAGUGGGAAGAGUUGUCAUUACUAUGCUCCGAUAACAAUGCUGGGUAGGGAAAGCAAUGGGAUGGGAGAUCCCUCUCCCGUCUCCCGUCCUGGUGCCAAAUAUCUCCCCAUACACCCACUCCAUCCUUUGCCCCUGCCCUUACCCCGCCUAGCUCCCGUCAGGGAGUUUGCAGGGGAAUGAUAAAAAUUUGAUCCUGUAGCUAUUUGCUUCCAUAAUAACUAACAAAAAUUCAACAUAUCAACCCAUGGGGGGACGGGUGUCCCUUAUUGCCAUCACUAGUGUUACAUAUUAUUGGGCCCUUUUAUCACAAAAGCUAUCUCAAAAGUUAAAGUUUUCCCUCACACGUAUAACCAAAUAUCUUUUUCCUUCCACAGUUGAUGUAGAAUAAACUGAAAAUUCCCCAUUCACAUCAGGCCCGAGGUUGGAAUAGCAUCAACCUUUCAUUCAAUGGGUGCAGGUUGGGAAAACACCAACCUUUCAUUGACAAGCAACAUUUCAUUCAAGUGUUUAAAUUGAUUAAUUUUUCAUUUGAAGAUGAAAUUGGUCAGCAAUUGACAGUUUAAAUACUAAAUGUGUCAUGUUAAAAAGUUUGAGAACGAAAUGUAUCUAUGACCUAAAGUUUAGGGACAUUUUCCUGCGUUUUACUCUUUUCUGUCAAUAUGUUAAGUUAUAAGACGCUCUGGAUGAAGACAGAAAACGUUUCUUUGAAAACUUCCAUUUAGGAGAUACUUAGGAUGCGAGUUUAUGGGAUCCUUUAUACCUUCAUUAAUUGCAUUAGUACUCUUUCAUGUUGGACUCAAUAGCUCAGAAAUCUAUAUUAUCUCCUGCCACAAGAUGAUUAGUUGAAGUUUGCUAAAUACAACGUGUAUAGGAUCAACAAUUUGUUGCUCUAUGAGUAUAAGAUUAAUUAUUAAGGCCCUAAAACUUACUUGUAUUUUGGUGUUAUUCCAGGAAAAGAGGUCAGCAUUGAACCAUGUAUUGAUCUUUAAGGUCUAUACCUUUGAUAAUCUUCUCUUUUCUAGUCUACAUAAGCUAGAUUGAUUACAUACUAUUUGGAGAAAAAUUUACCAUCCCGAGGUUAAAACAGAGACAUUUCCCUUUAUGGCUUCAGGGAUACAUACUUGGACAUCCAGCUACUAAAGUUCAAGGAAUUCUUAACUAUCUAGUCCUGUUUGCUUUUGAGCGCUAUGUGGAAUUUUGAUGUACUAUGGGAGGGAUGUAGGGGGAGGGAGAGGAGAGGAGAGGGAGGAGGGGCGGAAGAGGAGGUUGCAGGCUGGUGAUGUCGGCAAGCUAGUGGCGGGUUGAGGUGGGGGGAGGAGGAAGAAAAUGAUGGAAAAAGGUGAAGAAUUUGUUUGUUUUUAAAUAUUAAGGGACGUGUACAUUAAAUAUUUUGAGAUGUUUAUAGAGGAUUACUGUAAACAAAAUAGUAAAAAAAAAAUUGUCUAUUAAAAAUUAGACUAAAAACCCAUAUGAAAAUACGCUAAUAAUCCAUACUUAAUUAAUAAUUUUUUAUUUAAUUAAUUGAACUCCGUUGCUCCGGUCAUUGUCAUGCCAAACCAAAUUGAUCCGUGCUCCAGUCGAGCCCACCAUUUUUCAACAUUACACGCAUCAUUAGAAUAAUGAUGCGUGUAAUGACUCAUGACACGGCCCGUGUAAUGACUCAUGAGAUAUUAUACCUCCCAUGAUACUCCACCGGAGAUGCUCGUAUAUAGAGUUCGCCGAAGAACUCUAUCCAAGUGCCUGGAGUCUAAAGUUGCUCUGCCUAGUUCCCAAAACGAGAGAUCGGCCAAGCUCAAUGGAGAAGUUGCAGGUGCUCCUAAGGCAUCCUAUCUUCUGCAACCUGUUCUUGCUGCUAGUUUAUGUUCAAGCAUGUUCAAACCUUGCUAUGGCUGGUUCCAUAGUUAAAUUUCUUCCAGGAUUUGAAGGACCCCUCCCCUUUGAACUCGAAACCGGGUGAGCCACUAAGUAUAACAUAUAUAUAAUAACACUAGAAAUUAACAUUGAUCAAAACUUAGAAGAAAUAGUUGAUCCAUUUUUUGAUAUUAUCAGGUAUAUUGGAGCUGGUGAAUCAGAGGAUGUGCAGCUCUUCUACGCUUUUAUCAAGUCAGAGUCAAAUCCUCAAUCGGAUCCUCUUAUCAUUUGGUUAGAUGGAGGCCCUGGCUGCAGUUCAUUUAUUCCACUUUUCUUUGGGAUAGGUGAAUUCUAAUGCCUUACACUUUGCAGUAGGUGUCACAAAAAAAAAAAGAACAAUUGCGGCACUAUUUUGAUCUUGAUUGCGUAUAAUCUUGAAACUCUGCAAACAGCCUUUCUGGUUGAAACUCUGCAAAAAAGACAAAAGACGUUGUUGUCUGGUUGACGAAGCUUUCUGGUCUUUUGUUUUGUUUUUUUGGGUAAAAGUAUUAAUUUUAUUGAAUAGCAUCCAUUUGUCGCCAGUAGCUACACGUUCACAUCAAAUUAAAAAGUCCAAAAUAUAUAAUAAAGCUUUUGAAAAAUGUUCCUAAAAACAGGUAAUUCAAAUGGAGCCAUAAUCUUUAUUUGUCUUUAAUGUUCAAGUGCCAGCAUUUGAUCAAGUCACUGGCCGUGAUUUUCUGUUGCAGGACCAGUAAUUUUGGAGCCAUUGUCGUUCGACGGCACUCUGCCCAAAUUGGUAUUAAAUCCCUCUACUUGGACCAAGGUAAACUCAAGAAUUGAGUUUCUCUUUUCUUUUAUUUUAUUUUCCUGCGAGAGAAAAAGAGAUUUAAGUUGAUGAGUAUAUCUUAGACUCAUAGAAGUGUUAUUUAGCAUUUAUUAUGAUGUGAUGUAUCCUAGAUGAAAAGGUUGUUGAGAUACAUGUAUAAAUAAGGUUCCAAAUUUUUUUUUUUUCAAAUAAUGUUCAAAUAAUCUUUAUCCAAACAAACCUAACUUUCAAGAUUAAGAAUUCGAGUUGACUGCAAGAUUGAGAAUCAUUUCUUGUUACUUGUUAGGUUGUAAGCAUCAUCUUUCUGGAUUCGCCAGUUGGAACUGGUUUUUCUUAUGCUAAGACUGCAGAAGCUUCUCAAUCUUCAGAUUUUCAAGCCUCUGAUCAAGCUUAUGAAUUUAUCAGGAAGGUACACGCCCAUCACUCAGCUAAUUAAUGAAUCAUAAGGCUUCAUGGAACGUUGGACAAUUACUAACAAGGAAAAUGCCAUACUUGUCUCUAGACCCUUUAUUAUGCAAAAAGACCAGUGUACUAUCAUUUAAUUAUUUUCCUUCUGAAUAGCGGAAUCCUGCGUAGCCCUCCCAAAAUUGCCUCCAUUGGAUUCAAGUUCUCUAUGAACACGGUUUUGAUUGUAUAGAACAGUUGACAGUGGAAGAUGAAUAAAAGUUACAUCAAUAAUAACUGGCUAUGGUAGUUUCGACAGUUAGCAUCAUGGAAGCCAUAGUAGAGGAGGAGCUCUUGCAUGGGGAAAGAUCCCAAAGUCUCAUGAAAUGUGGCAAUCUCUAGAAUGGAAUAUCCCACUCACAGUGUUUAGUUAGUGAAAUGUUCUGAUACGGACUCCUAUGAUAAUUAGUUUAACAUGUAUACUGAGAUAUUCUAUCUCUUGUACAAACUUGUCCAAUAUCAAUGAACUUACAGUUUUACCUUGAAAAGAUAGUGGAAGAUGACUAAUUUUGAAUUUGAUGCUUACAAUUCAAUUUUGGGUACAAAUUUCAAUAAGCGAGGCAAUUUAUUGUCUUUUUGCAUGUUGUUGUAUUUUAAUGUCUACAAUUGGUUUGCGAGUGCCUAUAGUACACAGUGCAAUUGCGACUGCCAAUUAUAGAGGCUUGGGUGGACGAUAUUUGUUGCGUUUUUACCCAUUUGAACCUCGAGUUAAAAGCUUAAUUUCCCUUGAAAUGGGAAAGAAAUUAUAGUUAAAAAGAUGUUUACCUUUUACAAGAUUGGUUUUGAUGUUGAUUAUAUUGCAGUGGCUACAUGAUCACCCAGAGUACAAGUCGAAUCCAUUCUAUGUUAGUGGAAUCUCAUAUGGGGGCAUUCCUGUUCCAAUAUUAACUCAACUUAUAUCAAAUGGUAAGAUUUUUUCAAUGUGGCUCUUUACCCUAGGGAAGUUUUUCGGUUGUGUUACAAUCUGAUUGUUGAAAUUGUUAUGCAGAGAUACAUAGGCAUUGUAAGAGAUCUGAAUAUACUAUAAAUGCUUUCUGUAAGCUUGUAGUAUAUGCGAAGUCUCUUUAGGUAGGAAUAUAGUUGCCACCUUAAGCUAAAUGGGUUUUAUUAACAUAAUGCAGAGCUUUAAGGGGGGGAGGGGGGGAAAGGGUUAAAAGUUCCCUCAGAAAUUUGCAGGCUUUUUAUUCUUUUCUGUCCAUAUGUUAAGUUAUAAAACGCUCCAGAACAAAGCAAGCAAACGUUUCUUUGACCAGUUCAGAUUUCUACAUUAUCUCCUGCUACAAGAUGAUCAGUUGAAGUUUGUUAGAUACAGAGAGUAUAGGAUCAAUACUUUGUUGCUCUAUGACUAUUAAGGCCCUAAAACUUACAUGUAUUUUGGUGUUAUUCCAGGAAAUGAGGACGGCAUUGAACCACGUAUUGAUCUUAAGGUCUAUACCUUUGAUGAUCUUUUCUUUUCUAGUCUACCUAAUCUUGAUUGAUUACAUACUAUUUGGAGAAAAAUUUAACAUCCUGAAGUUUAAAACUGAGACGUUUCCAUUUAUGGCUUCAGGGAUACAUACUCGGAAAUCCAGUAACGAAGGUUUCAGGAAUUCUGAACUAUAGGGUUCCGUUUGCUUAUGGGAUGGGGUUGAUUUCUGAUGAACUCUAUGAGGUAACUUAUUUCCUUUGUUUGUUACCUAUUGAUAUCUCAGAACACUGUCAUUUGUCACAUGCAUUCUUACAAUGUAAAAUUACCCGUGAUUUUCUAAUUGACCUGUAUAUUUACAAUGCAGUCCUUGAAGGUUAACUGUAAAGGGGAAUAUGAAAUCAUAGAUCCCAGUAAUGCAGCGUGUUCGAAAAAUAUGCAGGCAUACAAUGAGGCAAGCAACCAUAUCUAUGCAAUUUUUAUGUGACUAUUUUCAAAAAUUAGGCAAGGCCUAAUGGAUUUACUUAAAGCGUCCCCUAAACUCAAGUAAGAGGGACAGAGUUAAGGAUUGUCAGUGUAACCGUUUCUGACUAGUGUAAUAUCAUUUGAACAAGCAGUAAUUCAUUGUAACUUACUCGUACAAUUUCGUAACAGAGUUGCAGUUAUUGUUAUGGGCUUACACCAGCACUGAUCGAACAUCAUACUUCUGUUGCGAAAUUGUAGAAGUUAACAAUGAAUUACUCUAAUUUAUUCAAACAAUAACACACUUUCCAGAAACGGUUGUAUUGACAAUUGGUUCCUACCCCUUCCCUUUAAUUUGCGGGCUACAAAAGGUGGGAAGAAUCAGAAUAAUGGAACGGGCAACCAGAGUGAUGGUGUUAAUAAUUUGCUUCUGCAGUUGGUUCGUAAUAUUGACGAUCAACAGAUCUUGAUUCCCGUAUGCCCUCCCCUUUCACGAGAGCCAAAUAAAUUAUUUACUGGUGGGAGAUCCAUUAUACAAAUGUUGUAUAAGAAGUUUGAAGAGCUAGACGUUCGGGAAUCUACUCCAGUCAAAUGUCGAGUAAGAUGCUACUAGUAUCGUUCUAUGUAAACUCGUGGAUAAGAGCAUCAGUUCUUGGUAGCACAACUGAUCGCCGUUUAUUCUGUUCACUGGCAAUCGUAGAUGGAAUGGAUUACGCUCGUUGAUCACUGGGCUAACAACAAGAGCGUCCAAGAGGCCCUCCAUGUGCGAAGGGUAUGUCUAAAUCGAGCACUAUGGUAUGUAGCAUUUGAAGAAUGCCGAAGCAAGCCUGAACUGAUUUCUGUAAUCACAUUGCAGGAAACUAUCGGACAGUGGGUAAGCUGCAGCUAUCCCUUGCCAUACACAGAAAAUGCAGGGAGUGUUGUACCAUAUCAUGCAAACCUUAGCACUAAAGGAUAUAGAUCCCUUAUAUACAGGUUUGGUACCUAGCUCUGAAUCUUGAUGCAUGUAGGUUAACAGCAGUGAUUUUAAGUACUGAAAGUGGAGUUCUUUGUGAUUCAGUGGUGACCAUGAUCUGUCGGGCCCGCACAUUGAAACUCAAGCGUGGAUAAGAUCUCUACAUUACCCAAUUAUUGACGAUUGGAGACAGUGGAUUCAUGAAGGCCAAGUUGCCGGGUUUGGUUCAAAAUUGAACAAUGUUUCUUUUCUUGAUUACACCACCAUUAGCACGAGAUAAAAAGAUGACUUUACCCAACUCAUCUAAAUUUGUUCUGUUUUCCUGCUUCCAGUUACACAAGGACCUACGCAAAUAAGAUGACAUUUGCAACAGUGAAGGCAAGAAAUUUCUGUUUCUAUUGCUUCAGUGCAAGAUUUGUUUACAUGGUAACGACUAACAACAAGGUUAGAACAUUCUUGGGACUAACUAGCUCCCCUUUUUUCUUUUUCUUUUUUUCGGGUGAAGGGAGGAGGCCAUGUUGCUUAUGAGUUCAAGCCUGCCGAAUGCAGAACUAUGCUUGAGAGAUGGAUAUCGCAUCAGCCUCUCUAAUCAGUUGGCAUAUGGAUUAUGAACAUCUUUGAUCACUUCUGAGCAUCAAAUGUUCCAAUCUUAAAUAUAUAUAUAUAUAUAUAUUAUUUGUAAUUUUGGGUCAUGAGACGCUUCUACUCCAAGUCUCCAAUGGAUUGCCUUCUUAUGGAGAUAUGAUUAGUGGAGAAGUGAAUAAACUGUAGUAGUUAAAAUGGGAACCACGUUGAAUUCACAGGAAGGUACAGGUUUGGCAAGGAAUUCAAAUAUUCAAAAAAAAAAUUGUUACUCCAUUAAACAUGAAUGGAGGGAAUGUACCAAAGCUUUUAAAAGAUGAUGAGGAGUAGGAAAGGGAAUUUCUUAUUCAUAAUUGAAAAGCAGUUUUCUUGAGAACACUUUUAAAACCUAAAGAAUAUCAAAAGUAGAAAUCCCUUGUAUCUAGGACCGAUCUAAUCACUUUUUAAGCAAAACUGUGACUCAAAAGUACCUUAAAAGCUUUUUUUUUUAAGAUAGCCCUAAAUUACAUAUUUGUGAUCACGGAUGAUCUGAUCAUCGAAGUUUCACACUUGAGUAGAUCCGAUCUUUAGAUAUUCAAUAGGUCAAAUUGUGCUAUCCAUCUCACUAAGUGAUGCGACUUAAUCUGGAUUACUGAAUUUUUGAUAGCCGGAUCUUCCAAGUUUUGGCUGAGCGUGUUAAGUGUAUCAAGAUCUCUCUAUUUAUGAUGAGCCCAACAACAUCGUUCAAAUCUUGCUGGUGCUAAGGGGAAUGGGGCACAUAUGGGUGCAUGGGCUCAAGUUUUUGCCUACUCAUAUGGGAAGGAGGAAUGCAAGGCUCAUAUGGGAAGAUGAGAAACGCCCAAUCAACAAAAACCUCGAGGAGAGAAAGAAGGUGACGGAGAAAAACAGAGAAUAGAGUUUGAACACUCUCAUCAAGUAUUGGGUGGACUCUUUCUGUGUAUGAAAGAAAGAAGGCAAGGUAUGAUGCAGAAAAGCACAGAACGGAUGGCGACUGUAAAAUGGUUAGACCUCAAGGUCCUCAACUCUUGAUCUGUACUUUGAUAAAACUUCAAAGGAGGUAGUGCAAAUAACCCUUCAAUGUUUUAAACAAGUCAUUUUAUUUUCUUUUUUUUUGGUUAUUUGAAGGAAAACAUUUACAACAGAACGGAAAAAAAACAAAAAACAGUUAUGUAAGUGAACUUUACAUGCAUUACAGUUCGUGAAAUUCGUCAAUUCUCUGCAGAAUUCUGUUCAGUGGACUGAACAUAAGCACAAUAUUCCACAACAUCAUCUUUGUAAGAACCAUAUUCGUUUUACCAUUGACUUAGCUUCCAAAGAGUAGCUUCAGUAACACAUAAUCAAAUAAACUUCUACUUCUCGUGAAAAUCAAUGUUCAAAAGCAUCCAUCGGGUUAUCAGAUGAACUUCAACACAAGGGAAAAUAUAUCUUGACAGAUAAAAGGUAUUCUAACGGUUCAAAGAAACCUCAAGUCUCCAAUCUGCAUGCAUAGUCCAAUUAAGGAACUAAUUAUUAAUGGAUCAUUGCAAGAAGUCUGAUUUUGACCUGAAAUGAUGAUGGACGACCAAAACUAUCAAGUACAAAAGCUGAUUCAUUCACUCUGCCUCUGACCCAAAACUGGAAUAUCUUCGUAACGCUUCUGUAAUGCAAUAUUUAUGAAUUUCAGUUAGACAUCCAUGAAGACCACGACGAAGGUAAAGCAGACAUAUCUAUCAUUACAUAAAGCAGGAAAGUAAAAGACUAGAAGCAUCCAUUUCUAGAAGCAGAGAAGAAUAUUGACUAUAAAAGGCACAAUUUGCAGAACACGAGCCAAAUAACACGCAGGUUUAAUUUCAAAUGCUCACUCAAUUAUGAUACUUACCAACCCCACUCGAAUAGGGUACCAAAUACAGUUCUAGACACAAUUUUCAAAGCUUACUUUAAUCUGGCAAGUACCUAUGAUCACUCAAUAGAAACUUCGACGCCAGAUUUUGAAAAUAAUAAUUAGCAUGAUUUCAUAAGCAUUUAGACCUUUUGUGGAUCAGAUAUAACAUCAAAAUAAGGAGCUAAGACAAAGUUAAAACAAAUCCUCAGACAGUGGAGUUCUUAAAAGUUUUGGGCUGAGAGAAUAAACGGUGAUUUUUCUUUAGGACCCAAGUGGAAGGAGAUUUUGGACAUUUCAAGAUCAGAAAUGUAGGCCACUUGGUGUGCGGAAUACUUCAAAAAUGGGGAGAAGAAAGCAGCGAGGGGAGCCAAGGUUGGUGGAGGAAGAACAAACCUUACUCCAUUUCAAAGGAGGAGGCAACUUACAGAAAAAAAAAAAAAAAAGGAAAAAGGAAGCAUGAGAAGAAAGGAACGAGCUAGGGGAGAGAAGGGAAGCAUGCAGAUACGGAAGAGGGGGAAAAUGUUAGGAGAUCUAUGGCACGAGGUUCAGAAAUGAUUGGUCAGUCCAGAUAGUGCAACUACCUAGUAUACAUUGCUUUUAAACAAAAAUUAUUUGACUUUGCUUGCACACAAAAGCUUCUCUAAAUGACUCAAUGAAAAUAAUUACUUGAUACUCCUUGGUCCAGACAACAUUUCAGCUAUAGCAUCACACAUAAAAAUCUUAAUGCUGUUUUGCAUGAUCUAAUAAAUAACUUAUCUGAACAAUUCUUACUAAGAAGCAACCAUAGAAAAUUAGAGUUCAAUCUAAUUCAGCUGAUUCACUGCAUGUUCUUUAGUAAUCAACAGUUUGACUUGGUCUUUUAAGUGUUCAUGAAUGUUCAAUUAGUCAAAUAGCUAACUAAAAUCGGAAAAUAAAUCUUUGAAAAGAUGGAUCUAAAUUCAAAGGUUCCUAUAUAUCAAUCAAGCAUGGUACAAGUCUAAGGACAAGGAACACAUGGUAAAUCAUCAUUUGGUGCCACACUGGAUAACAUUGUAGUCAUGAGAAGAGUGACAAGCAUCUUAAAUCAUCAAAAGGGUGAAUUUAAGCAGAUAACUACUAAACAAUACGCCAAAACUGUAGACAAUACGAGGCGCAAGAAAGACUAAUUAAAUAAUAGAAUUCCAUUGUUUGUAUAUGAUACAUGUUUGAGCCUGUAAGAGCUAUGCUGUGCAGUAUCUCAAAUGAAUUUCAGCUGCAUCGAGUUAUAAUCCUACACUAUCCAACAUCUAUCAUGAGAAGCGUGCACAAAACACACUUCAAGCAUCAGUUCAGAAUUACCACAAUGACUAUUUUCUUCUCUCUCUGUUUCAACAACAGGAAGUUGAGCCUAGGCAUUUCAGCUAGUACUAUCUAACUUGUAUCAGUUGGCUGGGUUUAUUGUCCAGCGUCUUGUUUAUAUAGCAUGCUACAAUCUUGCACAAAGAAAUUGCAGAAACCUCUAAAAUGAUCAAAAAUUAAGUGACUAUUCACAUCAUAUUUAACUCGUCCUUCUCAAUUUCCGACAGCCCCUAAAAACUUUCCUUUUCCCCAGGAGAAAAUACAAGUUUAAUCUCCACUGUAUUUCCACCUCAUAUUCAACUCUCACUUUCCUUUUCUCAAAGAGAAAAUGCAAUGAACAAUUAAAGGAAAACAUCCCUUCCCAAUUGACAAUGUUUCGAUUAGCAUUAUUUGAAGUAAAUAAAGCAAAGGAACAUUAGACAGUCAACUAGAAGGGGAAAAAAAUACAACUGAUCAAAAUACUUCCAAGAAACAAUCUUUCCUAAUUCCUUAUGACAAUCAAAAUCCACUUACAUGGCUAAGUACCAUACAUCACUUAACUAUAGGACAUCUUCAUUUAAUGUCUAUCUCUGCCAAAGAAAUAUACCUCUCCCAGCAUGCUUCAUCCCUUAUUUAUAUACCUUGUACCUCUAGUAUCAAAGCCUACUGCAACCAUGAUUUUAUUUUAUUUUUUCCCGAAUUUAUGAACCUUAUAACUGGUCCCAGGAAGAUUCUAAAAACUGGUGUGGCCAACGUGUUAGAUCAAGGGAAGAAGGGCCAAGACCACCAACAGUACUAUCUUUAAAUUUAGCUGGAAAACAAGUACAGAAAAACGAACUAUCUACAUCCUGUAAGAACCCAAAAAUUAUAUGUACCAAAGAUUCAGGGAUCCAUCCCAAUGGCUGCAUCACAACAAAAAUGCUAAAGAAAAUCAUUCCCUACCAAUAGCUCAUGACCCCUCAGAAACCAAAUAUAACUAACAAUACAUUUUUUAUUGCCCUAUAAAGGAUAUCAUCAAGCUAUAAAGGAGUCAACAUAGAAGAAUAGAAACAAAAAAGCACUCAAGGUCAUUGGAGAUUUAAAAAAAAAAAAAAAAAAACUGCCAGGAAAGCAUAUCUAGCAACUACCCGUUCAGAUUAUUCUUAUGGUUUCCCUAAAUCCUUUACCCCAAAUCUCCUCUCUUCUGUCUGAAAAUGUUACCAUCAGUGCCCAGACCGUACAGAUGUCAUAUUCAGUCCAUGUAUCUAGGCGAUUUUGAAUUUUUCAAAACUAGGGUAUCGGUACACAGCCAAAGAUCUAGAAUCGGCUAGAGGGGGUCUGUCUUGUAUCCUAUCUGUAAGUAGCGUAUUAAGAAAAUAGAAUGACUUAAAUACAACUUAAAUUAUGAAAUGGCUAUGCUUAAAAGAAAAUUUCUGCAUGUAUGUAUCUGAAAAUUAUCUCCACUGUCGCCAAAAAAACAACAAAACUUAUAAGAGUAGGAGAAAAUAAACAUUAUACGUGGAAUUCCAAUCUAACUCUUGCACACACAACCAAUGUACAAUCUUUGCACCUUGAUUUUCUUUUCUAUUUUUGUUCUUGUGUUCAUUAACUUUAUGGUGUCUAAAGUGUUGGACAAAUAUCGCAUACCUUAACCAGGGUCAUCUGAUUUGCAACACGUAUAUGGAUGGGGACAUGAAUAGUCCAUGUAAAACAGCAGAAGGUACAUUAUUGGGGUGAGCUUUUAACUCUCAAUGCACAAAAAUAAGGUGAACAACACAUUCAAAAGAACCAAGACUAAAAAAAUUAAACCCCGUGUAUAUGCACCAAAAAAUGUAUCUCUUACACGAAGGAAAUGAAGUUCAGAAAC